rnacentral:lncRNA from 1 species
UGGAGGGGCUGCGGCUGCGGCCGCCACGGCCGCCUUGAAGGCGUUGUUGGCCUUCUCAGCUAGCUUCUGCUCCUCGGUCGUGGCCUUGGGCUGUGGCCCGGCUGGGGCGUAGCCAGCUUCGGCAGCAUACGAGACGGCUGGCCCCGCCACGAGGGCGACGGCCACCAAGAGCGCCACCGUACACUGCUGCACCGCCAUUGCUGCUUCUCUUGUCCUGUGUUGGUUGGUUUGCACACUACGUAGGAGGAGAGAUUGUGGUGCGGUGUGAGGAUGAAGGAGCUUAAUUAGCUCUAUAUAUACAUCGACCCGCACGUUGAGAGGCCCGGAGAGAUUACCGCGCCCAAAUUAGCAAUCCCCUCCUCUCCUCUCCUUUUUUAGCCAAACUCAUUAUCCCCGUGAGCUCUUCAUGCCACAAACCAAUAAUAAUAGCAUCGAUUAGAUCCCUAACUACUGUUUAACCUCGUGGGGUGGGUAAUAAUAAAAGUAAUAAAAAAUCAACAACGUGCGAAGAUGUGAUUAGACAUAAGGGAAGGGAGGGGCCCACCCCUUAAAAAUCAGGGGGCAUAGUUACUUAGUUAGGAUGUUUAUGUAUUCUCUUCGUAGGAGCCCGUGAAUGUAGCAUUUUCGGGGUAAUUACCUUCCAGUGCGAACUGUAUGGGAUGCUCUCCCCUGUACCAAGCCUCCAAAUAUAUCCAUGCUUGAAGGAUGAAAAAGAAAACAUGAUGUUGUGGCCACGUGAAUGAUGAGCCUUUCUUAAGGGUAGAUUGUAAGAGAUCAUAGUUAGGGAAGUACUUGGCUUUUAAAAUUCUUGCGUGGAACAAAUCAGGGUUAGGUAUGAAUCUCGAUCAUUGCUUGGCAAGCAUCGCAAGGCUAAAAGAAUAUAUAAAUCUCUAAAGUCCUUACCCCCUUCACUUUUAGGAAAGAGAAUUGUCCACCAUGCGAGCCAAUCCAUCUUUUUAUUAUCCUCCUCAUCUCGCCACCCAAACUGAGCAAUAAUGUCAUUAAUUUCUUUGCAAAUUCCUUUAGGCAAAUAAAAUACAAAGAUGGCGAACACAUUUAUAGCUUGAGUUGUGGCCUUUAGAGCAUCUCCAGCUGCACCCCAACAGGCCUCCCAAGGCCAUUUUUUAGCGCCGACGCACAAAAAUCGGCCCAGUCGCGCCCACAGGAGCCCAAUUUUCGCCGGUUAGGGCCGAAACUAGCGCCGACGAACCCAGGCCAAACCCGGCGCGCUAGGGGGCGCCCGGCGGCCCCGUACAAUCUUUUUUGGUGCGAAAGAACGGCGGGCCCGCCGAGUCAGCGACCCUCGCGCCUCGUCGUCCUCAUCGCCUCGGUUUCCAUGGGGAAUCAAUGCCAAGGCUGCCGCCGGUCAGCCUUCCAUUGAUUCCUCACGGGCGGCGCGGUGAGAAAACGCGCCCUCUCUCGUCACGCGUACACAUGCCACCUCCCGGCCGCUAUAUAAGCCGCCCCUGCCUCACCACUGAACGCACCCUACCCGCAACCCCCCUCUCUCCCCGUGCACUCACAGCCGUCGCCGUCGAACUCUCUUUCCCUCUCUCCUGGUGCACGCACAGACGAUGGGCGAAAGGUGCCCCGGCGAGGGGCAGCGGCCAAUGGCUUCAGCCGCCGCUCUCUACACGAGUGGGAAGCCCAUCUCCUCCACGAAGCGAACUACCCGGCGCCUCCCGACAUGCGUGCGCCGGGGCGGUGGAGGCUCAGCGCCGGGGGCGUCCCCGUCCCCCCGCUGCCCGACGUCGAGCACCCCCACUACUUCCAAGCCGAGAUCGACCGUGUGCGGGCGUCUCUAUCGGAGGAGGAGCGAGCCCUUCCGGAGUACGACGCCGGCAACCACGAGGCGUGGGCAGCGUACUUCAAACACCGAAAGGCGGAGCGGCUGGCCUCCAUCAACAACACGCCACUGGUGAGGGGGCGCAACAACAGCGAUGGCUGCUGCCUGCGGUGGGGCGCCCCCGGCUGCACGCUACACGCCGUCCUCGAGUACCUCGAGGGCGGCAACGAUCUGCCGCUGACGUACCCGACCGCCCCGGUCCCCCUCCAAAGUUGCGGUUCAUGGAAGCCGAGGAGGAUGCUGGGCGGGUCCUCCUCCUCCCGUUCCUCCUCCCGCUCCUCCGGAUCGCCAUCAACGAGGGCGGCGGUGGUUCCUCGGGUCCAGCCUCCCGCCUCAUAAGGCCGAAGACGGAGCCGGCGCUUGGCCCCGUGAAGUGCGAGCACAACGACGAGGCCGCCAUGAAGUGGGCGCGGGAGGACUGGGCGCGGACGGAGAUGGAGCGCCAGCACCGCGUCCUGGAGGAGAUCGCCGCUCGGUGUCGUGGCCGCGACGAGGGAGGCGUCGUCGUUCUCGACGACAGCGACAAUGAGGUGCUGCCGCCGGCCAAACUAGUCCACCAUGGGGACCCCAGGCAGGGGUCCAGUAGGGACGGCCGCGUGAAGGAGGAGAAGGACGACGAUGGCGGCGGCGACUUCGAUGUGUUCAGCGAGUUCUUCGGCCUGUCGGCGCGGCCGUUCUUCUUCUUCUUUUUAGUAGACUUAUUAUUAUGUUUCUAUAUGUAAAAAAACUGUGAACCACCUAAAUAUCGCCUAAUGUAUGCCGUGUUUGCCGAAGUUUUCCCAAUCAUGUUUUUUUAAAGAGCGUCUAGGGCAGACCUGGGGGCGGCGGCUGGGGACGCUUUUUUCUAGCGGGGGGGGGGGGGACGACGACUGGAGAUGCUCUUACUAAGAUCUCCUUCCUUCCAAUGGAUAAUUGCUUCUCAAUCCAUCCUUUCAACCCUUGUUUACAUCUAGACAAGCUACUGAAUUAAGAAAUUUGUGCUAAUCAGGUUGUUGUACUAGCACUAUUAAGAUAAAUCAGGGCAAAUGAGACAUAAGCUGUUGUUAUAUCCGCGACUUAAGAGAGCACGUAAACCCACUUUGUUAUGCGUUAUUGGGAUCUUCAUGUUCAUUACUGUUAAAUAGAUUGUGUGCGAUUAUGCAAUUAUUGUCCCAUGAUCUGAUUUAGUUAUGUCGUUUGUGUAUGUGCUACUGUGUUACUGUCAUCCCGUUCAGUUUUAUCAUUUGCAUUGCAUGGUGAUGAGUACAACCGUUGGACGAAACUUUAUUCGUCACAGUAACCUUUUAAUUUUUUUGUGCUCUAGAAUUGCCAAAUGUGAAUCGGGUGCACUAUGUGUGCUUCAUAUACAGGCCAUAUGUUACAAUCUUAGUGAAUCAUUAUGAUUCUACCUCAGCAAACUAAAAUCCUAUUGAUGUUGCAUUUGUAUGGCUUCCUUUUUAGGGCUAUGCAUUGUUAUGUGUUGGUUACCCAUCCUCUUAUAUGGAGGUUGAAGCUCAAGAUAAAGACAAGGCAAGCAAUUCUCUUAGCCGCCUUCUGAGUUCUAAGAAUUUGCUAGUUCAAAUAUGCAGUAGGAACUAUGAAAUAUUCUUCUAAAUUCUGAUGAUUGCACCAUUAACAAUGGUCUAUCUCAAAUUCUCAAUGUAUAGGUAUAUUGGCUCCAGUUUGGAAUAUAUUUUGCACGAGGGCUUGUUGUAAGUAUUGCCAACCUUUUCUUGUUCGAAAACUGCGGUUCCUUGUUCUAGGAAGCUGAUAGCUAUGGCUAUCAGCCAAGUCAGUGUUAUUGAUACCCCUCUUAAAUAUGUGCAUCUUUCGAGCUUUCCUAAGAUGAAACUGAUCCGUCUUUCUAUUUUAGGAUAGAGAUGAUUACACACUAGAGCUUGCAAUGGGAGAUGAGUGAAACGUGCCCAUAAGGUUUGACCCAUCAAAAACUUCAGUUCUGCAAUUUCAUCCAAUUCUGACACUCUAUUUCCACUCUUUUCAGUGGUAUGGUCUUUAAGCGACGCUCCUACAGUUUGUAGGUUAUAGGGUUGCAGAGAUUUGAUUUGCAAGUGGAGAAAGAAAAAAAAACCUUUGGUCUCUGUUCUCUGUGUUGUGUGUUCCGUGUUUUCGCAAAUUUUUAUGUGCAAAUAUGCUUGUAGGGAUUCCAUUUCUCAUCCUUUUUGCCCCUAGUACACAAAAAACUCAAUGGACUGUAUGUAAAAAUGUGAACUACUUAGGGCCUCAACUCAAUCUUUAGUGCAACGAAAGGAUGUUUCUAGCUGUGGUUGUCUGUUCCACUUAAGGCAUUUCACUUGAUGUUGCUUAUCAGUUUGUCAGUUGGUAGUAGAUUCGGAGUGGUUGAAUGUCCUCUCAGCCUGUACGAAUGCAAUCGAUAACAUGUUUAGGGAUACUAUGGAUGUGGCGCUACCGGUAGGAGCGCAACUUAGAAGUUGUUUAAUUUCAAAAUUUUAUCCUUGGUAAAUUAUGGACAACUUCAAAUCUUCGGAGUACAUUAACACAAUCUAUGUUUUACAUGUUACAAAAUUUCAAGUGCAAAGUCAUUUUUUAUUAGAAACAUGGAGCGCAAUGUGGAUGCAAGGAGACAAAGUACACCACAUGCACACUAAUAUCGCAUGAACCAAAGGCUGAAGUUGUGAAAUAUCAAGAUUGGCGAAAUCAUCGCAUGCACCUCGCUAUCUUCUAUACUUUUAUUUCAGUAUUAGAUGUACUUUCUAGGAUGAGGGAUGGCAAUGGGUACCCAUUACCCGUGUACCCAGCGGGUAAAAAUCCUAUUAUGGCAAGGGUAUGGGUUAAAAAAACACCCCUGGGUACAUAAAUAGGAAAUUUGAAACACAUCGGGUAUAGUGGGUAUGUGUAUGGUUUAGUAUAACCCAUACCCGUGUACCAUGUAUCCGCAUAUAAUUUUAUAAAUUGGUCUUAAGUAUUAUUUAUCCACAUAUUAAACAUUUUCUUACAUAAAUCCCGCAGCUAGCCCAUGACGAAGCUAGAAUCCCAUGUCCAGAAUCCCAUACAUGAUACGUAUCUAGGUGAUUAAUGUCUAGAAUUGCCUCAUUCCUUAUAUGGCUAUAUAUAUCAAUGUUAAUUGACGUCCAAAAUUACCACAAAUAAGUGUUGUUGCUCAUGAGAUGUGCUGCUGUUUACGAGUAUGUGUUGUUGUAAAGACGUGUUUCUCUACUAUCUACUUGUAGAAUGCCCUUGCGUUGCCACGGGCUAACAAAAUAUAUACAUAACAAAAAUAUGCUACUAAAAAUGUAUAUACAAAGAGAAAUGUCAUGUGAUAUGGGAGUGAUAGACAAUUGACAUGUGAUGAUAUUUCAUUCUUGUGAUGGGGUAGAUAAAUACAUCUCCUUGUCAUCUUUCUCUUCCCCUCCCUAUCUCACAAUCUUUUCUUCUUCGUGUGUUUCUCAUGGGGGCAAGCAUAAUCAUUGAUAUGAAUAGUCAUGAAAAUAUGAGAUCACCACAACAACAAUCUAUCAUCUGCUCCAAAAUUGACACCAAUAUGAUUACUAUACAUACCAGAAAAAACAACUACAGUGUUGUAGUCAAGACAAAAUUUUGAAAGCACAUUCUCUCAAAUCAAUAUUAAUCUUUCGUUCGAGCUUCUAUAGCCCCUCCGCCGCACAGACCUGGCCGUCUCCACUCACUCGCCUCAUAGGCAGCAGUUGCUCCACGUGUUAAUCCACUCAUUUCCGUCUCCACUCACACCCCUCAUAGGAAUACCGAACCAUAAAAAUAUUUUCAGAGUAUUAGGAUUGUUUCAUGAAUUAUGUUCACUUCUAUCGACACCUCAAGACACAAAACUUUUGUGUUUGGUAAGAAAAUUCAGCCGAUAUGAAGGUAAAAUGAAAUCAUCAAUAUAAUUCCCACCUAAACUACUACAUGGAACAAUAAUACAGAGCGUUCAAUACUGACUUGCACAUACUUCGCAAUUAGCAAAAGGUUUCAUCCAGUAUGUAGAUGCGGUGAACAUGAGCACGUACUUGGACAGAGCAUACCGCAUGGGGGCGAGGCUCCAGUCCAACACUUCCCUAGCCCUUCGAUUUUAUUGUAGUACUUUGUAUGUCAUAGGUGCCUUUUAUUCACAUGUGUAGUACUAUUUUUCGUUGACAUGGAUGAUACCUUAAAUAAAACUUCCUAGACUAUUACAUCAAAUACAAGCUCCUUUCGUUCAUAUUUGUGGAGCACUUCUCAAAAAAUACCAAAAUCUGAAAGUAACUAAAUCACUGUACAUUAACUGAGACCUCAGGUAUGGGAGUGUUUCUGUCCACACACACACACACACACACAGAGAUAGAUAGAUAGAUAGAUAGAUAGAUAGAUAGAUAGAUAGAUAGAGAGAUUUCCUUGAGGCAAGCAAAUAACAAAUUAUAAAUUUGACAAGCAUGUCGGUUCAUAUUUAAAUAGGGUAAUAAAUAAACCAAGAUGUGAGACUAUUCUAUGGUGUACCUAAUCAUUUUUUAACUUUGUGAUUCAGUUGUAUAUAUGUAACUGUAGAAAAAUAUUGACAUCCACAAGAGAUUAAAAAAAGCACCAUGUCAUACCUACACGUAUUUGAUUGGUUCCAUGUGUUGGGGAACGUUGCAGAAAAUAAAAAAAUUUCUACGGUUUCACCAAGAUCUAUCUAUGAGUUCAUCUAGCAACGAGUGAUCGGAGUGCAUCUACAUACCUUUGUAGAUCGCGAGCGGAAGAGUUCAAGAGAACGGGGUUGAGGGAGUCGUACUCGUCGUGAUCCAAAUCACCGGAGAUCCUAGCGCUGAACGGAUGACACCUCCGCGUUCAACACACGUACGGAGUAGAUGACGUCUCCCGCGCCUUGAUCCAGCAAGGAGGAGGGAGAAGUUGAGGAAGAUGGCUCCAGCAGCAGCACGACGACGUGGUGGUGAUGGAGAGGCAGUACUCCGGCAGGGCUUUGCCAAGCUCUGCGAAGGAGGAGGAUGUGUUGGAGUGGGAGAGGGAGGCGCCAGGGGCAUGCGUGCGGCUGCCCUCCCUCCCCCCCUCUAUAUAUAGGGUCCCCAAGGGGGGGCGCCGGCCCUAGGAGAUGGGAUCUCCUAGGGGGGCGGCGGCCAAGGGGGUGGAGUGCCCCCCAAGGUAAGUGGAGGCGCCCCCUCCCCUAGGGUUCCCAACCCUAGGCGCAGGGGGGGCAAGGGGGGGGGCGCACCAGCCCACUAGGGGCUGUUUCCCCUCCCACUUCAGCCCAUGGGGCCCUCCGGCAUAGGUGGCCCCACCCGAUGGACCCCAGGACCCUUUCGGUGGUCCCGGUACAAUACCGGUGACCCCCGAAACUUUCCCGAUGGCAGAAACUCGAUUUCCCAUAUAUAAUUAUUUACCUCCGGACCAUUCCGGAACUCCUCGUGACGUCCGGGAUCUCAUCCGAGACUCCGAACAACUUUCGGGUUACUGCAUACUCAUAUCUCUACAACCCUAGAGUCACCGAACCUUAAGUGUGUAUACCCUACGGUUUCGGGAGACAUGUAGACAUGACCGAGAUGGCUCUCUGGCCAAUAACCAACUGCGGGAUCUGGAUACCCAUGUUGGCUCCCAUAUGCUCCUCGAUGAUCUCAUCGGAUGAACCACGAUGUCAAGGAUUCAAGCAACCCCGUAUACAAUUCCCUUUGUCAAUCGGUAUGUUACUUGCCCGAGAUUCGAUCGUCGGUAUCCCAAUACCUCAUUCAAUCUCGUUACCGGCAAGUCACUUUACUCGUACCGUAAUGCAUGAUCCCAUGACCAAACACUUGGUCACCUUGAGCUCAUUAUGAUGAUGCAUUACCGAGUGGGCCCAGAGAUACCUCUCCAUCAUACGGAGUGACAAAUCCCAGUCUCGAUCCGUGUCAACCCAACAGACAGUUUCGGAGAUACCCGUAGUAUACCUUUAUAGUCACCCAGUUACGUUGUGACGUUUGGUACACCCAAAGCACUCCUACGGUAUCCGGGAGUUACACGAUCUCAUGGUCUAAGGAAAAGAUACUUGACAUUGGAAAAGCUCUAGCAAACGAACUAUACGAUCUUGUGCUAUGCUUAGGAUUGGGUCUUGUCCAUCACAUCAUUCUCCUAAUGAUGUGAUCUCCUUAUCAAUGACAUCCAAUGUCCAUAGUCAGGAAACCAUGACUAUCUGUUGAUCAACGAGCUAGUCAACUAGAGGCUUACUAGGGACAUGUUGGUGUCUAUGUAUUCACACAUGUAUUACGAUUUCCGGAUAACACAAUUAUAGCAUGAAUAAAAGACAAUUAUCAUGAACAAGGAAAUAUAAUAAUAAUCCUUUUAUUAUUGCCUCUAGGGCAUAUUUCCAACAGUCUCCCACUUGCACUAGAGUCAAUAAUCUAGUUACAUUGUGAUGAAUCGAACACCCAUAGAGUUCUGGUGUUGAUCAUGUUUUGCUCGCGGAAGAGGUUUAGUCAAUGGAUCUGCGACAUUCAGAUCCGUAUGCACUUUGCAAAUUUCUAUGUCUCCAUCUUGAACAUUUUCACGAAUGGAGUUGAAGCGACGCUUGAUGUGCCUGGUCUUCUUGUGAAACCUGGGCUCCUUGGCAAGUGCAAUAGCUCCAGUGUUGUCACAGAAGAGUUUGAUCGGCCCUGACACAUUGGGUAUGACUCCUAGGUCGGUGAUGAACUCCUUCUCCCAAAUUGCUUCAUGCGCUGCCUCCGAGGCUGCCAUGUACUCCGCUUCACAUGUAGAUCCCGCCACGACGCUCUGCUUGCAGCUACACCAGCUUACUGCUCCACCAUUCAACAUAUACACGUAUCCGUUUUGUGACUUAGAGUCAUCCAGAUCUGUGUCGAAGCUAGCGUCGACGUAACCCUUUACGACGAGCUCUUCGUCACCUCCAUAAACGAGAAACAUGUCCUUAGUCCUUUUCAGGUACUUCAGGAUAUUCUUGACCGUUGUCCAGUGUUCCUUGCCGGGAUUACUUUGGUACCUUCCUACCAAACUUACGGCAAGGUUUACAUCAGGUCUGGUACACAACAUGGCAUACAUAAUAGACCCUAUGGCUGAGGCAUAGGGGAUGACACUCAUCUCUUCUAUAUCUUCUGCCAUGGUCGGACAUUGAGCUGAGCUCAAUUUCACACCUUGCAACACAGACAAGAACCCCUUCUUAGACUGAUCCAUAUUGAACUUCUUCAAUAUCUUAUCAAGGUAUGUGCUUUGUGAAAGACCUAUGAGGCGUCUUGAUCUAUCUCUAUAGAUCUUCAUGCCUAAUAUAUAAGCAGCUUCUCCAAGCUCCUUCAUUGAAAAACUCUUAUUCAAGUAGGCCUUAAUGCUGUCCAAAAGUUCUAUAUCAUUUCCCAUCAAAAGUAUGUCAUCUACAUAUAAUAUGAGAAAUGCUAUAGAGCUCCCACUCACUUUCUUGUAAACGCAGACUUCUCCAUAAGUCUGCAUAAACCCAAACGCUUUGAUCAUCUCAUCAAAGCGAAUGUUCCAACUCCGAGAUGCUUGCACCAGCCCAUAAAUGGAUCGCUGGAGCUUGCAUACCUUGUUAGCAUUCUUAGGGCCAACAAAACCUUCCGGCUGCAUCAUAUACAGUUCUUCCUUAAGAUAACCGUUAAGGAAUGCCGUUUUGACGUCCAUUUGCCAUAUCUCAUAAUCAUAGUAUGCGGCAAUUGCUAACAUGAUUCGGACGGACUUCAGCUUCGCUAGGGGAGAGAAAGUCUCAUCGUAGUCAACCCCUUGAACUUGCCGAUAACCCUUAGCGACAAGUCGAGCUUUAUAGAUGGUAACAUUACCAUCCGCGUCUGUCUUCUUCUUAAAGAUCCAUUUGUUUUCUAUCGCUCGCCGAUCAUUGGGCAAGUCUGUCAAAGUCCAUACUUUGUUUUCAUACAUGGAUCCUAUCUCGGAUUGCAUGGCUUCAAGCCAUUUGUUGGAAUCUGGGCCCGCCAUCGCUUCUUCAUAGUUCGAAGGUUCACCGUUGUCUAAAAACAUGAUUUCCAGGACAGGGUUGCCAUACCACUCUGGUGUGGAACGUGUCCUUGUGGACCUACGAAGUUCAGUAGCAACUUGAUUCAAAGUACCUUGAUCAUCAUCAUUAAUUUCCUCUCCAGUGGACGUAGGCACCACAGGAACAUUUUCCUGAGCUGCACUACUUUCCGGUUCAAGAGGCAGUACUUCAUCGAGUUCUACUUUCCUCCCACUUACUCCUUUUGAGAGAAACUCUUUUUCCAGAAAGGAUCCGUUCUUGGCAACAAAGAUCUUGCCUUCGGAUCUAAGGUAGAAGGUAUACCCAAUGGUUUCCUUAGGGUAUCCUAUGAAGACGCAUUUUUCCGACUUGGGUUUGAGCUUUUCAGGUUGAAGUUUCUUGACAUAAGCAUCGCAUCCCCAAACUUUUAGAAACGACAACUUAGGUUUCUUCCCAAACCAUAAUUCAUACGGUGUCGUCUCAACGGAUUUAGACGGUGCCCUAUUUAAUGUGAAUGUAGCUGUCUCUAGAGCGUAUCCCCAAAAUGAUAGCGGUAAAUCAGUAAGAGACAUCAUAGAUCGCACCAUAUCCAAUAGAGUGCGAUUACGACGUUCGGACACACCGUUACGUUGAGGUGUUCCAGGCGGCGUGAGUUGUGAAACGAUUCCACAUUUCCUUAAGUGUGUGCCAAAUUCGUGACUUAAAUAUUCUCCUCCACGAUCUGAUCGUAAGAACUUUAUUUUUCAGUCACGUUGAUUCUCUACCUCAUUCUGAAAUUCCUUGAACUUUUCAAAGGUCUCAGACUUGUGUUUCAUCAAGUAGACAUACCCAUAUCUACUCAAGUCAUCAGCGAGAGUGAGAACAUAACGAUAUCCUCCGCGAGCCUCAACGCUCAUUGGACCGCACACAUCAGUAUGUAUGAUUUCCAAUAAGCUGGUUGCUCGCUCCAUUGUUCCGGAGAACGGAGUAUUGGUCAUUCUGCCCAUGAGGCAUGGUUCGCAUGUGUCAAAUGAUUCAUAAUCGAGAGACUAUAAAAGUCCAUCAGCAUGGAGCUUCUUCAUGCGCUUUACACCAAUCUGACCAAGGCGGCAGUGCCACCAGUAUGUGGGACUAUCGUUAUCAACUUUACAUCUUUUGGUAUUCACACUAUGAAUAUGUGUAACAUCACGUUCGAGAUUCAUUAAGAAUAAACCAUUGACCAUCGGAGCAUGACCAUAAAAAUUAUCUCUCAUAUAAAUAGAACAACCAUUAUUCUCGGAUUUAAAUGAGUAGCCAUCUCGUACUAAACGAGAUCCGGAUACAAUGUUCAUGCUCAAACUUGGCACUAAAUAACAAUUAUUGAGGUUUAAAACUAAUCCCGUAGGUAAAUGUAGAGGUAGCGUGCCGACGGCGAUCACAUCGACCUUGGAACCAUUCCCGACGCGCAUCGUCACCUCGUCCUUCGCCAGUCUCCGCUUAUUCCGUAGCUCCUGCUUUGAGUUACAAAUAUGAGCAACGGCACCGGUAUCAAAUACCCAGGAGCUACUACGAGCACUGGUAAGGUAUACAUCAAUUACAUGUAUAUCACAUAUACCUUUAGUGUUGCCGGCCUUCUUGUCCGCUAAGUAUUUGGGGCAGUUCCGCUUCCAGUGACCCUUCCCUUUGCAAUAAAAGCACUCAGUCUCAGGCUUGGGUCCAUUCUUUGACUUCUUCCCGGCAACUGGCUUACCGGGCGCGGCAAAAUCCUUGCCGUCCUUCUUGAAGUUCUUCUUACCCUUGCCUUUCUUGAACUUGGUGGUUUUAUUGACCAUCAACACUUGAUGUUCCUUUUUGAUUUCUACCUCCGCUGAUUUCAGCAUUGAAAAUACUUUAGGAAUGGUCUUUUCCAUCCCCUGCAUAUUGUAGUUCAUCACAAAGCUCUUGUAGCUAGGUGGGAGUGACUGAAGGAUUCUGUCAAUGACCGCCUCGUCUGGGAGGUUAAUGUCCAGCUGGGACAAGCGGUUGUGCAACCCAGACAUCUUGAGUAUGUGCUCACUGACAUAACUAUUUUCCUCCAUCUUACUGUUGUAGAACUUGUCGAAGACUUCAUAUCUCUCGACCCGGGCAUGAGCUUGGAAAACCAUUUUUAGCUCUUCGAACAUCUCAUAUGCUCCGUGUUGCUCAAAACGCUUUUGGAGCCCCGGUUCUAAGCUGUAAAGCAUGCCGCACUGAACGAGCGAGUAAUCAUCAGCACGCUGCUGCCAAGCGUUCAUAACGUCUUGGUUCUCUGGGAUGGGUGCUUCACCUAGUGGUGCUUCUAGGACAUAUUGUUUCCUGGCAGCUAUGAGGAUGAUCCUCAGGUUAUGGACCCAGUCCGUAUAGUUGCUACCAUCAUCUUUCAGCUUGGUUUUCUCUAGGAACGCGUUGAAGUUCAUGUUGACAUGAGCGUUGGCCAUUUGAUCUACAAGACAUUUAUGCAAAGAUUUUUAGACUAAGUUCCUGAUAAUUAAGUUCAUCUAAUCAAAUUAUUUAAUGAACUCCCACUCAGAUUAGACAUCCCUCUAGUCAUCUAAGUGAAACAUGAUCCGACUCGACUAGGUCGUGUCCGAUCAUCACGUGAGACAGACUAGUCAUCAUCGGCGAACAUCUCCAUGUUGAUCGUAUCUUUCAUACGACUCAUGUUCGACCUUUCGGUCUCUUGUGUUCCGAGGCCAUGUCUGUACAUGCUAGGCUCGUCAAGUUAACCUAAGUGUUUGCAUGUGUAAAUCUGCCUUACACCCGUUGUAUGUGAAUGUUGGAAUCUAUCACACCCGAUCAUCACGUGGUGCUUCGAAACAACAAACUGUCGCAACGGUGCACAGUUAGGGGAAACACUUUCUUGAAAUUAUUUUGAGGGAUCAUCUUAUUUACUACCGUCGUUCUAAGUAAAGAAGAUGCAAAAACAUGAUAAACAUCACAUGCAAUCAAAUAAUAGUGACAUGAUAUGGCCAAUAUCAUAUAGCUCCUUGAUCUCCAUCUCGGGGCUCCAUGAUCAUCUUGUUACCAACAUGACACCAUGAUCUCCAUCAUCGUGUCUCCAUGAAGUUGCUCGCCAACUAUUACUUCUACUACUAUGGCUAACACGUUUAGCAAUAAAGUAAAGUAAUUUACAUGGCGUUUCUCAAUGACACGCAGGUCAUACAAAAAAUAAAGACAAUUCCUAUGGCUCCUGCCGGUUGUCAUACUCAUCGACAUGCAAGUCGUGAAUCCUAUUACAAGAACAUGAUCUCAUACAUCACAUAUAUAUCAUUCAUCAUUCAUCACAACUUUGGCCAUAUCACAUCACAAAACACUUGCUGCAAAAACAAGUUAGACGUCCUCUAAUUGUUGUUACAAGUUUUACGUGGCUGCAGUAGGGUUCUAGCAAGAACGUUUUCUUACCUACGUAAAAGCCACAACGUGAUUUGUCAACUUCUAUUUACCCUUCAUAAGGACCCUUUUCAUCGAAUCCGCUCCAACUAAAGUGGGAGAGACAGACACCCGCUAGCCACCUUAUGCAACUAGUGCAUGUCAGUCGGUGGAACCUGUCUCACGUAAGCGUAUGUGUAAGGUCGGUCCGGGCCGCUUCAUCCCACAAUACCGCUGAAGCAAAAUAAGACUAGUAUGGGCAAGAAAGUUAACAACAUCUACGCCCACAACCAAUUGUGUUCUACUCGUGCCAAGAGAACUACGCAUAAACCUGGCUCAUGAUGCCACUGUUGGGGAACGUUGCAGAAAAUAAAAAAAUUUCUACGGUUUCACCAAGAUCUAUCUAUGAGUUCAUCUAGCGACGAGUGAUCGGAGUGUGAUAACCCACAAGUAUAGGGGAUCGCAAUAGUUUUCGAGGGUAGAGUAUUCAACCCAAAUUUGUUGAUUCGACACAAGGGGAGCCAAAGAAUAUUCUCAAGUAUUAACAGCUGAGUUGUCAAUUCAACCACACCUGGAAACUUAGUAUCUGCAGCAAAGUCUUUAGUAGCAAAGUAAUAUGAUAGUGGUGAUACCGGUCACAAAGUAAAGAUAGCAAAAGUAAUGUUUUUGGUAUUUUUGUAGUGAUUGUAACAGUAGCAAUGGAAAAGUAAAUAAGCGUAAACCAGUAUAUGGAAAACUCGUAGGCACCGGAUCAAUGAUGGAUAAUUAUGCCGGAUGUGGUUCAUCAUGUAACAGUCAUAACAUAGGGUGACACAGAACUAGCUCCAGUUCAUCAAUAUAAUGUAGGCAUGUAUUCCGUAAAUAGUCAUACGUGCUUAUGGAAAAGAACUUGCAUGACAUCUUUUGUCCUACCCUCCCGUGGCAGCGGGGUCCUAUUGGAAACUAAGGGAUAUUAAGGCCUCCUUUUAAUAGAGAACCGGAACAAAGCAUUAACACAUAGUGAAUACAUGAACUCCUCAAACUAUGGUCAUCACCGGGAGUGGUCCCGAUUAUUGUCACUUCAGGGUUGCCGGAUCAUAACACAUAGUAGGUGACUAUAGACUUGCAAGAUAGGAUCUAGAACUCACAUAUAUUCAUGAAAACAUAAUAGGUUCAGAUCUGAAAUCAUGGCACUCGGGCCCUAGUGACAAGCAUUAAGCAUAGCAAAGUCAUAGCAACAUCAAUCUCAGAACAUAGUGGAUACUAGGGAUCAAACCCUAACAAAACUAACUCGAUUACAUGAUAAAUCUCAUCCAACCCAUCACCGUCCAGCAAGCCUACGAUGCAAUUACUCACGCACGGUAGUGAGCAUCAUGAAAUUGGUGAUGGAGGAUGGUUGAUGAUGACGACGGCGAUGAAUCCCCCUCUCCGGAGCCCCGAACGGUCUCCAGAUCAGCCCUCCCGAGAGAGAUUAGGGCUUGGCGGCGGCUCCGUAUCGUAAAACGCGAUGAAACUUUCUCUCUGGUUUUUUUCUCCUCGAAAGCCAAUAUAUGGAGUUGGAGUUGGCGUCGGAGGGCCACCAGGGGGCCCACGAGGUAGGGGGGCGCGCCCAAGGGGGAGGGGCACGGCCCCCACCCUCGUGGACAGGGUGUGGGCCCCCUGGUCUUCAUCUUUGGCGAGGAUUUUUUAUUAUUUAUUCUAAGAUAUUCCAUGGAGUUUCAGGUCAUUCCGAGAACUUUUGUUUUCUUCACAUAAAACAACACCAUGGCAAUUCUGCUGAAAACAGCAUCAGUCCGGGUUAGUUCCAUUCAAAUCAUACAAGUUAGAGUCCAAAACAAGGGCAAAAGUGUUUGGAAAAGUAGAUACGACGGAGACGUAUCAACUCCCCCAAGCUUAAACCCUUGCUUGUCCUCAAGCAAUUCAGUUGACAAACUGAAAGAGAAAAAGAAAAACUUUUACAAACUCUGUGUGCUCUUGUUGUUGUAAACAUGAAAAGCCAGAUUCAAGUUUCCGCAAUUAUUAUGAACUAACCAUACUCACAAUAACACGUAGGUCUCACAAUUACUCAUAUCAAUAGCAUAAUCAGCUAGCGAGCCAUAAUAAUAAAACUCGGAUGACAACACUUUCUCAAAAUAAUCAUAACAUGAUAUAACAAAAUGGUAUCUCGCUAGCCCUUUCUGAGACCGCAAAGCAUAAAUGCAGAGCACCUUCAAAGAUCAAGGACUGACUAAACAUUGUAAUUCAUGGUAAAAGAGAUCCAGUCAAGUCAUGCCUAAUAUAAACCAAUCAUAAUGAAUGCAAACGACAGUGUGCUCUCCAGCGGGUGCUUUUUAAUAAGAAGGGUGAUGACUCAACAUAAAAGUAAAUAGAUAGGCCCUUCGUAGAGGGAAGAAGGGAUUUGUAGAGGUGCCAGAGCUCGAUUUUUGAAAUAGAGAUAAAUAAUAUUUUGAGCGGCAUACUUUCACUGUCAACGCAAGAACUAUGAGAUGGUUGUAUCUUCCAUACUACAUGCAUUAUAGGCAGUUCCCAAACAGAAUGGUAAAGGUUUAUACUCCCCCUCCUCCACAAGCAUCAAUCCAUGGCUUUCUCAAAACAACGAGUGCCUCCAACAUUCAACGGGUCCCAGGGGGAGUUUUGUUUAAUUAUUUUGAUUUGCGUUGAUCUUUUUGGAUCAUGGGACUGGGCAUCCCAGUUACUGGCCCUUUCUCGUGAAUGAGGAGCGGAGUCCACUCCUCUUGAGAAUAACCCACCUAGCAUGGAAGAUAUAGGCAGCCAUAGUUGCACAUGAGCUGCUCGAGCAUACAAAACAGAAUUUCAUUUGAAGGUUUGGAGUUUGGCACAUACAAAUUUACUUGGAACGGCAGGUAGAUACCGCAUAUAGGAAGGUAUAGUGGACUCAUAUGGAACAACUUUGGGGUUUAAGGAGUUUGGAUGCACAAGCAGUAUUCCCGCUUAGUACAGGUGAAGGCUAGCAAAAGACUGGGAAGCGACCAACUGAGAGAGCGACAAUAGCCUUAAACAUGCAUUAAAAUUAAUUCACACCGAAUAUAAGCAUGAGUAGGAUAUAAUCCACCAUGAACAUAAAUAUCAUGAAGGCUAUGUUGAUUUGAUUCAACUACAUGCGUGAACAUGUGCCAAGUCGAGUCACUCAAUUCAUUUAAAGGAGGAUACCAUCCUAUCAUACCACAUCAUAAUCAUCUCAAUAGCAUGUUGGCACGCAAGGUUAACCAUUAUAACUCAUAGCUAAUCAAGCAUGGCACAAGCAACUAUAAUCUCUAAAUGUCAUUGCAAAUAUGUUUACUUCAUAAUAGCUGAAUCAGGAACGAUGAAUCAUCAUAUUUACAAAAACAAGAGAGGUCGAGUUCAUACCAGCUUUUCUCAUCCCAAUGAGUCCAUCAUAUAUCAUCAUUAUUGCCUUUCACUUGCACGACCAAAUGGUGUGUAUAAUAAUAAGAGUGCAGGUGCAUUGGACUAAGCUGGAAUCUGCAAGCAUUCAACUCAAGAGAGAAGACAAGUAAUAUGGGCUCUAAGUUAAAUAAACAAUCUUGCAUAUAAGAGCCACUUAGCAUUUUCAAUAUAGUCUUCUCGACCCCCAAAGAAAGGAAAAGAAAAAUAAAAACUAUUUACACGGGAAAGCUCCCAACAAGCAAAAGGAGGACGGGAAAUAUUUUUGGGUUUUCUUAAAAUUCUACUACAAGCAUGGAAAGUAGACUAACACUAAUUUUUUUUGUUUUUCUUAAGGUUUAUUAAACACACAAGAAGAAAGCAGGAAAAAGGAAAAUAAACUAGAAUGGAUAUUACAGUGAAAGAGUAUGAGCACCGACAUCUAGCAAUGAGUGUGUGUGUGAACAUGAAUGUAAUGUCGGUGGGAAAUACGUACUCCCCCAAGCUUAGGCUUUUGGCCUAAGUUGGUCUAUUGCCAGGGAUAACCUGGCUGAUAUCCGUAGGUGAAGCUGGGGUCGUACUGCGAUGAAGAAUAGUUGGGAUCAUAAUGUGAUGAAGAGGACUCUGACUGCCACUGGCUGACAACCGCCUCAGGAUCCCAAGAAUAAACAGACAUUCGUGGAGGCUCCUGUUCCGAGGCUGGUGCAGGAUUCCGAUAGGCUUGAACAGCCGCCCACGGAACAAUGUAAGUACCUGCAGACAAGUUAAACAAAGAGGGAGCAGGCAAAGUAAUAGUCUCAGGGUGAUGUUUAUCAAAGUACAAUUUAUAUUUAAGCGCCCCUUCGUGAUUCUUAACAAGAAAAUCAUGCAUUACCAUACUCUUAUAAUCUAAAUAAGCACGGGGCAACGCUGUUUCUUCUUUCUCCUCAUGCCUAAUAGGUAUUUCAAAAUGUUCAGCUAGGCGUGAAGCAUAAAUACCUCCAAAGAUGGCGCCCUUAGUACGGUUCAUACUCAACCGUCUAGCAACAAUUCCACCCAUACUAACAGAGUUAUUGCGGUAUAAACCAUGGAGCAAAAUAAUAAUAUCAGGAAUACUAAGGUUCCCACAGUUCCCGCGACCAAUCAAGCAAUGACUAGCAAAUAAGGCAAAGUAGCGUAAAACAGGGAAAUGUAUACUAGUAAUUCUUGCAUCAGAAACCUUCCUGGUUUCUCCCACAGUGAUAGUGUCAAUAUAAGCUUCCACUUCAUUACGGUGUGGUUCAUCUAAAGAACCCUCGAAAGGUAUUUUGCAAACCUCACAAAAUGCAGCUAAUGUCAUCUCCCUAGCAACAUCAUAUAAAUGGAACUCUACUGUUGGAGGUGAUUUCUUAGGGAAAAAGUAGAAGUUCUGCACAAAAGUAUUUGUGAGUAAGAGAUACUGAUGACGUUCGUCACGGAGGAAGUUGGUGAGGCCGGCGUUCUCAAUCAAUAGAUAGAAAUCUUCAUAAAUCCCGGCACUUCUCAAGAAGUCAUCGGAAGGCCAUUCACACGGCCGGACCUCCGUGAUACGAGGCAGAUUAAAUUUGGGCUUCUGUUCUUCUUCCUUUUGUUUCUCCUUAGAACUUCAGCUUGACGAGCCCCUCAAAAGUCUCUUCAUUAUUUCUGAAAUAAUCUAAAAUUUUUAGUAACUUCAAAUAAAGUGAACCAACUUCAAUAAGAUUGAUAGCAACUACUCAUACAAGUUCCUAGAGCAUAUAUCAAGCAUUAGAACUACUUGGAACCAUAUAUAUUUGACAUGCAAGCUCAAGAACAUGGUCACCUAUGCAGCACAAAUUUGCAAUGAAUAAAGAACUAGAAAAAAAACUAAUUGGACCAUUGGAGGAGUCACAUACCAAGGAACAAUCUCCCCAAGCAGUUUUGCGAGAGGUGCUUUGAGCAAGGAGAUCGAAAAUCACAGCAAAAGUUGUUGGAACACGAGCUUGAGUUGAUUUUUCAGGUUUGUGCGAGACAGAGGAAGAAGAUGGGUGCAGGAAUAAGUGGAGGAGGGCCACCGUGGGCCCACGAGGCAGGGGGGCGCGCCCUCCACCCUCGUGACCAGGUGGCAGCUCCCCCCGCGGUAAUUUUUGCACUAAAAAUCCUUAAAUAUUCUCGAAUAAAUCAUACUAAAUUGGCAUGGCAUUUUGAGGACUUUUAUUUUCGGGAUAUUUUUAUAUUGCACGGAUAAGUCAGGAAACAGACAGAAAAAUACUAUUUUACUUUAUUUCUACUAAAGAACAGAAAAUAUAAAGAGGGUACAGAAGGUUGUGCUUCUAGUUUCAUCCAUCUCAUGCUCAUCAAAAAGAAUCCACUAACAAGGUUGAUCAAGUCUUAUUAACAAACUCAUUCCGAUAAUCAUGGAACCGGAGAAAUUUCGAAUAACACUAUGUUACCUCAACGGGGAUAUGGACAUCCCCAACAAUAAGUAUAUCAUAUUUCUUUUUGACAGUAGGAAGAGGAAAUUCAAAACCUCCAAAUAUAAUCGAUGGAAUUUUUCCAAUAGAGUUGAUACUAUAAACUUGAGGUUGUUUCCUCGGAAAGUGCACCGUAUGCUCAUUACCAUUAACAUGAAAAGUGACAUUGCCUUUGUUGCAAUCAAUAACAGCCCCUGCAGUAUUAAGGAAAGGUCUUCCAAGAAUAAUAGACAUACUAUCAUCCUCGGGAAUAUCAAGAAUAACAAAGUCCGUAAAAAUAGUAGCAUUUGCAACCACAACAGGCACAUCCUCAUAAAUACUGACAGGUAUAGCAGUUGAUUUAUCAGCCAUUUGCAAAGAUAUUUCAGUAGGUGUCAACUUAUUCAAGUAAAGUCUACGAUAUAAAGAGAGAGGCAUAACACUAACACCGGCUCCAAGAUCACAUAAAGCAGUUUUAACAUAAUUUCUUUUAAUGGAGCAUGGUAUAGUAGGUACUCCUGGAUCUCCAAGUUUCUUUGGUAUUCCACCCUUAAAAGUGUUGGUGGAAAUUUCAGCCUCCAGUAUCUUUCUUUUAUUAGUAAUGAUAUCCUUCAUAUACUUAGCAUAAGGAUUUGUUUUGAGUACAUGAGUCAACCGCAUACGCAAAAAGAUAGGUCUAAUCAUUUCAGCAAAGCGCUCAAAAUCCUCAUCAUCCUUUUUCUUGGAUGGUUUCGGAGGAAAAGGCAUGGGUUUCUGAACCCAUGGUUCUCUUUCUUUACCAUGUUUCCUAGCAACGAAGUCUCUUUUAUCAUAACGUUGAUUCUUUGAUUGUGGGUUAUCAAGAUCAAUAGCAGGUUCAACUUCUACAUCAUUAUCAUUACUAGGUUGAUCAUCAUCAUGAACAUCAUCAUUAACAUUUUCACUAGGUUCAUGUUCAUUACCAGAUUGUGUUUCAGCAUCAGACAUAGAGAUAUCAUUUGGAUUAUCAGGUGGUUCAGCAAUAGGUUCACUAGAAGUUUGCACAGUUCUAUCAUUUUUCUUUUUCUUCCUUUUAGAAGAACUAGGUGCAUCAAUAUUAUUUCUUUGAGAAUCUUGCUCGAUUCUCUUAGGGUGGCCUUCAGGAUACAAAGGUUCCUGAGUCAUUCUACCAGUUCUAGUAGCCACUCUAACAGCAUAAUCAUUUUUCUUACUAUUCAUUUCAUCAAGCAUUUCUUUCUGAGCGUUAAGUACUUGUUCUACUUGAGUGGUAACCAUAGAAGCAUGUUUGUUAACAAGUUUAAGUUCACCUCUAAUAUUAUCCAUAUAAUCACUCAAGCAUUUAAUCAUAAAGGUAUUCUGCUUUAAUUGUCUACCAAAAUAAGCAUUAAAGUCAUCUUGCUUAAACAUAAAGUCAUUAAACUCAUCCAAGCACUGACUAGCAAUUUUAGUAGGUGGGACUUCAACUUUAUCAUAUCUAUAGAGAGAAUUUACCUUUACUACCUGUGUCGGGAUAUCGGGAGGUUCUUCAGUAAAUAAGUAAUUGAGAACAUAUACUUCUUCAACUGGCAGUAAAUUAAGACCAUGUAUUUCUUCAAUAGGAGGUAAAUUCUUAACAUCUUCAGCUUUAAUACAUUUUUCUUUCAUAGAUUUAUUUGCCUCUUGCAUAUCUUCGGGACUGAGAAAUAGAACACCUCUCUUCUUCGGAGUUGGUUUAGGAAUAGGCUCAGGAGCUGGCUCAGGAGUUGGCUCGGGAGGUGGCUCAGGAGGUGCCCAAUUAUUUUCAUUUGCCAACAUAUUAUUCAAUAAAAUUUCAGCGUCAUCCGGUGUUCUUUCCCUGAAAAGAGAACCAGCACAACUAUCCAGGUAAUCUCUAGAAGCAUCAGUUAGUCCAUUAUAAAAGAUAUCAAAUAUUUUAGGUUUCUUAAGAGGAUGAUCAGGCAAAGCAUUAAGUACUUUGAGAAGCCUCCCCCAAGCUUGUGGGAGACUCUCUUCUUCAAUUUGCACAAAAUUGUAUAUUUCCCUCAAAGCAGCUUGUUUCUUAUGAGCAUGGAAAUAUUUAGCAGAGAAGUAAUAAAUCAUAUCCUGGGGACUUUGCACACAGGCAGGAUCAAGAGAAUUAAACCAUUUCUUAGCAUCACCCUUUAAUGAGAACGGAAAUAUUUUGAGUAUAUAAAAGUGGCGCGAUCUCAGAUUAUUAGUAAACAGGGCAGCUAUUUCAUCUAACUUACGAAGAUGUGCCACAACAGUUUCAGAUUCAUAGCCAUAAAAAGGAUCAGAUUCAACCAAAGUAAUUAUAUCUGGAUCAACAUUAAUAUCAUAAUAAUCCUGAUCAGGAACACAGAUAGGUGAAGUAGCAAAAGCAGGGUCGCGUCUCAUCCUACCUCUAAAAGAUUCCUUACUCCACUUAAUUAGUAACCUCUUACGUUCAGGUUUAUCCGGACAAGCAAGAAUAGCUUCAUAAGAUUCAUUAUUAAAAAGAUAACCCUCAGGAAUAACAGGCAUAAGUUCAUCAUCACUAACAUCAUCGUGUUCAGGUUCACUAAUUUCUCUUUCUCUAGACUUAGAAAUUUGCUCAUCUAGAAAUUCACCAAGUGGCACAGUAGUAUCAAGCAUAGAAGUAGUCUCAUCAUAAGUAUCAUGCAUAGCAGAAGUGGCAUCAUCAAUAACAUGCGACAUAUCAGAAUUCAUAGCAGUAGUAGGUUUAGGCGUCGCUAGCUUACUCAUAACAGAAGGUGAAUCAAGUGCAGAGCUAUAUGGCAGUUCCUUACCUCCCCUUGUAGUUGAGGGAUAAAUUUUUGUCUUAGCGUCUUUCAAGUUCUUCAUAGUGUCCAGCAGAUAUAAAUCCCAAGUGACUCAAAGAAUAGAGCUAUGUUCCCCGGCAACGGUGCCAGAAAAAGGUCUUGAUAACCCACAAGUAUAGGGGAUCACAACAGUUUUCGAGGGUAGAGUAUUCAACCCAAAUUUGUUGAUUCGACACGAGGGGAGCCAAAGAAUAUUCUCAAGUAUUAACAGCUGAGUUGUCAAUUCAACCACACCUGGAAACUUAGUAUCUGCAGCAAAGUGUUUAGUAGCAAAGUAAUAUGAUUGUGGUGAUAACGGUAACAAAGUAAAGACAGCAAAAGUAAUGUUUUUGGUAUUUUUGUAGUGAUUGUAACAGUAGCAGCGGAAAAGUAAAUAAGCGUAAACCAGUAUAUGGAAAACUCGUAGGCACCAGAUCAAUGAUGGAUAAUUAUGCCGGAUGUGGUUCAUCAUGUAACAGUCAUAACAUAGGGUGACACAGAACUAGCUCCAGUUCAUCAAUAUAAUGUAGGCAUGUAUUCCGUAAAUAGUCAUACAUGCUUAUGGAAAAGAACUUGCAUGACAUCUUUUGUCCUACCCUCCCGUGGCAGCGGGGUCCUAUUGGAAACUAAGGGAUAUUAAGGCCUCCUUUUAAUAGAGAACCGGAACAAAGCAUUAACACAUAGUGAAUACAUGAACUCCUCAAACUAUGGUCAUCACCGGGAGUGGUCCCGAUUAUUGUCACUUCGGGGUUGCCAGAUCAUAACACAUAGUAGGUGACUAUAGACUUGCAAGAUAGGAUCUAGAACUCACAUAUAUUCAUGAAAACAUAAUAGGUUCAGAUCUGAAAUCAUGGCACUCGGGCCCUAGCGACAAGCAUUAAGCAUAGCAAAGUCACAGCAACAUCAAUCUCAGAACAUAGUGGAUACUAGGGAUCAAACCCUAACAAAACUAACUCGAUUACAUGAUAAAUCUCAUCCAACCCAUCACCGUCCAGCAAGCCUACGAUGCUACUCACGCACAUCGGUGAGCAUCAUGAAAUUGGUGAUGGAGGAUGGUUGAUGAUGACGACGGCGACGAAUCCACCUCUCCGGAGCCCCGAACGGACUCCAGAUCAGCCCUCGAGAGAGAGAUUAGGGCUUGGCGGCGGCUCCGUAUCGUAAAACACGAUGAAACUUUCUCUCUGAUUUUUUCCUCCUCGAAAGCCAAUAUAUGGAGUUGGAGUUGGCGUCGGAGGGCCACCAGGGGGCCCACGAGGUAGGGGGCGCGCCCAGGGUGAGGGGCGCGCCUAGGGGGAGGGGCGCGCCCCCCACCCUCGUGGACAGGGUGUGGGCCCCCUGGUCUUCAUCUUUGGCGAGGAUUUUUUAUUAUUUAUUCUAAUAUAUUCCGUGGAGUUUCAGGUCAUUCCGAGAACUUUUGUUUUCUGCACACAAAACAACACCAUGGCAAUUCUGCUGAAAACAGCGUCAGUCCGGGUUAGUUCCAUUCAAAUCAUACAAGUUAGAGUCCAAAACAAGGGCAAAAGUGUUUGGAAAAGUAGAUACGACGGAGACGUAUCAGAGUGCAUCUACAUACCUUUGUAGAUCGCGAGCGGAAGCGUUCAAGAGAACGGGGUUGAGGGAGUCGUACUCGUCGUGAUCCAAAUCACCGAAGAUCCUAGCGCCGAACGGACGGCACCUCCGCGUUCGACACACGUAUGGAGCGGAUUACUUCUCCCGCGCCUUGAUCCAGCAAGGAGGAGGGAGAGGUUGAGGAAGAUGGCUCCAGCAGCUGCACGAUGGUGUGGUGGUGAUGGAGAGGUAGUACUCCGGCAGGGCUUCGCCAAGCUCUGCGGAGGAGGAGGAGGUGUUGGAGUGGGAGAGGGAGGCGCUAGGGGCAUGCGUGCGGCUGCCCUCCAUCCCCCCUCUAUAUAUAGGGUCCCCAAGGGGGGCACCGGCCCUAGGAGAUGGGAUCUCCUAUGGGGGGCGGCGGCCAAGGGGGUGGAGUGCCCCCCAAGGCAAGUGGAGGCGCCCCCUUCCCUAGGGUUCCCAACCCUAGGCGCAGCGGGGGGUCCAAGGGGUAGCAUGCUCAAGAGGUAGCACCGCUCUGGCCGCCUGUUCGCGAGCAAUGCAAAGUCGCAGCGAGGUGUUUCGGCGCCGGGCCGGCAAAAGGCAAAGCAGAGGCAUCGACUGAAGGGCUAUUGCUUGCUCGACGCCGACUACUUCACCGACGCUCCACUGCACGGGGAGUAAGUAUUUCGGCGCCGUUUAUCGGAUGAGCUAAAAGCUCUUCCUCGGGAUUGUGAAUUCCACCCGAGAGUUCUUCAGCUACUUCAAGUGCAAGAAGGAUUGCACCGGCACACUUGGGUUCACCUCACUUCAGAAGUGCACGACAUCUACGAGGAUGCUUGCAUACGGAGCUCCCCGUGAUAUACUGGAAGACUAUGGAUGCAUGGCCGAGUCCACCACCUUUGAGUGUUUGUACAAGUUCUGCAGAAUAGUGGUGGCAAUGUUUGGACCAUAAUACUUGCGAUCACCCAAUGCUGAAGACACUGCUCGGAUCCUAGUAUAGAAUGCAACAAGAUGAUUUCCUGGGAUUCUUGGAAGCAUCGACUGUAUGCAUUGGGCAUGGAAAAACUGUCCAUUUGCUUGGCAGGGGAUGUACAGAGGUUCCAAAGGAGCUUGCAGUUUGGUACUUGAGGCGGUGGCCAAACAGGACCUCUAGAUUUGGCAAUCCUUCUUCGGUAUGCCAGGAACUCACAAUGACAUCAACAUACUGCAGUGCUCGAAUGUUUUUGCCAAGCUUGUUGAAGGUCAUGCUCCUCCGGUGAACUUCAAGGUCAAUGGGCGCCACUACAACAAGGGAUACUACCUAGCAGAUGGCAUCUAUCCGAGAUGGUCCACAUUUGUGAACGCUAUUUCAAACCCUAUGCCAGGAGGCAAGAACUCCUACUUUGCCAAGUGUCAGGGGGCUUGCAGGAAGAAUAUCAAGCGGGCGUUUGGUGUGCUCCAAUCUCGAUUUGUUGUUGUCUGGUACCCCGCUCUGACCUGGUUGAAAGAUCAAAUGUGGAAAGUCAUGACUUGCCGUGUCAUCUUGCAUAACAUGAUCAUUGAGAGCGAGAAGGAAGAGCCAGUGUUUGACACUGAACCAUAUUACAUGCAGGGUCCUCUUGCCAAAGUUGAUCACCAGCUACCGGCACCCUGGUCUGCCUUACUCAAUAUGCGUCAGGAGAUCCGAGACCCACAUGUGCAUCAAGAACUGCAGCACGAUUUGGUGGAGCACCUAUAGAGGCUCAAGGGCAACACCUAGCUCGACAUGUGAUGAAAUAUGAGUUUUUUUGUGUUCAAAUUAUGAGUUUGAUUUGUUGAACUAUUUGAUUUGUAUUGAAUUCUGUGAUGAACUAUGUGAUAAAAAUUAAUUUUUGUUCAAUUUGUUCCAAACCACACCGAACAUGGGCCAAAAUUGGGCCGAUUUCCGCCAAAAGUGGGCCAAAAUCGGCGGCUGAGGGGGGCGAGCUUGGGGGUCAGCUGGAAACCCGAGCCCCCUACGCUAAUUUUUCCGUCGGUUGGCCCCCGGCCGGCGCUAUUUCAAGCCCCGGGGGGGGGGGGGGAGAAUGGCUAGAGAUGCUCUAAGAAGUCAUCGAUCUCGAUCGCCGGUGCAUGAAACAAAAACAAAGAAUUGAUUUUGAUUAUCGAUCAAACUCGCUCACCGCCACAGUAACGUACACACGUACGCAUAUGCAUAUCUACAUACAGUAUAUGCGUGAUGAGCUCAGACAUUGUAGCCACCGGCAGCGGCGGCGGCGGUGGGAGUGGCGGGGGCGGGGACAACCAUGGAGAUGAUGGUGUCGCUCAGGAAUGACUCAAUGAGCGUGCGCUUGUCCUGGGGAUUCCUGGGAAGAAACGUGGCGUAGCUCUUCUUGACGGCGGACUCGAGGGCAGGGACAAACUUGUAGGCCUCGUAUGCAUCACCAGUGGUCUCCUUGAUGGCCUUGCUGAAGGCAGAGUCGAAGACGGUGGACCUGUCCUUUAUCGGGGCAGCGUCGGCAGUGGUGGCUGCAGUGCUGAAGGCAGCGUCGAUCUGGUCGAUGGCCUUGAGCUAGUCGGCAGGGAUCGGCCCCUUGACUUCCUCACCGGAGUGGACCUUCAAGAUGUCGACGAUGAUGCAGAGCGACUUGUCGAACAUGGCCACGAAGGAUUCAUACUUGGCCUCCGGGGUAGCACCCUGGGCUUUCUGUUAGGCCCACGCCAGAGUGAAGCCAACCCUGGAGUUGAAAAUGGCUUUGGUGCUGGACGUGUCGGUGACCCCCUCAAGAGACUAGCUGCCGAAGAUCUGCACGAAGGUGUUCACGAAUAUCUUGCCCUUGUCCAUUGGAGGUGCUGCGGCUGCGGCCGCCACGGCUGCCUUGAAGGCGUUGUUGGCCUUCUCAGCUAGCUUCUGCUCCUCAGUCGUGGCCUUGGGCUGUGGCCCGGCUGGGGCGUAGCCAGCUUCGGCAGCAUACAAGACGGCUGGCCCCGCCACGAGGGCGACAGCCACCAAGAGCGCCACCGUACACUGCUGCACUGCCAUUGCUACUUCUCUUGUCUUGCGUUGGUUGGUUUGCACACUACGUAGGAGGAGAGAUUGUGGUGCGGUGUGAGGAUGAAGGAGCUUAAUUAGCUCUAUAUAUACAUCGACCCGCACGUUGAGAGGCCCGGAGAGAUUACCGCGCCCAAAUUAGCAAUCCCCUCCUCUCCUCUCCUUUUUUUAGCCAAACUCAUUAUCCCCGUGAGCUCUUCAUGCCACAAUCCAAUAAUAAUAGCAUCGAUUAGAUCCCUAACUACUGUUUAACCUCGUGGGGUGGGUAAUAAUAAAAGUAAUAAAAAAUCAACAACAUGCGAAGAUGUGAUUAGACAUAAGGGAAGGGAGGGGCCCACCCCUUAAAAAUCAGGGGCAUAGUUACUUAGUUAGGAUGUUUAUGUAUUCUCUUCGUAGGAGCCCGUGAAUGUAGCAUUUUCGGGGUAAUAACCUUCCAGUCCGAACUGUAUAGGAUCCUCUCCCCUGUACCAAUCCUCCAAAUAUAUCCACACUUGAAGGAUGAAAAAUCAAACAUGAUGUUGUGGCCACGUGAAUGAUGAGCCUUUCUUAAGGGUAGAUUGUAAGAGAUCAUAGUUAGGGAAGUACUUGGCUUUUAAAAUUCUUGCGUGGAACAAAUCAGGGUUAGGUAUGAAUCUCGAUCAUUGCUUGGCAAGCAUCGCAAGGCUAAAAGAAUAUAUAAAUCUCUAAAGUCCUUACCCCCUUCACUUUUAGGAAAGAGAAUUGUCCACCAUGCGAGCCAAUCCAUCCUUUUAUUAUCCUCCUCAUCUCGCCACCCAAACUGAGCAAUAAUGUCAUUAUUUUCUUUGCAAAUUCCUUUAGGCAAAUAAAAUACAAAGAUGGCGAACACAGUUAUAGCUUGAGUUGUGGCCUUUAGGGCAUCUCCAGCUGCACCCCAACAGGCCUCCCAAGGCCAUUUUUUAGCGCCGACGCCCAAAAAUCGGCCCAGUCGCGACCACAGGAGCCCAAUUUUCACCGGUUAGGGCCAAAACUAGCGCCGACGAACCCAUGCCAAACCCGGCGCGCUGGGGGGCGCCCGGCGGCCCCGUACAAUCUUUUUUGGUGCGAAAGAACGGCGGGCCCGCCGAGUCAGCGACCCCCGCGCCUCGUCAUCCUCAUCGCCUCGGUUUCCAUGGGGAAUCAAUGCCAAGGCUGCCGCCGGUCAGCCUUCCAUUGAUUCCUCAUGGGCGGCGCGGUGAGGCAACGCGCCCUCUCUCGUCACGCGUACACAUGCCACCCCCCGGCCGCUAUAUAAGCCGCCCCUGCCUCGCCGCUGAACGCACCCUACCCGCAACCCCCCUCUCUCCCCGUGCACUCACAGCCAUCGCCGCCGAACUCUCUUUCCCUCUCUCCCGGUGCACGGACAGACGAUGGGCGAAAGGUGCCCCGGCAAGGGGCAGCGGCCAAUGGCUUCAGCUGCCGCUCUCUACACGAGUGGGAAGCCCAUCUCCUCCAUGAAGCGAACUACCCGGCGCCUCCCGACAUGCGUGCGCCGGGGCGGUGGAGGCUCAGCGCCGGGGGCGUCCCCGUCCCCCCGCUGCCCGACGUCGAGCACCCCCACUACUUCCAGGCCGAGAUCGUCCGUGUGCGGGCGUCUCUAUCGGAGGAGGAGCGAGCCUUUCCGAAGUACGACGCCGGCAACCACGAGGCGUGGGCAGCGUACUUCAAACACCGAAAGGCGGAGCGGCUGGCCUCCAUCAAUAACACGCCACUAGUGAGGGGGCGCAACAACAGCGACGGCCGCCGCCUGCGGUGGGGCGCCCCCGGUGGGGCACCCCCAGCCGCACGCUACACGCCGUCCUCGAGUACCUCGAGGGCGGCAAUGAUCUGCCGCUGACGUACCAGGCCGCCCCAGUCCCCCGCCAAAGUUGCAGUUCAUGGAAGCCGAGGAGGAUGCUGGGUGGGUCCUCCUCCUCCCGUUCCUCCUCCCGCUCCUCCGGAUCGCCAUCAACGAGGGUGGCGGCGGUUCCUCGGGUCCAGCCUCCCGCCUCAUAAGGCCGAAGACGGAGCCGGCGCUUGGCCCCGUGAAGUGCAAGCUCAACGACGAGGCCGCCUUCGACGACGAGGCCGCCAUGAAGUGGGCGCGGGAGGACUGGGCGCGGACGGAGAUGGAGCGCCAGCGUCGCGUCCUGGAGGAGAUCGCCGCUCGGUGUCGUGGCCGCGAUGAGGGAGGCGUCGUCGUUCUCGAUGACAGCGACAAUGAGGUGCUGCCGCCGGCCAAACCAGUCCACCAUGGGGACCCCAGGCAGGGGUCCAGUAGGGAUGGCCGCGUGAAGGAGGAGAAGGACGAUGAUGGCGGCGGCGACUUCGACGCGUUCAGCGAGUUCUUCGGCCUGUUGGCGUGGCCGUUCUUCUUCUUCUUUUUAGUAGACUUAUUAUUAUGUUUCUAUAUGUAAAAAAACUGUGAACCACCUAAAUAUCGCCUAAUGUAUGCCGUGUUUGCCGAAAUUUUCCCAAUCAUGUUUUUUUUAAAGAGCGUCUAGGGCAGACCUGGGGGCGGCGGCUGGGAAGCCGAUCNNNNNNNNNNNNNNNNNNNNNNNNNNNNNNNNNNNNNNNNNNNNNNNNNNNNNNNNNNNNNNNNNNNNNNNNNNNNNNNNNNNNNNNNNNNNNNNNNNNNNNNNNNNNNNNNNNNNNNNNNNNNNNNNNNNNNNNNNNNNNNNNNNNNNNNNNNNNNNNNNNNNNNNNNNNNNNNNNNNNNNNNNNNNNNNNNNNNNNNNNNNNNNNNNNNNNNNNNNNNNNNNNNNNNNNNNNNNNNNNNNNNNNNNNNNNNNNNNNNNNNNNNNNNNNNNNNNNNNNNNNNNNNNNNNNNNNNNNNNNNNNNNNNNNNNNNNNNNNNNNNNNNNNNNNNNNNNNNNNNNNNNNNNNNNNNNNNNNNNNNNNNNNNNNNNNNNNNNNNNNNNNNNNNNNNNNNNNNNNNNNNNNNNNNNNNNNNNNNNNNNNNNNNNNNNNNNNNNNNNNNNNNNNNNNNNNNNNNNNNNNNNNNNNNNNNNNNNNNNNNNNNNNNNNNNNNNNNUCUCCUUCCUUCCAAUGGAUAAUUGCUUCUCAAUCCAUCCUUUCAACCCUUGUUUACAUCUAGACAAGCUACUGAAUUAAGAAAUUUGUGCUAAUCAGGUUGUUGUACUAGCUGCACUGUUAAGAUAAAUCAGGGCAAAUGAGACAUAAGUUGUUGUUAUAUCCGCGACUUAAGAGAGCACGUAAACCCACUUUGUUAUGCGUUAUUGGGAUCUUCAUGUUCAUUACUGUUAAAUAGAUUGUGUGCGAUUAUGCAAUUAUUGUCCCAUGAUCUGAUUUAGUUAUGUCGUUUGUGUAUGUGCUACUGUGUUACUGUCAUCCCGUUCAGUUUUAUGAUUUGCAUUGCAUGGUGAUGAGUACAACCGUUGGACGAAACUUUAUUCGUCACAGUAACCUUUUAAUUUUUUGGUGCUCUAGAAUUGCCAAAUGUGAAUCGGGUGCACUAUGUGUGCUUCAUAUACAGGCCAUAUGUUACAGUCUUAGUGAAUCAUUAUGAUUCUACCUCAGCAAACUGAAAUCCUAUUGAUGUUGCAUUUGUAUGGCUUCCUUUUCAGGUCUAUGCAUUGUUAUGUGUUGGUUACCCAUCCUCUUAUCUGGAGGUUGAAGCUCAAGAUAAAGACAAGGCAAGCAAUUCUCUUAGCCGCCUUCUGAGUUUUAAGAAUUUUCUAGUUCAAAUAUGCAGUAGGAACUAUGAAAUAUUCUUCUAAAUUCUGAUGAUUGCACCAUUAACAAUGGUCUAUCUCAAAUUCUCAAUGUAUAGGUAUAUUGGCUCCAGUUUGGAAUAUAUUUUGCACGAGGGCCUGUUGUAAGUAUUGCCAACCUUUUCUUGUUCGAAAACUGUGGUUCCUUGUUCUAGGAAGCUGAUAGCUAUGGCUAUCAGCCAAGUCAGUGUUAUUGAUACCCCUCUUAAAUAUGUGCAUCUUUCGAGUUUUCCUAAGAUGAAACCGAUCCGUCUUUCUAUUUCAGGAUAGAGAUGAUUACACACUAGAGCUUGCAAUGGGAGAUGAGUGAAACGUGCCCAUAAGGUUUGACCCAUCAAAAACUUCAGUUCUGCAAUUUCAUCCAAUUUUGACACUCUAUUUCCACUCUUUUCAGUGGUACGGUCUUUAAGCGAUGCUCCUACAGUUUGUAGGUUAUAGGGUUGCAGAGAUUUGAUUUGCAAGUGGAGAAAGAAAAAAAAACUUUGGUCUCUGUUCUCUGUGUUGUGUGUUCCAUGUUUUCGCAAAUUUUUAUGUGCAAAUAUGCUUGUAGGGAUUCCAUUUCUCAUCCUUUUUGCCCCUAGUACACAAAAAACUCAAUGGACUGUAUGAAAAAAUGUGAACUACUUAGGGCCUCAACACAAUCUUUAGUGCAACGAAAGGAUGUUUCUAGCUGUUGUUGUCUGCUCCACUUAAGGCAUUUCACUUGAUGUUGCUUAUCAGUUUGUCAGUUGGUAGUAGAUUCGGAGUGGUUGAAUGUCCUCUCAGCCUGUACGAAUGCGAUCGAUAACAUGUCUAGGGAUACUAUGGAUGUGGCGCUACCGAUAGGAGCGCAACUCAGAAGUUGUUUAAUUUCAAAAUUGUAUUCUUGGUAAAUUAUGGACAACUUCAAAUCUUCGGAGUACAUUAACACAAUCUAUGUUUUACAUGUUACAAAAUUUCAAGUGCAAAGUCAUUUUUUAUUAGAAACAUGGAGCGCAAUGUGGAUGCAAGGAGACAAAGUACACCACAUGCACACUAAUAUCGCAUGAACCAAAGGCUGAAGUUGUGAAAUAUCAAGAUUGGCGAAAUCAUCGCAUGCACCUCGCUAUCUUCUAUACUUUUAUUUCAGUAUUAGAUGUACUUUCUAGGAUUAGGGAUGGCAAUGGGUACCCAUUACCCGUGUACCCAGCGGGUAAAAAUCCUAUUAUGGCAAGGGUAUGGGUUAAAAAAAUACCCAUGGGUACAUAAAUAGGAAAUUUGAAACACAUCGGGUAUAGUGGGUAUGUGUAUGGUUUAGUAUAACCCAUACCCGUGUACCAUGUAUCCGCAUAUAAUUUUAUAAAUUGGUCUUAAGUAUUAUUUAUCCACAUAUUAAACAUUUUCUUACAUAAAUCCCGCAGCUAGCCCAUGACGAAGCUAGAAUCCCAUGUCUAGAAUCCCAUACAUGAUACGUAUCUAGGUGAUUAAUGUCUUGAAUUGCCUCAUUCCUUAUAUGGCUAUAUAUAUCAAUGUUAAUUGACGUCCAAAAUUACCACAAAUAAGUGUUGUUGCUCAUGAGAUGUGCUGCUGUUUACGAGUAUGUGUUGUUGUCAAGAUGUGUUUCUCUACUAUCUACUAGUAGAAUGCCCUUGCGUUGCGACGGGCUAACAAAAUAUAUACACAACAAAAAUAUGCUACUAAAAAUGUAUAUACAAAGAGAAAUGUCAUGUGAUAUGGGAGUGAUAGACAAUUGACAUGUGAUGAUAUUUCAUUCUUGUGAUGGGGUAGAUAAAUGCAUCUCCUCGUCAUCUUUCUCUUCCCCUCCCUAUCUCACAAUCUUUUCUUCUUCGUGUGUUUCUCAUGUGGGCAAGCAUNNNNNNNNNNNNNNNNNNNNNNNNNNNNNNNNNNNNNNNNNNNNNNNNNNNNNNNNNNNNNNNNNNNNNNNNNNNNNNNNNNNNNNNNNNNNNNNNNNNNNNNNNNNNNNNNNNNNNNNNNNNNNNNNNNNNNNNNNNNNNNNNNNNNNNNNNNNNNNNNNNNNNNNNNNNNNNNNNNNNNNNNNNNNNNNNNNNNNNNNNNNNNNNNNNNNNNNNNNNNNNNNNNNNNNNNNNNNNNNNNNNNNNNNNNNNNNNAUCAUUGAUAUGAAUAGUCAUGAAAAUAUCAUAUCACCACAACAACAAUCUAUCAUCUGCUCCAAAAUUGACACCUAUAUGCUUACUAUACAUACCAGAAAAAACAACUACAGUGUUGUAGUCAAGACAAAAUUUUGAAAGCACAUUCUCUCAAAUCAAUAUUACUCUUUCGUUCGAGCUUCUAUAGCCCCUCCGCCGCACAGACCUGGCCGUCUCCACUCACUCGCCUCAUAGGCAGCAGUUGCUCCACGUGUUAAUCCACUCAUUUCAGUCUCCACUCACACCCCUCAUAGGAAUACCGAACCAUAAAAAUAUUUUCAGAGUAUUAGGAUUGUUUCAUGAAUUAUGUUCACUUCUAUCAACACCUCAAGACACAAAACUUUUGUGUUUGGUAAGAAAAUUCAGCAGAUAUGAAGGUAAAAUGAAAUCAUCAAUAUAAUUCCCACCUAAACUACUGCAUGGAACAAUAAUACAGAGCGUUCAAUACUGACUUGCACAUACUUCGCAAUUAGCAAAAGGUUCCAUUCAGUAUGUAGAUGCGGUGAACAUGAGCACAUACUUGGAUAGAGCAUACCGGAUGGGGGCGAGGCUCCAGUCCAACACUUCCCUAGCCCUCCGAUUUUAUUGUAGUACUUUGUAUGUCAUAGGUGCCUUUUAUUCACAUGUGUAGUACUAUUUUUCGUUGACAUGGAUGAUACCUUAAAUAAAACUUCCUAGACUAUUACAUCAAAUACAAGCUCCUUUCGUUCAUAUUUGCGGAGCACUUCUCAAAAAAUACCAAAAUCUGAAAGUAACUAAAUCACUGUACAUUAACUGAGACCUCAGGUAUGGGAGUGUUUCUGUCCACACACACACACACAGAGAGAGAGAGAUAUAUAGAUAGAUAGAUAGAUAGAUAGAUAGAGAGAGAGAGAGAUUGCCUUGAGGCAAGCAAAUAACAAAUUAUAAAUUUGACAAGCAUGUCGAUUCAUAUUUAAACAGGGUAAUAAAUAAACCAAGAUGUGAGACUAUUCUAUGGUGUACCUAAUCAUUUUUUAACUUUGUGAUUCAGUUGUAUAUAUGUAACUGUAGAAAAAUAUUGACAUCCACAAGAGAUUAAAAAAACACAUGUCAUACCUACACGUAUUUGAUUGGUUCCAUGUGUUGGGGAACGUUGCAGAAAAUAAAAAAAUUUCUACGGUUUCACCAAGAUCUAUCUAUGAGUUCAUCUAGCAACGAGUGAUCGGAGUGCAUCUACAUACCUUUGUAGAUCGCGAGCGGAGGCGUUCAAGAGAACGGGGUUGAGGGAGUCGUACUCGUCGUGAUCUAAAUCACCGGAGAUCCAAACACACGUACGGAGCAGAUGACGUCUCCCGCGCCUUGAUCCAGCAAGGAGGAGGGAGAGGUUGGGGAAGAUGGCUCCAGCAGCAGCACGACGACGUGGUGGUGAUGGAGAGGCAGUACUCCGGCAGGGCUUCGCCAAGAUCUGCGGAGGAGGAGGAUGUGUUGGAGUGGGAGAGGGAGGCGCCAGGGGCAUGCGUGCGGCUGCCCUCCCUCCCCACUCUAUAUAUAGGGUCCCCAAGGGGGGGCGCCGGCCCUAGGAGAUGGGAUCUCCUAGGGGGGCGGCGGCCAAGGGGGUGGAGUGCCCCCCAAGGCAAGUGGAGGCGGCCCCUCCCCUAGGGUUCCCAACCCUAGGCGCAGGGGGGCAAGGGGGGGGGCGCACCAGCCCACUAGGGGCUGUUUCCCCUCCCACUUCAGCCCAUGGGGCCCUCCGGCAUAGGUGGCCCCACCCGGUGGACCCCGGGACCCUUUCGGUGGUCCCGGUACAAUACCGGUGACCCCCGAAACUUUCCCGAUGGCCGAAACUCGAUUUCCCAUAUAUAAUUUUUUACCUCCGGACGAUUCCGGAACUCCUCGUGACGUCCGGGAUCUCAUCCGGGACUCCGAACAACUUUCGGGUUACUGCAUACUCAUAUCUCUACAACCCUAGCGUCAUCGAACCUUAAGUGUGUAGACCCUACGGGUUCGGGAGACAUGUAGACAUGACCGAGACGGCUCUCCGGCCAAUAACCAACAGCGGGAUCUGGAUACCCAUGUUGGCUGCCACAUGCUCGUCAAUGAUCUCAUCGGAUGAACCACGAUGUCAAGGAUUCAAGCAACCCCGUAUACAAUUCCCUUUGUCAAUCGGUAUGUUACUUGCCCGAGAUUCGAUCAUCGGUAUCCCAAUACCUCAUUCAAUCUCGUUACCGGCAAGUCACUCUACUCGUACCGUAAUGCAUGAUCCCGUGACCAAACACUUGGUCACCUUGAGCUCAUUAUGAUGAUGCAUUACCGAGUGGGCCCAGAGAUACCUCUCCGUCAUACGGAGUGACAAAUCCCAGUCUCGAUCCGUGUCAACCCAACAGAUAGUUUCGGAGAUACCCGUAGUAUACCUUUAUAGUCACCCAGUUACGUUGUGACGUUUGGUACACCCAAAGCACUCCUACGGUAUCCGGGAGUUACACGAUCUCAUGGUCUAAGGAAAAGAUACUUGGCAUUGGAAAAGCUCUAGCAAACUAACUAUAUGAUCUUGUGCUAUGCUUAUGAUUGGGUCUUGUCCAUCACAUCAUUCUCCUAAUGAUGUGAUCUCGUUAUCAAUGACAUCCAAUGUCCAUAGUCAGGAAACCAUGAUUAUCUGUUGAUCAACGAGCUAGUCAACUAGAGGCUUACUAGGGACAUGUUGGUGUCUAUGUAUUCACACAUGUAUUACGAUUUCCGGAUAACACAAUUAUAGCAUGAAUAAAAGACAAUUAACAAGAACAAGGAAAUAUAAUAAUAAUCCUUUUAUUAUUGCCUCUAGGGCAUAUUUCCAACAGUCUCCCACUUGCACUAGAGUCAAUAAUCUAGUUACAUUGUGAUGAAUCCAACACCCAUAGAGUUCUGGUGUUGAUCAUGUUUUGCUCGCGGAGGAGGUUUAGUCAAUGGAUCUGCGACAUUCAGAUCCGUAUGCACUUUGCAAAUUUCUAUGUCUCCAUCUUGAACAUUUUCACGAAUGGAGUUGAAGCGACGCUUGAUGUGCCUAGUCUUCUUGUGAAACCUGGGCUCCUUGGCAAGUGCAAUAGCUCCAGUGUUGUCAUAGAAGAGUUUGAUCGGCCCUGACGCAUUGGGUAUGACUCCUAGGUCGGUGAUGAACUCCUUCUCCCAAAUUGCUUCAUGCGCUGCCUCCGAGGCUGCCAUGUAUUCCGCUUCACAUGUAGAUCCCACCACGACGCUCUGCUUGCAGCUACACCAGCUUACUGCUCCACCAUUCAACAUAUACACGUAUCCGUUUUGUGACUUAGAGUCAUCCAGAUCUGUGUCGAAGCUAGUGUCGACGUAACCCUUUACGACGAGCUCUUCGUCACCUCCAUAAACGAGAAACAUGUCCUUAGUCCUUUUCAGGUACUUCAGGAUAUUCUUGACCGCUGUACAGUGUUCCUUGCCGGGAUUACUUUGGUACCUUCCUACCAAACUUACGGCAAGGUUUACAUCAGGUCUGGUACACAACAUGGCAUACAUAAUAGACCCUAUGGCUGAGGCAUAGGGGAUGACACUCAUCUCUUCUAUAUCUUCUGCCAUGGUCGGACAUUGAGCUGAGCUCAAUUUCACACCUUGCAACACAGGCAAGAACCCCUUCUUAGACUGAUCCAUAUUCAACUUCUUCAAUAUCUUAUCAAGGUAUGUGCUUUGUGAAAGACCUAUGAGGCCUCUUGAUCUAUCUCUAUAGAUCUUGAUGCCUAAUAUAUAAGCAGCUUCUCCAAGGUCCUUCAUUGAAAAACUCUUAUUCAAGUAGGCCUUAAUGCUGUCCAAAAGUUCUAUAUCAUUUCCCAUCGAAAGUAUGUCAUCUACAUAUAAUAUGAGAAAUGCUACCGAGCUCCCACUCACUUUCUUGUAAACGCAGACUUCUCCAUAAGUCUGCAUAAACCCAAACGCUUUGAUCAUCUCAUCAAAGCGAAUGUUCCAACUCCGAGAUGCUUGCACCAGCCCAUAAAUGGAUCGCUGGAGCUUGCAUACCUUGUUAGCAUUCUUAGGGUCGACAAAACCUUCCGGCUGCAUCAUAUACAGUUCUUCCUUAAGAUAACCAUUAAGGAAUGCCGUUUUGAUGUCCAUUUGCCAUAUCUGAUAAUCAUAGUAUGCGGCAAUUGCUAACAUGAUUCGGACGGACUUCAGCUUCGCUAGGGGAGAGAAAGUCUCAUCGUAGUCAACCCCUUGAACUUGCCGAUAACCCUUAGCAACAAGUCGAGCUUUAUAGAUGGUAACAUUACCAUCUGCGUCCGUCUUCUUCUUAAAGAUCCAUUUGUUUUCUAUCGCUCGCCGAUCAUCGGGCAAGUCUGUCAAAGUCCAUACUUUGUUUUCAUACAUGGAUCCUAUCUCGGAUUGCAUGGCUUCAAGCCAUUUGUUGGAAUCUGGGCCCGCCAUCGCUUCUUCAUAGUUCGAAGGUUCACCGUUGUCUAACAACAUGAUUUCCAGGACAGGGUUGCCAUACCACUCUGGUGUGGAACGUGUCCUUGUGGACCUACGAAGUUCAGUAGAAACUUGAUUCGAAGUACCUUGAUCAUCAUCAUUAAUUUCCUCUCCAGUGGACGUAGGCACCACAGGAACAUUUUCCUGAGCUGCACUACUUUCCGGUUCAAGAGGCAGUACUUCAUCGAGUUCUACUUUCCUCCCACUUACUCCUUUCGAGAGAAACUCUUUUUCCAGAAAUGAUCCGUUCUUGGCAACAAAGAUCUUGCCUUCGGAUCUAAGGUAGAAGGUAUACCCAAUGGUUUCCUUAGGGUAUCCUAUGAAGACACAUUUUUCCGACUUGGGUUUGAGCUUUUUAGGUUGAAGUUUCUUGACAUAAGCAUCGCAUCCCCAAACUUUUAUAAACAACAACUUAGGUUUCUUCCCAAACCAUAAUUUAUACGGUGUCGUCUCAAUGGAUUUAGACGGUGCCCUAUUUAAAGUGAAUGUAGCUGUCUCUAGAGCGUAUCCCCAAAAUGAUAGCGGUAAAUCAGUAAGAGACAUCAUAGAUCGCACCAUAUCCCAUAGAGUGUGAUUACGACGUUCGGACACACCGUUACGUUGAGGUGUUCCAGGCGGCAUGAGUUGUGAAACGAUUCCACAUUUCCUUAAGUGUGUUCCAAAUUCGUGACUUAAAUAUUCUCCUCCAUGAUCUGAUCGUAAGAACUUUAUUUUUCAGUCACGUUGAUUCUCUACCUCAUUCUGAAAUUCCUUGAACUUUUCAAAGGUCUCAGACUUGUGUUUCAUCAAGUAGACAUACCCAUAUCUACUCAAGUCAUCAGCGAGAGUGAGAACAUAACGAUAUCCUCCGCGAGCCUCAACGCUCAUUGGACCGCACACAUCAGUAUGUAUGAUUUCCCAUAAGCUGGUUGCUCACUCCAUUGUUCAGGAGAACGGAGUCUUGGUCAUUUUGCCCAUGAGGCAUGGUUCGCAUGUGUCAAAUGAUUCAUAAUCGAGAGACUCUAAAAGUCCAUCAGCAUGGAGCUUCUUCAUGUGCUUUACACCAAUCUGACCAAGGUGGUAGUGCCACAAUUAUGUGGGACUAUUGUUAUCAACUUUACAUCUUUUGGUAUUCACACUAUGAAUAUGUGUAACAUCACGUUCGAGAUUCAUUAAGAAUAAACCAUUGACCAUCGGAGCAUGACCAUAAAACAUAUCUCUCAUAUAAAUAGAACAACCAUUAUUCUCGGAUUUAAAUGAGUAGCCAUCUCGUAUUAAACAAGAUCCGAAUACAAUGUCCAUGCUAAAACUUGGCACUAAAUAACAAUUAUUGAGGUUUAAAACUAAUCCCGUAGGUAAAUGUAGAGGUAGCGUGCCGACGGCGAUCACAUCGACCUUGGAACCAUUCCCGACGCGCAUCGUCACCUCGUCCUUCGCCAGUCUCCGCUUAUUCCGCAGCUCAUGCUUUGAGUUACAAAUAUGAGCAACAGCACCGGUAUCAAAUACCCAGGAGCUACUACGAGCACUAGUAAGGUACACAUCAAUUACAUGUAUAUCACAUAUACCUUUAGUGUUGCCGGCCUUCUUAUCCGCUAAGUAUUUGGGGCAGUUCCCCUUCCAGUGACCCUUCCCUUUGCAAUAAAAGCACUCAGUCUCAGGCUUGGGUCCAUUCUUUGACUUCUUCCCGGCAACUGGCUUACCGGGCGCGGCAACAUCCUUGCCGUCCUUCUUGAAGUUCUUCUUACCCUUGCCUUUCUUGAACUUGGUGGUUUUAUUGACCAUCAACACUUGAUGUUCCUUUUUGAUUUCUACCUCCGCUGAUUUCAGCAUUGAAAAUACUUCAGGAAUGGUCUUUUCCAUCCCCUGCAUAUUGUAGUUCAUCACAAAGCUCUUGUAGCUAGGUGGGAGCGACUGAAGGAUUCUGUCAAUGACCGCCUCGUCUGGGAGGUUAAUGUCCAGCUGGGACAAGCGGUUGUGCAACCCAAAGAUAUUGAGUAUGUGCUCACUGACAGAACUAUUUUCCUCCAUCUUACUGCUGUAGAACUUGUCAGAGACUUCAUAUCUGUCGACCCGGGCAUGAGAUUGGAAAACCAUUUUCAUCUCUUCGAACAUAUCAUAUGCUCCGUGUUGCUCAAAAUGCUUUUGGAGCCCCGGUUCUAAGCUGUAAAGCAUGCCGCACUGAACGAGGGAGUAAUCAUCAGCACGCUGCUGCCAAGCGUUCAUAACAUCUUGGUUCUCUGGGAUGGGUGCUUCACCUAGCGGUGCUUCUAGGACAUAUUGUUUCCUGGCAGCUAUGAGGAUGAUCCUCAGGUUCCGGACCCAGUCCGUAUAGUUGCUACCAUCAUCUUUCAGCUUGGUAUUCUCUAGGAACGCGUUGAAGUUCAUGUUGACAUGAGCGUUGGCCAUUUGAUCUACAAGACAUUUAUGCAAAGAUUCUUAGACUAAGUUCAUGAUAAUUAAGUUCAUCUAAUCAAAUUAUUUAAUGAACUCCCACUCAGAUUAGACAUCCCUCUAGUCAUCUAAGUGAAACAUGAUCCGACUCGACUAGGCCAUGUCCGAUCAUCACGUGAGACAGAAUAGUCAUCAUCGGGGAACAUCUCCAUGUUGAUCAUAUCUUUCAUACGACUCAUGUUCGACCUUUCGGUCUCUUGUUUUCCGAGGCCAUGUCUGUACAUGCUAGGCUCGCCAAGUUAACCUAAGUGUUUGCAUGUGUAAAUCUGUCUUACACCCAUUGUAUGUGAACGUUGGAAUCUAUCACACCCGAUCAUCACGUGGUGCUUCGAAACAACAAACUGUCGCAAUGGCGCACAGUUAGGGGAAACACUUUCUUGAAAUUAUUUUGAGGGAUCAUCUUAUUUACUACCGUCGUUCUAAGUAAACAAGAUGCAAAAACAUGAUAAACAUCACAUGCAAUCAAAUAAUAGUGACAUGAUAUGGCCAAUAUCAUAUAGCUCCUUGAUCUCCAUCUUGGGGCUCCAUGAUCAUCUUGUUACCAGCAUGACACCAUGAUCUCCAUCAUCGUGUCUCCAUGAAGUUGCUCGCCAACUAUUACUUCUACUACUAUGGCUAACACGUUUAGCAAUAAAGUAAAGUAAUUUACAUGGCGUUUCUCAAUGACACGCAGGUCAUACAAAAAAUAAAGACAACUCCUAUGGCUCCUGCCGGUUGUCAUACUCAUCGACAUGCAAGUCAUGAUUCCUAUUACAAGAACAUAAUCUCAUACAUCACAUAUAUAUCAUUCAUCAUUCAUCACAACUUUGGCCAUAUCACAUCACAAAACACUUGCUGCAAAAACAAGUUAGACGUCCUCUAAUUGUUGUUACAAGUUUUACGUGGCUGCAAUAGGGUUCUAGCAAGAAUGUUUUCUUACCUACGUAAAAGCCACAACAUUAUUUGUCAACUUCUAUUUACCCUUCAUAAGGACCCUUUUCGUCGAAUCCGCUGCAACUAAAGUGGGAGAGACAGACACCCGCUAGCCACCUUAUGCAACUAGUGCAUGUCAGUCGGUGGAACCUGUCUCACGUAAGCGUACGUGUAAGGUCGGUCCGGGCCGCUUCAUCCCACAAUACCGCUGAAGCAAAAUAAGACUAGUAGCGGCAAGAAAUUUAACAACAUCUACGCCCACAACAAAUUGUGUUCUACUCGUGCCAAGAGAACUACGCAUAAACCUGGCUCAUGAUGCCACUGUUGGGGAACGUUGCAGAAAAUAAAAAAAAUUCUACGGUUUCACCAAGAUCUAUCUAUGAGUUCAUCUAGCAACGAGUGAUCAGAGUGUGAUAACCCACAAGUAUAGGGGAUCGCAACAGUUUUCGAGGGUAGAGUAUUCAACCCAAAUUUGUUGAUUCGACACAAGGGGAGCCAAAUAAUAUUCUCAAGUAUUAACAGCUGAUUUUUCAAUUCAACCACACCUGGAAACUUAGUAUCUGCAGCAAAGUGUUUAGUAGCAAAGUAAUAUGAUAGUGGUGAUAACGGUCACAAAGUAAAGACAGCAAAAGUAAUGUUUUUGGUAUUUUUGUAGUGAUUGUAACAGUAGCAACGGAAAUGUAAAUAAGCGUAAACCAAUAUAUGGAAAACUCGUAGGCACCGGAUCAAUGAUGGAUAAUUAUGCCGGAUGUGGUUCAUCAUGUAACAGUCAUAACAUAGGGUGACACAGAACUAGCUCCAGUUCAUCAAUAUAAUGUAGGCAUGUAUUCCGUAAAUAGUCAUACGUGCUUAUGGAAAAGAACUUGCAUGACAUCUUUUGUCCUACCCUCCCGUGGCAGCGGGGUCCUAUUGGAAACUAAGGGAUAUUAAGGCCUCCUUUUAAUAGAGAACCGGAACAAAGCAUUAACACAUAGUGAAUACAUGAACUCCUCAAACUAUGGUCAUCACCGGGAGUGGUCCCGAUUAUUGUCACUUCGGGGUUGCCGGAUCAUAACACAUAGUAGGUGACUAUAGACUUGCAAGAUAGGAUCUAGAACUCACAUAUAUUCAUGAAAACAUAAUAGGUUCAGAUCUGAAAUCAUGGCACUCGGGCCCUAGUGACAAGCAUUAAGCAUAGCAAAGUCAUAGCAACAUCAAUCUCAGAACAUAGUGGAUACUAGGGAUCAAACCCUAACAAAACUAACUCGAUUACAUGAUAAAUCUCAUCCAAGCCAUCACCGUCCCGCAAGCCUACGAUGCAAUUACUCACGCACGGCGGUGAGCAUCAUGAAAUUGGUGAUGGAGGAUGCUUGAUGAUGACGACGGCGAUGAAUCCCCGUCUCUGGAGCCCCGAACGGACUCCAGAUCAGCCCUCCCGAGAGAGAUUAGGGCUUGGUGGCGGCUCUGUAUCGUAAAACGCGAUGAAACGUUCUCUCUGAUUUUUUUCUCCUCGAAAGCCAAUAUAUGGAGUUGGAGUUGGCGUCGGAGGGCCACCAGGGGGCCCACGAGGUAGGGGGGCGCGCCCCCCACCCUCGUGGACAGGGUGUGGGCCCCCUGGUCUUCAUCUUUGGCGAGUAUUUUCUAUUAUUUAUUCUAAGAUAUUUCGUGGAGUUUUAGGUCAUUCCGAGAACUUUUGUUUUCUGCACAUAAAACAACACCAUGGCAAUUCUGCUGAAAACAGCGUCAGUCCGGGUUAGUUCCAUUCAAAUCAUACAAGUUAGAGUCCAAAACAAGGGCAAAAGUAUUUGGAAAAGUAGAUACGACGGAGACGUAUCACCUCCCCCAAGCUUAAACCCUUGCUUGUCCUCAAGCAAUUCAGUUGACAAACUGAAAGAGAAAAAGAAAAACUUUUACAAACUCUGUUUGCUCUUGUUUUUGUAAACAUGAAAAGCCAGCAUUCAAAUUUCAGCAAUUAUUAUGAACUAACCAUACUCACAAUAACACGUAGGUCUCACAAUUACUCAUAUCAAUAGCAUAAUCAGCUAGCGAGCCAUAAUAAUAAAACUCGGAUGACAACACUUUCUCAAAAUAAUCAUAACAUGAUAUAACAAAAUGGUAUCUCGCUAGCCCUUUCUGAGACCGCAAAGCAUAAAUGCAGAGCACCUUUAAAGAUCAAGGACUGUCUAAACAUUGUAAUUCAUGGUAAAAGAGAUCCAGUCAAGUCAUGCCCAAUAUAAACCAAUCAUAAUGAAUGCAAAGGACAGUGUGCUCUCUAGCGGGUGCUUUUUAAUAAGAAGGGUGAUGACUCAACAUAAAAGUAAAUAGAUAGGCCCUUCGUAGAGGGAAGAAGGGAUUUGUAGAGGUGCCAGAGCUCGAUUUUUGAAAUAGAGAUAAAUAAUAUUUUGAGCGUCAUACUUUCACUGUCAACGCAACAACUAUGAGAUGGUUGUAUCUUCCAUACUACAUGCAUUAUAGGCAGUUCCCAAACAGAAUGGUAAAGGUUUAUACUCCCCCUCCUCCACAAGCAUCAAUCCAUGGCUUUCUCAAAACAACGAGUGCCUCCAACAUUCAACGGGUCCCAGGGAGAGUUUUGUUUAAUUAUUUUGAUUUGCUUUGAUCUUUUUGGAUCAUGGGACUGGGCAUCCCGGUUACCGGCCCUUUCUCGUGAAUGAGGAGCGUAGUCCACUCCUCUUGAGAAUAACCCACCUAGCAUGGAAGAUAUAGGCAGCCAUAGUUGCACAUGAGCUGCUCGAGCAUACAAAACAGAAUUUCAUUUGAAGGUUUGGAGUUUGGCACAUACAAAUUUACUUGGAACGGCAGGUAGAUACCGCAUAUAGGAAGGUAUAGUGGACUCAUAUGGAACAACUUUGGGGUUUAAGGAGUUUGGAUGCACAAGCAGUAUUCCUGCUUAGUACAGGUGAAGGCUACCAAAAGACUGGGAAGCGACUAACUGAGAGAGCGACAAUAGCCGUAAACAUGCAUUAAAAUUAAUUCACACCAAAUAUAAGCAUGAGUAGGAUAUAAUCCACCAUGAACAUAAAUAUCAUGAAGGCUAUGUUGAUUUGAUUCAACUACAUGCGUGAACAUGUGCCAAGUCGAGUCACUCAAUUCAUUUAAAGGAGGAUACCAUCCUAUCAUACCACAUCAUAAUCAUCUCAAUAGCAUGUUGGCACGCAAGGUUAACCAUUAUAAAUCAUUGCUAAUCAAGCAUGGCACAAGCAACUAUAAUCUCUAAAUGUCAUUGCAAAUACGUUUACUUCAUAAUAGCUGAAUAAGGAACGAUGAAUCAUCAUAUUUACAAAAACAAGAGAGGUCGAGUUCAUACCAGCUUUUCUCAUCCCAAUGAGUCCAUCAUAUAUCAUCAUUAUUGCCUUUCACUUGCACGACCGAACGGUGUGUAUAAUAAUAAGAGUGCACGUGCAUUGGACUAAGCUGGAAUCUGCAAGCAUUCAACUCAAGAGAGAAGACAAGUAAUAUGGGCUCUAAGUUAGAUAAACAAUCUUGCAUAUAAGAGCCACUUAGCAUUUUCAAUAUAGUCUUCUCGACCCCCAAAGAAAGGAAAAGAAAAAUAAAAACUAUUUACACGGGAAAGCUCCCAACAAGCAAAAGAAGGACGGGAAAUAUUUUUGGGUUUUGUUUUUAAUUCUACUACAAGCAUGGAAAGUAGACUAACACUAAUUUUUUUUGUUUUUCUUAAGGUUUAUUAAACACACAAGAAGAAAGCAGGAAAAAGGAAAAUAAACUAGAAUGGAUAUUACAGUGAAAGAGUAUGAGCACCGACAUCUAGCAAUGAGUGUGUGUGAACAUGAAUGUAAUGUCGGUGGGAAAUACGUACUUCCCCAAGCUUAGGAUUUUGGCCUAAGUUGGUCUAUUGCCAGGGAUAACCUGGCUGAUAUCCGUAGGUGAAGCUGGGGUCGUACUGCGAUGAAGAAUAGUUGGGAUCAUAAUGUGAUGAAGAGGACUCUGACUGCCACUGGUUGGCAACCGCCUCAGGAUCCCAAGCAUAAACAGACAUUCGUGGAGACUCCGGUUCCGAGGCUGGUGUAGGAUUCCGAUAGGCUUGAACAGCCGCCCACGGAACAAUGUAAGUAUGUGCAGACAAGUUAAACAAAGAGGGAGCAGGCAAAGUAAUAGUCUCAGGGUGAUGUUUAUCAAAGUACAAUUUAUAUUUAAGCGCCCCUUCGUGAUUCUUAACAAGAAAAUCAUGUGUUACGAUACUCUUAUAAUCUAAAUAAGCAUGGGGCAGCGCUGUUUCUUCUUUCUCCUCAUGCCUAAUAGGUUUUUCAAAAUGUUCAGCUAGGCGUGAAGCAUAAAUACCUCCAAAGAUGGGGCCCUUAGUACGGUUCAUACUCAACCGUCUAGCAACAAUUCCACCCAUACUAACAGAGUUAUUGCGGUAUAAACCAUGGAGCAAAAUAAUAAUAUUAGGAAUACUAAGGUUCCCACAGUUCCCGCGACCAAUCAAGCAACGACUAGCAAAUAAGGCAAAGUAGCGUAAAACAGGGAAAUGUAUACUAGUAAUUCUUGCAUCAGAAACCUUCCUGGUUUCUCCCACAGUGAUAGUGUCAAUAUAAGCUUCCACUUCAUUACGGUGUGGUUCAUCUAAAGAACCCUCGAAAGGUAUUUUGCAAACCUCGCAAAAUGCAGCUAAUGUCAUCUCCCUAGCAACAUCAUAUAAAGCAACUACUCAUACAAGUGCCUAGAGCACAUAUCAAGCAUUAGAACUACUUGGAACCAUAUAUAUUUGACAUGCAAGCUCAAGAACAUGGUCACCUAUGCAGCACAAAUUUGCAAUGAAUAAAGCACUAGAAAAAAAACUAAUUGGACAAAUGGAGGAGUCACAUACCAAGGAACAAUCUCCCCAAGCAGUUUUGCGAGAGGUGCUUUGAGCAAGGAGAUCGAAAAUCGCAGCAAAAGUUGCUGGAACACGAGCUUGAGUUGGUUUUUCGGGUUUGUGCGAGACAGAGGAAGAAGAUGGGUGCAUGAAUAAGUGGAGGAGGUCCACCAUGGGCCCACGAGGCAGGGGGGCGCGCCCUCCACCCUCGUGACCAGGUGGCAGCUCCCCCCGCGGUAAUUUUUGCACUAAAAAUCCUUAAAUAUUCUCGAAAAAAUCAUAUUAAAUUGGCAUGGCAUUCUGAGGACUUUUAUUUUCGGGAUAUUUUUAUAUUGCACGGAUAAGUCAGGAAACAGACAGAAAAAUACUAUUUUACUUUAUUUCUACUAAAGAACAGAAAAUAUAAAGAGGGUACAGAAGGUUGUGCUUCUAGUUUCAUCCAUCUCAUGCUCAUCAAAAAGAAUCCACUAACAAGGUUGAUCAAGUCUUAUUAACAAACUCAUUCCGAUAAUCAUGGAACCGGAGAAAUUUCGAAUAACACUAUGUUACCUCAAUGGGGAUAUGGACAUCCCCAACAAUAAGUAUAUCAUAUUUCUUUUUGACAGUAGGAAGAGGAAAUUCAAAACCUCCAAAUAUAAUCAAUGGAAUUUUUCCAAUAGAGUUGAUACUAUAAACUUGAGGUUGUUUCCUCGGAAAGUGCAUCGUAUGCUCAUUACCAUUAACAUGAAAAGUGACAUUGCCUUUGUUGCAAUCAAUAACAGCCCCUGCAGUAUUAAGGAAAGGUCUUCCAAGAAUAAUAGACAUACUAUCAUCCUCGGGAAUAUCAAGAAUAACAAAGUCCGUUAAAAUAGUAAUGUUUGCAACCACAACAGGCACAUCCUCAUAAAUACCGACAGUUAUAGCAGUUGAUUUAUCAGCCAUUUGCAAAGAUAUUUCAGUAGGUGUCAACUUAUUCAAGUCAAGUCUACGAUAUAAAGAGAGAGGCAUAACACUAACACCGGCUCCAAGAUCACAUAAAGCAGUUUUAACAUAAUUUCUUUUAAUGGAGCAUGGUAUAGUAGGUACUCCUGGAUCUCCAAGUUUCUUUGGUAUUCCACCCUUAAAAGUGUAAUUAGCAAGCAUGGUGGAAAUUUCAGCCUCCGGUAUCUUUCUUUUAUUAGUAAUGAUAUCCUUCAUAUACUUAGCAUAAGGAUUUUUUUGAGCACAUCAGUCAAUCGCAUACGCAAAAAGAUAGGUCUAAUCAUUUCAGCAAAGCGCUCAAAAUCCUCAUCAUCCUAUUUCUUGGAUGGUUUCAGAGGAAAAGGCAUGGGUUUCUCAACCCAUGGUUCUCUUUCUUUACCAUGUUUCCUAGAAACGAAGUCUCUUUUAUCAUAACGUUGAUACUUUGAUUGUGGGUUAUCAAGAUCAACAGCAGGUUCAACUUCUACAUCAUUAUCAUUACUAGGUUGAGCAUCAUCAUGAACAUCAUCAUUAACAUUUUCACUAGGUUCAUGUUCAUUACCAGAUUGUGUUUCAGCAUCAGACAUAGAGAUAUCGUUUGGAUUAUCAGGUGGUUCAGCAAUAGGUUCACUAGAAGUUGCACAGUUCUAUCAUUUUUCUUUUUCUUCCUUUUAGAAGAACUAGGUGCAUCAAUAUUAUUUCUUUGAGAAUCUUGCUCGAUUCUCUUAGGGUGGCCUUCAGGAUACAAAGGUUCCUGAGUCAUUCUACCAGUUCUAGUAGCCACUCUAACAGCAUAAUCAUUUUUCUUACUAUUCAUUUCAUCAAGCAUUUCUUUCUGAGCGUUAAGUACUUGUUCUACUUGAGUGGUAACCAUAGAAGCAUGUUUGCUAACAAGUUUAAGUUCACCUCUAAUAUUAUCCAUAUAAUCACUCAAGCAUUUAAUCAUAAAGGUAUUCUGCUUUAAUUGUCUACCAAAAUAAGCAUUAAAGUCAUCUUGCUUAAACAUAAAGUCAUUAAACUCAUCCAAGCACUGACUAGCAAUUUUAGUAGGUGGGACUUCAACUUUAUCAUAUCUAUAGAGAGAAUUUACCUUUACUACCUGUGUCGGGAUAUCGGGAGGUUCUUCAGUAAAUAAGUAAUUGAGAUCAUAUACUUCUUCAACAGGCGGUAAAUUAAGACCAUGUAUUUCUUCAAUAGGAGGUAAAUUCUUAACAUCUUCAGCUUUAAUACCUUUUUCGUUCAUAGAUUUCUUUGCCUCUUGCAUAUCUUCGGGACUGAGAAAUAGAACACCUCUCUUCUUCGGAGUUGGUUUAGGAAUAGGCUCAGGAGCUGGCUCAGGAGUUGGCUCGGGAGGUGGCUCAGGAGGUGCCCAAUUAUUUUCAUUUGCCAACAUAUUAUUCAAUAAAAUUUCAGCGUCAUCCGGUGUUCUUUCCCUGAAAAGAGAACCAGCACAACUAUCCAGGUAAUCUCUGGAAGCAUCAGUUAGUCCAUUAUAAAAGAUAUCAAAUAUUUUAGGUUUCUUAAGAGGAUGAUCAGGCAAAGCAUUAAGUACUUUGAGAAGCCUCCCCCAAGCUCGUGGGAGACUCUCUUCUUCAAUUUGCACAAAAUUGUAUAUUUCCCUCAAAGCAGCUUGUUUCUUAUGAGCAGGGAAAUAUUUAGCAGAGAAGUAAUAAAUCAUAUCCUGGGGACUUUGCACACAGGCAGGAUCAAGAGAAUUAAACCAUUUCUUAGCAUCACCCUUUAAUGAGAACGGAAAUAUUUUGAGUAUAUAAAAGUGGCGCGAUCUCAGAUUAUUAGUAAACAGGGCAGCUAUUUCAUCUAACUUACGAAGAUGUGCCACAACAGUUUCAGAUUCAUAGCCAUAAAAAGGAUCAGAUUCAACCAAAGUAAUUAUAUCUGGAUUAACAGUAAUAUCAUAAUAAUCCUGAUCAGGAACACAGAUAGGUGAAGUAGCAAAAGCAGGGUCGGGUCUCAUCCUACCUCUAAAAGAUUCCUUACUCCACUUAAUUAGUAACCUCUUACGUUCAGGUUUAUCCGGACAAGCAAGAAUAGCUUCAUAAGAUUCAUUAUUAAAAAGAUAACCCUCAGGAAUAACAGGCAUAAGUUCAUCAUCACUAACAUCAUCGUGUUCAGGUUCACUAAUUUCUCUUUCUCUAGACUUAGAAAUUUGCUCAUCUAGAAAUUCACCAAGUGGCACAGUAGUAUCAAGCAUAGAAGUAGUCUCAUCAUAAGUAUCAUGCAUAGCAGAAGUGGCAUCAUCAAUAACAUGCGACAUAUCAGAAUUCAUAGCAGUAGUAGGUUUAGGCGUCGCUAGCUUACUCAUAACAGAAGGUGAAUCAAGUACAGAGCUAUAUGGCAGUUCCUUACCUCCCCUUGUAGUUGAGGGAUAAAUUUUUGUCUUAGCGUCUUUCAAGUUCUUCAUAGUGUCCAGCAGAUAUAAAUCCCAAGUGACUCAAAGAAUAGAGCUAUGUUCCCCGGCAACGGUGCCAGAAAAAGGUCUUGAUAACCCACAAGUAUAGGGGAUCACAACAGUUUUCGAGGGUAGAGUAUUCAACCCAAAUUUGUUGAUUCGACAUGAGGGGAGCCAAAGAAUAUUCUCAAGUAUUAACAGCUGAGUUGUCAAUUCAACCACACCUGGAAACUUAGUAUCUGCAGCAAAGUGUUUAGUAGCAAAGUAAUAUGAUUGUGGUGAUAACGGUAACAAAGUAAAGACAGCAAAAGUAAUGUUUUUGGUAUUUUUGUAGUGAUUGUAACAGUAGCAGCGGAAAAGUAAAUAAGCGUAAACCAGUAUAUGGAAAACUCGUAGGCACCAGAUCAAUGAUGGAUAAUUAUGCCGGAUGUGGUUCAUCAUGUAACAGUCAUAACAUAGGGUGACACAGAACUAGCUCCAGUUCAUCAAUAUAAUGUAGGCAUGUAUUCCGUAAAUAGUCAUACAUGCUUAUGGAAAAGAACUUGCAUGACAUCUUUUGUCCUACCCUCCCGUGGCAGCAGGGUCCUAUUGGAAACUAAGGGAUAUUAAGGCCUCCUUUUAAUAGAGAACCGGAACAAAGCAUUAACACAUAGUGAAUACAUGAACUCCUCAAACUAUGGUCAUCACCGGGAGUGGUCCCGAUUAUUGUCACUUCGGGGUUGCCGGAUCAUAACACAUAGUAGGUGACUAUAGACUUGCAAGAUAGGAUCUAGAACUCACAUAUAUUCAUGAAAACAUAAUAGGUUCAGAUCUGAAAUCAUGGCACUCGGGCCCUAGUGACAAGCAUUAAGCAUAGCAAAGUCAUAGCAACAUCAAUCUCAGAACAUAGUGGAUACUAGGGAUCAAACCCUAACAAAACUAACUCGAUUACAUGAUAAAUCUCAUCCAACCCAUCACCGUCUAGCAAGCCUACGAUGCAAUUACUCACGCACAGCGGUGAGCAUCAUGAAAUUGGUGAUGGAGGAUGGUUGAUGAUGACGACGGCGACGAAUCCCCCUCUCCAGAGCCCCGAACGGACUCCAGAUGAGCCCUCCCGAGAGAGAUUAGGGCUUGGCGGCGGCUCCGUAUCGUAAAACACGAUGAAACUUUCUCUCUAAUUUUUUUCUCCUCGAAAGCCAAUAUAUGGAUUUGGAGUUGGCGUCGGAGGGCCACCAGGGGGCCCACGAGGUAGGGGGCGCGCCCAGGGGGGAGGGGCGCGCCCAGGGGGAGGGGCGCGCCCAGGGGGAGGGGCGCGCCCAGGGGGAGGGGCGCGCCCCCCACCCUCGUGGAUAGGGUGUGGGCCCCCUGGUCUUCAUCUUUGGCGAGGAUUUUUUAUUAUUUAUUCUAAGAUAUUCCGUGGAGUUUCAGGUCAUUCUGAGAACUUUUGUUUUCUGCACAUAAAACAACACCAUGGCAAUUCUGCUGAAAACAGCGUCAGUCCGGGUUAGUUCCAUUCAAAUCAUACAAGUUAGAGUCGAAAACCAGGGCGAAAGUGUUUGGAAAAGUAGAUAUGAUGGAGAUGUAUUAGAGUGCAUCUACAUACCUUUGUAGAUCGUGAGCGGAAGCAUUCAAGAGAACGGGGUUGAGGGAGUCAUACUCGUCGUGAUCCAAAUCACCGAAGAUCCUAGCGCCGAACGGACGGCACCUCCGUGUUCGACACACGUACGGAGCGGAUGACGUCUCCCACGCCUUGAUCCAGCAAGGAGGAGGGAGAGGUUGAGGAAGAUGGCUCCAGCAGCAGCACGACGGCGUGGUGGUGAUGGAGAGGUAGUACUCCGGCAGGGCUUCGCCAAGCUCUGCGGAGGAGGAGGAGGUGUUGGAGUGGGAGAGGGAGGCGCCAGGGGCAUGCAUGCGGCUGCCCUCCAUCCCCCCCUCUAUAUAUAGGGUCCCCAAGGGGGGCGCCGUCCCUAGGAGAUGGGAUCUCCUAGGGGGGGCGGCGGCCAAGGGGGUGUAGUGCCCCCCAAGGCAAGUGGAGGCGCCCCCUUCCCUAGGGUUCCCAACCCUAGGCGCAGCGGGGGGCCCAAGGGGUAGCAUGCUCAAGAGGUAGCACCGCUCUGGCUGCCUCUUUGCGAGCAAUGCAAAGCCGCGGCGAGGUGUUUCGGCGCUGGGCCGGCAAAAGGCAAAGCAGAGGCAUCGACUGAAGGGCUAUUGCUUGCUCGACGCCGACUACUUCACCGACGCUCCACUGCACGGGGAGUAAGUAUUUCGGCGCCGUUUAUCGGAUGAGCUGAAAGCUCUUCCUCGGGAUUGUGAAUUCCACCCGAGAGUUCGUCAACUACUUCAAGUGCAAGAAGGAUUGCACCGGCACACUUGGAUUCACCUCACUCCAGAAGUGCACGACAGCUACGAGGAUGCUUGCAUACGAAGCUCCCCGUGAUAUAAUGGAAGACUAUGGAUGCAUGGCCGAGUCCACCACCAUUGAGUGUUUGUACAAGUUCUGCAAAAUAGUGGUCGCAAUGUUUGGACCAUAAUACUUGCGAUCACCCAAUGCUGAAGACACUGCUCGGAUCCUAGUAUAGAAUGCAACAAGAUGAUUUCCUGGGAUUCUUGGAAGCAUCAACUGUAUGCAUUGGGCAUGGAAAAACUGUCCAUUUGCUUGGCAGGGGAUGUACAGAGGUUCCAAAGGAGCUUGCAGUUUGGUACUUGAGGUGGUGGCCAAACAGGACCUCUGGAUUUGGCAAUCCUUCUUCGGUAUGCCAGGAACUCACAAUGACAUCAACGUACUGCAGUGCUCGAAUGUUUUUGCCAAGCUUGUUGAAGGUCAUGCUCCUCCAGUGAACUUCAAAGUCAAUGGGCGCCACUACAACAAGGGAUACUACCUAGCAGAUGGCAUCUAUCCGAGAUGGUCCACAUUUGUGAAGACUAUCUCAAACCCUAUGCCAGGAGGCAAGAACUCCUACUUUGCCAAGUGUCAGGAGGCUUGCAGGAAGAAUAUCGAGCGGGCGUUUGGUGUGCUCCAAUCUCGAUUUGUUGUUGUCUGGUACCCCUCUCUGACCUGGUUGAAAGAUCAAAUGUGGAAAGUCAUGACUUGCCGUGUCACCUUGCACAACAUGAUCAAUGAGAGCGAUAAGGAAGAGCCAGUGUUUGACACUGAACCAUAUUACAUGCUGGGUCCUCUUGCCAAAGUUGAUCACCAGCUACUGGCAACCUGGUCUGCCUUACUCAAUAUGCGUCAGGAGAUGCGAGACCCACAUGUGCAUCAAGAACUGCAAUAUGAUUUGGUGGAGCACCUAUAGAGGCUCAAGGGCAACACCUAGCUCGACAUGUGAUGAAAUAUGAGUUUUUUUGUGUUCAAAUUAUGAGUUUGAUUUGUUGAACUAUUUGAUUUGUAUUGAUUUCUGUGAUGAACUAUGUGAUAAAAAUUAAUUUUUCUUCAAUUUGUUCCAAACCACACCGAACAUGGGCCAAAAUUGGGCCGAUUUCCGCCGAAAGUGGGCCAAAAUCGGCGGCUGAGGGGGGCGAGCUUGGGGGUCAGCUGGAAACCCGAGCCCCCUACGGCGAUUUUUCCAUCGGUUGGCCCCCAGCCAGCGCUAUUUCAAGCCCCGGGGGGGAGAACGGCUAGAGAUGCUCUAAGAAGUCAUCGAUCUCGAUCGCCGGUGCAUGAAACGAAAACAAAGAAUUGAUUUUGAUUAUCGAUCAAACUCGCUCACCGCCACAGUAACGUACACACGUACGCAUAUGCAUAUCUACGUACAGUAUAUGCGUGAUGAGCUCAGACUUUGUAGCCACCAGCAGCGGCGGCGGCGAUGGGACUGGCGGGGGCGGGGACGACCAUGGAGACGAUGGUGUCGCUCAGGAAUGACUCAAUGAGCGUGCGCUUGUCCUGGGGAUUCCUGGGAAGAAAAAUGGCGUAGCUCUUCUUGACUGUGGACUCGAGGGCAGGGACAAACUUGUAGGCCUCGUAUGCAUCACCAGUGGUCUCCUUGAUGGCCUUGCUGAAGGCAGAGUCGAAGACGGUGGACCUGUCCUUUAUCGGGGCAGCGUCGGCAGUGGUGGCUGCAGUGCUGAAGGCGGCGUCGAUCUGGUCGAUGGCCUUGAGCUCGCCGGUAGGGAUCGGCCCCAUGACUUCCUCACCGGAGUGGACCUUCAGGAUGCCGACGAUGAUGCAGAGCGACUUGUCGAACAUGGCCACGAAGGAUUCAUACUUGGCCUCCGGGGUAGCACCCUAGGCUUUGUGUGAGGCCCACGCCAGAGUGAAGCCGACCCUGGAGUUGAAAAUGGCUUUGGUGCUGGACGUGUCGGUGACACCCUCAAGAGACCAGCUGCCGAAGAUCUGCACGAAGGUGUUCAGGAAUAUCUUGCCCUUGUCCAUUGGAGGUGCUGCGGCUGCGGCCGCGACGGUCGCCUUGAAGGCGUUGUUGGCCUUCUUAGCUAGCUUCUACUCCUCAGUCGUGGCCUUGGGCUGUGGCCCGGCUGGGGCGUAGCCAGCUUCGGCAGCAUACGAGACGGCUGGCCCUGCCACGAGGGCGACGGCCACCAAGAGCGCCACCGUACACUGCUGCACCGCCAUUGCUGCUUCUCUUGUCUUGUGUUGGUUGGUUUGCACACUACAUAGGAGGAGAGAUUGUGGUGCAGUGUGAGGAUGAAGGAGCUUAAUUAGCUCUAUAUAUACAUCGACCCGCACGUUGAGAGGCCCGGAGAGAUUACCGCGCCCAAAUUAGCAAUCCCCUCCUCUCCUCUCCUUUUUUUUAGCCAAACUCAUUAUCCCCAUGAGCUCUUCAUGCCACAAACCAAUAAUAAUAGCAUCGAUUAGAUCCCUAACUACUGUUUAACCUCGUGGGGUGGGUAAUAAUAAAAGUAAUAAAAAAUCAACAACGUGCGAAGAUGUGAUUGGACAUAAGGGAAGUGAGGGGCCCACCCCUUAAAAAUCAGGGGGCAUAGUUACUUAGUUAGGAUGUUUAUGUAUUCUCUUCGUAGGAGCCCGUGAAUGUAGCAUUUUCGGGGUAAUAACCUUCCAGUCCGAACUGUAUGGGAUCCUCUCCCCUGUACCAAUCCUCCAAAUAUAUCCACGCUUGAAGGAUGAAAAAGAAAACAUGAUGUUGUGGCCACGUGAAUGAUGAGCCUUUCUUAAGGGUAGAUUGUAAGAGAUCAUAGUUAGGGAAGUACUUGUCUUUUAAAAUUCUUGCGUGGAACAAAUCAGGGUUAGGUAUGAAUCUCGAUCAUUGCUUGGCAAGGAUCGCAAGGCUAAAACAAUAUAUAAAUCUCUAAAGUCCUUACCCCCUUCACUUUUAGGAAAGAGAAUUGUCCACCAUGCGAGCCAAUCCAUCUUUUUAUUAUCCUCCUCAUCUCGCCACCCAAACUGAGCAAUAAUGUCAUUAAUUUCUUUGCAAAUUCCUUUAGGCAAAUAAAAUACAAAGAUGGCGAACACAGUUAUAGCUUGAGUUGUGGACUUUAGAGCAUCUCCAGCUGCACCCCAACAGGCCUCCCAAGGCCAUUUUUUAGCGCCGACGCCCAAAAAUCGGCCCAGUCGCGCCCACAGGAGCCCAAUUUUCGCCGGUUAGGGCCGAAACUAGCGCCGACGAACCCAGGCCAAACCCGGCGCGCUGGGGGGCGCCCGGCGGCCCCGUACAAUCUUUUUUGGUGCGAAAGAACGGCGGGCCCGCCGAGUCAGCGACCCCCGCGCCUCAUCGUCCUCAUCGCCUCGGUUUCCAUGGGGAAUCAAUGCCAGGGCUGCCGCCGGUCAGCCUUCCAUUGAUUCCUCACGGGCGGCGCGGUGAGGCAACGCGCGCUCUCUCGUCACACGUACACAUGCCACCCCCCGGCCGCUAUAUAAGCCGCCCCUGCCUCGCCGCUGAACGCACCCUACCCGCAACCCCCCUCUCUCCCCGUGCACUCACAGCCGUCGCCGUCGAACUCUCUUUCCCUCUCUCCCGGUGCACGCACAGACGAUGGGCGAAAGGUGCCCCGGCGAGGGGCAGCGGCCAAUGGCUUCAGCCACCGCACUCUACACGAGUGGGAAGCCCAUCUCCUCCAUGAAGCGAACUACCCGGCGCCUCCCGACAUGCGUGCGCCGGGGCGGUGGAGGCUCAGCGCCGGGGGCGUCCCCGUCCCCCCGCUGCCCGACGUCGAGCACCCCCACUACUUCCUGGCCGAGAUCGACCGUGUGCGGGCGUCUCUAUCGGAGGAGGAGCGAGCCCUUCCGGAGUACGACGCCGGCAACCACGAGGCGUGGGAAGCGUACUUCAAACACCGAAAGGCGGAGCGGCUGGCCUCCAUUAACAACACGCUACUGGUGAGGGGGCGCAACAACAGCGACGGCCACUGCCUGCGGUGGGGCGCCCCCGGUGGGGCGCCCCCGGCCGCACGCUACACACCGUCCUCGAGUACCUCGAGGGCGGCAAUGAUCUGCCGCUGACGUACCCGGCCGCCCCGGUCCCCCGCCAAAGUUGCGGUUCAUGGAAGCCGAGGAGGAUGCUGGGCGGGUCCUCCUCCUCCCGUUCCUCCUCCCGCUCCUCUAGAUCGCCAUCAUCGAGGGCGGCGGCGGUUCCUCGGGUCCAGCCUCCCGCCUCAUAAGGCCGAAGACGGAGCCGGCGCUUGGCCCCGUGAAGUGCGAGCACAACGACGAGGCCGCCUUCGACGACGUGGCCGCCUUCGACGACGAGGCCGCCAUGAAGUGGGCGCGGGAAGACUAGGCGCGGACGGAGAUGGAGCGCCAGGGCCGCGUCCUGGAGGGGAUCGCCGCUUGGUGUUGUGGCCGUGACGAGGGAGGCGUCAUCGUUCUCGAUGAUAGCGACAAUGAGGUGCUGCCGCCGGCCAAACCAGUCCACCAUGGGGACCCCAGGUAGGGGUCCAGUAGGGAUUGCUACGUGAAGGAGGAGAAGGACGACGAUGGCGGCGGCGACUUCGACGUGUUUAGCGAGUUCUUCGGCCUGUCGGCGCGGCCGUUCUUCUUCUUCUUUUUAGUAGACUUAUUAUUCUGUUUCUAUAUGUAAAAAAACUGUGAACCACCUAAAUAUCGCCUAAUGUAUGCCGUGUUUGCCGAAAUUUUCCCAAUCAUGUUUUUUUAAAGAGCGUCUAGGGCAGUCCUGGGGGCGGCGGCUGGGAAGCCGAUCGCCCCCAAGCGGCACUUUUUUCUAGCGGGGGGGGGGAGGACGACCACGACUGGAGAUGCUCUUACUAAGAUCUCCUUCCUUCCAAUGGAUAAUUGCUUCUCAAUCCAUCAUUUCAACCCUUGUUUACAUCUAGACAAGCUACUAAAUUAAGAAAUUUGUGCUAAUCAGGUUGUUGUACUAGCUGCACUGUUAAGAUAAAUCAGGGCAAAUGAGACAUAAGCUGUUGUUAUAUCCGCGACUUAAGAGAGCACGUAAACCCACUUUGUUAUGCGUUAUUGGGAUCCUCAUGUUCAUUACUGUUAAAUAGAUUGUGUGCGAUUAUGCAAUUAUUGUCCCAUGAUCUGAUUUAGUUAUGUCGUUUGUGUAUGUGCUACUGUGUUACUGUCAUCCUGUUCAGUUUUAUCAUUUGCAUUGCAUGGUGAUGAGUACAACCGUUGGACGAAACUUUAUUCGUCACAGUAACCUUUUAAUUUUUUGGUGCUCUAGGAUUGCCAAAUAUGAAUCGGGUGCACUAUGUGUGCUUCAUAUACAGGCCAUAUGUUACAGUCUUAGUGAAUCAUUAUGAUUCUACCUCAGCAAACUGAAAUCCUAUUGAUGUUGCAUUUGUAUGGCUUCCUUUUUAGGGCUAUGCAUUGUUAUGUGUUGGUUACCCAUCCUCUUAUCUGGAGGUUGAAGCUCAAGAUAAAGACAAGGCAAGCAAUUCUCUUAGCCGCCUUCUGAGUUCUAAGAAUUUUCUAGUUCAAAUAUGUAUUAGGAACUAUGAAAUAUUCUUCUAAAUACUGAUGAUUGCACCAUUAACAAUGGUCUAUCUCAAAUUCUCAAUGUAUAGGUAUAUUGGCUCCAGUUUGGAAUAUAUUUUGCACCAGGGCCUGUUGUAAGUAUUGCCAACCUUUUCUUGUUCGAAAACUGCGGUUCCUUGUUCUAGGAAGCUAAUAGCUAUGGCUAUCAGCCAAGUCAGUGUUAUUGAUACCCCUCUUAAAUAUGUGCAUCUUUCGAGCUUUCCUAAGAUGAAACCGAUCCGUCUUUCUAUUUCAGGAUAGAGAUGAUUACACACUAGAGCUUGCAAUGGGAGAUGAGUGAAACGUGCCCAUAAGGUUUGACCCAUCAAAAACUUCAGUUCUGCAAUUUCAUCCAAUUCUGACACUCUAUUUCCACUCUUUUUAGUGGUAUGGUCUUUAAGCGACGCUCCUACAGUUUGUAGGUUAUAGGGUUGCAGAGAUUUGAUUUGCAAGUGGAGAAAGAAAAAAACCUUUGGUCUCUGUUCUCUGUGUUGUGUGUUCCGUGUUUUCGCAAAAUUUUAUGUGCAAAUAUGCUUGUAGGGAUUCCAUUUCUCAUCCUUUUGCCCCUAGUACACAAAAAACUCAAUGGACUGUAUGUAAAAAGUGAACUACUUAGGGCCUCAACUCAAUCUUUAGUGCAACGAAAGGAUGUUUCUAGCUAUGGUUGUCUGUUCCACUUAAGGCAUUUCACAUGAUGUUGCUUAUCAGUUUGUCAGUUGGUAGUAGAUUUGGAGUGGUUGAAUGUCCUCUCAUCCUGUACGAAUGCGAUCGAUAACAUGUCUAGGGAUACUAUGGAUGUGGCGCUACCGAUAGGAGCGCAACUCAGAAGUUGUUUAAUUUCAAAAUUUUAUCCUUGGUAAAUUAUGGACAACUUAAAAUCUUCGGAGUACAUUAACACAAUCUAUGUUUUACAUGUUACAAAAUUUCAAGUGCAAAGUCUUUUUUUAUUAGAAACAUGGAGCGCAAUGUGGAUGCAAGGAGACAAAGUACACCACAUGCACACUAAUAUCGCAUGAACCAAAGGCUGAAGUUGUGAAAUAUCAAGAUUGGCGAAAUCAUCGCAUGCACCUCGCUAUCUUCUAUACUUUUAUUUCAGUAUUAGAUGUACUUUCUAGGAUUAGGGAUGGCAAUGGGUACCCAUUACCCGUGUACCCAGCGGGUAAAACUCCUAUUAUGGCAAGGGUAUGGGUUAAAAAAAUACCCAUGGGUACAUAAAUAGGAAAUUUGAAACACAUCGGGUAUAGUGGGUAUGUGUAUGGUUUAGUAUAACCCAUACCCGUGUACCAUGUAUCCGCAUAUAAUUUUAUAAAUUGGUCUUAAGUAUUAUUUAUCCACAUAUUAAACAUUUUCUUCCAUAAAUCCCGCAGCUAGCCCAUGACGAAGCUAGAAUCCCAUGUCCAGAAUCCCAUACAUGAUACAUAUCUAGGUGAUUAAUGUCUAGAAUUGCCUCAUUCCUUAUAUGGCUAUAUAUAUCAAUGUUAAUUGACGUCCAAAAUUACGACAAAUAAGUGUUGUUGCUCAUGAGAUGUGCUGCUGUUUACGAGUAUGUGUUGUUGUCAAGAUGUGUUUCUCUACUAUCUACUAGUAGAAUGCCCUUGCGUUGCCACGGGCUAACAAAAUAUAUACACAACAAAAAUAUGCUACUAAAAAUGUAUAUACAAAGAGAAAUGUCAUGUGAUAUGGGAGUGAUAGACAAUUGACAUGUGAUUAUAUUUCAUUCUUGUGAUGGGGUAGAUAAAUGCAUCUUCUCGUCAUCUUUCUCUUCCCCUCCCUAUCUCACAAUCUUUUCUUCUUCGUGUGUUUCUCAUGGGGGCAAGCAUAAUCAUUGAUAUGAAUAGUCAUGAAAAUAUCAUAUCACCACAACAACAAUCUAUCAUCUGCUCCAAAAUUGACACCUAUAUGCUUACUAUACAUACCAAAAAAACAACUGCAGUGUUGCAGUCAAGACAAAAUUUUGAAAGCACAUUCUAUCAAAACAAUAUUAAUCUUUCGUUCGAGCUUCUAUAGCCCCUCCGCCGCACAGACCUGGCCGUCUCCACUCACUCGCCUCAUAGGCAGCAGUUGCUCCACGUGUUAAUCCACUCAUUUCCGUCUCCACUCACACCUCUCAUAGGAAUACCGAACCAUAAAAAUAUUUUCAGAGUAUUAGGAUUGUUUCAUGAAUUAUGUUCACUUCUAUCAACAACUCAAGACACAAAACUUUUGUGUUUGGUAAGAAAAUUCAGCAGAUAUGAAGGUAAAAUGAAAUCAUCAAUAUAAUUCCCACCUAAACUACUGCAUGGAACAAUAAUACAAAGCGUUCAAUACUGACUUGCACAUACUUCACAAUUAGCAAAAGGUUUCAUCCAGUAUGUAGAUGCGGUGAACAUGAGCACGUACUUGGACAGAGCAUAACGCAUGGGGGCGAGGCUCCAUUCCAACACUUCCCCAGCCCUCCGAUUUUAUUGUAGUACUUUGUAUGUCAUAGGUGCCUUUAAUUCACACGUGUAGUACUAUUUUUCGUUGACAUGGAUGAUACCUUAAAUAAAACUUCCUAGACUAUUACAUCAAAUACAAGCUCCUUUCGUUCAUAUUUGUGUAGCACUUCUCAAAAAAUACCAAAAUCUGAAAGUAACUAAAUCACUGUACAUUAACUGAGACCUCAGGUAUGGGAGUGUUUCUGUCCACACACACACACACACACAGAGAGAGAGAGAGAGAGAGAGAGAGAGAGAGAGAUAGAUAGAUAGAGAGAGAGAGAGAUUGCCUUGAGGCAAGCAAACAACAAAUUAUAAAUUUGACAAGCAUGUCGGUUCAUAUUUAAACAGGGUAAUAAAUAAACCAAGAUGUGAGACUAUUCUAUGGUGUACCUAAUCAUUUUUUAACUUUGUGAUUCAGUUGUAUAUAUGUAACUGUAGAAAAAUAUUGACAUCCACAAGAGAUUAAAAAUAGCACCAUGUCAUACCUACACGUAUUUGAUUGGUUCCAUGUGUUGGGGAACGUUGCAGAAAAUAAAAAAAUUUCUAUGGUUUCACCAAGAUCUAUCUAUGAGUUCAUCUAGCAACGAGUGAUCGGAGUGCAUCUACAUACCUUUGUAGAUCGCGAGCGGAAGCGUUCAAGAGAACGGGGUUGAGGGAGUCGUACUCGUCGUGAUCCAAAUCACCGGAGAUCCUAGCGCCGAACGAACGGCACCUCCACGUUCAACACACGUACGGCGCGGAUGACGUCUCCCGCGUCUUGAUCCAGCAAGGAGGAGGGAGAGGUUGAGGAAGAUGGCUCCAGCAGCAGCACGACAGCGUGGUGGUGAUGGAGAGGCAGUACUCCGGCAGGGCUUCGCCAAGCUCUGCGGAGGAGGAGGAGGUGUUGGAGUGGGAGAGGGAGGCGCCAGGGGCAUGCGUGCGGCUGCCCUCCCUCCCCCCCUCUAUAUAUAGGGUGCCCAAGGGGGGCGCCAGCCCUAGGAGAUGGGAUCUCCUAGGGGGGCGGCGGCCAAGGGGGUGGAGUGCCCCCCAAGGCAAGUGGAGGCGCCCCCUCCCCUAGGGUUCCCAACCCUAGGUGUAGGGGGGGGCAAGGGGGGGGGCACUAGCCCACUAGGGGCUGUUUCCCCUCCCACUUCAGCCCAUGGGGCCCUCCGGCAUAGGUGGCCCCACCCGGUGGACCCCGGGCCCUUUCGGUGGUCCCGGUACAAUACCGGUGACCCCCGAAACUUUCCCGAUGGUCGAAACUCGAUUUCCCAUAUAUAAUUCUUUACCUCCAGACCAUUCCGGAACUCCUCGUGACGUCCGGGAUCUCAUCCGGGACUCCGAACAACUUUCGGGUUACUGCAUACUCAUAUCUCUACAACCCUAGCAUCACUGAACCUUAAGUGUGUAGACCCUACGGGUUCGGGAGACAUGUAGACAUGACCAAGACGGCUCUCCGGCCAAUAACCAACAGCGGGAUCUGGAUACCCAUGUUGGCUCCCACAUGCUCCUCGAUGAUCUCAUCAGAUGAACCACGAUGUCAAGGAUUCAAGCAACCCCGUAUACAAUUCCCUUUGUCAAUCGGUAUGUUACUUGCCCGAGAUUCGAUCGUCGGUAUCCCAAUACCUCAUUCUAUCUCGUUACCGGCAAGUCACUUUACUCGUACCGUAAUGCAUGAUCCCGUGACCAAACACUUGGUCACCUUGAGCUCAUUAUGAUGAUGCAUUACCGAGUGGGCCCAGAGAUACCUCUCCGUCAUACGGAGUGACAAAUCCCAGUCUCGAUCCGUGUCAACCCAACAGACAGUUUCGGAGAUACCCGUAGUAUACCUUUAUAGUCACCCAGUUAUGUUGUGACGUUUGGUACACCCAAAGCACUCCUACGGUAUCCGGGAGUUACACGAUCUCAUGGUCUAAGGAAAAGAUACUUGACAUUGGAAAAGCUCUAGAAAACAAACUAUACGAUCUUGUGCUAUGCUUAGGAUUGGGUCUUGUCCAUCACAUCAUUCUCCUAAUGAUGUGAUCUUGUUAUCAAUGACAUCCAAUGUCCAUAGUCAGGAAACCAUGACUAUCUGUUGAUCAACGAGCUAGUCAACUAGAGGCUUACUAGGGACAUAUUGGUGUCUAUGUAUUCACACAUGUAUUACAAUUUCCGGAUAACACAAUUAUAGCAUGAAUAAAAGACAAUUAUCAUGAACAAGGAAAUAUAAUAGUAAUCCUUUUAUUAUUGCCUCUAGGGCAUAUUUCCAAUAGUCUCCCACUUGCACUACAGUCAAUAAUCUAGUUACAUUGUGAUGAAUCGAACACCCAUAGAGUUCUGGUGUUGAUCAUGUUUUGCUCUCGGAAGAGGUUUAGUCAAUGGAUCUGCGACAUUCAAAUCCGUAUGCACUUUGCAAAUUUCUAUGUCGCCAUCUUGAACAUUUUCACGAAUGGAGUUGAAGCGACGCUUGAUGUGCCUGGUCUUCUUGUGAAACCUGGGCUCCUUGGCAAGUGUAAUAGCUCCAGUGUUGUCACAGAAGAGUUUGAUCGGCCCUGACGCAUUGGGUAUGACUCCUAGGUCGGUGAUGAACUCCUUCACCCAAAUUGCUUCAUGCGCUGCCUCCGAGGCUGCCAUGUACUCCGCUUCACAUGUAGAUCCUGCCACGACGCUCUGCUUGCAGCUACACCAGCUUACUACUCCACCAUUCAACAUAUACACGUAUCCGGUUUGUGACUUAGAGUCAUCCAGAUCUGUGUUGAAGCUAGCGUCGACGUAACCCUUUACGACGAGCUCUUCGUCACCUCCAUAAACGAGAAACAUGUCCUUAGUCCUUUUCAGGUACUUCAGGAUAUUCUUGACCGCUGUCCAGUGUUCCUUGCCGGGAUUACUUUGGUACCUUUCUACCAAACUUACGGCAAGGUUUACAUCAGGUCUGGUACACAACAUGGCAUACAUAAUAGACCCUAUGGCUGAGGCAUAGGGGAUGACACUCAUCUCUUCUAUAUCUUCUGCCAUGGUCGGACAUUGAGCUGAGCUCAAUUUCACACCUUGCAACACAGGCAAGAACCCCUUCUUAGACUGAUCCAUAUUGAACUUCUUCAAUAUCUUAUCAAGGUAUGUGCUUUGUGAAAGACCUAUGAGGCGUCUUGAUCUAUCUCUAUAGAUCUUCAUGCCUAAUAUAUAAGCAGCUUCUCCAAGCUCCUUCAUUGAAAAACUCUUAUUCAAGUAGGCCUUAAUGUUGUCCAAAAGUUCUAUAUCAUUUCCCAUCAAAAGUAUGUCAUCUACAUAUAAUAUGAGAAAUUCUACAGAGCUCCCACUCACUUUCUUGUAAACGCAGGCUUCUCCAUAAGUCUGCAUAAACCCAAACGCUUUGAUCAUCUCAUCAAAGCGAAUGUUCCAACUCCGAGAUGCUUGCACCAGCCCAUAAAUGGAUCGCUGGAGCUUGCAUACCUUUUUAGCAUUCUUAGGGUCGACAAAACCUUCCGGCUGCAUCAUAUACAGUUCUUCCUUAAGGUAACCGUUAAGGAAUGUCGUUUUGACGUCCAUUUGCCAUAUCUCAUAAUCAUAGUAUGCGGCAAUUGCUAACAUGAUUCGGACGGACUUCAGCUUCGCUAGGGGAGAGAAAGUCUCAUCGUAGUCAACCCCUUGAACUUGCCGAUAACCCUUAGCGACAAGUCGAGCUUUAUAUAUGGUAACAUUACCAUCCGCGUCCUUCUUCUUCUUAAAGAUCCAUUUGUUUUCUAUCGCUCGCCGAUCAUCGGGCAAGUCUGUCAAAGUCCAUACUUUGUUUUCAUACAUGGAUCCUAUCUCGGAUUGCAUGGCUUCAAGCCAUUUGUUGGAAUCUGGGCCCGCCAUCGCUUCUUCAUAGUUCGAAGGUUCACCGUUGUCUAACAACAUGAUUUCCAGGACAGGGUUGCCAUACCACUCUGGUGUGGAACGUGCCCUUGUGGACCUACGAAGUUCAGUAGCAACUUGAUUCGAAGUACCUUGAUCAUCAUCAUUAAUUUCCUCUCUAGUGGACGUAGGCACCACAAGAACAUUUUCCUGAGCUGCACUACUUUCCGGUUCAAGAGGCAGUACUUCAUCGAGUUCUACUUUCCUCCCACUUACUCCUUUCGAGAGAAACUCUUUUUCCAGAAAGGAUCCGUUCUUGGCAACAAAGAUCUUGCCUUCGGAUCUAAGGUAGAAGGUAUACCCAAUGGUUUCCUUAGGGUAUCCUAUGAAGACGCAUUUUCCGACUUGGGUUUGAGCUUUUCAGGUAGAAGUUUCUUGACAUAAGCAUCGCAUCCCCAAACUUUUAGAAACGACAGUUUAGGUUUCUUCCCAAACCAUAAUUCAUACGGUGUCGUCUCAACGGAUUUAGACGAUGCCCUAUUUAAAGUGAAUUUAGCUGUCUGUAGAGCGUAUCCCCAAAAUGAUAGCGGUAAAUCAGUAAGAGACAUCAUAGAUUGCACCAUAUCCAAUAGAGUGCGAUUACGACGUUCGGACACACCGUUAUGUUGAGGUGUUCCAGGCGGCGUGAGUUGUGAAACGAUUCCACAUUUCCUUAAGUGUGUGCCAAAUUCGUGACUUAAAUAUUCUCCUCCACGAUCUGAUCAUAAGAACUUUAUUUUUCGGUCACGUUGAUUCUCUACCUCAUUCUGAAAUUCCUUGAACUUUUCAAAGGUCUCAGACUUGUGUUUCAUCAAGUAGACAUACCCAUAUCUACUCAAGUCAUCAGUGAGAGUGAGAACAUAACGAUAUCCUCCGCGAGCCUCAACGCUCAUUGGACCGCACACAUCAGUAUGUAUGAUUUGCAAUAAGCUGGUUGCUUGCUCCAUUAUUCCGGAGAACGGAGUCUUGGUCAUUUUUCCCAUGAGGCAUGGUUCGCAUGUGUCAAAUGAUUCAUAAUAGAGAGACUCUAAAAGUCCAUCAGCAUGGAGCUUCUUCAUGCACUUUACACAAAUGUGACCAAGGCGGUAGUGCCACAAGUAUGUGGGACUAUCGUUAUCAACUUUACAUCUUUUGGUAUUCACACUAUGAAUAUGUGUAACAUCACGUUCGAGAUUCAUUAAGAAUAAACCAUUGACCAUCGGAGCAUGACUAUAAAACAUAUCUCUCAUAUAAAUAGUACAACCAUUAUUCUCGGAUUUAAAUGAGUAGCCAUCUCGUAUUAAACGAGAUCCAGAUACAAUGUUCAUGCUCAAACUUGGCACUAAAUAACAAUUAUUGAGGUUUAAAACUAAUCCCGUAGGUAAAUGUAGAGGUAGCGUGCCGACGGCGAUCACAUCGACCUUGGAACCAUUCCCGACGCGCAUCGUCACCUCGUCCUUCGCCAGUGUCCGCUUAUUCCGCAGCUCCUGCUUUGAGUUACAAAUAUGAGCAACGGCACCGGUAUCAAAUACCCAGGAGCUACUAGGAGCACAGGUAAGGUACACAUCAAUUACAUGUAUAUCACAUAUACCUUUAGUGUUGCCGGUCUUCUUGUCCGCUAAGUAUUUGGGGCAGUUCCGCUUCCAGUGACCCUUCCCUUUGCAAUAAAAGCACUCAGUCUCAGGCUUGGGUCCAUUCUUUGACUUCUUCCCGGCAACUGGCUUACCGGGCGCGGCAACAUCCUUGCCGUCCUACUUGAAGUUCUUCUUACCCUUGCCUUUCUUGAACUUGGUGGUUUUAUUGACCAUCAACACUUGAUGUUCCUUUUUGAUUUCUACCUCCGCUGAUUUCAGCAUUGAAAAUACUUCAGGAAUGGUCUUUUCCAUCCCCUGUAUAUUGUAGUUCAUCACAAAGCUCUUGUAGCUAGGUGGGAGCGACUAAAGGAUUCUGUCAAUGACCGCCUCGUCUGGGAGGUUAAUGUCCAGCUGGGACAAGCGGUUGUGCAACCCAGACAUCUUGAGUAUGUGCUCACUGACAGAACUAUUUUCCUCCAUCUUACUGCUGUAGAACUUGUCAGAGACUUCAUAUCUCUCGACCCGGGCAUGAGCAUGGAAAACCAUUUUCAGCUCUUCGAACAUCUCAUAUGCUCCGUGUUGCUCAAAACGCUUUUGGAGCCCCGGUUCUAAGCUGUAAAGCAUGCCGCACUAAACGAGGGAGUAAUCAUCAGCACGCUGCUGCCAAGCGUUCAUAAUGUCUUGGUUCUCUGGGAUGGGUGCUUCACCUAGAGGUGCUUCUAGGACAUAUUGUCUCCUGGCAGCUAUGAGGAUGAUCCUCAGGUUCCGGACCCAGUCCGUAUAGUUGCUGCCAUCAUCUUUCAGCUUGGUUUUCUCUAGGAACGCGUUGAAGUUCAUGUUGACAUGAGCGUUGGCCAUUUGAUCUACAAGACAUUUAUGCAAAGAUUUUUAGACUAAGUUCAUGAUAAUUAAGUUCAUCUAAUCAAAUUAUUUAAUGAACUCCCACUCAGAUUAGAGAUCCCUCUAGUCAUCUAAGUGAAACAUGAUCCGACUCGACUAGGCCGUGUCCGAUCAUCACGUGAGACAGACUAGUCAUCAUCGGCGAACAUCUCCAUGUUGAUCGUAUCUUUCAUACGACCCAUGUUCGACCUUUCGGUCUCUUGUGUUCCGAGGCCAUGUCUGUACAUGCUAGGCUCGUCAAGUUAACCUAAGUGUUUGCAUGUGUAAAUCUGUCUGACACCCGUUGUAUGUGAAUGUUGGAAUCUAUCACACCCGAUCAUCACGUGGUGCUUCGAAACAACGAACUGUCGCAAUGGCGCACAGUUAGGGGAAACACUUUAUUGAAAUUAUUUUGAGGGAUCAUCUUAUUUACUACCGUCGUUCUAAGUAAACAAGAUGCAAAAACAUGAUAAACAUCACAUGCAAUCAAAUAAUAGUGACAUGAUAUGGCCAAUAUCAUAUAGCUCCUUGAACUCCAUCUUGGGGCUCCAUGAUCAUCUUUUCACCGGCAUGACACCAUGAUCUCCAUCAUCAUGAUCUCCAUCAUCGUGUCUCCAUGAAGUUGCUCGCCAACUAUUACUUCUACUACUAUGGCUAACACGUUUAGCAAUAAAGUAAAGUAAUUUACAUGGCGUUUCUCAAUGACACGCAGGUCAUACAAAAAAUAAAGACAACUCCUAUGGCUCCUGCCGGUUGUCAUACUCAUCGACAUGCAAGUCGUGAUUCCUAUUACAAGAACAUGAUCUCAUACAUCACAUAUAUAUCAUUCAUCAUUCAUCACAACUUUGGCCAUAUCACAACACAAAACACUUGCUGCAAAAACAAGUUAGACGUCCUCUAAUUGUUGUUGCAAUUUUUACGUGGUUGCAAUAGGGUUCUAGCAAGAACGUUUUCUUACCUAUGUAAAAGCCACAACGUGAUUUGUCAACUUCUAUUUACCCUUCAUAAGUACCCUUUUCGUCGAAUCCGCUCCAACUAAAGUGGGAGAGACAGACACCCGCUCGCCACCUUAUGCAACUAGUGCAUGUCAGUCCGGGCCACUUCAUCCCACAAUACCGCUGAAGCAAAAUAAGACUAGUAGCGGCAAGAAAGUUAACAACAUCUACGCCCACAACAAAUUGUGUUCUACUCGUGCCAAGAGAACUACGCAUAAACCUGGCUCAUGAUGCCACUGUUGGGGAAUGUUGCAGAAAAUAAAAAAAAUUCUACGGUUUCACCAAGAUCUAUCUAUGACUUCAUCUAGCAACGAGUGAUCAGAGUGUGAUAACCCACAAGUAUACGGGAUCACAACAGUUUUCGAGGGUAGAGUAUUCAACCCAAAUUUGUUGAUUCGACACAAGGGGAGCCAAACAAUAUUCUCAAGUAUUAACAACUGAGUUGUCAAUUCAACCACACCUGGAAACUUAGUAUCUGCAGCAAAGUUUUUAGUAGCAAAGUAAUAUGAUAGUGGUGAUAACGGUAACAAAGUAAAGACAGCAAAAGUAAUGUUUUGGGUAUUUUUGUAGUGAUUGUAACAGUAGCACCAGAAAAGUAAAUAAGCGUAAACCAGUAUAUGGAAAACUCGUAGGCACCGGAUCAACGAUGGAUAAUUAUGUCGGAUGUGGUUCAUCAUGUAACAGUCAUAACAUAGGGUGACACAGAACUAGCUCCAGUUCAUCAAUAUAAUGUAGGCAUGUAUUCCGUAAAUAGUCAUACAUGCUUAUGGAAAAGAACUUGCAUGACAUCUUUUGUCCUACCCUCCCGUGGCAGCGGGGUCCUAUUGGAAACUAAGGGAUAUUAAGGCCUCCUUUUAAUAGAGAACCGGAACAAAGCAUUAACACAUAGUGAAUACAUGAACUCCUCAAACUAUGGUCAUCACCGGGAGUGGUCCCGAUUAUUGUCACUUCGGGGUUGCCGGAUCAUAACACAUAGUAGGUGACUAUAGACUUGCAAGAUAGGAUCUAGAACUCACAUAUAUUCAUGAAAACAUAAUAGGUUCAUAUCUGAAAUCAUGGCACUCGGGCCCUAGUGACAAGCAUUAAGCAUAGCAAAGUCAUAGCAACAUCAAUCUCAGAACAUAGUGGAUACUAGGGAUCAAACCCUAACAAAACUAACUCGAUUACAUGAUAAAUCUCAUCCAACCCAUCACCGUCCAUCAAGCCUAUGGUGCAAUUACUCAUGCACGGCGGUGAGCAUCAUGAAAUUGGUGAUGGAGGAUGGUUGAUGAUGACGACGGCGAUGAAUCCCCCUCUCCGGAGCCCCAAACGGACUCCAGAUCAGCCCUCCCGAGAGAGAUUAGGGCUUGGCGGCGGCUCCGUAUCGUAAAACGCGAUGAAACUUUCUCUCUGAUUUUUUUCUCCUUGAAAGCCAAUAUAUGGAGUUGGAGUUGGCGUCAGAGGGCCACCAGGGGGCCCACGAGGUAGGGGGGCGCGCCCCCCACCCUCGUGGACCGGGUGUGGGCCCCCUGGUCUUCAUCUUUGGCGAGGAUUUUUUAUUAUUUAUUCUAAGAUAUUCCGUGGAGUUUCAGGUCAUUCCGAGAACUUUUGUUUUUUGCACAUAAAACAACACCAUGGCAAUUCUGCUGGAAACAGCGUCAGUCCGGGUUAGUUCCAUUCAAAUCAUACAAGUUAGAGUCCAAAACAAGGGCAAAAGUGUUUGGAAAAGUAGAUACGACGGAGACAUAUCAACUCCCCCAAGCUUAAACCCUUGUUUGUCCUCAAGCAAUUCAGUUGACAAACUGAAAGAGAAAAAGAAAAACUUUUACAAACUCUAUUUACUCUUGUUGUUGUAAACAUGAAAAGCCAGCAUUCAAGUUUCAGCAAUUAUUAUGAACUAACCAUACUCACAAUAACACAUAGGUCUCACAAUUACUCAUAUCAAUAGCACAAUCAGCUAGCGAGCCAUAAUAAUAAAACUCGGAUGACAACACUUUCUCAAAAUAAUCAUAACAUGAUAUAACAAAAUGGUAUCUCGCUAGCCCUUUCUGAGACCGCAAAGCAUAAAUGCAGAGCACCUUUAAAGAUCAAGGACUGACUAAACAAUGUAAUUCAUGGUAAAAGAGAUCCAGUCAAGUCAUACCCAAUAUAAACCAAUCAUAAUGAAUGCAAACGACAGUGUGCUCUCCAGCGGGUGCUUUUUAAUAAGAAGGGUGAUGACUCAACAUAAAAGUAAAUAGAUAGGCCCUUCGCAGAGGGAAGCAGGGAUUUGUAGAGGUGCCAGAGCUCGAUUUUUGAAAUAGAGAUAAAUAAUAUUUUGAGCGGCAUACUUUCACUGUCAACGCAACAACUAUGAGAUGGUUGUAUCUUCCAUACUACAUGCAUUAUAGGCAGUUCCGAAACAGAAUGGUAAAGGUUUAUACUCCACCUCCUCCACAAGCAUCAAUCCAUGGCUUGCUCAAAACAAUGAGUGCCUCCAACAUUCAAUGGGUCCCAGGGGGAGUUUUGUUUAAUUAUUUUGAUUUGCUUUGAUCUUUUUGGAUCAUGGGACUGGGCAUCCCGGUUACCGGCCCUUUCUCGUGAAUGAGGAGCGGAGUCCACUCCUCUUGAGAAUAACCCACCUAGCAUGGAAGAUAUAGGCAGCCAUAGUUGCACAUGAGCUGCUCGAGCAUACAAAACAGAAUUUCAUUUGAAGGUUUGGAGUUUGGCACAUACAAAUUUACUUGGAACGGCAGGUAGAUACCGCAUAUAGGAAGGUAUAGUGGACUCAUAUGGAACAACUUUGGGGUUUAAGGAGUUUGGAUGCACAAGCAGUAUUCCCGCUUAGUACAGGUGAAGGCUAGCAAAAGACUGGGAAGCGACCAACUGAGAGAGCGACAACAGCCGCAAACAUGCAUUAAAAUUAAUUCACACCGAAUAUAAGCAUGAGUAGGAUAUAAUCCACCAUGAACAUAAAUAUCAUGAAGGCUAUGUUGAUUUGAUUCAACUACAUGCGUGAACAUGUGCCAAGUCGAGUCACUCAAUUCAUUUAAAGGAGGAUACCAUGCUAUCAUACCACAUCAUAAUCAUCUCAAUAGCAUGUUGGCACGCAAGGUUAACCAUUAUAACUCAUAGCUAAUCAAGCAUGGCACAAGCAACUAUAAUCUCUAAAUGUCAUUGCAAAUAUGUUUACUUCAUAAUAGCUGAAUCAGGAACGAUGAAUCAUCAUAUUUACAAAAACAAGAGAGGUCGAGUUCAUACCAGCUUUUCUCAUCCCAAUGAGUCCAUCAUAUAUCAUCAUUAUUGCCUUUCACUUGCACGACCGAACGGUGUGUAUAAUAAUAAGAGUGCACGUGCAUUGGACUAAGCUGGAAUCUGCAAGAAUUCAACUCAAGAGAGAAGACAAGUAAUAUGGGCUCUAAGUUAAAUAAACAAUCUUGCAUAUAAGAGCCACUUAGCAUUUUCAAUAUAGUCUUCUCGACCCCCAAAGAAAGGAAACCAAAAAUAAAAACUAUUUACACUGGAAAGCUCCCAACAAGCAAAAGAAGGACAGGAAAUAUUUUUGGGUUUUCUUUUUAAUUCUACUACAAGCAUGGAAAGUAGACUAACACUAAUUUUUUUUGUUUUUCUUAAGGUUUAUUAAACACACAAGAAGAAAGCAGGAAAAAGGAAACUAAACUAGAAUGGAUAUUACAGUGAAAGAGUAUGAGCACCGACAUCUAGCAAUGAGUGUGUGUGAACAUGAAUGUAAUGUCGGUGGGAAAUAUGUACUCCGCCAAGCUUAGGCUUUUGGCCUAAGUUGGUCUAUUGCCAGGGAUAACCUAGCUGAUAUCCGUAGGUGAAGCUGGGGUCGUACUGCGAUGAAGAAUAGUUGGGAUCAUAAUGUGAUGAAGAGGAAUCUGACUGCCACUGGCUGGCAUCCGCCUCAGGAUCCCAAGAAUAAACAGACAUUCGUGGAGGCUCUGGUUCCGAGGCUGGUGCAGGAUUCCGAUAGGCUUGAACAGCCGCCCACGGAACAAUGUAAGUACCUGCAGACAAGUGAAACAAAGAGGGAGCAAGCAAAGUAAUAGUCUCAGGGUGAUGUUUAUCAAAGUACAAUUUAUAUUUAAGCGCCCCUUCGUGAUUCUUAACAAGAAAAUCAUGCGUUACCAUACUCUUAUAAUCUAAAUAAGAACGGGGCAGCGCUGUUUCUUCUUUCUCCUCAUGCCUAAUAGGUAUUUCAAAAUGUUCAGCUAGGCGUGAAGCAUAAAUACCUCCAAAGAUGGGGCCCUUAGUACGGUUCAUACUCAACCGUCUAGCAACAAUUCCACCCAUACUAAUAGAGUUAUUGCGGUAUAAACCAUGGAGCAAAAUAAUAAUAUCAGGAAUACUAAGGUCCCCACAGUUCCCACGACCAAUCAAGCAACGACUAGCAAAUAAGGCAAAGUAGCGUAAAACAGGGAAAUGUAUGCUAGUAAUUCUUGCAUCAGAAACCUUCCUGGUUUCUCCCACAGUGAUAGUGUCAAUAUAAGCUUCCACUUCAUUACGGUGUGGUUCAUCUAAAGAACCCUCGAAAGGUAUUUUGCAAACCUCACAAAAUGCAGCUAAUGUCAUCUCCCUAGCAACAUCAUAUAAAUGGAACUCUACUGUUGGAGGUGAUUUCUUAGGGAAAAAGUAGAAGUUCUACACAAAAGUAUUUGUGAGUAAGAGAUACUGAUGACGUUGGUCGUGGAGGAAGUUGGUGACGCCGGCGUUCUCAAUCAAUAGAUAGAAAUCUUCAUAAAUCCCGGCACUUCUCAAGAAGUCAUCGGAAGGCCAUUCACACGGCCGGACCUCCGCGAUACGAGGCAGAUUAAAUUUGGGCUUCUGUUCUUCUUCCUUUUGUUUCUCCUUAGAACUUAGGCUCGACGAUCCCCUCAAAAGUCUCUUCAUUAUUUCCAAAACAAUCUGAAAUUUUUAGUAACUUCAAACAAAGUGAACCAACUUCAAUAAGAUUGAUAGCAACUACUCAUACAAGUUCCUAGAGCAUAUAUCAAGCAUUAGAACUACUUGGAACCAUAUAUAUUUGACAUGCAAGCUCAAGAACAAGGUCACCUAUGCAGCACAAAUUUGCAAUGAAUAAAGCACUAGAAAAAAACUAAUUGGACCAAUGGAGGAGUCACAUACCAAGGAACAAUCUCCCCAAGCAGUUUUGCGAGAGGUGCUUUGAGCAAGGAGAUCGAAAAUCACAGCAAAAGUUGCUGGAACACGAGCUUGAGUUGGUUUUUCGGGUUUGUGUGAGACAGAGGAAGAAGAUGGGUACAGGAAUAAGUGGAGGAGGGCCAGCGUGGGCCCACGAGGCAGGGGGCGCGCCCUCCACCCUCGUGACCAGGUGGCAGCUCCCCCCGCGGUAAUUUUUGCACUAAAAAUCCUUAAAUAUUCUCGAAAAAAUCAUAUUAAAUUGGCCUGGCAUUCUGAGGACUUUUAUUUUCGGGAUAUUUUUAUAUUGCACAGAUAAGUCAGAAACAGACAGAAAAAUACUAUUUUACUUUAUUUCUACUAAAGAACAGAAAAUAUAAAGAGGGUACAGAAGGUUGUGCUUCUAGUUUCAUCCAUCUCAUGCUCAUCACAAAGAAUCCACUAACAAGGUUGAUCAAGUCUUGCUAACAAACUCAUUCCGAUAAUCAUGGAACCGGAGAAAUUUCGAAUAACACUAUGUUACCUCAACGGGGAUAUGGACAUCCCCAACAAUAAGUAUAUCAUAUUUCUUUUUGACAGUAGGAAGAGGAAAUUCAAAACCUCCAAAUAUAAUCGAUGGAAUUUUUCCAAUAGAGUUGAUACUAUAAACUUGAGGUUGUUUCCUCAGAAAGUGCACCGUAUGCUCAUUACCAUUAACAUGAAAAGUGACAUUGCCUUUGUUGCAAUCAAUAACAGCCCCUGCAGUAUUAAGGAAAGGUCUUCCAAGAAUAAUAGACAUACUAUCAUCCUCGGGAAUAUCAAGAAUAACAAAGUCCGUUAAAAUAGUAAUGUUUGCAACCACAACAGGCACAUCCUCACAAAUACCGACAGGUAUAGCAGUUGAUUUAUCAGCCAUUUGCAAAGAUAUUUCAGUAGGUGUCAACUUAUUCAAGUCAAGUCUACGAUAUAAAGAGAGAGGCAUAACACUAACACCGGCUCCAAGAUCACAUAAAGCAGUUUUAACAUAAUUUCUUUUAAUGGAGCAUGGUAUAGUAGGUACUCCUGGAUCUCCAAGUUUCUUUGGUAUUCCACCCUUAAAAGUGUAAUUAGCAAGCAUGGUGGAAAUUUCAGCCUCCGGUAUCUUUCUUUUAUUAGUAAUGAUAUCCUUCAUAUACUUAGCAUAAGGAUUUGUUUUGAGCACAUCAGUCAAUCGCAUACGCAAAAAGAUAGGUCUAAUCAUUUCAGCAAAGCGCUCAAAAUCCUCAUCAUCCUUUUUCUUGGAUGGUUUCGGAGGAAAAGGCAUGGGUUUCUGAACGCAUGGUUCUCUUUCUUUACCAUGUUUCCUAGCAACGAAGUCUCUUUUAUCAUAACGUUGAUUCUUUGAUUGUGGGUUAUCAAGAUCAACAUCAGGUUCAACUUCUACAUCAUUAUCAUUACUAGGUUGAGCAUCAUCAUGAACAUCAUCAUUAACAUUUUCACUAGGUUCAUGUUCAUUACCAGAUUGUGUUUCAGCAUCAGACAUAGAGAUAUCAUUUGGGUCAUCAGGUGGUUCAGCAAUAGGUUCACUAGAAGUUUGCACAGUUCUAUCAUUUUUCUUUUUCUUCCUUUUAGAAGAACUAGGUGCAUCAAUAUUAUUUCUUUGAGAAUCUUGCUCGAUUCUCUUAGGGUGGCCUUCAGGAUACAAAGGUUCCUGAGUCAUUCUACCAGUUCUAGUAGCCACUCUAACAGCAUAAUCAUUUUUCUUACUAUUCAUUUCAUCAAGCAUUUCUUUCUGAGCUUUAAGUACUUGUUCUACUUGAGUGGUAAUCAUAGAAGCAUGUUUGCUAACAAGUUUAGGUUCACCUCUAAUAUUAUCCAUAUAAUCACUCAAGCGUUUAAUCAUAAAGGUAUUCUGCUUCAAUUGUCUACCAAAAUAAGCAUUAAAGUCAUCUUGCUUAAACAUAAAGUCAUUAAACUCAUCCAAGCACUGACUAGCAAUUUUAGUAGGAGGGACUUCAACUUUAUCAUAUCUAUAGAGAGAAUUUACCUUUACUACCUGUGUCGGGAUAUCGGGAGGUUCUUCAGUAAAUAAGUAAUUGAGAUCAUAUACUUCUUCAACAGGCGGUAAAUUAAGACCAUGUAUUUCUUCAAUAUGAGGUAAAUUCUUAACAUCUUCAGCUUUAAUGCCUUUUUAUUUCAUAGAUUUCUUUGCCUCUUGCAUAUCUUCGGGACUAAGAAAUAGAACACCUCUCUUCUUCGGAGUUGUUUUAGGAAUAGGCUCAGUAAUUGGCUCAGGAGCUGGCUCAGGAGUUGGCUCGGGAGGUGGCUCAGGAGGUGCCCAAUUAUUUUCAUUUGCCAACAUAUUAUUCAAUAAAAUUUUAGCGUCAUCCGGUGUUCUUUCCCUGAAAAGAGAACCUGCACAACUAUCCAGGUAAUCUCUGGAAGCAUCAGUUAGUCCAUUAUACAAGAUAUCAAAUAUUUUAGGUUUCUUAAGAGGAUGAUCAGGCAAAGCAUUAAGUACUUUGAGAAGCCUCCCCCAAGCUUGUGGGAGACUCUCUUCUUCAAUUUGCACAAAAUUGAAGGAAAUAUGCCCUAGAGGCAAUAAUAAAGUUAUUAUUUAUUUCCUUAUAAUCAUAAUAAAUGUUUAUUGUUCAUGCUAGAAUUGUAUUACCCGAAACAUAAUACAUGUGUGAAUACAUAGACAAACAAAGUGUCACUAGUAUGCCUCUACUUGACUAGCUCGUUAAUCAAAGAUGGUUAUGUUUCCUAACCAUGAACAACGAGUUGUAAUUUGAUUAACGGGAUCACAUCAUUAAGAGAAUGAUCUGAUUGACAUGACCCAUUCCAUUAGCUUAGCACCCGAUCGUUUAGUAUGUUUCUAUUGCUUUCUUCAUGACUUAUACAUGUUCCUAUAACUAUGAGAUUAUGCAACUCCCGUUUACCGGAGGAACACUUUGGUUACUACCAAACGUCACAACGUAACUGGGUGAUUAUAAAGGAGUACUACAGGUGUCUCCAAAGGUACAUGUUGGGUUGGCGUAUUUCGAGAUUAGGUUUUGUCACUCCGAUUGUCGGAGUGGUAUCUCUGGUCCCUCUCGGUAAUGCACAUCACUUAAGCCUAGCAAGCAUUGCAACUUAAUGAGUUAGUUGCGGGAUGAUGCAUUACAAGAACAAGUAAAGAGACUUGCCGGUAACGAGAUUGAACUAGGUAUUGGAAUACCGACGAUCGAAUCUCGGGCAAGUAACAUACCGAUGACAAAGGGAACAACGUAUGUUGUUAUGCGGUCUGACCGAUAAAGAUCUUCGUAGAAUAUGUAGGAGCCAAUAUGGGCAUCCAGGUCCCGCUAUUGGUUAUUGACCGGAGACGUCUCUAGGUCAUGUCUACAUUGUUCUCGAACCCGUAGGGUCCGCACGCUUAAGGUUACGAUGACAGUUAUAUUAUGAGUUUAUGCAUUUUGAUGUACCGAAGGUUGUUCGGAGUCUCGGAUGUGAUCACGGACAUGACGAGGAGUCUCGAAAUGGUCGAGACAUAAAGAUUGAUAUAUUGGAAGCUUAUAUUUGGACAUCAGAAGUGUUCCGGGUGAAAUCGGGAUUUUACCGGAGUACCGGGAGGUUACCGGAACCCCCCGGGAACCAUAUGGGCCUUAAUGGGCUUUAGUGGAAAGGAUAAAGGGGCAUCCCAAGGUGGCCGCGCGCCUCCCCCUCCCCUAGUCCUAUUAGGACUAGGAGAGGUGGCCGGCCCCCCUCUCUCUCUUUCCCCCUCGGGGAAUCCUAGUCCAACUAGGAUUGGGGGGGAGUCCUACUCCCGGGAGGAGUAGGACUCCUCCUGCGCCCUCCUCCUGGCCGGCGGCCCCCUCCCCCUUGGCUCCUUUAUAUACUGAGGCAGAGGCACCCUAGAGACACACAAGUUGAUCCAUGUGAUCUAUUCCUUAGCCGUGUGCGGUGCCCCCAGCCACCAUAUUCCUCGAUAAUACUGUAGCGGAGUUUAGGCGUAGCCCUGCUGUUGUAGUACAACAAGAUCGUCACCACGCCAUUGUGCUGACGAAACUCUUCCCCGACACUUUGCUGGAUCGGAGUCCGGGGAUCGUCAUCGAGCUAUACGUGUGCUCGAACUCGGAGGUGCCGUAGUUUCGGUGCUUGAUCGGUUGGAUCGUGAAGAUGUACGACUACUUCCUCUACGUUGUGUCAAUGCUUCCGCAGUGGGUCCGCGUGGGUACGUAGACAAUACUCUCCCCUCUCGUUGCUAUACAUCACAUGAUCUUGCGUGUGUGUAGGAAAUUUUUUGAAAUUACUACGAAACCCAACAGUGGCAUCCGAGCCUAGGUUAUUUAUGUUGAUGUUAUAUGCACGAGUAGAACACAAAUGAGUUGUGGGCGAUAUAACUCAUACUGCCUACCAGCAUGUCAUACUUUGGUUCGGCGGUAUUGUUGGAUGAAGCGGCCCAGACCGACAUUACGCGUACGCUUAUGCAAGACCGGUUCUCCCGACGUGCUUUGCACAUAGGUGGCUUGUGGGUGACAGUUUCUCCAACUUUAGUUGAACCAAGUAUGGCUACGCCCGGUCCUUGUGAAGGUUAAAACGGAGUCUAUUUGACAAACUAUCGUUGUGGUUUUGAUGCGUAGGUGAGAUUGGUUCUUGCUUAAGCCUGUAACAGCCACGUAAAACUUGCAACAACAAAGUAGAGGACGUCUAACUUGUUUUUGCAGGGCAUGUUGUGAUGUGAUAUGGUCAAGACAUGAUGCUGAAUUUUAUUGUAUGAGAUGAUCAUGUUUUGUAACCGAGUUAUCGGCAACUGGCAGGAGCCUUAUGGUUGUCGUUUUAUUGUAUGCAAUGCAAUCGCGAUGUAAUGCUUUACUUUUAUCACUAAGCGGUAGCGAUAGUCGUAGAAGCACAAGCUUGGCGAGACGACAACAAUGCUACGAUGGAGAUCAUGGUGUCACGCCGGUGACGAUGGUGAUCACGACGGUGCUUCGGAGAUGGAGAUCACAAGCACAAGAUGAUUAUGGCCAUAUCAUAUCACUUAUAUUGAUUGCAUGUGAUGUUUAUCCUUUUAUGCAUCUUAUCUUGCUUUGAUUGACGGUAGAAUUAUAAGAUGAUCUCUCACUAAAUUAUCAAGAAGUGUUCUCCCUGAGUAUGCACCGUUUGUCGGGGUGCUGAUCCACGGGCACCUAUGGGACCGACGGACCGGGUCCCUUUCGGUUCGGCGGGGGCGGAGAUCGUGCAAAGAGCAAAUCGAGGCAAAGCACGCGAGCGAUUUACCCAGGUUCGGGCCGCACGGAUGCGUAAAACCCUACUCCUGCUUUGUGGUUUGUAUUGAUUUCUAGCUCGGGAGCGCGGAGUGCUACAGUACACACCAGCAGCUAGCGAGACCGAGCGUGAGUGUUCGAACCCCCCUCUACGUUGCACACGGGCCUCCUUUUAUAUGCUUAAGGGGUUACCGACAGGUGGCAACGGAGGUAAAGGGCAAAAAUGGAAAGGUGCUGUGGUAGGCACAACUACCUGCUAUAGUGUAUCGUACCUAACCCUGACGGCAGGGGACAAGGGCUUUAAAUGCCCGUCUGCGUUGCCUAAACAAUGUGAAAAGGGACCGCCAGGGACGCCACCGUUUGCCACGAUGGCGGUUUUGUCAGCGCCGCUUGCCACCACGCACCGCAAGCUGCACAGCCUCCCGCCACGUACGCCUGGAAAGGUCCCAGAGCGACAUGUUGGUGGAUGUGCUGGAGCGCGGGCACAGUGGUGCCCUGCCGCGGCAAGUGCCUUUCCGCGGUUGUUGACUUGUCGCGUCCGGGAGCUUGUCGCUCACCAGGCCUUGCCGGGGCGCGUGGUGCGCCGCGGUAAGUUCCUUGAAAUGCCUUGGGUGGCCUUCCCGGCAAGCUCCUCUUGCCGGGGUCUUGGGAUGCUUUUGCUAGCCUUCCCGGCAAGCUCCUCUUGCCGGGGUCUUGUCUUCUUGGCUUGAACACUUUGUUCUUGAAUGGCUCCAAAGGAACCACGGAGGACCUUGGCGGUCACCCGGCAAGCCUUGCCGCGGGACGCUGCGACUGCCCGUGCACAAGUUCGGGAUACUAGGGUACCCCUACUCUAGUACACCGACAGGAGCCCCCGGGCCUGGGCCAUACACGGUGCCGAGCGCUGUUGGGCCAGGCCCAAAAUAGGGCACGGGCACGCGCGGCCUAGGUUACGCCGUAUCUUACUCCGUAUCCGCCGUGCCGUCCCCGAACGGCACGCGUCGAACGCGGCGUCGUGGGAGAGAUCGUGGGGGUUUCUUUAUUCAGAAAUGUGGAACGUCCGCCCCCUCCCCCUUUAUAAGCAGGGGAAACAGGGGCAGUUCGCCCAUUCGCCCGUUACUGCUUCCAAUCUCAGAAACCUCCGCCGCUCCCUCGCCUUCCCUGAGCUGAGAGAGAGAGAGCAGCGCUCCGCCCCCCAUCGCCACCAGCGCCACCAACGCCGUCGACCUCCUCCACCACCUCCGCAAUGGCUCCGAAAGCCGACAAGGGGAAGGCCGUGAAGUCGACCGAGGCGCAGCGGCUCGCGGUGCUGCGGAAGGAGUGGGCCGUCUUCCCCCCCAAGCUUAGCGCGAAAGACCUGAGGGAGGACUAUUACCUUUUCUGGUCGGCGGAGACGCGCGCGCAUCCGCGCACAAAGGUACUCCCCGCCGCCGCUUGGAAGAAGGCUCCGAAUGGAUACCCCUUUUUUGCUCUGUUCUUCUACUGCGGGCUCUGCCCGCCUUUCUCUGAUUUCUUCUGCGACAUCAUGAAUACCUACGGAUUCCACCUUCUUGACUUCACCCCCAAUGCCGUCCUGACCAUGGCAGUUUUCGCACAUCUCUGCGAAAACUUUGUCGGAGUCCUUCCCAAUGUAGCCCUCUUCCACCACUUCUUCAUCCCCCGAGUAGAGAGAGGAGAGCCUCUGUCCGGCGGGAUCGCCUAGAUCUCAAGGUCCGGCAAGAAGGAAACAUAUCUGAAGGGAGAAUUCCGCGACAAGUGGGAGGAGUGGAGAGCUGAUUGGUGCUGGAUUGAUGAGGAGAGCCCGCAGCCAUUCACCACCCGGCGCCGAACCCCAGUAGCCCGCGGCAGCGAUUGGAGUGACGUGGCCCCGGAGGACGACAAGCUGAAGAUUGCUGUCACCAGGAUCCUGCACCUGAGGCUUGCCGGGCUUACUGUUGGCGCUGUUGGCGCAGACUUCCUUCGCCGCCGCAUCGCCCCCUGUAGGAACGGGGGAGGCCCACUUGGGAGUUCAAGAACGCGGCAGACAUCAUGAGGCUGCGGCCGGGCCUCAAUUACAACUUCACAGUCCUGGAGCUCAACGCAAUGCCGUAGGAGCUGUUCAAGUAUGACCCCCAACAUCCCGAGGUGUUCAGGUUGCCGGGGGCGUCGUUCCGUUGUGCAACAAUUCCGCGCUCGACCGCAUCCGUGCAAUGAUGCCGGAAUGCGAAUCGCACGGGAUUGUGCCAACUUGGCAGGAGCCUGCAGACGAGGUCGUGCAGCUGUUCUUCGACGACUUGGUGGAAGUGCCAAUACGCCCCGACGAGAAGGACGGCCUCACCCGCGACACCACGGAUGCAGAGAUGGCGCUCAUCGCCACUAGGCUGGAGGAGGCAGUGGCAGCCGCAGCCGCGGGCGAGUUCGGGUUCACUGUGGAGGAAGCAGAUGCAGCGGAGGCGGCAAGCCGUGCCGAGCGAGGGGAGCCUGCCGGCAAGAAGGAGCUUGCCGCGCGUGGCACUGAGCCGAGCGAGCCCGCCAAAGACACGAGCGGCUCGUUGGAAAUCAACUCCUCUUCCUCCUCAUCUUCGAGCAGCUUGCUGCAGGCAAAGCCUCCGUCCCCACCAAGAAGGCGUCUCCGCAAGGUCGGCGACAUAGCGGAGCAGCAAGCGGGCCAACAGUCGCCGCGCCGCGUGACACGCUCCACCGCGGCAAACACCAUUGUCGCGGGAGCGCCUCGUGCUACGAUGGCAACUGGAGCGGAGUCUAGCCGGACCACCGCUUCAGUCCCUACUGCUACUCACGCCGCGCCGACAGCCGGGGCGGAGUCUUCUCAGACCGCCGCCACUGCUCCCGCCAAGCGGCCAAGGGAGGCUUCUCCUCCGCCUCCUCGCGCCGGGCGCGCGCCAAACUUCGACUUCUCUGCGUUCAGCUCUGACGAGGAAGAAGAAGAAAAGUAAGCUUAUCUUGCUGUACUUGUAGUUCUUCGAUUCUUGCUGUUGAUCUUGUUUCUCACUUGCUUUUCUUCUGAACUUGUUCCUUUUUAGGACUCUAGCCCAGAGAGCGGCAAAGAGAGCUAAGGCCCCGGUGAUCAUCAUCGAGGACGAGCCCACUGCGACAGCAAGUGGCGCGCCCAAGACGACCUUGCCGGACCCGGCGACUUUCCUCCAGAGCAGCCCCCAGCGUAAGUGUCCGAUUUACUUUCCGCUGUGAGGCGCGCAUGGGUACUUGUCUUUGCUGAUAUCUGCUUGUUGACUUGUGUAGGAGCCGAGCAGCCCCACCAGGAGCCAAGGGAGAAUCCCCCGACAAGGGAGAACUCUCCGGCAAGGGAUGGCUUCCCGGUAAGGGAGAAGUCUCCGGCAAGGGAGGGUUCUCCGGCGAGGGAUAGCACCAGCGGCCCCCCGACGGCGGAGACCACAACUGCAGAACCUGGUGCAGGUACUCCACUUGCUUCAAAACUCCCCUUGGGUUCUUCUUCUUUUGAUCUUCUUGAGUUUUUGCUGGAUUUUGCUUGACUCUUCCCCCUUUUUCGGCCGUCAGAUCCAUCCGCCGCGGAGCAGACGGAGACAGAGGUCGCCGCCGACGAACCAGCCGGUGCUGGAGAUGCCGCCGGCGCAGAGGCCGCCAAGGCUGACACCGCAGCAACUAGCGAGGGGUCUGGUGAUCGUACUGAUGGCCCACAGGCCGCAGGAGCGCCGGGCGCUACGCGACCGCCGACCCAUCCGCCGAAGCCGCAGCGCCAAGCUCCAAGGAGCCCCAGUCGGGCAUCUAUUUGAAGGCCGGCGACGACGUCUUCAUCAAUCUUCCCUGGGCAUCAAGCUCCAGAGCGCCGGUUGAGGGGGAGAUCUUCGACGGAGAAGUGCUUGCCUCCGCGGGUUUGACACUGGUCGACGCGCCAAGCAGCAGCAGCAACGAGCCCGAAGAAGAGCGGCUGCUGCGCAGGUUGAUGUCGCUCUACCGCGCGCGACAAGCCAAGCUGGAGUCCCGCGAGGCGCUUGUCGCGAAGGCGGGGGCUGACAUCGAAAAGCGCGCAGAAGAGCUCGGGGGUUUCCACCGGGAAUCCCUCCGAUCCCUGGCGGAGGAGCGGGAGCAGCUCACUAAAGCGCGGAAAGCCUUCCUCCUCGAGAAGGCCGAAGCCGAAGAGCGGCAGCGACUUGCCGCUGUGAAGCUAGCCGCGGAGGAGGGCGAGCUGGCGCAGCGGAAAGUCAAUCUUGACGCCCACGAGGAGGAGCUUGCCUCGCGUGAGGAGAAACUUGGCGGAGCCCUCAAGCAAACGGAGGACGCCGCCGCCGCCGAGGCCGCCAAGGAGGAGUUGAAGACGAAGGUGGCGCAGCUAGAAGCCAGUCUCGCCGAGAAGGGCAGAGAGCUCAGCGCCGCCAAGGUCUCCAACGUGGAUCUUGAGUUGAAGCUAACCACUUUGACCAAGACUCUGGACAGUGCCAAGAAGCGGGAGGCGGCCUUGAUGGAGGAAAUCAAGGCCGACAAGGCGCUGUUGGAGAGCGCUGUCGCCGCCCAGAACGCCUUCAGGGAGACUGUGACGCACUGGACGGAGAGUCUGGUGAACGCCGCCACAGAUAUCGACAAGGAGCUGGCGCAGCUGGGGAUGGAAGAUCUUGGGUAUCCCUCCGACGACAACCUCCAACCAAGCGCCAAGCUCGUCCUGUUCUUCAAGGGCGUGGUGACGGCCCUCCAGCGACUCCGGGAGAGGAUCCCCAAGCAAUUGGCUGACGAAUCGCGCAAGAUCUGCGCAGGAGCCCUCCAGAAAGUGUAGAUGAAGGUGGCCUUCCACAAUCCGGGCCUCCGCCUCACCAACAUCCUCAGGACCUUGCCGCUGGAGGCUGAUCUUGAGGAGCUCAAGGCCCUUGUCGCACCCAUUGUGGGCAAGGUGAGCGGGAUCAAGAGGGUCGAAGGCGAUCGCGUAGAUUAGGCCGCCCAUUUCUUCUUUCCUUGUCGCUGUUUAUCUUGUCAUGAAAACAAUCUGUUAGAGUUGCGACAAGCUAUUUGUAAUAUAACUCUAUUCUGGGCAAUGGUCGCAACGUUACUCCCUUUACUUGACUCCUCCCUUUGUAUGUCUUUUCACCCUACGCUUUUAGGGAACUUGCCGGUGCAGGCACCAGAGCCGCGAGCGCUGAGUGCGGAACGUCAGCAGCCUACUGGCGGUGCCGCUACCGGCAAGAAACCUUGUCGCAACUAGUUGCAGCUCACUUAAGUUGUCGAGCGGACUCGAAACAACGUAAGGGCGCUAGCAGCUCACUUAAUUUGUUGAGCGGACUCGAAACAAAGUAAGGGCGCUAGCAGCUCACUUAAGUUGUUAAGCGGACUCAAAACAAAGUAAGGGCGCAACUAGCUACGAGUAGGUUCCUCCGCGCACAGGUUUUCCAUAAAAAGUGCGGUCGUUCAAGGGAAAUAACUUAAAAUUUAAAAAAUUUGAUUGCUCAAACAUUGGCAACUUAGCUUUUCUGUUGUUUGCUUCCCGGCAAGGCGAAACUUCCUUGAACGACGCCUGGUCCAUACCAUCGUCUUCUCCCUUCCCCCUGGCAAACUUGUGGGCGAGGGGAACCUUCCUUUCAAAAGAUAGAAGAGACAAUGCAAAUAUGGAGCUUUACGGCUCGUUAUUGCUUACCGUGGAGUAGGUGCUGCACAAAGUGUCAGAUCAUAUAUGCCAAAAAAUGGAAAGCAUGAGAUCGACAGAACGUGCGGAGCACAUGAGCUUUAUUUACGCACGGGGUCUGCGCCCGGCUCUGUACAAAGGAUUACAUGCAACAGCGGCAAGACUUGUACAGAAGGUGGUUGCCGGAACAGAUUCCGGCAACCGCGCCUUACGGGUAAAACUUACGAAGAUGCUCUAUGUUCCAGUAGUUGCUCACCGGAAUGCCAUCUUCGGUCUCAAGGCGGACUGCACCAGGCCUAGUGACUCGUUUCACCCGGUAAGGGCCUUACCACUUCGGCGUCAACUUGUUGGAAUUCUUGGCGGACUGAACACGCCGAAGAACAAGGUCGCGUUCCUCGAGACUUCUGGCAUUAACUUUGCAGCUAUGGUAGCGGCGCAAAGCUUGCUGGUAGCGAGCAGCUCACACAGCAGCCUGAAGACGGUCUUCCCCAAGGAGCAGCGCGUCAUCUUGUCGCAGCUGCUCUUGCUCGAGCUCAUCAUAAGCGAGCACUCGAGGUGACCAGUAUACGAGUUCCUUGGGGAGAACUGCCUCUGCUCCAUAGACUAGAGCGAAAGGUGUCUGGCCAGUGGCUCGAUUUGGCGUCGUCCUGAUCCACCAAAGAACCACCGGCAGCUCCUUGAUCCAGUUUCUUCCACACUUGUGCAGCCUGUCGAAAGUUCUGGUCUUGAGCCCGCGCAGCACUUCAGCAUUUGCCCUCUCCGCUUGACCGUUGCUUCUCGGGUGAGCAACAGAAGUGAAGCAGACCUUGGCGCCAAGAUCUUGGACGUACUGCAUGAAGGUGCGGCUCGUGAAUUGUGUACCGUUGUCGGUGAUUAUCGUGUUAGGGAUCCUGAAGCGGCAAACAAUCGACCUGAAGAACUUGACUGCUGACUAUGCGGUCACCUUCCUCACCGGUUCCACUUCCGGCCACUUUGUGAACUUGUCGACUGCAACGUACAAGUACUCAAAGCCCCCGACAGCUCGGGGAAAGGGGCCGAGGAUGUCGAGCCCCCAGACCGAAAAUGGCUAGGAUAAAGGGAUCGUCUGGAGAGCUUGAGCUAGUUGGUGUAUCUGCUUGGAAUGGAAUUGGCACGCUUCACACUUGGUUACUUGUGCAGUUCCAUCCUGGAGGGCUGUUGGCCAAAACAAACCUUGCCGGAAUGCUUUUCCAACAAGUGCUCUUGCGCCAAUGUGGUGACCACAUAUGCCUCCAUGUAUCUCUGCCAACAGCUUUUGUCUGUCUUCCCGGUGAAUACACUUCAGUUUCACACCGUUGAGUCUUUUUCUGUACAGUGUCUUGUCGACAAACUGGUACAUACUUGACUGCCGGGCUACUCUUUCCGCUUCUUCUUGCUCUUCGGAAAGUUCUCCUGUCUGAAGGAAACGGACAAUCUGCUGCGCCCAUGCUGGAGCUUGCAGCUCGACAACAAGGACUAAAGGCAAAUCUGCUGCUGCGGGAACAUCCGCUUCUACGGCAAGAACCUGCGGGCCUGCCGGAGCGUGACGUUCCCUGGCAAGCUUGACGGAGCAAAACUUGUCGGGAGCUUCUGCUUCAACGAAACAAACCCUAGGGCUUGCCGGAGCAGACUGCUCAUCAGCGCUUUUGGCGUUGAUUUUGGGAUUCUUGGCGGCGGCUUCGGGAAGCUCUGCCGGAAAAUAGUCACCAAAAAUCAACUUCCUCUUCUUGCUCUGUCCAGUUGAUGGCGUUACGGACGGCUGAGUCAGCUUGAGCACAAAGAUCCCUGGUUCCACAGGUAACUUAAGUGCGGCGCACUUUGACAGACCAUCGGCAAUGGCGUUCUGAGCUCUUGGAACAUGUUCCAUUUGUAGGCCGUCAAAGUGCUCUUUUAGCUUUCUCACUUCAUCAACGUAAGCUUCCAUCAAAGGACUCUGAUAAUUCUUGUUUACUUGGCGGACAACAAGCUGCGAGUCACCCCUGACAAUGAGCUUCUUGAUCCCAAGGUCUGCUGCGAUCCUGAGACCGGCAAGCAAUCCUUCAUACUCUGCAGUAUUGUUUGUCGCUUGCUCCUUGGGAAAGUGCAUCUGGACUACAUACUUGAGGUGCUCUCCGGUGGGUGCGACAAGCAGCACACCAGCGCGGGCGCCCUGCAGCGAAAAGGCACCAUCAAAGUACAUCAGCCACUCUUUGCUUACUUCCUUGUCGGGGAUGCUCAUUUCUGGAAUCUCUUCGUCUGGUGUUGGCGUCCAUUCUGCUAUAAAUUAUGCCAAUGCUCUGCUCUGGAUAGUUGAAGUACUUUCAAACUUGAGGCCAAAGCUUGACAGUUCCAGUGCCCACUCAACAAUCCUGCCUGUCGCUUCUGGAUUCUGCAAUAUCCUCUUCAGCGGAAAGCGAGUGACAACUGUGAUCUCAUGUGCUUGGAAGUAAUGGCGCAGCUUUCUCGAGGCCAUGAGGAGGCCGAAAAGCAAUUUCUGCAUGCCAGAGUACCUUGACCUAGCCCCCUGCAGAAGGGAACUGACAAAGUAAACUGGGCGCUGCACCAUUUUCUUCUGUAUCUCCUCUUGCUUCUGCGCAGAUCCAUCUUUAUCGGGACCAGAGCUUGUCGGGGAAGCCCCCUGCUUGUCGCUGGAUGUGCUUGCCGUGGUUGUGGGCUCGUCAUCUGCCUCCCUCUCUGCUACUAACGCAGCACUAACCACUUGAUUGGUUGCCGCUAUAUACAGCAGCAACUUCUCUUGUGGCUUAGGCGCGACAAGUAUUGGAGGGGAGGACAGGUAUCUCUUCAAGUCUUGCAGCGCAGCCUCCGCUUCCGGAGUCCAUUUCAUUGGACCUGCCUUUUUCAAUAAUUUGAAAAACGGCAGGGCGCGCUCAGCAGACCGAGAGAUGAACCUGCUGAGAGCAGCCACGCAACCGGCAAGUCUUUGUACAUCCUUGACGCACUUGGGUGCUUCAAUCUGCUCAAUGGCCUUGAUCUUGUCGGGAUUGGCUUCAAUUCCCCGCUGAGACACGAAGAACCCGAGAAGCUUGUCGGAGGGAACUCCAAACACACACUUCUCUGGGUUCAGCUUGAGGCUGAUCUUGCGUAGAUUUGCAAAGGUCUCGUCUAAAUCUUGGAUCAGAGCUGCCCUGUCCUUGCUCUUGACCACUAUAUCAUCCAUGUAGGCUUCCACAUUUCUGUGUAUUUGCGGCUCAAGGGCGACAUGGACUACUCUUGCAAAUGUUGAACCAGCAUUUUUAAUCCGAAAGUCAUCCGUAUGAAACAGUACGUGCCACAUGGAGUAAUAAAUGCGGUCUUCUCUUCAUCCUCUUUUGCCAUGAAGAUCUGAUGGUAUCCUGAGUAUGCGUCAAGAAAUGAAAGCAAAUCACAUCCGGCUGUGGAGUCAACAAUCUGGUCAAUGCGCGGCAAAGGAAAUGGGUCUUUGGGACAAGCUUUGUUGACAUCGGUAAAAUUGAUACAAAGUCUCCAUUUUCCGUUUGCCUUGCGCACGACUACAGGAUUGGCCAACCACGUUGGAUGGAGCACUCCUCUGACAAGGCCUGUUGCUUCCAACUUCUUGAUCUCUUCUGUAAUGAACUCUUGGCGCUCCACUUCUUGUUUCCUAACCUUCUGCUUGACGGGCCGCGCAAGAGGACAAAUGGCAAGGUGGUGCUCAAUCACUUUCCUGGGAACACCGGGGAUGUCAGACGGCUGCCACGCAAACACGUCGACAUUCGCCUGCAAGAAAGCAACAAGCGCGCUUUCCUAUUUAGGGUCGAGAGUGGCACUGAUGGUGAAGGUAUCACCAGUGCCGUCCUCCUUGGCGGACACCUUUUUCGUCUCUGGCGGAGCUGCCAUCGUCUUCUUACACUUGCCGGUGGAGCUCGAUGGUGCGUCCUCGACGGCAGCGCAGCACUCCGAAGAGGUGCGCUUGCCGGAGUGGGCAUCAGAACUCUUGCCGGACUUGGUCUUCUUCCCCCCGGGAGCUUCAGCGGCAAGUGACUCGCGUUCUGCUGCGGCUGCUGCUUCUCGGUAAAUCUUGUCGGCACAGAUAAGAGCCUCCUUCUUGUCGCCAGGGACAGAGAUGACGCUUAUCGGGCCUGGCAUCUUGAGCAUGUUAUAUGCGUAAUGAGAGGCUGCCAUGAACUUGGCGAGUGCUGGACGGCCAAGUAUCCCAUUGUAAGGCAAUGGAAUAUCGGCAACGUCAAAUGUGACCCUCUCAGUCCUGAAGUUGAGCUCGCUGCCAAAUGUUACUGGCAGUGUGACUUUCCCCUUUGGCUUGCUCCUCCCCGGGUUGAUUCCUUGGAAUGUGCCGGUUUCUUCGAGCUCGCUGUCAGGGAUCUGGAGUUUCUGGAGUACAGCGGAGGAGAUCAGGUUCAAGACGGCCCCGCCGUCAACUAACAUCUUAGUGAUCUUGAGGUUGCGGAUAGUUGGUGAAACCAACAUCGGCAAGCACCCGACCGCAGUUGUGCGAUCAGGGUGGUCCUCAAUGUCAAAGAUGAUAGGCGUGCUGGACCAUUUCAGAAGCUUGCGCGACUCGGCAGGUGGCUCUGCUGCAUUGACUUCUCGCACCCACUGCUUGAGUUGGCGGUGUGAGGUAUGCAGAGAAGCACCGCCGUCAACGCACAAGACCUCUGUGGCUUUCUGAAACUCCUGCUCACUGGUCUCAACAUCAUCCAUGUCUUCGUCGUCGUCAUCGUCUUCAUCAUUGUCGUGGCCGCGGGAAGGUCUGUCUCCUUGCCGCUGCUUGGCCUUGCCGCGGCGCCCUCCCCGGCCGGCACACUUCUUGCCGGAUUCUCUAGCACCUCCUUGGGCCCUCUCCUUGUCGCGCCGCUCCUACUCAGACUUUUGCUGCUGGACAAGCUGCUCGACCUUCUUGCAACUCUGGAGGUCAUGGCCCUUGGUGCGGUGAAUCUUGCAGUACUGCUUGUCGGUGCCGUCCUGCUUGUCGGCGGCCGCCACAGCCUCGCAGUUGGUGCACGCGGAAACCUCCUUGCCGGAGCUACCAACUUUGGCUUUCUUGGCACCACCUUCGUUGCCGGACUGCUCAACGACUAGCACCUCGUUGCCUUUCUUCUUCCUGUUCCGCCGCCGGUUUCUCUUUGUCGGGGCAGCAUCCUCACUGUCUGAUCCUUCUGCUCCGGUCUUCUCUCAUGAAAGUUUCCUUCCUUCCUCAGCGCGUGCACACUUGUCGGCCAGGGCAUACAGCUCACUGACGUCUCUGAUCCUGCACAUCGCCAUCUCCUCCCGCAUCCUGCGGUUACGCACGUUCUAAUGGAACGCACUGAUGACCGCGGCGGGGUGGACGUUUGGGAUGUUAUACUGUACACGACUGAACCUCUGAAUGUACUUGCGCAGGGGUUCCCCUUCCUUCUGGGCGAGCAGAUGAAGGUCGCUCUCUUGGCCAUGAGGUUUGUGGCCACCUGUAAAGGCGCCGACAAACUGGUGGCAUAGGUCAGCCCAGCAAGAUAUGGAGUUGUCCGGCAAGUGCAUGAGCCAGGACCUGACGUUGGGCUUGAGCACCAACGGGAAGUAGUUGGCAAGGAUCUUGUCGUCCCGCCCCCCGGCAGCCUGCACCGUGAUGGUCUAGAUGCUGAGGAACUCCGACGGAUGCAUCUUGCCGUCGUACUUCUCUGGUACAUCUGGUUUGAAAUUCUUCGUGCUGGGCCACUGGACUUGCCGUAGCUCACGAGUGAACGCAGGGCAACCUACCGCGUACGGCAAGUCGCCUGGUUCCCCUGGCGCAUGCAUGUCAACAGAGGGCCCAGCGUGCUGGUCUGACUGAUGUCGCGCUUCCCUUCGGCGCUCGAUGCGAGUACGAGCGUCUUCUUGUUGUCUUUCUUGAAGAACUUGGCGCUGAUCGCAACGAGCUCGCGGGUCUGACGACGCGGUGGAGUCGUUGUCGAGGUGGAUCUGGCGAGUCGGCGAUCUUGGCCUUCGGGGCGGAGAGUGCAUAGUAGUUGCACCCCCACCAGUCUUGUCGUCUCCGGCCCAUGCCUGGCUAGCUUGCCGCGGCUGUGUCGUGCUCGGCUGCCGUGGAGUGUCGCCGUUGGCGAAGCUGAUGAGACUCUGGAUGGUGGCCCUCCAAUCGUCGAUCUUGUCCGCCGUUGGAGGGUAGUCUAGGAGCAGCUGAGCUCGCGCCAAAGCUUCUGCUGCAGUGGCGGGUGGUGGUGGCGAACGGUGCGAGGAGCGGGAUAUGCUCGGACUUCUAACUACGAUAGAAGGAGCAAUAUCCUGACCAUGCGACCGUGCCUCGCUCGUGCCAGCAUGCUGGUGUGCAUGGUGGUCCCGAGCGCUCCGAGAUCCACCAGCUCGAUCUUGGUCUAGCAAACGCAUGGUACUAUGAGUACCAUGACGCUGCCGGUCCCGCGCCUCCUGAGACGGGCGCGGUGCAUGUACGGACGCAGAGGUCUUGGAGUGCGCCCGGUCGUUGUGGGAACCGACCACGCCGCCGACGGGCAGCGUAGCCCUGUCCUUGGACCUGGCAGCACCGCAAGCUCCCUCGUCGACGCCCGUUCUUCCGACGGUGUCUGCCCCACCAACCGUUUGCUCCGGCGGUGGUUGGCUCGGCGCGGACGGAGCAGCUACCUCCGAAACCUUCUUCUUCGGCGGCAUGUUGAUGAAGAUGAUGAAGAUCUAGCUCACGAGAACGCCGGAUCUGGUUCACACAAUGUCGACGCCCCUACCUGGCGCGCCAAAGAUGCCGGGGUGCUGAUCCACGGGCACCUAUGGGACCGGCGGACCGGGUCCCUUUCGGUUCGGCGGGGGCGGAGAUCGUGCAAAGAGCAAAUCGAGGCGAAGCACGCGAGCGAUUUACCCAGGUUCGGGCCGCACGGAUGCGUAAAACCCUACUCCUGCUUUGUGGUUUGUAUUGAUUUCUAGCUCGGGAGCGCGGAGUGCUACAGUACACACCAGCAGCUAGCGAGACCGAGCGUGAAUGUUCGAACCCCCCUCUACAUUGCACAUGGGCCUCCUUUUAUAUGCUUAAGGGGUUACCGACAGGUGGCAACGGAGGUAAAGGGCAAAAAUGGAAAGGUGCUGUGGUAGGCACAGCUACCUGCUACAAUGUAUCGUACCUAACCCUGACGGCAGGGGACAAGGGCUUUAAAUGCCCGUCUGCAUCGCCUAAACAGUGCAAAAAGGGACCGCCAGGGACGCCACCGUUUGCCACGAUGGCGGUUUUGUCAGCGCCGCUUGCCACCGCGCACCGCAAGCUGCACAGCCUCCAGCCACGUACGCCUGGAAGGGUCCCAGAGUGACACGUUGGUGGAUGUGCUGGAGCGCGGGCACAGUGGUGCCCUGCCGCGGAAAGUGCCUUGCCGCGGUUGUUGACUUGUCGCAUCCGGGAGCUUGUCGCUCACCGGGCCUUGCCGGGGCGCGUGGUGCGCCGCGGUAAGUUCCUUGAAAUGCCUUGGGUGGCCUUCCCGGCAAGCUCCUCUUGCCGGGGUCUUGGGAUGCUUUUGCUAUCCUUCCCGGCAAGCUCCUCUUGCCGGGGUCUUGUCUUCUUGGCUUGAACACUUUGUUCUUGAAUGGCUCCAAAGGAACCACGGAGGACCUUGGCGGUCACCCGGCAAGCCUUGCCGCGGGAUGUUGCGACUGCCCGUGCACAAGUUCGGGAUACUAGGGUACCCCUACUCUAGUACACCGACACCGUUGCGAAAGUUCUUCGUGCUGAGACACCACGUGAUGAUCGGGUGUGAUAGUACGGGUGCAAAAUAGUUGCACACGCGGAAUACUCAGGUUAUACUUGACGAGCCAACCAUAUACAGAUAUGGCCUCGGAACACGGAGACCGAAAGGUCGAGCAUGAAUCAUAUAGUAGAUAUGAUCAACAUAACGAUGUUCACCAUUGAAAACUACUCCAUCUCACGUGAUGAUCGGUUAUGGUUUAGUUGAUUUGGAUCACGUGAUCACUUAGAGGAGUAGAGGGAUGUCUAUCUAAGUGGGAGAUCUUUAAUUAAUUUGAUUAACUGAACUUAAAUUUAUCAUGAAACUUAGUACCUGCUUAGUAUCUUGCUUGUUUAUGUUGAUUGUAGAUAGAUGGAUCGUGCUGUUGUUCCGUUGAAUUUUAAUGCAUUCCUUGAGAAAGCAAAGUUGAAAUAUGAUGGUAGCAAUUACACGGACUGGGUCCGUAACUUGAGGAUUAUCCUCAUUGCUACACAGAAGAAUUAUGUCCUGGAAGCACCGCUGGGUGCCAGGCCUGCUGCAGGAGCAACGCCGGAUGUUAUGAACGUCUGGCAGAGCAAAGCUGAUGACUACUUGAUAGUUCAGUGUGCCAUGCUUUACGGCUUAGAAUCGGGACUUCGACGACGUUUUGAAUGUCAUGGAGCAUAUGAGAUGUUCCAGGAGUUGAAGUUAAUAUUUCAAGCAAAUGCCCGGAUUGAGAGAUAUGAAGUCUCCAAUAAGUUCUAUAGCUGCAAGAUGGAGGAGAACAGUUCUGUCAGUGAGCAUAUACUGAAAAUGCCUGGGUAUAAUAAUCACUUGAUUCAAUUGGGAGUUAAUCUUCCAGAUGAUUGCAUCAUUGACAGAAUUCUUCAAUCACUGCCACCAAGCUACAAGAGCUUCGUGAUGAACUAUAAUAUGCAAGGGAUGAACAAGACUAUUCCCGAGCUCUUCGCGAUGCUCAAAGCUGCGGAGGUAGAAAUCAAGAAGGAGCAUCAAGUGUUGAUGGUCAACAAGACCACUAGUUUCAAGAAAAAGGGCAAAGGGAAGAAGAAGGGGAACUUCAAAAAGAACGGCAAGCAAGUUGCUACUCAAGAGAAGAAACCCAAACCUGGACCUAAGCCUGAAACUGAGUGCUUCUAUUGCAAUCAGACUGAUCACUGGAAGAGGAACUGCCCCAAGUAUUUGGCAGAUAAGAAGGAUGGCAAGGUGAACAAAGGUAUAUGUGAUAUACAUGUUAUUGAUGUGUACCUUACUAAUGUUCGCAGUAGCACCUCGGUAUCUGAUACUGGUUCUGUUGCUAAUAUUUGCAACUCGAAACAGGGACUACGGAUCAAGCGAAGAUUGGUUAAGGACGAGGUGACGAUGCGCGUGGGAAACGGUUCAAAGUCGAUGUGAUCGCAGUCGGCACGCUACCUCUACAUCUACCUUUGGGAUUAGUAUUAGACCUAAAUAAUUGUUAUUUGGUGCUAGCUUUAAGCAUGAACAUUAUAUCCGGAUCUUGUUUGAUGUGAGACGGAUAUUCAUUUAAAUCGGAGAAUAAUGGUUGUUCUAUUUAUAUGAGUAAUAUCUUUUAUGGUCAUGCACCCUUGAAGAGUGGUCUAUUCUUGUUGGAUCUCGAUAGUAGUAACACACAUAUUCAUAAUGUUGAAGCCAAAAGAUGCAGAGUUGAUAAUGAUAGUGCAACUUAUUUGUGGCACUGCCGUUUAGGUCAUAUCGGUGUAAAGCGCAUGAAGAAACUCCAUUCUGAUGGACUUUUGGAACCACUUGAUUAUGAAUCACUUGGUACUUGUGAACCGUGCCUCAUGGGAAAGAUGACCAAAACACCGUUCUCCGGUACUAUGGAGAGAGCAACGGAUUUGUUGGAAAUCAUACAUACAGAUGUAUGUGGUCCGAUGAAUAUUGAGGCUCGUGGCGGAUAUUGUUAUUUUCUCACCUUCACAGAUGAUUUAAGCAGAUAUGGGUAUAUCUACUUAAUGAAACAUAAGUCUGAAACAUUUGAAAAGUUCAAAGAAUUUCAGAGUGAAGUUGAAAAUCAUCGUAACAAGAAAAUAAAGUUUCUACAAUCUGAUUGUGGAGGAGAGUAUUUUAGUUACGAGUUUGGUGUACAUUUGAAAAAUUGUGGAAUAGUUUCGCAACUCAUGCCACCCGGAACACCUCAGCGUAAUGGUGUGUCCGAACGUCGUAAUCGUACUUUACUGGAUAUGGUGCGAUCUAUGAUGUCUCUUACUGAUUUACCGCUAUCGUUUUGGGGAUACACUCUAGAGACAGCCGCAUUCACGUUAAAUAGGGCACCAUCAAAAUCCGUUGAGACGAUGCCUUAUGAACUGUGGUUUGGCAAGAAACCAAAGUUGUCGUUUCUGAAAGUUUGGGGCUGCGAUGCUUAUGUGAAAAAGCUUCAACCUGAUAAGCUCGAACCCAAAUCGGAGAAAUGUGUCUUCAUAGGAUAUCCAAAGGAAACUAUUGGAUACACCUUCUAUCACAGAUUCGAAGGCAAGACUUUUGUUGCUAAAUUCGGAAACUUUCUGGAGAAGGAGUUUCUCUCGAAAGAAGUGAGUGGGAGGAAAGUAGAACUUGACGAGGUAACUGUACCUGCUCCCUUAUUGAAAAAUAGUACAUCAUAGAAAACCGUUUCUGUGACACCUACACCAGUUAGUGAGGAAGUCAAUGAUAAUGAUCAUGAAACUUCAGAACAAGAUACUACUGAACCUCGUAGAUCAACCAGAAUAAGAUCCGCGCGAGAGUGGUACGGUAAUCCCUUUAUGGAAGUCAUGAUGCUAGAUCAUGAUGAACCUGCGAACUAUGAAUAAGCAAUGGUGAGCUCAGAUUCCGCAAAGUGGCUUGAAGCCAUGAAAUCUGAGAUGGGAUCCAUGUAUGAGAACAAAGUAUGGACUUUGGUUGACUUGCCCGAUGACCGGCAAGCAAUUGAGAAUAAAUGGAUCUUCAAGAAGAAGACUGACGCUGACGGUAAUGUUACUGUCUACAAAGCUUGACUUGUCGCGAAAGGUUUUCGGCAAGUUCAAGGGAUUGACUACGAUGAGACCUUCUCACCCGUAGCGAUGCUUAAGUCUGUCCGAAUCAUGUUAGCAAUUACCGCAUUUUAUGAUUAUGAAAUUUGGCAGAUGGAUGUCAAAACUGCAUUCCUGAAUGGAUUUCUGGAAGAAGAGUUAUAUAUGAUGCAACCAGAAGGUUUUGUCGAUCCAAAGGGAGCUAACAAAGUGGGCAAGCUCCAGCGAUCCAUUUAUGGACUGGUGCAAGCCUCUCGGAGUUGGAAUAAACGUUUUGAUAGUGUGAUCAAAGCAUUUGGUUUUAUACAGACUUUUGGAGAAGCCUGUAUUUACAAGAAAGUGAGUGGGAGCUCUGUAGCAUUUCUGAUAUUAUAUGUGGAUGACAUAUUAUUAAUUGGAAAUGAUAUAGAAUUUCUGGAUAGCAUAAAGGGAUACUUGAAUAAGAGUUUUUCAAUGAAAGACCUCGGUGAAGCUGCUUACAUAUUAGGCAUUAAGAUCUAUAGAGAUAGAUCAAGACGCUUAAUUGGACUUUCACAAACAACAUACCUUGACAAAAUUUUGAAGAAGUUCAAAAUGGAUCAAGCAAAGAAAGGAUUCUUGCCUGUGUUACAAGGUGUGAAAUUGAGUAAGACUCAAUGCCCGACCACUUUAGAAGAUAGAGAGAAUAUGAAAGAUGUUCCCUAUGCAUCAGCGAUAGGAUCUAUCAUGUAUGCAAUGCUGUGUACCAGACCUGAUGUGUGCCUUGCUAUAAGUCUAGCAGGGAGGUACCAAAGUAAUCCAGGAGUGGAUCACUGGACAACGGUCAAGAACAUCCUGAAAUACCUGAAAAGGACUGAGGAUAUGCUUCUCGUAUAUGGAGGUGACAAAGAGCUCGUCGUAAAAGGUUACGUUGAUGCAAGCUUUGACACUGAUCCGGACGAUUCUAAAUCGCAAACCGGAUACGUGUUUACAUUAAACGGUGGAGCUGUCAGUUGGUGCAGUUCUAAACAAAGCAUUGUAGCGGGAUCUACAUGUGAAGCGGAGUACAUAGCUGCUUCAGAAGCAGCAAAUGAAGGAGUCUGGAUGAAGGAGUUCAUAUCCGAUCUAGGUGUCAUACCUAGUGCAUCGGGUCCAAUGAAAAUCUUUUGUGAUAAUACUGGCGCAAUUGCCUUGGCAAAGGAAUCCAGAUUUCACAAGAGAACCAAGCACAUCAAGAGACGCUUCAAUUCCAUCCGGGAUCUAGUCCAGGUGGGAGACAUAGAUAUUUGCAAGAUACAUACGGAUCUGAAUGUUGCAGACCCAUUGACUAAGCCUCUUCCAUGAGCAAAACAUGAUCAGCACCAAGGCUCCAUGGGUGUUAGAAUCAUUACGGUGUAAUCCAGAUUAUUGACUCUAGUGCAAGUGGGAGACUGAAGGAAAUAUGCCCUAGAGGCAAUAAUAAAGUUAUUAUUUAUUUCCUUAUAAUCAUGAUAAAUGUUUAUUAUUCAUGCUAGAAUUGUAUUAACCGGAAACAUAAUACAUGUGUGAAUACAUAGACAAACAAAGUGUCACUAGUAUGCCUCUACUUGACUAGCUCGUUAAUCAAAGAUGGUUAUGUUUCCUAACCAUGAACAAUGAGUUGUAAUUUGAUUAACGGGAUCACAUCAUUAAGAGAAUGAUCUGAUUGACAUGACCCAUUCCAUUAGCUUAGCACCCGAUCGUUUAGUAUGUUGCUAUUGCUUUCUUCAUGACUUAUACAUGUUCCUAUAACUAUGAGAUUAUGCAACUCCCGUUUACCGGAGGAACACUUUGGGUACUACCAAACGUCACAACGUAACUGGGUGAUUAUAAAGGAGUACUACAGGUGUCUCCAAAGGUACAUGUUGGGUUGGCGUAUUUCGAGAUUAGGUUUUGUCACUCCGAUUGUCGGAGAGGUAUCUCUGGGCCCUCUCGGUAAUGCACAUCACUUAAGCCUUGCAAGCAUUGCAACUUAAUGAGUUAGUUGCGGGAUGAUGUAUUACAAGAACGAGUAAAGAGACUUGCCGGUAACGAGAUUGAACUAGGUAUUGGAAUACCGACGAUCGAAUCUCGGGCAAGUAACAUACCGAUGACAAAGGGAACAACGUAUGUUGUUAUGCGGUCUGACCAAUAAAGAUCUUCGUAGAAUAUGUAGGAGCCAAUAUGGGCAUCCAGGUCCCGCUAUUGGUUAUUGACCGGAGACGUGUCUAGGUCAUGUCUACAUUGUUCUCGAACCCGUAGGGUCCGCAUGCUUAAGGUUACGAUGACAGUUAUAUUAUGAGUUUAUGCAUUUUGAUGUACCGAAGGUUAUUCGGAGUCCCGGAUGUGAUCACGGACAUGACGAGGAGUCUCGAAAUGGUCGAGACAUAAAGAUUGAUAUAUUGGAAGCUUAUAUUUGGACAUCGGAAGUGUUCUGGGUGAAAUCGGGAUUUUACCGGAGUACCGAGAGGUUACCGGAACCCCCCGGGAACCAUAUGGGCCUUAAUGGGCUUUAGUGGAAAGGAGAAAGGGGCAUCCUAAGGUGGCCGCGCGCCUCCCCCCUCCCCUAGUCCUAUUAGGACUAGGAGAGGUGGUCAGCCCCCCUCUCUCUCUUUCCCCCUCGGGGAAUCCUAGUCCAACUAGGAUUGGGGGGGAGUCCUACUACCGGGAGGAGUAGGACUCCUCCUGCGCCCUCCUCCUGGCCGGCGGCCCCCUCCCCCUUGGCUCCUUUAUAUACUGAGGCAGAGGCACCCCAGAGACACACAAGUUGAUCCACGUGAUCUAUUCCUUAGCCGUGUGCGGUGCCCCCAGCCACCAUAUUCCUCGAUAAUACUGUAGCGGAGUUUAGGCGUAGCCCUGCUGCUGUAGUACAUCAAGAUCGUCACCACGCCAUCGUGCUGACGGAACUCUUCCCCGACACUUUGCUGGAUCGGAGUCCGGGGAUCGUCAUCGAGCUGUACAUGUGCUCGAACUCAGAGGUGCCGUAGUUUCGGUGCUUGAUCGGUUGGAUCAUGAAGACGUACGACUACUUCCUCAACGUUGUCUCAACGCUUCCGCAGUCGGUCUGUGUGGGUACGUAGACAACACUCUCCCCUCUCGUUGCUAUACAUCACAUGAUCUUGCGUGUGCGUAGGAAAUUUUUUGAAAUUACUACGAAACCCAACAAAAAUUGUAUAUUUCCCUCAAUGCAGCUUGUUUCUUAUGAGCAGGGAAAUAUUUAGCAGAGAAGUAAUAAAUCAUAUCCUGGGGACUUUGCACACAGGCAGGAUCAAGAGAAUUAAACCAUUUCUUAGCAUCACCCUUUAAUGAGAACGGAAAUAUUUUGAGUAUAUAAAAGUGGCGCGAUCUCAGAUUAUUAGUAAACAGGGCAGCUAUUUCAUCUAACUUACGAAGAUGUGCCACAACAGUUUCAGAUUCAUAGCCAUAAAAAGGAUCAGAUUCAACCAAAGUAAUUAUAUCUGGAUCAACAGUAAUAUCGUAAUAAUCCUGAUCAGGAACACAGAUAGGUGAAGUAGCAAAAGCAGGGUCGGGUCUCAUCCUACCUCUAAAAGAUUCCUUACUCCACUUAAUUAGUAACCUCUUACGUUCAGGUUUAUCAGGACAAGCAAGAAUAGCUUCAUAAGAUUCAUUAUUAAAAAGAUAACCCUCAGGAAUAACAGGCAUAGGUUCAUCAUCACUAACAUCAUCGUGUUCAGGUUCACUAAUUUCUCUUUCUCUAGACUUCGAAAUUUGCUCAUCUAGAAAUUCACCAAGUGGCACAGUAGUAUCUAGCAUAGAAGUAGUUUCAUCAUAAGUAUCAUGCAUAGCAGAAGUGGCAUCAUCAAUAACAUGCGACAUAUCAGAAUUCAUAGCAGUAGUAGGUUUAGGUGUCGCUAGCUUACUCAUAACAGAAGGUGAAUCAAGUGCAGAGCUAGAUGGCAGUUCCUUACCUCCCCUCGUAGUUGAGGGAUAAAUUUUUGUCUUUGCAUCUUUCAAGUUCUUCAUAGUGUCCAGCAGAUAUAAAUCCCAAGUGACUCAAAGAACAGAGCUAUGUUCCCCGGCAACGGCGCCAGAAAAAGGUCUUGAUAACCCACAAGUAUAGGGGAUCGCAACAGUUUUCGAGGGUAGAGUAUUCAACCCAAAUUUGUUGAUUCGACACAAGGGGAGCCAAAGAAUAUUCUCAAGUAUUAACAGCUGAGUUGUCAAUUCAACCACACCUGGAAACUUAGUAUCUGCAGCAAAGUGUUUAGUAGCAAAGUAAUAUGAUAGUGGUGAUAACGGUAACAAAGUAAAGACAGCAAAAGUAAUGUUUUUGGUAUUUUUGUAGUGAUUGUAACAGUAGCAGCGGAAAAGUAAAUAAGCGUAAACUAGUAUAUGAAAAACUCGUAGGCACCGGAUCAAUGAUGGAUAAUUAUGCCGGAUGUGGUUCAUCAUGUAACAGUCAUAACAUAGGGUGACACAGAACUAGCUCCAGUUCAUCAAUAUAAUGUAGGCAUGUAUUCCGUAAAUAGUCAUACAUGCUUAUGGAAAAGAACUUGCAUGACAUCUUUUGUCCUACCCUCCCGUGGCAGCGGGGUCCUAUUGGAAACUAAGGGAUAUUAAGGCCUCCUUUUAAUAGAGAACAGGAACAAAGCAUUAACACAUAGUGAAUACAUGAACUCCUCAAACUAUGGUCAUCACCGGGAGUGGUCCCGAUUAUUGUCACUUCGGGGUUGCCGGAUCAUAACACAUAGUAGGUGACUAUAGACUUGCAAGAUAGGAUCUAGAACUCACAUAUAUUCAUGAAAACAUAAUAGGUUCAGAUCUGAAAUCAUGGCACUCGGGCCCUAGUGACAAGCAUUAAGCAUAGCAAAGUCAUAGCAACAUCAAUCUCAGAACAUAGUGGAUACUAGGGAUCAAACCCUAACAAAACUAACUCGAUUACAUGAUAAAUCUCAUCCAACCCAUCACCGUCCAGCAAGCCUAUGAUGCAAUUACUCACGCACAACGGUGAGCAUCAUGAAAUUGGUGAUGGAGGAUGGUUGAUGAUGACGACGGCGACGAAUCCCCCUCUCCGGAGCCCCGAACGGACUCCAGAUCAGCCCUCCCGAGAGAGAUUAGGGCUUGGCGGCGGCUCCGUAUCGUAAAACACGAUAAAACUUUCUCUCUGAUUUUUUUCUCCUCGAAAGACAAUAUAUGGAGUUGGAGUUGGCGUCGGAGGGCCACCAGGGGGCCCACGAGGUAGGGGGGCGCGCCCAGGGGGGAGGGGCGCGCCCCCCACCCUCGUGGACAGGGUGUGGGCCCCCUGGUCUUCAUCUUUGGCGAGGAUUUUUUAUUAUUUACUCUAAGAUAUUCCGUGGAGUUUCAGGUCAUUCCGGGAACUUUUGUUUUCUGCACAUAAAACAACACCAUGGCAAUUCUGCUGAAAACAUCGUCAGUCCGGGUUAGUUCCAUUCAAAUCAUACAAGUUAGAGUCCAAAACAAGGGCAAAAGUGUUUGGAAAAGUAGAUACGACGGAGACGUAUCAGAGUGCAUCUACAUACCUUUGUAGAUCAUGAGCGGAAGCGUUCAAGAGAACGGGGUUGAGGGAGUCGUACUCGUCGUGAUCCAAAUCACCGGAGAUCCUAGCGCCGAACGAAUGGCACCUCCGCGUUCGACACACGUACGGAGCGGAUGACGUCUCUCGUGCCUUGAUCCAGCAAGGAGGAGGGAGAGGUUGAGGAAGAUGGCUCCAGCAGCAGCACGACGGCGUGGUGGUGAUGGAGAGGUAGUACUCCGGCAGGGCUUCGCCAAGCUCUGCGGAGGAGGAGGAGGUGUUGGAGUGGGAGAGGGAGGCGCCAGGGGCAUGCGUGCGGCUGCCCUCCAUCCCCCCCUCUAUAUAUAGGGUCCCCAAGGGGGGCGCCGGCCCUAGGAGAUGGGAUCUCCUAGGGGGGGCGCCGACCAAGGGGGUGGAGUGCCCCAAAAGGCAAGUGGAGGUGCCCCCUUCCCUAGGGUUCCCAACCCUAGGCGCAGGGGGGGCCAAGGGGGGCGCACCAGCCCACUAGGGGCUGGUUCCCCUCCCACUUCAGCCCAUGGGGCCCUCCGGGAUAGGUGGCCCCACCCGGUGGAUCCCCGGGACCCUUCCGGUGGUCCCAGUACAAUACCGAUGACCCCCGAAACUUUCUCGAUGACCGAAACUCGAUUUCCCAUAUAUAAUUCUUUACCUCCGGACCAUUCCGGAACUCCUCAUGACGUCCAGGAUCUCAUCCGGGACUCCGAACAACUUUCGGGUUACUGCAUACUCAUAUCUCUACAACCCUAGCGUCACCGAACCUUAAGCGUGUAGACCCUACGGGUUCGGGAGACAUGUAGACAUGACCGAGACGGCUCUCCGGCCAAUAACCAACAGCGGGAUCUGGAUACCCAUGUUGGCUCCCACAUGCUCCUUGAUGAUCUCAUCGGAUGAACCACGAUGUCAAGGAUUCAAGCAACCCCGUAUACAAUUCCCUUUGUCAAUCGGUAUGUUACUUGCCCGAGAUUCGAUCGUCGGUAUCCCAAUAACUCAUUCAAUCUCGUUACCGGCAAGUCACUUUACUCGUACCGUAAUGCAUGAUCCCAUGACCAAACACUUGGUCACCUUGAGCUCAUUAUGAUGAUGCAUUACCGAGUGGGCCCAGAGACACCUCUCCGUCAUACGGAGUGACAAAUCCCAGUCUCGAUCCGUGUCAACCCAACAGACACUUUCGGAGAUACCCGUAGUAUACCUUUAUAGUCACCCAGUUACGUUGUGACGUUUGGUACACCCAAAGCACUCCUAUGGUAUCCGGGAGUUACACAAUCUCAUGGUCUAAGGAAAAGAUACUUGACAUUGGAAAAGCUCUAGCAAACGAACUAUACGAUCUUGUGCUAUGCUUAGGAUUGGGUCUUGUCCAUCACAUCAUUCUCCUAAUGAUGUGAUCUCAUUAUCAAUGACAUCCAAUGUCCAUAGUCAGGAAACCAUGACUAUCUGUUGAUCAACGAGCUAGUCAACUAGAGGCUUACUAGGGACAUGUUGGUGUCUAUGUAUUCACACAUGUAUUACGAUUUUCGGAUAACACAACUAUAGCAUGAAUAAAAGACAAUUAUCAUGAACAAGGAAAUAUAAUAAUAAUCCUUUUAUUAUUGCCUCUAGGGCAUAUUUCCAACACCAUGUUCUAUCCACCUUCCCAUUCUCCACUCAUUCCUCCUUCAAGUCUCCAUCUUCUGACUGAAUUGAAUCAGAUCUGAAGCUCAUGCAUCCUCCUUUUCUUCCCCUACAAAUUCAGUGGAAUCCAAGAAGCUCCACGGCAAUGGAAUAAACCAGAAGAUAUGCAUGUAAUACUAUGAGAAAUUCACUUAGAUGGUUUGAGCAAAAUGCAGGUUGAUCUAAACUACUGCACUUUUGAACGAUUUCCUAUUAGCAUGGAACUGAAAAGUUUAAUUUAUUAUUUGGUAGGUUGCACUCUGACCAUUUUAUUUUCUCUUCAAACAACCUGCAGAGAGCAACUUAGUUAAAUUGUCCCAUUAUGAGGACAAAAAAGGAACAUUCGUAUGGUCUUCCUACCUUUUGUAUUGCCUGCAUUUAUAGCACAGAUCUAAUUUUUGCAACCAAGAUUUGACUUCCCAAUUAAUAUUAUGUGUUACAGAUUUUGUAGAGUACUAAUAAUUUCUAACGACCAUUGUUGGCUUUGCUUUCUUCUACUCGGAAAAUAAUUAUUUUUUAGUAUAUGUUAAAUAAAGGUUUUACGACAAUUAAAAAGGCAGCAUACGCACAUUUGUCGGUGGGACAAAUUAAUGGUAGUCUAAAUGCAGAGUUUGCAAAGUCCUGAUAUUUUUAUAGAAUGCCUACAUGACAGAGUAGAAAGAGAGUAAGGGAUUCAUCCUACCUGCUCGGAUGAGGUCGAGCCGCAUCAUACUCUAGCUGUUUCGGAUAUUGCUGCUAGUUAAUUGCACGUUCGUUGAUAUGGGCGAAACAAAGGAAAAUGAAUUAAACUAACGAUUAGGUCACAUGAGUGAAGUCCUUUGAAUAAAUAUCGCCUUUUAUCAAAAAAAAUAGUACAUAUCGUGAGAGCAACUACACACCUGUUUUUUUUCCGAUGGUAAAAUUAUGUGCUCGUCGAUGUCUUCCUCCUCUUCAUCUUCCCCCUUCCAUCCCACAACCCAUCCUCCAACAUUGGCCGCGGCUAUACCUGAUAUGCUUGACAACUUAAGGGAUAUUUAGCAAGCUCUUGCAUGCUAAAUGGGCCCAGAUUCUCACCGAAAUAUUUCUACGACAGGAAAACGAGGGCUGAUAAGUUGGAUCAACAUUGCAGUAUAUACACAUUAAUUGUGACAAGAAAACAUUGUGUACUUGACAUGGCUAUUGCAGAAGAUAAGCAUCAGAUCAAGUUGAUAUAAGAUGUGUGAAAAAAAUAACAACGCACAUACACAAGGGAUAACCAACUAAUUAUGUGACUAUUAACAGGAAACAUCACAUGUGUAGUAAUUUGAAUAUACACAAUGCAUAAUUGGAAGCGUUAAAUCCCUCCAAUGGUUGGCGUUGCACAUCAUAAUAUUUACUGAAUAUAUUAAUAAUUAUCAUUGAUGGCCAUUGAUGCAUAAUAAAUAGAGCUGAGUGUAGUUGUCGAACGAUCAACAGAGAGAGGAACUAGCGUGAGGAAGACGAACGAGAACGAGUCGACGAGAGAGUUGUUUUGUGCUGCCUCAACUGCGCAGCUUUCUCUGUUCUGUUAUUCCUUGCUUUUAGCAAUUACAAAGCCGAAGCUAACUACCUCCCGGCCGGGCUGCUCUGAUCCGUGACUGUCGCUCCAUCCAACGACUGGAUCACAAGCAAAAGCCAACGACCGGGAGAAGAGAACGCUAAGAAGAGAUGCGUGCUAGCCACGACUCCCCACUACGUACGUGCAUGCCCGGGUCACAUCCCAACGCAUGCAUACACAUUAUUUUAAACAGAAAGAAAAGCUCACACGUUGCAUGCAUGAGAUAAACUAGGCCUAACAUUUCACCCCCUUAAUCUCACUGCAUGACGCCGAUCACCCCAAGCCUCUGUCGCAUCUCAAUGAAGCGGACGCGCCCGAGUGCCUUGGUCAGUGGGUCGGCCAGUUGAUCCUGUGUCCCCAUAUGAUCGAUCUCCAUCUGCUCCUUCCCCAUACAGUCUCUGACGAAGUGGAACUUGAGAUAUAUAUAUUUGCUUCGAUCAUGGUGAACUGGGUUCCUGCUCAAGGCUAUGGCUGAUUUGUUGUCCACUAGCAGCUUGAACCUUGCCGGCGACACUCCAGUCAUGUCUUCCAGCAGUCGGCUCAACCACAAUCCUUGACAGGUUGCUGCAGAUAUGGCCACAUACUCUGCCUCACAUGAAGAAAGAGCAACAAUUUUCUGUUUUUGAGAGCUCCAGGUGAUCAAGUUCUUACCAAGGAAGAAGACAUGUCCAAAGGUGCUCUUGCGGUCACCGGUGUCGCCGGCGUGGUCACUAUCACUGAACCCAAACAACGUAGCAGCUCCCUGUCCUCUCUCAUAGCUGCACCCAUAGUGAAUGGUGCCUUUGAUGUACCUUAGUAUUUGCUUGACCGCCGCCCAGUGGUGUGUACUGGGUUUCUCCAUGAACCAGCUAACUAUGCCAACCGCGUGAGCAAUGCCAGGCCGCGUGUUGACAAGGUAGCGCAGGCUGCCGAUCACCUUGCGAUACAAGGUAGCGGCCUUCCAUGGAAGUGUGGCAUGGAUUACAGUUGCUCAGGUUUGACAUCUCCAGAAUCUUGCUGGCAUAGCUCUUCUGGCUAAGUGUAAUCCCGCUGGUGUUCUGUGUUACCUCAACGCCCAAGUAGUAGCUCAACUGGCCGAGGUCACUCAUUCUGAAAAGUUGCUGCAUCUGAUCCUUGAAGGAAAGUAUGUCCGCUGCAUUGGUUCCUGUGAUGAUCAAAUCGUCCACAUAGACCCCCACCAGCAGGUAGGACUGAGCGUCGCCACAUUGAUAGACGGCGUGCUCCAGGGGACUCCGCGUGAAUCUGAAAGAUGUAAGAGUCUCGUCCAGCUUGGCAUACCACGCGCGCGGAGCCUGAUGCAAUCCGUACAAUGCCUUGCGCAGCCGCAGUACGCUUCCCUCCUAUCCAGCAACCUCAUAUCUUGGUGGUUGAGCGACGUAGACCUCCUCGCUGAGAUCGCCGUUGAGAAACGCCGACUUCACAUCUAUAUGAUGUACCUCCUAGCCCGAGUGCGCGGCGAGAGCAAGCAGCAGCCGGACAGUCUCCAUGCGCGCCACGGGAGCGAAAACUUCCUCAAAAUCGACCCCUUGACGCUGCACAUACCCCUUCGCAACAAGGCGGGCUUUGUGUUUGACGAUGUUGCCCGCCGGAUCCCUCUUGACCUUAUACACCCACUUCAGCCCAAUUGCUUUGCGGCCGGCAGGAAGAGUGGCAAGCUCCCAGGUCUCGUUGUCGAUGAUGGAUUUCAUUUCAUCAUCCAUGGCGCCCUUCCAUGCCUUGCUCCCGAGUGCUUCGUCCACGUCACGUGGCUCCUCGGCACUGAACAGGCAGUUCACCAGAAGACAGCGCUCGAACUGCUCACGCACUGCCUCAUCUUCAGUGUCCUCUAGUACACUCGAGAAGCGACGGUAGCGAACCGGCUGGCCAGUUGGCACAUCGCACCCGUCGUCGUGAGACGGAGGCGUGGCCAGCGAGCCCUGGGAGGGUCCGUGGGUGUCACCGGUUCGGACCACGAUGACUCAAGCGCGUCCGCCACUGGUGUGGCGACCGCGGGUGACUGCGGCGUCCCCAAGGCUGGUGUAGAGGGUGUCGCCACGCUUCGAGGGGUGACCGGCGUGGUGGUCGAGCCACUGUCGAUCUCCUGGACACUGUUGUCCAUGGUGUAGACCACAGUAAAUGUUGCCGGCGCCGCAUUGACUGCGCUCGUGCCCAGGGUGCUCCAAUUCCAUGGCCUACUCUCCUCAAAUAUUACAUCCCGGGUCACCUGCACUUUCUUAGUGGCUGUAUCAUACACACGGUAAGCUUUGGAGCCCUCCUCAUACCCAACAAAAAUCUUCGGGGCCGAUCUGUCCGAGAGCUUGCUUACCCCUGGACCUUGCUUCUCGACAUGCACUGUGCAGCCGAACAUGCGUAGGUGUUGCACGCUUGGCCUGCGGCCAUGCCAGGCCUCAUAGGGCGUCACACCAUUCAGGCUUCUUGUCGGAGCUCGAUUGAGUAUGUACACUGCUGUUCUCACGGCCUCUGCCCAGAGGUAGGAUGGAACCUUCAUGCUCUUCAGUAAACAGCGCUCCAUCUCGACCACAGUCUGAAUUCGCCGCUCCAUCACACCAUUCUGUUGGGGAGAAUAUGGCGCUGUGGUGAAGUGCUUGACUCCAUGCUCUUCACAAUAUUGCUUGAACUCUGUGGAGUUGAACUCACUAACCCUGUCUGAUCUGAAUGCCUGCAGCUUGCAAUUCCUCUCUGCUUCAGCCAGUUUCUGCACCUUCUUGAAACGCUCAAAGGCUUCAUCUUUAGUCUUAAUCACUUCCAACCACGUGUACCUUGUGCAGUCAUCAACAAUUAACAAGAAGUAUCUGUUACCUCCUGGCGUGGUUGGCAAGAUGGGGCCGCACAAAUCGGUGUGAACCAGCUCCAGGUUGCGUUCGGCUCGGUAUGCAGCAGCUUGCGGAAAGGGAGCUCGGUGUUGCUUCCCCAGUGCGCACCCAUCACAGCACUCCUCGACGUGAUCGAGAAGCGGCAUUCCGCGUACCAUCUCCAUCGCAGACAUAGCACGCAGAGCACGAAAGUGAAGGUGCCCCAUACGGGCGUGCCACCUCCACGUUUCAUCGUCUUGCUUGGACAGCAGGCACUUGGGCGCGUCGAUGGUCAGGACGCCAGUGUACAGCCUGCUCGUCGUGCGAGCGACACGGGCCAGGACCCGUUGCCCCGGAUCAUGUAUCGUCAUGACUGUUCGACGACACGUCUACAGCAGCUCCUAGGUGGCUAACCCACCUCGCCGAGUCUCUAGCUAGGCCAACUGCCCACGCUCUUCAUGCGCCUACGUGCGCCCGCACGCCCUGCAUGGCAGGGCUGCCGUUGUACACUUUCUCCCUCUCUCCAUGUACUCCUCCUAUAUAAGCCCGUCGUGGCCAAUGUAAUCAGUGUGCGAGAGUAAUACAACUUAGCUUGGUAUCAGACUUCUUCGAUCCACCUUUUCCGCUUCUGCUUCCACCAUGGAUCGGCUCCUCCGCCGCUCCCGCUCUGCCGAUCUCGAAUCCCUCUACAGCCCUCCCUCUGCCCGGCGCCUCUUCGAUGCCCCUCCCGUCCGCACUCUCGCGCCGAUGCCCCCCACGGCACCCGCCGCGGCCCGUGUUGCCCCCGUCGUGGCACCCGCUCCCCGUCUCGUGCCCGACGUCGUCCACGGCAAGGAGCCGGUUCCCGAGGCGGCCCCUUCUUCCUCCUCCACCGCGGCUCCCGGGCUCCACCUCGCCCUACCUGCCCUUGCCGUGACUCCUCUUCGCACCGCCAGGAGCGAUCCUGUCCUGCGCCCCGCCGUGCUCCCGCACCUGGCCGCGCCGGACGUUGGCUCGUCUUCCUCCGCCGCCCUCCAGGCGUCCAUCGCGCAUCACUUCCACACGCCGCUGGAAUUGGAGUCCGGUAACUACACCAAGCGGCGCAAACUUUUUUACUGUACCUGUUGCAAAUAGAACGUGCAGACCCAUCUCGAUGCCUACGCCGCGCCGCUCCACCAGAGCGCGGUCUGGCGCAACGAUGACCUCAUGGUCGUCCUGUGGUUUCACGGGGUCAUUGCCGACGAGCUGCUGGACGUUAUCGCCUCCCCGGAGAGCACCGCGUUCGACAUCUGGUCCCAGCUAUACCUGCUGUUCCGUGACAAUCAAGCGGGGCACGCCAUCAUCCUCGGCGCGGAAUUCCGCAACUUGGUCUAGGGGGACCUGUCCAUCGCCGAGUACUAUCGGCUUCUCAAGUCCCUCGCCAACAAGCUCGGUGACAUCGGCGACCACAUCACCGAUCGCGCCCUCACCCUCCAGCUCAUCCGCGGGCUCUCCCGCAAAUUCCAGAUCAUGGCGACGCUCCUUCCGAUGCAGACGCCGUUCCCCUCGUUCGUGCAGGCGCGCUCGCGCCUCCUCAUGGAGGAAAUCGCCGCUGACGAGCGCGCUCGCCUUGACGGACGACCCGAGGCCACCGCCACCACCCUCACCAUCGCCGGCGGCGCACCCUCCUCCAACGACCGCGCUCCUUCGGCCUCCUCCGCCGACCGGGGCUCCAACGACAAGGGCAAAGGGAGCACUGCCUCCCCCAACGGUGACCCUGGAUCCUGCGGCCGUGGACGUGGCCGUGGAUCCUCCUCCGCUGGACCCUCGACCGGGCGCGGUGCUACUCCACCGACCCCAAGCCCGCCGCUCUCUGGUUUCUUCACCCCAUACGACACCAUGCUCCCGGGCCCGACUCCACCUCGUCCUGCAUGGGUCGCGCCGAACAUUGUGGGCAUCCUCGGCCCGCGCCCGCUGCCGCCACACCAGGCCUAUCCCGUGGCCAUCGCACCGCCGACCGGGGAGCCCUCAUGGGAGCAAUAUAUAUAACCAGCUCUACGCGGCCCUCUAGAACCUGUCCAUGCAGCACAACACCGGCGGCGGAGGCCAGGAGUGGUUCCUCGACACUGGAGCCUCCUCUCACGUGACUGGGAUGGCGCACGCUCUCUCCAAGCUUUCUUCCCCAUCUUUGCGUCAAUCUUCUGGUAUUGUUGUUGGAGAUGGGUCUCUCUUACCCGUUAGUGUUGUUGGCUCUACUAAAUUUUCCUCCUUCUCUCUUAACGACGUUCUAGUAUCACCCACUAUCAUCAAAAACCUUAUUUCCGUUCGUCAUUUUACCAUUGAUAAUUCUUGCAAUAUAGAAUUUGAUCCGUUCGGUUUUUCCAUGAAGGACCUAGCCACCCGCAAGACCAUCAUGAGGUGCAAUAGCCACGGUGACCUCUACCCAUUCUUCUCCAACACCGGCGUGCAAGCUCUUCUCACUGUCUGUUGGGGAAUGUAGUAAUUUCAAAAAAAUUCCUAUGCACACGCAAGAUCAUGGUGAUGCAUAGCAACGAGAGGGGAGAGUGUUGUCUACGUACCCUCAUAGACCAAAAGCGGAAGCGUUAGCACAACGCGGUUGAUGUAGUCGUACGUCUUCACGAUCCGACCGAUCAAGUACCGAACGUACAGCACCUCCGAGUUCAGCACACGUUCAGCCCGAUGACGUCCCUCGAACUCUGAUCCAGCCGAGUGUUGAGGGAGAGUUUCGUCAGAACGACGGCGUGGUGAUGAUGAUGAUGUUCUACCGACGCAGGGCUUCGCCUAAGCACCGCUACAAUAUUAUCGAGGUGGAUUAUGGUGGAGGGGGGCACCGCACACGGCUAAGAGAUCAAUUAUCAAUUGUUGUGUCUUUGGGGUGCUCCCCUGCCCCGUAUAUAAAGGAGCAAGGAGGAGGGGGCCGGCCAAGGGGAGGAGGCGCGCCCAAGGGGGGAGUCCUACUCCUCCUUUCCUUGUUGGAGUAGGAGAAGGGAAGGGAGAAGGAGAAAGAAGGAAGGGGGCGCCCCCCUCCCUAGUCCAAUUCGGACCAGCCCAUGGGGAGGGGUGCGGCCACCCUUUGGGGUCUUUUUCUACUUUCGCAUAUGGCCCAUUGAGGCCCAAUACGAAUUCCCGUAACUCUCCGGUACUUCGAAAAAUACCCGAAUCACUCGGAACCUUUCCAAUGUCCGAAUAUAGUCGUCCAAUAUAUCGAUCUUUACGUGUCGGCCAUUUCGAGACUCCUCGUCAUGUCCCUGAUCUCAUCCGGGACUCUGAACUACCUUCGGUACAUCAAAUCACAUAAACUCAUAAUAUAACCAUCAUCGAAACUUUAAGCGUGCGGACCCUACGGGUUCGAGAACUAUGUAGAUAUGACCAAGACACGUCUCCGGUCAAUAACCAAUAGCGGAACCUGGAUGCUCAUAUUGGUUCCCACAUAUUCUACGAAGAUCUUUAUCAGUCAGACCGCAGAACAACAUACGUUGUUCCCUUUGUCAUCGGUAUGUUACUUGCCCGAGAUUUGAUCGUCGGUAUCUCAAUACCUAGUUCAAUCUCGUUACCGGCAAGUCUCUUUACUCGUUAUGUAAUGCAUCAUCUCGUAACUAACUCAUUAGUCACAUUGCUUGCAAGGCUUAUAGUGAUGUGCAUUACUGAGAGGGCCCAGAGAUAUCUCUCCGACAAUCGGAGUGACAAAUCCUAAUCUCGAAAUACGCCAACCCAACAAGUACCUUUGGAGACACCUGUAGAGCACCUUUAUAAUCACCCAGUUACGUUGUGACGUUUGGUAGCACACAAAGUGUUCCUCCGGUAAACAGGAGUUGCAUAAUCUCAUAGGGAUAGGAACAUGUAUAAGUCAUGAAGAAAGCAAUAGCAGAAUACUCAACGAUCGUGUGCUAAGCUAACGGAAUAGGUCAAGUCAAUCACAUCAUUCUCCUAAUGAUGUGAUCCCGUUAAUCAAAUGACAACUCAUGUCUAUGGCUAGGAAACAUAACCCUCUUUGAUCAACGAACUAGUCAAGUAGAGGCAUACUAGUGACACUAUGUUUGUCUAUGUAUUCACACAUGUAUUAUGUUUCCGGUUAAUACAAUUCAAGCAUGAAUAAUAAACAUUUAUCAUGAUAUAAGGAAAUAAAUAAUAACUUUAUUAUUUCCUCUAGGGCAUAUUUCCUUCAGUCUCCCAUUUGCACUAGAGUCAAUAAUGUAGAUCACAUCGCCAUGUGAUCAACAUCAAUAGUCCACAUCAUUAUGUGAUUAACACCCAUAGUUCACAUCGCCAUGUGACCAACACCCAAAGGGUUUACUAGAUUCGGUAAUCUAGUUCACAUCGCUAUGCGAUUAACACCCAAAGAGUACUAAGGUGUGAUCAUGUUUUGCUUGUGAGAGAAGUUUAGUCAACGGGUCUGCCACAUUCAGAUCCGUAUGUAUUUUGCAAAUUUCUAUGUCAACAAUGCUCUGCACGGAGCUACUCUAGCUAAUUGCUCCCACUUUCAAUAUGUAUCCAGAUUGAGACUUAGAGUCAUCUGGAUUAGUGUCAAAACUUGCAUCGACGUAACCCUUUACGACGAACCUUUUUGUCACCUCCAUAAUCGAGAAAAAUAUCCUUAUUCCACUAAGGAUAAUUUUGACCGCUGUCUAGUGAUCUACUCCUAGAUCACUAUUGUACUCCCUUGCCAAAAUCAGUGUAGGGUAUAUAAUAGAUCUGGUACAUAGCAUGGCAUACUUUAUAGAACCUAUGGCUGAGGCAUAGGGAAUGACUUUUAUUCUCUUUCUAUCUUCUGUCGUGGUCGGGUUUUGAGUCUUACUCAAUUUCACACCUUGUAACACAGACAAGAACUCUUUCUUUGACUGUUCUAUUUUGAACUACUUCAAAAUCUUGUCAAGGUAUGUACUCAUUGAAAAAAACUUAUCAAGCAUCUUGAUCUAUCUCUAUAGAUCUUGAUGCUCAAUAUGUCAGCAGCUUCACCGAGGUCUUUCUUUGGAAGAUUCCUUUCAAACACUCCUUUAUGCUUUGCAGAAUAAUUCUACAUUAUUUCCGAUCAACAAUAUAUCAUUCACAUAUACUUAUCAGAAAUGUUGUAGUGCUCCCACUCACUUUCUUGUAAAUACAGGCUUCAUCGCAAGUCUGUAUAAAACUAUAUGCUUUGAUCAACUUAUCAAAGUGUAUAUUCCAACUCCGAGAUGCUUGCACCAGUCCAUAGAUGGAUCGCUGGAGCUUGCAUAUUUUGUUAGCACCUUUAGGAUUGACAAAACCUUCUGGUUGUAUCAUAUACAACUCUUCUUUAAUAAAUCUAUUAAGGAAUGCAGUUUUGUUUAUCUAUUUGCCAGAUUUCAUAAAAUGCGGCAAUUGCUAACAUGAUUUGGACAGACUUAACAUAGAUACGAGUAAGAAACUCUCAUCGUAUUCAACACCUUGAACUUUGUCAAAAACCUUUUUCGACAAGUCUAGCUUUGUAGAUAGUAACACUACUAUCAACGUCCGUCUUCCUCUUGAAGAUCCAUUUAUUUUCUAUGGCAUGCCGAUCAUUGGGCAAGUCAACCAAAGUCCAUACUUUGUUCUCAUACAUGGAUCCCAUCUCAGAUUUUAUGGCCUCAAGCCAUUUUGCGGAAUCUGGGCUCAUCAUCGCUUCCUCAUAGUUCGUAGGUUCGUCAUGGUCAAGUAACAUGACCUCCAGAAUAGGAUUACCGUACAACUCUGGUGCGGAUCUCACUCUGGUUGACCUACGAGGUUUGGUAGUAACUUGAUCUAAAGUUACAUGAUCAUCAUCAUUAUCUUCCUCACUAAUUGGUGUAGGAGUCACAGGAACAAAUUUCUGUGAUAACUAUUUUCCAAUAAGGGAGCAGGUAUAGUUACCUCAUCAAGUUCUACUUUCCUCCCACUCACUUCUUUCGAGAGAAACUCCUUCUCUAGAAAAACUCUGAAUAAGUCUUGCCUUCGGAUUUGUGAUAGAAGGUGUACCCAACAGUCUCCUUUGGGUAUCCUAUGAAUACAUAUUUCUCCGAUUUGGGUUUGAGCUUAUUAGGAUAAAACUUUUUCAUAUAAGCAUCACAACCCCAAACUUUAAGAAACGACAACUUUGGUUUCUUGCCAAACCAUAGUUCAUACGGUGUCAUCUCAACGGAUUUAGAUGGUGUCCUAUUUAACAUGAAUGUAGCUGUCUCUAAUGCAUAACCCCAAAACGAUAGUGGUAAAUCGGUAAGAAACAUCAUAGAUUGCACCAUAUCUAAUAUAGUACGGUUACGAUGUUCAGACACACCACUACACUGUGGUGUUCCAGGUGGCGUGAGCAGUGAAACUAUUUCACAUUGUUUUAAUUGAAGACCAAACUCGUAACUCAAAUAUUCUUCUCCAUGAUCAGAUCGUAGAAACUUAUAUUUUCUUGUUAUGAUGAUUUUCCACUUCAUUCUGAAAUUAUAUGAACUUUUCAAAUGUUUCAGACUUCUGUUUCAUUAAGUAGAUAUACCCAUAUCUGCUCAAAUCAUCUGUGAAGGUCAGAAAAUAAUGAUACCCGCUGCGAGCCUCAUAUUCAUCAGACCACAUACAUCAGUAUGUAUGAUUUCCAACAAAUCUGUUGCUUGGUCCAUUGUUCCGUAGAACAACGUUUUAGUCAUCUUGCCCAAGAGGCAUGGUUCGCAAGCAUCAAGUGAUUCAUAAUCAAGUGAUUCCAAAAUCCCAUCAGCAUGGAGUUUCUUCAUGCGCUUUACACCAAUAUUACCUAAACGGCAAUGCCACAAAUAAGUUGCAUUAUCAUUAUUAACUUUGCAUCUUUUGGCUUCAAUAUUAUGAAUAUGUGUAUCACUACGAUCGAGAUCCAACAAACCAUUUUCAUUGGGUGUAUGACCAUAGAAGGUUUUAUUCAUGUAAAUAGAACAACAAUUACUCUCUAAAUUAAAUGAAUAAUUGUAUUGCAAUAAACAUGAUCAAAUCAUAUUCAUGCUCAACGCAAACACCAAAUAACACUUAUUUAGGUUCAACACUAAUCCCGAAAGUGUAGGGAGGGUGCGAUGAUGAUCAUAUCAAUCUUGGAACCAUUUCCAACACACAUCAUCACUUCACCCUUAACUAGUCUCUGUUCAUUCCGCAACUCCUAUUUCAAGUUACUACUCUUAGUAAUUGAACCAGUAUCAAAUAUCGAGGGGUUGCUACGAACACUAGUAAAAUACACAUCAAUAAUCUGUAUAUCAAAUAUACCUUUGUUCACUUUGCCAUCCUUCUUAUCCGCCAAAUACUUGGGGCAGUUCUGCUUCCAGUGACCAGUCCCUUUGCAGUAGAAGCACUUAGUCUCUGGCUUAGGACCAGACUUGGGCUUCUUCACUUGAGCAGCAACUUGCUUGCCGUUCUUCUUGAAGUUCCCCUUCCUCCCUUUGCCGUUUUCUUGAAACCAGUGGUCUCGUCAACCAUCAACACUUGAUGUUUUUCUUGAUUUCUACCUUCGUCGAUUUCAGCAUCACGAAGAGCUUGGGAAUUGUUUCUAUUAUCCCUUGCAUAUUAUAGUUCAUCACGAAGUUCUACUAACUUGAUGAUGGUGACUAGAGAAUUCUGUCAAUCACUAUUUUAUCUCGAAGAUUAACUCCCACUUGAUUCAAGCAAUUGUAGUACCCAGACAAUCUGAGCACAUGCUCACUAGCUGAGUAAUUCUCCUCCAUCUUGUAGGCAAAGUACUGUCAGAGGUCUCAUACCUCUCGACACGAGCAUGACUAUGAAAUACCAAUUUCAACUCUUGGAACAUCUUAUAUGCUCUGUGGCGUUCAAAACAAUUUUUGAAGUCCCGGUUCUAAGCCGUAAAGCAUGGUGCACUAAACUAUCAAGUAGUUAUCAUACAGAGCUUUGUCAAAAUGUUCAUAACGUCUGCAUAUGCUCAUGCAAUAGGUCCGUCACCUAGCGGUGCAUCAAGGACAUAAUUCUUCUGUGCAGCAAUGAGGAUAAACCUCAGAUCACGGAUCCAAUCCGCAUCAUUGCUACUAACAUCUUUCAACUUAGUUUUCUCUGGGAACACAUAUAAAACAUAAACGGGGAGUAACAUCGCGAGCUAUUGAUCUACAACAUAGAUAUGCUAAUACUACCAGGACUAAUUUCAUGAUAAAUUAAAGUUCAAUUAAUCAUAUUACUUAAGAACUCCCACUUAGAUAGACAUCCCUCUAAUCCUCUAAGUGAUAACGUGAUCCACAUCAACUAAACCAUGUCCGAUCAUCACGUGAGAUGGAGUAGUUUCAAUGGUGAACAUCACUAUGUUGAUCAUAUCAACUAUAUGAUUCACGCUCGACCUUUUGGUCUCAGUUUUCUGAGGCCAUAUCUGUUAUAUGCUAGGCUCAUCAAGUUUAACCUGAGUAUUCCGCAUGUGCAACUGUUUUGCACCCGUUGUAUUUGAACGUAGAGCCUAUCACACCCGAUCAUAAUGUGGUGUCUCAGCACGAAGAACUUUCGCAACGGUGCAUACUCAAGGAGAACACUUAUACCUUGAUAAUUUAGUGAGUGAUCAUCUUAUAAAGCUACCGCCGAACUAAGCAAAAUAAGAUGUAUAAUAGAUAAACAUCACAUGCAAUCAUAAUAUGUGACAUGAUAUGUCCAUCAUCAUCUUGUGCCUUUGAUCUCCAUCUCCAAAGCAUCGUCAUGAUCUCCAUCGUCACCGGCAUGACACCAUGAUCUCCAUCAUCCUGAUCUAUAUCAAUGUGUCAUCACAUGGUCGUCUCGCCAACUAAUGCUCUUGCAACUAUUGCUAUUGCAUAGCGAUAAAGUAAAGCAAUUAUUUGGCACUUGCAUCUUAUGCUAUAAAGAGACAACCAUAAGGCUUCUGCUAGUUGCCGAUAACUUCAACAAAACAGAUCAUCUCAUACAACAAAAUAUAGCAUCAUGUCUUGACCAUAUCACAUCACAAAAUGCCCUGCAAAAACAAGUUAGACGUCCUCUACUUUGUUGUUGCAAGUUUUACGUGGCUGCUACGGGCUAAGCAAGAAUCGUUCUUACCUACGCAUAAAAACCGCAACGAUAGUUUGUCAAGUUGGUGCUGUUUUAACCUUCGCAAGGACCGGGCGUAGCCACACUCAGUUCAACUAAAGUUGGAGAAACUGACACCCGCUAGUCACUUGUGUGCAUAGCACGGCGGUAAAACCAGUCUCGCGUAAGUGUACGCGUAAUGUCGGUCCGGGCCGCUUCAUCCAACAAUACCGCCGAACCAAAGUAUGACAUGCUGGUAAGCAAUAUGACUUAUAUCGCCCACAACUCACUUGUGUUCUACUUGUGCAUAUGACAUCUAUGCAUAAAACCAGGCUCGGAUGCCACUGUUGGGGAACGUAGUAAUUUCAAAAAAAAUCCUGCGCACACGCAAGAUCAUGGUGAUGCAUAGCAACGAGAGGGGAGAGUGUUGUCUACGUACCCUCGUGGACCGAAAGCGGAAGCGUUAGCACAAUGCGGUUGAUGUAGUCGUAUGUCUUCAUGAUCCGAACGAUCAAGUACUGAAUGUACGACACCUCCGAGUUUAGAACACGUUCAGCCCGAUGACGUCCCUCGAACUCCGAUCCAGCCAAGUGUUGAGGGAGAGUUUCAUCAGCACGGCGGCGUGGUGACGAUGAUGAUGUUCUACCGAUGUAGGGCUUCGCCUAAGCACCGCUACGAUAUUAUCGAGGUGUAUUAUGGUGGAGGGGGGAACCGCACACGGCUAAGAGAUCAAUGAUCAAUUGUUGUGUCUUUGGGGUGCUCCCCUGCCCCCGUAUAUAAAGGAGCAAGGAGGAGGGGGCCGGCCAAGGGGAGGAGGCGCGCUCAAGGGGGGAGUCCUACUCCUCCUUUCCUCGUUGGAGUAGGAGAAGGGAAGGGAGAAGGAGAAAGAAGGAAGGGGGCGCCCCCCUCCCUAGUCCAAUUCGGACCAGCCCAUGGGGAGGGGUGCGGCCACCCUUUGGGGUCUUUUUCUCCUUUCCCGUAUGGCCCAUUAAGGCCCAAUACGAAUUCCCGUAACUCUCCGGUACUCCGAAAAAUACCCGAAUCACUCGGAACCUUUCCGAUGUCCGAAUAUAAUCGUCCAAUAUAUCGAUCUUUACGUGUCGACCAUUUCGAGACUCCUCGUCAUGUCCCCGAUCUCAUCCGGGGCUCUGAACUACCUUCGAUACAUCAAAUCACAUAAACUCAUAAUAUAACCGUCAUCGAAACUUUAAGCGUGCGGACCCUACGGGUUCGAGAACUAUGUAGACAUGACCGAGACACGUCUCCGGUCAAUAACCAAUAGCGAAACCUGGAUGCUCAUAUUGGCUCCCACAUAUUCUACGGAGAUCUUUAUCGGUCAGACCGCAUAACAACAUACGUUGUUCCCUUUGUCAUCGGUAUUUUACUUGCCCGAGAUUCGAUCGUCGGUAUCUCAAUACUUAGUUCAAUCUCGUUACCGACAAGUCUCUCUACUCGUUUUAUGUAAUGCAUCAUCUCGUAACUAACUCAUUAGUCACAUUGCUUGUAAGGCUUAUAGUGAUGUGCAUUACCGAGAGGGCCCAGAGAUACCUCUCCGAUAAUCGGAGUGACAAAUCCUAAUCUCGAAAUACGCCAACCCAACAAGUACCUUUGGAGACACCUGUAGAGCACCUUUAUAAUCACCCAGUUACGUUGUGACAUUUGGUAGCACACAAAGUGUUUCUCCGGUAAACGGGAGUUGCAUAAUCUCAUAGUCAUAGGAACAUGUAUAAGUCAUGAAGAAAGCAAUAGCAGAUUACUCAACGAUCGUGUGCUAAGCUAACGGAAUGGGUCAAGUCAAUCACAUCAUUCUCCUAACGAUGACAUCCCAUUAAUCAAAUGACAACUCAUGUCUAUGGCUAGGAAACAUAACCCUCUUUGAUCAACGAGCUAGUCAAGUAGAGGCAUACUAGUGACACUAUGUUUGUCUAUGUAUUCACACAUGUAUUAUGUUUCCAGUUAAUACAAUUCUAGCAUGAAUAAUAAACAUUUAUCAUGAUAUAAGGAAAUAAAUAAUAACUUUAUUAUUGCCUCUAGGGCAUAUUUCCUUCACUGUCAUCGGUGGCGACGUAUGGCACCAGCGGUUAGGGCACCUGAGCAAUAAAACGGUUUCCAUGUUAUCUAGUCAUUUCCUUCCAAACUGUAAUAAGGGUGUAUCAAACACUUCCGUUUGUACGGCAUGCCAACUGGGCAGGCAGCCACGGCUGCCUUUUCCUCAUUCACAUUCCUUUACUAGUGCCCCCUUUCAAUUAAUACAUUGUGAUUUGUGGACCUCUCCUAUUAGUAGCUUUUCUGGUUUUCAAUAUUACUUAGUGAUAUUAGAUGACUACUCACACUACUCCUGGACGUUUCCCCUACGCCACAAAUCCGACACCGUCGACGUGCUUCACUGCUUCCAUGCAUACGUCCUCACCCAGUUCCACGCCUCCAUACAAUGCAUGCAAUGCGAUAACGGGGGUGAAUUCCUCACCACCUCCCUCCGUGAUCUCUUCUCUCGCUAUGGUGCAUCCUUCCGUCUAUCGUGCCCCCAUACCUCCCACAAAACGGCAAGGCCGAGCACCUCAUCCGCACCACCAACGACAUUCUGCACGUCCUCCUCAUCCACGCCAAUCUACCCCCCACAUUCUGGGUCGAGGCCCUCCACACUGCCACCUACAUCCUAAACCGGCGGCCGUGCUCUUCCAUUGCAUCCGAGACGCCCUAUCAUCGUCUCCUCGGCAAACAUCCUACCUACGAUCACAUGCGCAUAUUCGGGUGCUUAUGUUUUCCCAACACCGUCGCAACCAGCCCCCACAAACUCUCCCCUCGCUCCUCCCGGUGUGUUUUUCUUGGCUACCCCCUCGAACACAAAGGGUACCGAUGCUUGGACCUCUCUACGCGCAAAGUCAUCAUCUCACGUCAUGUUACCUUCGACGAACACGUCUUCCCAUAUUUCUCUGGCGACACACCAUCUACAGCCCCGCGUCGCACGUCCACAGAAAAUCCCAGGCUAGAUAUCUUUCCCAGAUCCCGAACCGCGCCUACCUCGUACCAGCUUCCUCCACUUUUGGUGGCAACCAAUCGGCGUGAACCCGCUGGACCCGCGCCUUCCAACCCAAUCCCACCACCCGCUCCGGGAUCCCCGCCCAAUUCCGCCCGCUCGCUGAGCGCGCUACCGGCCACCGCUCCCCGACCCCACGCGUCCCCCACGUGCUCCCUGCUGCAUGCCCGUACGCCACCACAUGCACGUACGCCAUCGCCCGCUCGCACGCCCCCGCCCAUCUCUGCGUCCCCGCACCAUGCAGAUCACGCGCCCCCCAAUGCUAGCGGCCCCACGCCACCAACCUCCCAUGCAGACUCCAUGCCUUGCACGUCUACAGUACCCACGCCACGCCAGUCUCCUGCCGCUCCGCAUGUACCCGCGCUGCCUCCUCGUGCCAUCCCAGUUACGCCUCCGGUUAACUUUCACUGCAUGCGCACGCGAGCUAAAACCGGGUUUGCUCAGCCCAAGGCUCUCACCACCUCCUCUCCACCCCCGACCACCAUCAGUCCCAUCCCAUCUUCCUUCCGGGUAGCUCUUCGAGUCCCCAAUUGGUACAACGCAAUGAAGGAAGAAUAUGAUGCACUGACGCGGAAUAACACUUGCAGUUUAGUGUCGCGUCCUGCAGGUACCAAUGUUGUCACGGGCAAGUGGAUCUUCCGCCACAAGUUCCACUCCGACGGCUCGCUUGCUCGCUACAAGGCGCGAUGGGUACUCCGUGCCUUCACUCAGCGCGCUGGCGUCGACUACGACGAGACUUUCAGCCCCGUCGUCAAGCCGGCGACCAUCCGCAUGGUUCUCGGUCUCGCCACCGGUAAGGGUUGGCCUAUCCACCAGCUGGACGUCAAGAACGCCUUCCUUCACGGACAUCUCGUGGAGACAGUCUACAAUGCCCAACUGUCCGGCUUCGUCGAUGCUACAUCACCCUCGCACGUCUGUCGGCUGAACCGUUCCCUCUACGGCCUCAAGCAGGCGCCGAGGGCAUGGUUCUUGCGCUUCACCACGUACCUGCGCUCCAUCGGCUUCGUCGCGUCGCGGGCGGACUCGUCGCUGUUUAUUCUCCGUCGUGGUGGGGAACUCGCCUACCUCCUGAUGUACGUGGACGACAUCAUCCUCACCGCCAGCACUGUCGCCGUUCUCGACUCCGUCAUCCAGGCGCUCCAUCGCGAGUUCGCGAUGACUGACCUCGGCGCCCUCCACCACUUCCUCGGGAUCAACGUCACCACCUCCCCAUGCGGCUUGUUCCUUUCUCAGGAGCAGUAUGCGUUGGAGAUCCUCGACCGUGCAGGGAUGCUCAACUGCCGGCCACUCUCGACGCUCGUGGACACGCUCGCCAAGCUCUCCGCCGACUCCGGGCCUCUUUUCCACGAUCCAUCACUCUACCGAAGCCUGGCCGGCGCGCUGCAAUACCUCACGUUGACACGCCCCGAUCUCUCUUACGUCGUCCAACAGUGCUGCUUAUUCAUGCAUGUGCCGCGUGACUGCCACUUUCAGCUUGUCAAACGCAUCCUCCGGUACCUGCGAGGGACGACGCACCACGGGCUCCAGCUCCAUCAGGACACCUCCACCGAGCUCAUUGCCUACUCCGACGCCGACUGGGCAGGUUGCCCUGACACACGCAAGUCAACCUCCGGCUUCUGCGUCUUUCUCGGCAGAAACCUUCUCACAUGGUCGUCGAAGCGGCAGAGUACCAUCUCCCGGUCCAGUGCCGAGGCCGAGUACCGCGCCGUGGCAAACGCCGUCACCGAGACGGUGUGGCUACGACAACUACUGGGCGAACUCCAUUAGCCUCCCGCGCGAGCUAUGGUGGUCUACUGCGACAAUGUCAACGACGUCUGCAUGUCCAGCAACCCGGUGCAGCACCAACGAACGAAGCACAUUGAGAUAGAUCUUCACUUUGUUCGUGAACGCGUCAUGCUAGGCGAGCUGCAUGUUCUUCACGUCCCCACGAGCUCUCAGUUUGCGGACNNNNNNNNNNNNNNNNNNNNNNNNNNNNNNNNNNNNNNNNNNNNNNNNNNNNNNNNNNNNNNNNNNNNNNNNNNNNNNNNNNNNNNNNNNNNNNNNNNNNNNNNNNNNNNNNNNNNNNNNNNNNNNNNNNNNNNNNNNNNNNNNNNNNNNNNNNNNNNNNNNNNNNNNNNNNNNNNNNNNNNNNNNNNNNNNNNNNNNNNNNNNNNNNNNNNNNNNNNNNNNNNNNNNNNNNNNNNNNNNNNNNNNNNNNNNNNNNNNNNNNNNNNNNNNNNNNNNNNNNNNNNNNNNNNNNNNNNNNNNNNNNNNNNNNNNNNNNNNNNNNNNNNNNNNNNNNNNNNNNNNNNNNNNNNNNNNNNNNNNNNNNNNNNNNNNNNNNNNNNNNNNNNNNNNNNNNNNNNNNNNNNNNNNNNNNNNNNNNNNNNNNNNNNNNNNNNNNNNNNNNNNNNNNNNNNNNNNNNNNNNNNNNNNNNNNNNNNNNNNNNNNNNNNNNNNNNNNNNNNNNNNNNNNNNNNNNNNNNNNNNNNNNNNNNNNNNNNNNNNNNNNNNNNNNNNNNNNNNNNNNNNNNNNNNNNNNNNNNNNNNNNNNNNNNNNNNNNNNNNNNNNNNNNNNNNNNNNNNNNNNNNNNNNNNNNNNNNNNNNNNNNNNNNNNNNNNNNNNNNNNNNNNNNNNNNNNNNNNNNNNNNNNNNNNNNNNNNNNNNNNNNNNNNNNNNNNNNNNNNNNNNNNNNNNNNNNNNNNNNNNNNNNNNNNNNNNNNNNNNNNNNNNNNNNNNNNNNNGACGUGCGCCCGCACGCCCUGCAUGGCAGGGGUGCCGUUGUACACUCUCUCCCUCUCUCCAUGUACUCCUCCUAUAUAAGCCCGUCGUGGCCAAUGUAAUCAGUGUGCGAGAGUAAUACAACUUAGCUAUGACGCCGGUCUAGAUCACCACCUUGCAGCCAACCUCGUCGAGCUGACCUAUAGAGAUAAUGUUGCUGCGCAGACUCGGAAUGAAGUAGACCUCGGAGAGUGCAUGCUGGUGACCGCCCUGCCCCUUGAAGACGACAGCGCCGCGGCCACGAAUCACAACAAGCGACCCAUCUCCAAACUUGACAGAGCCAUGCACGCUCUCGUCGAGCGUGGCGAACAUGUGACGUUCUCCUGUCAUAUGACUACUUGCACCAGUAUCAAAGUACCAAGUUCCAUCAGGCGAGGGGGACUGGGAUUACCUUCUCCUCAUUGAGGAAAACAGCUUGCGGUGCCACUACUUCCGUGGAUACUGAGGUGGUGACCACGGCCAUCAGCAAGCCCUGCUCAUGCUCAUCUCCUGGACGUACGAGAUUGGCCUGCUCUUGUCUCCCCUUCUGCUCUUGUUCACGAAGCCACGUGCGACACUCUUUCUUCCAGUGGCCUUGUAUACCACAGUGAUGACAUUUGCCUUUCUUUUUCUUGUUGCCCGAGCCGCCCGCGCCGCCCGCGCCCGCGCUCCCGACGCACCCUUGCCACCGCCGUGAGGCUUGGCCUUGGCGGGCGAUUUGUUCUUGCCGGUGUUGCCGCUACCGCCGCCCGACGAUGAACCACCGCCGCCGCCCAAGUUCUCGCGGGCCAGCCACUCCUAAUGAAUGAGCAAGAGGCGCCCGACGUUCUGCGUGUCGUCGUCGAGGUCAUAGUGAUCCUCACAAGUAGAGAAGCGGCCGAUGAGCUCCUCAAUGGACAUGGUUUUCAGAUCAAGGAGGGACUCAAUCGCCAUGGCCAUUGGGCGGUACCGGCGUGGCACCACUCGAAGAAAUUUCUGAACGGCAUUGUGCUCGGUGACGGGGUCGCCGUACAGCUCCAGAUCGGCUACGAGGGCGGAGAGCCGCAGCCCAAAGUCCUCGACGGACUCCCCAUCUCUGAAACGGAGAUCCUCGAACUCCCGCCGGCACACCUGCGCCUUGGCUUCACGGGCGCGCUCACUGCCCAUCCGCAUCGUCUUGAUGGUCUCCCACGCCGUCUUCACCGUGUCCUUGGCGGCCAGCACACGCAGCAUCUCCGGCGGAAUGCCGGUGAGAAUGAUCUGCAGCGCGUGCCGGUCGUCGUUCUCGUCGGCGGCGUCGUCGGUCACCGCGGACCAGACGCGGGCGACCUGCAGCUUGACUUGCAUCACGAGUGCCCACUCCUGAUAGUUCGUGCAUGUGAGCAUCAUGGAUGCCCCCGACUCCUCUCGCACGACGCGCUCCACCACCCGGUACUCGCCGUUGUCGUUGCCGGUGAGGCGCGCGAGCGGCACCUUGGAUGAAGGCGUCUUCGACGGUGACUUUGUCCCGCUCUUGUUCUUCCCGUCUGACUCGUAGCUCGACAUGUGCGCCGCCACGGAUCAAACACCGCCGGCCACCGGAGCAGGAUCAAACACCAGGCUCUGAUGCCAAAUGUAGUUGUCGAACGAUCAACAGAGAGAGGAACUAGCGUGAGGAAGACGAACAAGGACGAGUUAACGAGAGAGUUGUUUUGUGCUGCCUCAACUGCGCAGCUUUUCUUGUUCUGUUAUUCCUUGCUUUUAGCGAUUACAAAGCCGAAGCUAACUACCUCCCGGCCGGGCUGCUCUGAUCCGUGACUGUCGCUCCAUCCAACAACUGGAUCACAAGCAAAAGCCAACGACCGGGAGAAGAGAACGCUAAGAAGAGAUGCGUGCUAGCCACGACUCCCCACUAUGUACGUGCAUGCCCGGGUCACAUCCUAACCCAUGCAUACACAUUAUUUUAAACAGAAAGAAAAGCUCACACGUUGCAUGCAUGAGAUAAACUAGGCCUAACACUGAGCAUGGCAAGACCACGUGACUGAACUACACCUGCCAAGGUUCAUCGACAAAUGCCUGAAUUGCUACAAUAAGGUGACUUACCCAGUCGUGUCAGGAUAGCAUGCAAUGAUCCACUCCUUGUAUCAUGCUCCAAUACAAGUACUUGGUCGACAAAACGGUUGAUGUAGUCCAAGAGUCCGUUGCGGAGGGUCCAUGUCACGUGAGUUCAGAUUGCUUAAAAUCUUCAAAAUCUUAACAACGUUGAAUUGAAGGAAGAAGACAUGGGAAAGCUCGAUGUCCCUCAGGCACCCGGUUCUCCCUCUCCAUAUGGCAUAUAUGAACCUGCCAUUCGUUAAGUAUACUGAUGCACGUACAUGUACACCUAAAACAACCUUUUCAUCUCCUAGUAACUCCUACAAAAAUGAGAAAACAUAUAUCAGAUUCAGUGACGUUGUAUAGUACUCUUUAGUAGUUUCGUGCCCAAAUGGUAAAGUAUUUAGACGCAAAAGGAUUUUUCAUACUACUAAAAUGCAUAGCCAUUCCAACAGCAAAUAAAAACCAUGGAGAGCUAAGAAUGACAUGUACAUCAAAUAACAUUUAUAAAUUAGCUGUGGAAUAUAGUGUGUUUUGUCGCUCUGUUCUAUCGAACUACGUAGUAUGCCAUAAUUUAGAAAAUCUAAAAACCUGAAUGAAAUCAUGCUAUUUAUAUUACUACUGUACUUAACAAUCUGCCUAUGAUACUACUCAAACAGUAACCAUUUGUGUACAGAAAUGAGAAAUAUAAAUCAGUGGAGGAGCUACAAACAAAAGGCUGGUCGGGCCAAGCUAAAGGACUAUACUUUUUUUUUCAAAUUAUGAACCAUAAUCGAUACUCAUAAUAUAUAUUCUAUUUAGUGGCGGUAAAGUUUCUUCGUAGCUCGUCCUACAGGGUACCCCUUAUCUAUGCCGUUCGUCACGCUAUGGAGAUGUGUGCAAAAGAGAAGCAUCAUGAGAAUGUUGCAGUGUCAUUAGCAGUUGUCCUUUUAAGUAGUAUAGGCCUGCUAGUACAUGGGGCCCACCCAAAGUUGCAUGUGUCCUGUCAUACGCAGCUCACUGGUCACAUGCAGGAUGCAGCUCAUUAUUCACUGUUCACCUUUCACCCAUCACAUGCAAACUCAGUGCCUCGUCUCUCUCUUCCUCCACAGCGCAGCGAACAACAAUCAACAGUUAGAGAAGAUAAGGAGAGGAGUAGUUUGUAAAAAUGGCGCAAAAGUCAAACCCAAGUGAGUCAGAGUUGCCAUGUGCAAAGGCUUUUCUGGAAGUUUUUUUAGUCUUUUUCAUAAAUAAACUGCAUGCACAUUCAAAGACGAGGUAUUGUUCUUGCGUACUGUCUCUCAUUUUCUUUUCGCAUGUGAUGGGUGGUAGGUGAGGGAAAAAAGAAAGAGCAAGCAAAUUUUAUGAGAAUGAGAGAGAACGUGGCUAUAGUAGCACUGCAGCAUGGUCUGCCAUAGAUGCCAGACUUUUGCAGGUCGCAUAUGAGUGCUUAAGAUUCCCCUGACACGGCUGCACAUUUUCAAAGCUUGCACACAUCCUCAUGCAUCUUCCCACGGUCUGAAUGGUGAAGAUAGUGGGUACUAAGGAGCUCGGGCUAAGAAAAACACACUCAUUUAGUGGCCAGAAUCAGUACUCAUAACAUUUUUAAAUUGGGUAUGAAUCAAAGAAAAUUACCUAUGCAGAUUGUAGCGAUUCACGGAAAAUUGGACAGAAGGAGCUGUGUUGCUUGCUUGCUUGCCGCUGCUAGCUACUUGCAGUUGUGCUUCACGGAACUGAAACGUCAAACCAACUUGUGGCAUGACUCUAUCUCCACGCGGUAAAACACACAAAGGAUAAUUUCACAAAGGAUUAAGCAGAAAGGUAAAUUUCACCAAGGAUUAAAAUAGAAAGGAGAAUUUUUAGAUUGUUUUCUGUAGCGACCCGACCCGAAUGGGUCAAGUCUCUGUGCUUAAGUGUCAUCCCUGGAUCGGUAUGCUGACACACACAGUACUCGAAGGAUUUAUAACAGAGGUAAAUCACAUGUAUAAAGUAACGUAAAUACUAUUACCUCAAUCCAUAUAGCGGAAGAAACAAGGUUGUGGAUUCCCAUCAACACCAACGGCAAAGUUGAGUGUAGAAAUCGUAACCCUAACAUAUCACUUACUCGUCGUAAGAUAAUCCUGCAACAUGACACGUUGCAGCCCGAAACGGGUCAGUACAUUGAAUGUACUGGCAAAUUCACACCAUAGAGAAAAUGAAGAACAAUGGCUAUCACUACAUGCAUAUUUGGCUGGUGGAAAAGCUCUAUGGUUAUAGUUUUUGCGAAAAGCCAAUUUUUCCCUACUGCAAAGGAAUAAAUUUUAUUUAACUAUCAUGGUUGUUGUUGAACAUUGAGAAUGGUUGACAACAUUCUCAAUCCUAAUUAAUUAACAUCAUUAAAACCCAACAAUAUUCAUUUAAAGUAACGUGAUGAGAUCAACAGGAUAAUCCAAGAACUAGAUACUCAAGAUGUUCAUAACCGGGGACACGGCUAAUCAUGAUUAGUUUAUACACUCUGCAGAGGUUUGCGCACUUUUCCCCACAAGACUCGAUCGCCUCCGUUUGGUUUCUCGCACUACAGGGUGUUUGAGAAGACAGAUGACCGAGACAUAGUCUUUCGGAAGCGCUAGCACCUUACGAUUGGGUAGACCGUACCACCUACAUCCCCUACAUCUGCUAGUCUACCACUAUAAGAGUUCGCACAACUUAAUCAACUAUGCCAGAGCCCAUAAUGGCUUGUGGCUGCACACGGAAGUUUCUAGUAUGAAUAAUCUCAUGAUCCCUUUGAGCCUGGGUGACGGUCCAAAAGAAAACGGGCAAGUCCCGGAUUACCCAGGUGCCUAGACAGGCAAUCCUAGAAUAACCAGGUACCUCAAUCCACCCAGAUGUGUGUUAGGUUGCCACCUUGGAUAAACCCUUAAUUAUGAAUCUCACAUCUGUCAUGGAUAUCACUCACCCAAUCCAUGUCUACUAGCAAAGCAUGGCAUAAUAAGCAAACGUAGAAGUAACUCCCAAAGGUUUGAUAAUAAACAGGUAUUAGGUACUACCUCAUCUACUUCCCAUCCCACAAUUUAAUUAGAUCCUAAUCAUGCAAUGUGUGAAGAUUGAUGUAAUGCAAAAAAAACUGGGUAUGUAGAAAAAGGUUUGAUCCAAGUGUGAACUUGCCUGCAAUGUUGAUGAAGAUGAUUCGCACUCAAAACUCUUGAUAGAUCUACUCGUCACACUCCGGUCAAUCUAUCGUAAUCAAGCAAUAGAACCACACAUAAGCAAUCACUCAAAAGAUCAGAAAGAACGAAGAAGACGAUUCGGAAAACAUCAAAACCAAGCAAAUAACUCUUGCAACAUAAAACAAUUUCUAACAGUACCAAAAUUAUGUGAAUUUAGCCUUAUUAGAAUGUUUAGGUCAAGAGCUUCGAUUUGCAAAAAGAAUCAACUCAAACGGAGCUACGAAACGCAAGUUAUGAUCAAAUGAAGUUUGAAUUCAAAUCUGAUCUAAUUCAAAUUUUAAACUUUUCAAAAACAUGUUUAAGUUGUUUAUCCGGAUAGAGGGGAUCAUAACGAAGAUGUGAGCGUUGGUUUCGUUGGAUUUGGACUAACGAGCAAAAAGUUACGAGUGUUUGAAGUUCAGGGACUAAACUGCAAAGAAAACUCCUCACAUAUAAGUCCCUGGCCGAAAUAAAUAAGAAAAAGGAAAAAAUACUAAAUAGCGAACGUUCGCUAUAGAAGUUUAUAUGACGAAAAACAUUCGCUGCGAAGACUAAAACAAUGAACGUUCACUACUUAACUAGGUUAUUAAGAAAAACCGGUUUUAAUCAAAAGAACCGAAUCGAACCGGGCAACGGUUUUACCGGUCGGGGNNNNNNNNNNGCAGAGGGCGCGGCGCGGGCGGCUCCGCUGUCCGCGGUGGCGGCGGUUGUGGCGGCGAGAGGCGGGUAGGAGAGGGAGGCGGGGUCCGGGGCUCCGGUAUUUAAGGGCGGAGGGGAGGCGCGGCACCGACUUGGGGAAGGGGCAGGAGGAGGAGUCCUCCUCGGCCACGACGGCGACGGCGGCGUACGCCGGCCGGUCUCCUGCUCGGGGAGAAAGACAGCACGCUGGGCCGCUGCUGGGCUGGGCCGGCUGGCCUGGCGCGGGGAGAGAGAGAGAGCAGUGCUGGGCUUCGGCCUGGCACUGUUCGGAGAGUUUUUUUUUAAACACAGACAAAUGAAAAUAAAAAAAAGCAAAUGAAAUAUUAUAUAGGCAUAUUAUAUAUCAAAAUUUUCAGAAAAAGAUUUUCUACACAGUGAACAUUUUUAUAAUUUCAAAUAAAAUCCACACAAAUUCAGAUAAAACAAAGAGUGCUACUGGUCUAUAAAAAUCCAACAAAAAUCAUUUUAAAAAUACCAAAAUGAUUUCAAUUUAAUUUUUCUCCAAUUUUCUGUUGUAGGGAAUCAUGUUACCCUAAUUUCCAUAUAUUUUAUUUUUGGAGAAAAAUAAUUUGAAUAAAACUCAAAAAAACUCCAAAUUGAAAAUAAAUUCAAAAGAACUUUGAAUUUAGUUCUUUGAAACUCCCAACUCAUAUUUCAUAUAAUUUGAAGAAGUCAUUUUAUCUUCUCUCGUGAAAAUCAUUGAGUUGCUUAAAGUUUCUGAAUUGGAAAUAUUUUCCAAAUGAAAUUCAAAUAUUUUCAAAUACCCUUUCAUUUAAUUUAAAUGGAAGAAGUCAUAUCAUCUUCUCUCGAGGGUUUUGUAUUUGAAAAGGAUUUGAAUUCACGGAGAUCAGAAAGCAAAUAUGAAAGUUUGGGAAAGUCCUUUUAUUCCCUCUCAUUUAACUUUCAAAAGUUUCGAAUUCACUCACUUUCAGACAAUCAAUCAACAAUCAAUCAAAUCUAUCUAUUUAUUAUAACAUUCCAAAAUUUAGAAUUUUGGGAUGUUACAAACCUACCACCCUUAAAAUGAAUCUCGUCCUCGAGAUUCGGAGAGGCUAGAAAGAAAUAGGUUAGGGUUGGGGUCUCCAAAAAAAAUCCAUCCAUCGUCUCCGGGGUCUGGGGUGCUACCACCCUUAGAAGCAUGGUUACAGCUCCAUCGAAACUCAUAUACUUCAUCCAUAUUGUUAAUAGUGUCGGUCUUCUCAAAUCCUCGGAAAAUUCCUUCUCUGGCUCUUCCGGUAGUGGCAUAACCUUUUCCUCAAUUCUUCUGUCCUUUCCUCCUCGUAAGGUUAUUCCGAGUUUGGGUCUUCUUAGCUGACGGGCCGGGCGCCAAAACUAAAAAACUAUCGAUAUCUCAUGGUGGUCAACAAUUUAUGGUUUCUCCUGCAGGAAAUGGGUCUGGGUUGAUCCUCAACGUAUAACCUACGGUUGGCAAAAAGCUGCCGUGUACAAGGGAAAAAUUCCUAUACCAUUCUAAGGUUUAAACAAGGUUUCCAUCGUCGUCUCUCUACUAUAGGUAAGUCACUCAGAUUUACCAUUCCAUAUAGCAAGGCGAACAAUAAGAGUAAGUCGGUAUGGUGAUCAAUCCAUCCCGCACACAAAUCAUUACCUUGUAUAUGGUUUAGCGAAUCUCGCAUUCUAACACUCGGUCAUCCUCACAAGCAUUGCAGAAUUUCUCUUGUCGACGAACCAAGUUCGAAUAAAUCCAUAGAUUCUGCAAGCCAAACAACCAUCUAUCGUUCCUUCACAACUCUCAGGUUUUGCGUAACUCCUAUAAGAUCGUCUGUCGAUAAAGGUAUAUCCACUCCCAGGGUUUUUCCUUCAGCAAGAAGGUGCUUGCUUCUUGGCAGGUCCUGGGGCCUAUGGGUUAUGGCCCAUCUCACCACUUGUAGUCCUUGAACUUAUCAUCGGGCAACUGAUCAUUGUUCCAACUUCCUAGUAUUCUUAAAUCCAUCCAAUUGUACUGUCUUCCUUCCUUCUAUUGGCACCAAACUAAAACGUGAUUACUCAAACUCAUCAUGGAAUUUCCAUUGAUCUAUAUUUCCAACAUCAUACCUCCUUUAUAUCCAAUAGUACUUCAUCUCUUCAUCCUCGUGGGGUACCCCUCAUACCGAGAUAAAAACUUAUACUUAUGAAGUCCAUAUUCCACUUCGUGGAACAUCAUUAUCCUUUUCGUGGUCAAGCUUCCUUACAGGGGAAUAUUGGCCAUCUCUGCAUGGCACUUCUUCAACUGGGAAACGUGAAACACAUCUUGAACUCCUGACAGUCCUUCCGGUAACUCAAACUUGUAGGCCACUUCUCUCAUACGCUCCAAAACUCAAUAUGGUCCUACAAAUCUCGGGGCUAACUUUACCUUAAUUCCAAUUCGUUUAACUCCUCGCAGAGCAAACACAUGAAGACAUGCUCUGUCUCCAAUUUCAUAGACUACCUCCUUGAGUUUUUAAGUCUGCAUAACUCUUCUACCUGGACUGAGCUACUUUCAGUCUAUCUCGAAUCAACUUAACAUUCUCUUCUGACUCCUUGCAUCACAUUUGAUCCAAACAACUGACGUCUCCAACUUCAUCCCACACACUCUUGGGGUAUCACACAUAUCGAGGCAAAACUCAUAUUCAUUUUGUCCGAAAUCCAUUACAGGGUACUACCACCCUUAAAAUGCACAAAUCUUCCAUAGACCAUAUUUCUCUUAUCCUCAAAAAUGGUCAAAAUCCUUCUUCAUAGAGUAAAAACUCAUAAAAUCCAUAUCAGUACCAAUGAUGCAACUUUAUUCACUCUCAAUUAAUUACAAUCUCUCGCUUUUCCAUUACCUGUCUCAACUUAACACCUCAAGAAAAUGUUCUCACUUCCACUACUCCAUUACUUUUGUUGCAAACUCAACUACCUAGCACAAGUUUCCUUCUCCUUGGGGCAUUCUCUGGCAAAGUGCCCUGCUUCAUUACAACGGAAACAUAUUACUUCUGACAAGUUUCGAGGUUUCCUUGUGAUUAUAUAGCCUCUUGGGGUACUCAUCUUCCCUUUUGGGCAAUCAUUGAAGUAGUGUCCUGAAUUUUUGCACCUGAAACAUGUGAUAUGACUCAGGUCUUUCUUUGUAGAACUUGGUUUGUUCCUGGGAUCCAAUCUACUUCUCUUCCUGGACUUUUCCAUUCCAAUCAGGGCUUCUAUUUCCUGUGGGUCAUAAUCUACUUCCUCCGUCGGGAAUUCUACUAGCUCCCCAUUCAUACAAUUCUGGGAGAUGUGUCCUUCUUCUCCACAUGAAUAGCAAGACUUGGCGCAGGGUUUAAUUGGUUCCUCUUUGGGUGUGUACUCCACCUCUUCCUUCAUCACAUGUUCUUCUAAACUUUCCAUAAGGGCUCCUUUCGUUGCUUCUUCCUUCUGCUGGAUGGUUCUUUGUACCAAGGGGUAAAUGUGACACUAAGCAGGGUAGUGGGUAGUCCCUUCACACAAGAAACAAGUAAUUUGCCUAGUUGGGCAUUCUUCAACUGGGUGACUUUCUUCACAAUUCGGGCAUUCAUCCUUGUGUUCUUUAUGGGUGUGUCCUAUUUCUCCACAAAUCUUGCAUGCACAAGUUUUCUUCAUAUCCUUUCCAUAAGGCUUCGAUUUCUGGGACACAAACUGAGACUUUAGCAAAGUCAACUUAAAUUAUUUCCAAGUGGUUACUCCUUGCCAUCCAUUGAUGGUUUGGUACAUCCUCCACCAAGUAGGAGCACCUCUUUCAAAGCAUUGAAGAGCAUGCUGGGCCAUAUCCUUUCCGACUAUAGGGUUGUUCUCCAUAUGAUCCUCCAUGUUCUGAAUCCAUCAGUCUGUCUCCAAUUGACUCAUCGGUCCCGAAAAUACAAGCUCAUCUCCAUUCAUCCUCUAUUAGGUCCAUGGGUUUUGGGGUGAGAUAAGAGAGAUAGAGAGGGAUGCACACAAUGCAAACAACAGUUUUGAAAAGAUAGAUUUUAUUUGUGGCCGUCGGGAAAACAUCAAACAAAUGACAACUCACAAACGUCGCAUCUAACGUAGGUAUAAAACGGGGGUUUGGUCUGCUAAGGUCAUCAUCGCCAAACUCUUCAAGUCUUGUUCAUGCCUCCAAUAGCUUCUUCCGGUCAUGCUUAUCCUUCUCAACUCCUUUGGCUAGAUCAUCUCUGUUGACGUGAAAUCUCUCGUGACAUCCUUUAAUAUUCCGGAGUUGCAUUUCAAACUUCUGGUUUCAACAUCCGUCACAUGAACCAUGGUCAUACUGUCCUUCAGUUCCUGACAAAUCUCCGGUAUCUCGAGGUUGUAGCUCCUCCAGCUUGGCUACUUUCAUCUUCAGGAUCCUGAGUUCCUCAUGAAAUACUUCCUUGUCCAAUACGACUUCCUGGAGCUCCAUUUUAAACUUCUUGAUGUACUACUCCAAAUCCUGGUGAUACACCGGCUAGGGCUAAAACUUCAUCUUAUGAUAGGUGCUCCAUCAGCCUUCUUCCAUCAAAUCCAUUCUGAUGAAAUGCAUCCUUAACUCAGCACGGUGACAAUAGCAUCAGCGGCGAUGACACCACGGAUAACCGUGUUUCCCUUGUCAUUGCCAUGAGCUAUCUUGCCAGUUGAUAUCUCCUGCCUUAGGGUUUUCUUUGACAAAACUUCGAGUUCUCAUACUCCUUGUUUCAGUCUUUCUCCAAUACACCUAGAUCUCGGGUAUUGACACUUCCAUAGUCUGCCAAGUUCCAUAAGGGUAGCCUUCCUAGGUCAUAUAAAUCUGGGAAUUCUUCAGAGCCUCCAAAUUCUACUUGUCUUCGGUCUUCAACCAUUGUAGUUUCCAUUAUUCAGAUGCACGGAAAAUACUCUUCAUUCUGAAGUGGUCUUAGUUGUCCGAUAUCUUGUACUUCUUGGAGUGGUCUCAUCAGUCGAAUCUUUGUGGUCAAAAGGAAAAAGGGGUAUGGUCUCACUAAAAAAAAGGAAUUUUUGAAUAAGCUCAGAAGAGAAGAGAGGUGAAAGGUCUUUUUGAAAAGUAAAGUUUUAGAGAAAGAUCUUUCCUAUGGGUUUGCUGGUUUAUAGGGUCACGUCCUACAGUCAACAUGUGCUCUGAUACCAUCUUGUAGCGACCCGAGCCGAAUGGGUCAAGUCUCUGUGCUUAAGUGUCAUCCCUGGAUCGGUAUGCUGACACACACAGUACUCGAAGGAUUUAUAAUAGAGGUAAAUCACAUGUAUAAAGUAACGUAAAUACUAUUACCUCAAUCCAUAUAGCGGAAGCAACAAGGUUGUGGAUUCCCAUCAACACCAACGGCAAAGUUGAGUGUAGAAAUCAUAACCCUAACGUAUCACUUACUCGUCGUAAGAUAAUCCUGCAACAUGAGACGUUGCAGCUCGAAACGGGUCAGUACAUUGAAUGUACUGGCAAAUUCACACCAUAGAGAAAAUGAAGAACAAUGGCUAUCACUACAUGCAUAUUUGGCUGGUGGAAAAGCUCUAUGGUUAUAGUUUUUGCGAAGAGCCAAUUUUUCCCUACUGCAAAGGAAUAAAUUUUAUUUAACUAUCAUGGUGGUUGUUGAACAUUGAGAAUGGUUGACAGCAUUCUCAAUCCUAAUUAAUUAACAUCAUUAAAACCCAACAAUAUUCAUUUAAAGUAACGUGAUGAGAUCAACAGGAUAAUCCAAGAACUAGAUACUCAAGAUGUUCAUAACCGGGGACACGGCUAAUCAUGAUUAGUUUAUACACUCUGCAGAGGUUUGCGCACUUUUCCCCACAAGACUCGAUCGCCUCCGUUUGGUUUCUCGCACUACAGGGUGUUUGAGAAGACAGAUGACCGAGACAUAGUCUUUCGGAAGCGCUAGCACCUUAUGAUUGGGUAGACCGUACCACCUACAUCCCCUACAUCUGCUAGUCUACCACUGUAAGAGUUCGCACAACUUAAUCAACUAUGCCAGAGCCCAUAAUGGCUUGUGGCUGCACACGGAAGUUUCUAGUAUGAAUAAUCUCAUGAUCCCUUUGAGCCUGGGUGGCGGUCCAAAAUGAAACGGGCAAGUCCCGAAUUACCCAGGUGCCUAGACAGGCAAUCCGAGAAUAACCAGGUGCCUCAAUCCACCCAGAUGUGUGUUAGGUUGCCACCUUGGAUAAACCCUUAAUUAUGAAUCUCACAUCUGUUAUGGAUAUCACUCACCCAAUCCACGUCUACUAGCAAAGCAUGGCAUAAUAAGCAAACGUAGAAGUAACUCCCAAACGUUUGAUAAUAAACAGGUAUUAGGUACUACCUCAUCUACUUCCCAUCCCACAAUUUAAUUAGAUCCUAAUCAUGCAAUGUGUGAAGAUUGAUGUAAUGCAAAAAAAAACUGGGUAUGUAGAAAAAGGUAUGAUCCAAGUGUGAACUUGCCUGCAAUGUUAAUGAAGAUGAUUCGCACUCAAAACUCUUGAUAGAUCUACUCGUCACACUCCGGUCAAUCUAUCGUAAUCAAGCAAUAGAACCACACAUAAGCAAUCACUCAAAAGAUCAGAAAGAACGAAGAAGACGAUUCGGAAAACAUCAAAACCAAGCAAAUAACUCUUGCAAAAUAAAACAAUUUCUAACAGUACCAAAAUUAUGUGAAUUUAGCCUUAUUAGAAUGUUUAGGUCAAGAGCUUCGAUUUGCAAAGAGAAUCAACUCAAACGGAGCUACGAAACGCAAGUUAUGAUCAAAUGAAGUUUGAAUUCAAAUCUGAUCUAAUUCAAAUUUUAAACUUUUCGAAAACAUGUUUAAGUUGUUUAUCCGGAUAGAGGGGAUCAUAACGAAGAUGUGAGCGUUCGUUUCGUUGGAUUUGGACUAACGAGCAAAAAGUUACGAGUGUUUGAAGUUCAGGGACUAAACUGUAAAGAAAACUCCUCACAUAUAAGUCCCUGGCCGAAAUAAAUAAGAAAAAAGAAAAAAUACUAAAUAGCGAACGUUCGCUAUAGAAGUUUAUAUGACGAAAAACGUUCGCUGCGAAGACUAAAACAAUGAACGUUCACUACUUAACUAGGUUAUUAAGAAAAACCGGUUUUAAUCAAAAGAACCGAAUCGAACCGGGCAACGGUUUUACCGGUCGGGGCGGUUUUUCUUAGAAAACCGGCAGCAGCGGUGUUCUCUGGCGAGCGAGGCGAGGCGGCUCCGGCGAGCGCGGCGGGGCAGGGUGGCGCGGGGCGGCGACGGCGAGCAGCAGAGGCGGGGCGGCGCGCGGCGAGGCAGCAGAGGCGGCAGCGAGGCGAGGCGGCGCGCGGCGAGGCAGCAGAGGGGCGCGGCGCGGGCGGCUCCGGCGUCCGCGGUGGCGGCGGUUGUGGCGGCGAGAGGCGGGGAGGAGAGGGAGGCGGGGUCCAGGGCUCCGGUAUUUAAGGGCGGAGGGGAGGCGCGACACCGACUUGGGGAAGGGGCAGGAGCAGGAGUCCUCCUCGGCCACGACGGCGACGGCGGCGUACGCCGGCCGGUCUCCUGCUCGGGGAGAGAGACGGCGCGCUGGGCCGCUGCUGGGCUAGGCCGGCUGGCCUGGCGCGGGGAGAUAGAGAGAGAGCAGUGCUGGGCUUCGGCUUGGCACUGUUCGGAGAGUUUUUUUUUAAACACAAACAAAUGAAAAUAAAACAAAAGCAAAUAAAAUAUUAUAUAAUCAUAUUAUAUAUCAAAAUUUUCAGAAAAAUAUUUUCUACACGGUGAACAUUUUUAUAACUUCAAAUAAUAUCCACACAAAUUCAGAUAAAACAAAGAGUGCUACUGGUCUAUAAAAAUCCAACAAAAAUCAUUUUAAAAAUACCAAAAUGAUUUCAAAUUAAUUUUUCUCCAAUUUUCUGUUGUAGGGAAUCAUGUUACCCUAAUUUCCAUAUAUUUUAUUUUUGGAGAAAAAUAAUUUGAAUAAAACUCAAAAAAACUCCAAAUUGAAAAUAAAUUCAAAAGAACAUUGAAUUUAGUUCUUUGAAACUCCCAACUCAUAUUCCAUAUAAUUCGAAGAAGUCAUUUUAUCUUCUCUCGUGAAAAUCAUUGAGUUGCUUAAAGUUUCUGAAUUGGAAAUAUUUUCCAAAUGAAAUUCAAAUAUUUUCAAAUACCCUUUCAUUUAAUUUAAAUGGAAGAAGUCAUAUCAUCUUCUCUCGAGAGUUUUGUAUUUGAAAAGGAUUUGAAUUCACGGAGAUCAGAAAGCAAAUAUGAAAGUUUGGGAAAGUCCUUUUAUUCCCUCUCAUUUAACUUUCAAAACUUUCGAAUUCACUCACUUUCAGACAAUCAAUCGACAAUCAAUCAAAUCUAUCUAUUUAUUAUAACAUUCCAAAAUUUAGAAUUUUGGGAUGUUACAUUUUCAGUCCAUGAAGCACACCACGAAGGAAGCAUUCCGCAGUUCAGGAGCUACUUUGAACACAAAUACAUGUGCUUAUGGAGAUACCGUGGUUUUAAUCACACAAGUGCACUGACCUGGUAUACAUCACGUAGACAAAUAACACAUGCACCAAAUUCUUAGAUUUGAUAGAAGAAGCACAAAACUUACAGACGGGAUGAGCUUAGUGGCUUGAGGCUAAUAUCAGUAUGACUGAAUAAUAGCACAGACGUGGUGGCACGACGGCACGGUCCUCGCUGCUACCGGCGCGAGGUCAACCCCCAAUGAGCCUACAGGACCGCUCCUCUCCUCCAUCUCCGGGCCUGUAGUUGGAGGAGAGCGGCCUCAUACUUAACAUCCAUAAUAUUUAGAGACUAACGACUCUUGUGGUCCUCUUGUACCUCCUCUCCACCUUGUUCCUGAUCUUGACCAGUCGGAGAGCACCCUUCUCAAGCUCGUCCAACUAUAAGCAACCACCACAGAACAAAAAUUUCAACUAAGAUGUAUAUAAUGAACUAAUAGGGAUUAAAGGAGUUGAUGCAUUGGUAUGGAGUACUACAUCAAUUAUUUCCUCUUAGCAUUUUCAAGAACAAGCCUAUAAAAUUAUAUUCGGGAGGUCUAAUCGAAUAUCUGAUUUGGAGUGUAUAGUCCUUACAUGUAACUACUCAGCCUAGUUCAGUGUAAGAAUUUUGUACUCCCUCCGUUCCUAAAUAUUUGUCUUUCUAGAGAUUUUAAAUGCUCACCAAGUACCGAUGUAUAUAGACAUAUUUAGAGUGUAGAUUCACUCAUUUUUUUUCGUAUGUAGUCACCAUUAGAAACCUCUAGAAAGACAAAUAUUUAGGAACGGAGGGAGUAGUUUCUACUCCAUACAUGUAACUAACCUAGUUCAGGGUAAGAUUUUUCUGUCAAGAAGAAUCAAGCAGCUACGUGAGAAGAAGAAACAGCUUGGAUGAGUUUGCGCAGACUAUACCUUUGUGAUUCUCUGCAAUUUGUAAGUAUUUCUCAAAUCUCAGCAGGGUGUAAUCAUCAAUGUUGAGCCUCCUUUGUUAUCUGCUCCAUAUAUGUUCACAAGUAAUUGAAAUGUACAGUCAGAAAAUUCAAGAUAAUAUGGGAUCCAAACGAGCUUACUCCUCCUCGGGCAACCUUGCGGAAACAUCCCAUCCUGUCCGCUCCUUUCGCCACUGCCAUUGGAAUCUGUGCCACUGCCACGGGGUUUGAACUGCCCAGCGGUGUGGCAGAAGACCCAUCCGCAGCCAUAGCAGGACCUCAAACCGCCUUGCACCAUGCUGGCAGCAACGUCGGCCAAGAAGAAACCCGUCGAUGUUAUAAGCGUGGCGACCUGCUGCGUGAACAAGACACAUAAUACUUUAGCAACAUAAGAGGAACAAUAACAUAUUAUUUGAAUUUUCAGCACCAUUUCAUUUGCAUGUGCAACACAAACAAUUAUAAUGUACAAUUCUAGGAGACAUUAUUUCUCACUGCAAAAUUUGCAAACAUCAAAUUUGCUUGGGAUUCAUAACUACUUAUUUUAAAUCGAUUCAUUACAUAGAAUCUGCAUUACCUCUGUACCAUACUGAGCAUCGCAAUACAAAAUUGCAUCAAGUCACUAUAUACAAACUACAUAUGCAUUGCAUUGUUUGUACUAAGCACCGAUUCAACAAGCUACACACAGUCGAGUGAGCAGAUGAGGAGCAACACCUUGGGUGGCGACGGAGAGAAGAACAAGUCUCGCCGAUCAUGUGCCUGUAAGGAUGCCCAUCAAUGAUCGCCAUCGUGCCCCCUAUAGCACCGCCUCCGCAGUCCCGCCAAAUCUGGACCCAACAUGAAUUAUGAAAAGGAAAGAACGGUAUUAUCAAUGCACCGAUGUGAUAUGGAAGGGGAUGUGAACGAGGUGGUCAGUUGGUACUUGGUAGCAUCGCCUCCAUACGACAAGAUAGUGGACGCUUAGCCAAUCCCUUGAACCAAAAUGUAAGAUGCAGUCAAAGACAUAGUUCACUUGAGGAGCCAAGACAAAAUGAUGUUAGAGCACAUAUUUUAUUUCAGAAUAACUUGGUUAUUUCUUUUCAUUCCAGAAUAACUUGAUCAAUAAUGUUGGCCAAAACAUAAUGAUGUUGGCCCACUGAAGUGCACGACAGUCUAAGCUAGCUAGACUAACGUUUUUCAUGUACACUUUUUUUCAUGUAUACAUCGGCGCAUCAAAACUUUCUGGAGCAUUGCGUCUAUGUAUCGCUCGAGAAGGUUGUACUCCUAGGAAUAGAGAUGAGCAGAAACAAGGGAACCAUUUUUUCCGUAGCCUGAGCGUUUCAAGGGAUCGAGGGAUUCUCAUAAUCAAGGGAUUGACAGCCUGUUUGGUAAACACUCGGGCAGGGGAAUGGGAGGUUGCACAAGGGUGUUUAUGAAGGGAUUAGGCAUGGGAAGUAGAUUUUACUCCCAUUCCCUUGUUUGGUGUAUGAUGGGAAUUGGCGUGGGAUAAAACUCCGCUCACGAAUUAACAGGGUACCCCCUGGGAUGAAAUCGGUGGGAAUUGGCUUCUCCAACUCCCAUUCCCCUUCCCACUUAAACUCCCACUCCCUCUAAUCAAACAGUGGACUUUUAAUCUCCUCACCUCUGAACUCCCAUUCCCCAUCUCUAAUUCCCCCGAACCAAACACGUUGUGAGGGAUGGUCCAAACCUGUCUUCCAAGGGAUCAAGGUCAGGCCGGCGCCUCAGAUGUGACGGCGGCAGCGGGGCGUCGAGGAGUCACCGAUGUCGGCCAUGGCUCGGGGCGCAGAUGAGAUGGCGGCGGCGGCCAGGGCAAGGUGGUCGAGGGAUGGUCCAAACUUUUCUUCCAAGGGAUCCAGGUCGGGCCGGCGCCUCGGAUGUGAUGGCGGCGGCGGGGCGCCAAGGAGUUGCCGGCGUCGGCCAAGGACCAGGGUGCUGAGGAGAUGGCGGCGCCGGCUAGGGCGAGGAGAUCGAAAGAAAGAGGAGGACAGCGGCACGAGGGUGGCAGUAUAGCAAGAGAUCCAGCGGGGUCUUCUCUGUGAGAUUGGCGGCGGCGGCGUGUCCUCAAUAGGAUCGAUAGGAGAGGUGCGUAUGCUCACGACGACGGCGGCGUCUCCUCCUCGAGGGGAUCGGUAAGACAUGUGUUUGUGCGGUUGAAUUAUUUUUUGCGGUGGGUGUGGGGGUGGGGUGGGGGAGGGGACAAAAAAACCCAGCGAAAAAACGGUUGAAAGGGGUGGGACGAAAAUAAACUGUGGAUACUAUUCGACCAACUCAGACAUUAGGAGUAGAGAUAUCUAUAUCUAUAUCUAUACUACUUAAAAAGAACAUAAGAUUCCCAUUUCACCUUGCUUCCUAUCACCCCUUCAUCCAACCUUUCAUGUAUAUGAUAUCAAUGACCUUAAUUUACUUAUCUUCACUACAAGAAAUAUGUCAACUUAUGACCUUCUCUUAGUGACCCCAGCUAAAUUGGUUGUAAAUCCACGGCCAUUUCGCUUGGAGGGCUCAAACCCUGAAAUUGCCUUACACCAAAUGGUCAUAAAGUAGACAAGAGUGGUCCAUGACCUUAUUUCUACCUGAUUACGACCAAUAUAAGUGAUCGUGAGGUUGUGAACGUGGAUGCAUUGGUAUUUAUUGCUAUGACUAGGUGCCACCUCAUCAGUUUUGCCUAUGUGUCAUGUCCAUGUGUCAAUUUUUGCCCUAGGUUGUGAAGCAACCUAUAUUUCUGUCAUUCCUAAAAUUCCCAAAAAAAAUCUCAUAAAUUCUUUGGGUCAUAUCUUCGUCAAAUAUGUAAAAAUCCUUCCUUGCCUAGUUCAAAACUAAUUCAACAAUAUUCAUUUUCCUAUUCUGUUCAGAACAUCACUUUGUGAAGGAAGUGCUAUUUAUAUAUUCUUGAUUGCCCUCAAAAUUGUUGGGCACUCUUUCCUAUCCAAAUCAUUGCCUCAUAACAAAAUUCAACUCCAUUUGCCUAGCAAAUCUUCCUCGGCAAAUUUCCAAAGGUUUUGUCCACCUAGAAGCAUUGUGAGGGAAGUACCUUUUUUAUAUAUAUCCAAAUGACAUGAAAUUUAUACAGUUCCUUCACAUGCCAAAAUUAUCACCCUCCUCCAAAUUGCAGCUCAGUCAAAUCAUCUAUGUGAGCCCAGGUUCAAUUUAUAUUUUAUGGCCAGAUUGGCACGUUGCAAAGCAAGUGUUUUCUAGACCCCUCCUAUUAUCCUCAAACUUUUUGGGCACUCUUCCAUACCCAAAUCAUUGCCACAUGAUAAUAUUCAGCUCCAUUUUCCUGGUAAAUCUUUCUCAGGAAAUUUCCAAAGUUUCUACCUCGAGAGAAGCUUUGUGAAGUAAGUACUAGAUAGGCUUACCCAAAUGAUCUAAAAACUUACCAGCGCAUGACCAUACCUAUGUAACUUACCUACACCAAUUUUGAGCUCAUUUCAUUCAUCCAAUCUCUCUCACUAGUUUCCCAAGUUUCUGUCCAUAGAAGAGCAUUGUGAAGGAAGUACUACUUUGGCAUGUCCAAAUGGUAUCAAUUUUCUACAGUGCUUUCCUAUGCCCAAAUAACCAUCCUCCACCAAAUUUCAGCUCAAUCCAUUCAUUAUUUUGAGCCCAGCUUCAACAUUCAUAUUUUUGUCCAGUGUGGUACUUUGCAAAGCAAGUACCACCUAGGCUCCUCCUUUUGAGAUGAAAAUUUGUGAAGACAUUCUCCUUAGUAGAUGAUCAUCCUCAGCCAAAGCUCACGCCCAUUGGCCAUGUGAAUUUCCCGUACCGCUAAUCAAACACUUGGCUGCUAAUUCAUCUUUGAGCAUAGGUCAGUCUCCUCAUGAGAUUCUUCUGUUGUAAUUUUCUUCCUAGCACCUACUUGGGGAGUGCCCAACCCACUAGACAUUCCUAGGCCUCCCAGCACUACUAGGAAAAGGGCUAUAGAUGAAAUUGACACUAAUGGCGCACCAGAGAAGUGGUGCGCCACUACUAUAUACUAAUGGCGCACCAUGUGGUGAUGUGCCAUUAGUGUGGAAGACACUAAUGGCGCACCAGACACAAGGUGCGCCACUAGUAACAUUUUUUUUCAUUUUUCCAAACAUACUAAUGGCGCAUCCAGGCAAAGUGCGUCAUUAGUAGUUCUAACUAGUAAUGGCGCACCAGCCAUAGAGUGCGCCACUAUUGUAUUUUUUUAUUCUUUUUUUUGCAAAACUACUAAUGGCGCACCGUUGCAAAGUGCGCCAUUACUAGUUUAAACUAGUAAUGGAGCACUAUGCCACGGUGCGCGAUUAGUAUAUAUAUAUAUAUUAUUUUUUACUUUUUUGCAAAACUACUAAUCGAGCACGGCCAGCAGGUGUGCCAUUAGUAUGUUGGGUUACUAAUGGUGCAUUGCUGUGUGGUGCGCCAUUGGUAACCUGGGACCAGCUAGAUAUUUUGGACAGCCACACCUACACACUCACUUUUCCAACUUCAUUCCCUCCACCUCCUUCUCCAAGCUUGUCGGCUGCCUCCUCCUCCUCACCUCAUUUGCACCAUAGAUUCAUCAAAAUUAAGUGGUGACAUUACCUUUUUUGAUAGGUAAGUAAGGGGAAAGCUAUCUUCAUGUUGUAGAUCUACUUUUUUUCUCCCUAGCUCGCUCCAACAACGUGCACAUGCACUUUUUGUGGCCUAUCUAGAUCUAUGUAUGUUUGUGGUGUUGCAUAUGUUUGUGGUGUUGCAUAUAUGUUUGUGUUUGCAGGUACCGGUAUUUGAAAUGCGAUAGUUGACAAUAUUUUGCUGGAAUGUUGAUUCAUUUCCGUUUUGGCGAGAAUUUUGGCACUAUGCAUUCUUUUUGGUCCUAUUUUUAGGGAAAGUCAUGCCAAAUUUUUUCUUGGUUCUAAAAUAUCAUUUUGCUCUACCCCGCAGGCGACCAUGGUCCACACGAUGACCGAAGGCAUCGUGAAUAGGUUUUUGAGCUCUGCGAAGGCCGAGAUGGUUCAAAAGAAUGAGAUGGAGAUAAGAUGUCCGUGUCGAAGAUGCAAGUUGAAGAGCCUUAUUGCCGACCCGGAUUCUGGGUAGGUGCGGGACCACCUGCUCUUGCGUGGUUUCAUGGAUGGCUAUCGGUGGCAAGGUGAUGAAGAUGACUAUGAAGUCGUCCACGGGGGCCGGGCAAGAAAUGAGGAAGGGCAGCAAGACAACCACCGCGGCUCGGGCGGGCGAGAAGACGAAGAAUCUCCAGGACAUGAUCACGACGGUGAUGCUAUACACAGUCAUCAUGUAGAAGAUGCCGGACAUGAUGAUGAGGAAGAUGCCGGAGCAGACGAAGGGCAUGAUCAUGAAGAUGAAGAUGCCGGCGGAGCAGACGACGAUGGACCAUCGAUGGGCUGGGUGCAGGACCCUCAUAUUCAAGAGUUGCUUCUCAAGCAGACGGAUAACGCAAGAGCUGCCGCCCGAGAGAAAGCCAAGCUCGAUCAACUAGAGAUAGACGCGGUUACUCCAUUGUAUGAAGGAUGCAGACCCGAGGAUACCUGCGUGAAAGUAACGCUCAUGGCUUUGGAGAUGAAGGUAAAACACAAAAUGACCGACGCAUGCUUCGACGAGAACAUGCCAUUCUGGCACGAACGUCUUCCCAAGGGGAACAAGUGCCCGACCAGUUUCGAGGAGGCGAAGAAAGUCGUGUGUCCUCUGGAUUUACCGCACGUGAAAUACCAUGUGUGCAUGAACAAUUGCAUCAUUUAUCGGGGCGAGCACGCGGAGUCUACCAUAUGUCCGGUGUGCGGCGUCACUCGAUACAAGAAGAGGAAGAAAGCUCCUCGAAAAGUGGUGUGGUAAUUUCCAAUCACUCCUCGUCUGCAGCGGUGUUUCGCGGACCCUAAGGUAGCAAAGCUCAUGCAUUGGCACGCGGAUAGGGAGGAGAAGAAGCGAGAAGAUGACGCAAAUGAUCCGGAGAUAAAUAAAAAAGACAAGAUGCUGAGUCACCCUAAGGAUGGGAGCCAGUGGCAAGUGUUGAACUUCGAACAUCCAGAAUUUGGGAAGGAUCCAAGGAACAUUGUGCUGGGCGCGAGCACCGAUGGAGUCAAUCCGUUUGGCAUCCAGAGAAGCACACAUAGCACCUGGCCUGUGUUUGUGUGGAUGUACAACCUUCCCCCCUGGCUGUGCAUGAAGAGGAAGUACAUUCACAUGAGUAUGCUAAUUGAAGGGCCGAAACAACCAGGGAAUGACAUCAAUCUGUAUCUGGGGAUGCUAAAAGAGGAGCUAGACACGCUGUGGAAAACGCCAGCAAAUACGUGGGACGCCGUAGACAAAGAAUAUUUCCCUAUGAGAGCCGCACUACUCACGAUGGUGCACGACUAUCUCGGUUACGGAUAUCUCGCGGGGCAGGUGGUCCACGGAUUUUCUGGAUGCGUCAGGUGCAUGGAUGACACAACGUAUCGCCAGCUAGAUAGAGAUCUCGGGUCUUCGAAAACCGUGUUCAUGGGACAUCGAAGGUGGCUUCGCAACGAUAUGACCCAUGGAGGAAACGCAAGGAUCUGUUCGAUGGUGAAACCGAACCCCGAAGACGCCCGCGUACGAGGAGCGGCGAGGAAAUAGACGGGCUGUUAAAAAAUUGGAAAGAUUGCCCACUACUGGGAAAAAAGCAAAAGGCGCCAGAGCCGCUGCUGAAUGUAUGGAAAACGAGGUCUAUUUUCUGGGACUUGCCAUACUGGAAGAUCCACCGUGUGCCUCACAGCCUUGAUGCCAUGCAUAUCAUGAAGAACAUGUGCGAGAGUCUGCUUGGUACCCUGGUCAACAUGCCUGAGAGGACCAAAGAUGGGCCGAAAGCAAGGGAAGACUUGAAAUCAAUGGGCAUCAGGCAGGAGCUUCACGCUAAUGAUGAUGAUGAUGAUUAUGAGGCAAAGCAGGACACAGAAAGUCGUCACAAAGGCAAAAAGGCCAAGAAGACCGGAAAUGACUACCCUCCGUGUGCUUCACUCUAAGUCAGGAGGAGAUCGAGCAGUUUUUCACCUGCCUCGUAGGAGUAAAACUUCCUUACGGUUACGCGGGGAACAUAAGCAGAUACCUAGACCCAGCGAAGCAGAAGUUCAGCGGGAUGAAGUCUCACGACUGUCACGUGUUGAUGACGCAGAUACUUCCAGUUGCAAUCUGUGGGAUCAUGGACGCGCACGUCCGUGAAAUGCUAUUUGGCCUAUGCAACUUUUUCGACGUCAUCUCUCGGAAGUCGGUUGGCGUGAGGCAACUCAGAAGGCUACAGGAAGAGAUCGUGGUGAUACUAUGCGAGCUUCAGAUGUACUUCCCGCCCGCAUUCUUCGACGUUAUGGUGCAUCUGCUGGUCCAUUUCGUGGAGGAUAUCAUCCAACUCGGGCCGACGUUCCUGCACAGCAUGAUGACGUUCGAAAGGAUGAAUGGUGUCAUCAAAGGAUACGUUCGCAACAUGUCACGUCUAGAGGGAAGUAUAGCCAGGGGCUUUCUGACCGAAGAGUGCAUCUCCUACUGCACGAAUUAUCUAGGCAUCGAGAACCCCGUUGGUCUGCCCGUCAACAGGCACCUCGGCAGGCUCGCUGGAUGGGGUCACCGUGAGGGUCGCCGCGAAAUGCAUGUCGACUUCGAGGGUCGACUCGCCGACUUUGAAAGAGCAAACCUAGUCGCGCUACAACACAUAGACGUGGUCGAUCCUUGGGUGGUAGAGCACAAAACCUUUAUUGAGAAGACGUACAAUGACCGAGGCCAACAGAGGACGGACGGAGAUAUAAUCAAAGAGCACAACUCAUGUUUCACGCGUUGGUUCAAGCAGAAGCUUCUGUCGUACCCUUUACAUGAGGAUUCUUCCACGGAAGAAGAACUCAUAUUGGCCUUGUCACAGGGCGCCGAGCACAACCUGAUGACCUAUGAGGCGUAUGAUAUCAACGGCUACACAUUCUACACCGAGGACAAGGACAUGAAGAGCGAUGGUUGUCAGAACUCCGGCGUAAUGAUGGAAUCCUACACCGGUAACGACAAGGACAGAUACUACGGAAGGAUCAAGGAGAUCUGGGAGCUGAGCUACGCUGGAGAGAAGGUCCCGAUGUUCCGUGUCAGAUGGGCCAAGAGCGUCUUAAAAGAAGACCGGUAUUUCACCACCAUGGUUAUACCCGAAGCCAAAUCCAAGACCGCGGGCGCAGACAUCACCGCGAAAAAUGAGCCAUGGGUACUGGCUUCCCAAGUGGACCAAUGCUUCUUCAUUACCGAUCCGUCAAAGCCCAGUCGUGUUGUCGUGAGGAGAGGCAAAAGGAAGAUCAUCGGAAUGGAUGGAGUAGCCAAUGAGCAAGACUUCGACAAGUACGGCGACCCGAAGAUCGAACAUGACGACGACGAUGAAGUAGCAGCAUACACCACAAGAAGAAGCAGGACCACCCUACCUAAAGGACGUCCGUUCCACAGAGGAACUCCAUUUGCGAAAAAGAAGGGAAAGAAGAUUGUGAACAGAUAGCUAGCUAAGAUCGAUUGUAUUUAUAACAAAUUUUCAAAUAACAAAUUUCAUGAUAUUUUUUAAAAAAUUAUUACUGUUUUUAUAAAAAAUUAUUACUGUUUCAUAUUCAUAUUCAUUUUCUAAAAAAUAAUAAAAAAAUGUAGACUACAAUUGUUGUUAAACAACAAUUAUUACUGUUUUUAUAAAAAAAAUAUUACUGUUUCAUAUUCAUAUUCAUUUUUUAAAAAAUAAUAAUAAUAAAAUAGACUAAUGGCGCACCGGCCUGGUGGUGUGCCAUUGCUAUCUAAAAAAGAUUUCUAAUGGGGCACCGACGGGGGGUGCGCCAUUGCCAUCUAAAAAAAGAUUUGUAAUGGCGCACCGACGGGGGGUGCGCCAUUACUAUCUAAAAAAAGAUUUCUAAUGGCGCACCGCCACGGGGUGCGCCAUUAGUAAGCUUCCCCCUAGCUAAUUCCUCCCUCUCCCUUGCCAGAUCCCCUUCGUCCCUCUCUCCCUCGCCAGAUCCACCCGCGCGCCCCGACCCACGACGCCGCCGCCCCGACCCACGACGCCGCCGCCCCGACCCCCGCCGGACUCCACCCCCGCCGCCCCCACCCCCGCGCCCCCGUGCCCCANNNNNNNNNNNNNNNNNNNNNNNNNNNNNNNNNNNNNNNNNNNNNNNNNNNNNNNNNNNNNNNNNNNNNNNNNNNNNNNNNNNNNNNNNNNNNNNNNNNNNNNNNNNNNNNNNNNNNNNNNNNNNNNNNNNNNNNNNNNNNNNNNNNNNNNNNNNNNNNNNNNNNNNNNNNNNNNNNNNNNNNNNNNNNNNNNNNNNNNNNNNNNNNNNNNNNNNNNNNNNNNNNNNNNNNNNNNNNNNNNNNNNNNNNNNNNNNNNNNNNNNNNNNNNNNNNNNNNNNNNNNNNNNNNNNNNNNNNNNNNNNNNNNNNNNNNNNNNNNNNNNNNNNNNNNNNNNNNNNNNNNNNNNNNNNNNNNNNNNNNNNNNNNNNNNNNNNNNNNNNNNNNNNNNNNNNNNNNNNNNNNNNNNNNNNNNNNNNNNNNNNNNNNNNNNNNNNNNNNNNNNNNNNNNNNNNNNNNNNNNNNNNNNNNNNNNNNNNNNNNNNNNNNNNNNNNNNNNNNNNNNNNNNNNNNNNNNNNNNNNNNNNNNNNNNNNNNNNNNNNNNNNNNNNNNNNNNNNNNNNNNNNNNNNNNNNNNNNNNNNNNNNNNNNNNNNNNNNNNNNNNNNNNNNNNNNNNNNNNNNNNNNNNNNNNNNNNNNNNNNNNNNNNNNNNNNNNNNNNNNNNNNNNNNNNNNNNNNNNNNNNNNNNNNNNNNNNNNNNNNNNNNNNNNNNNNNNNNNNNNNNNNNNNNNNNNNNNNNNNNNNNNNNNNNNNNNNNNNNNNGCGUCUGCGCCUUCUUCCACCUCCGGCCACCGCGGCCUCAUCGUCGAUCCACGUCACCUCGUCAACCCCGGCCCCGCACGAGCUCACCAUCGUCUUCCUCUCGGUGAGCUGCACCGUACGCCCCACCACCCUCCUCCUCCCCUUUCCCCUCCUCCUCCUCCCCUUUCCCUGAUUAUAGUUAAAAUCGACAUUAUUGCACUAGUGACUGAGUGCUUCUGCCAAGUUUUAGUUGAGUGCUUCAUAAAAUUCCCCCUCUUCUUGCCUGUUAUUCCUAGUUUUAACAAUAUAAUGCUUGCAACCCUGCUGUGCUUAUCAGACAUGUUAUCUGUCAACUAUUAGUGCCCUAAUUGGACUGCUGUUGGAGUGCUUAGUUAUCAAACUGUUUCUUCUCCAGCCCUGCAUAGUGUUGAUUCCAAACAGUUUCUUUCUCCAGCCUGAGUUGUUUUCUAGGGUAUUGGCCGGGUCCAGUAGAGUUUCAUGUUUUAUCUAUCUGCUCUCAUUCUCUUCAUGUUUUUAUUUCUGAACCACGUGAAGUUACGAAUGUUAUAUGGGUACAUUUCAUAAGUCUACCUACUGUAUGGGGAGCCGUUGUGGCCUUUUUAAUGCCAUAAUUUCGCUAGAGAAGCAAGCAUACCCAGCUCAAAGUUUGCCUCACAAACAAUGGUGCCACUGCCAUUGUUGUGGAGAGAAAACCUAUGAGGACGUAGCAAAGGCCAUCGCUGUUGAGGGAUGAAGGACGUCCAUCCAGCUCCUAUGAAGGGGCCUGGAAGACUCGGAUCCCUCGCACUCAGUUCAUUGCAGCAGUAGAAUAAUUCUUGAUUCUUCUCAAUCCCAUGCAGCUCAUUCAGGUAGGACGUGAUCACUACUUGAAUAUGUGGAUGAUCUUCAUUCAUUCAUAACUAAGCAACAUGACACAGAGUUUUGUAAAACUUAAACAUGCUGCCAAUCUUGUGGCCAUGGUAGGUCAUGUCAUUGCGCUUAAUUAGAGUUGCAUUGUCUUCUUUUUAGUUUCUUGAUUGAUUGGCAUUUCUAGUUGUGCACUCACCUUAACUAAUCUUGUAUUUGUAGUUGAGGAACAAUCUGCUACCAUGCAUGCUUCAGGCCCUAUUAGAUUUAAGCGGUGUGUUAUAUUUAAGCAAGUUCUUAUAGUGAUAAUGUUGUUUAUAUAUGUUGUAAAGUUUGUGAGAUGUUGCUCCUACCAUCCAUUAUGCAAGGCUUGCCAAUUUGGCUUGAAUUGAAUAGGAAUGAUGCUGUGUUGUGGUUGUUAUAGUUGAGGGUCAAAAGUAGGGGUUAGCUUUAACAUGAUUCGCUAGUGCUUUCAUCACAGAACACAUUCUUUGAAAAGGGGAUAUUCUGAAGUCGAUGCUUUCUCGGGAUGGGAAUAAUAGUCUGAAAUACACAUGAUGGAAACCUUUGUUGAUUGUGAUCUCUGCACAUGUUUAAUGUCUAUGCUGUUGUGCGGCUGUUAUGUGUGUCUAUGUCGGUGAGCUUGUGUUAUGCACUUCUGCGUUUUGAUGUCCCCCCUUACCUUAGUUUUUUCAUCUCACCGGUGUUUGAUACCGGUGAUUAUCUUAGUCCUUGCUGGUGUUUUCCCCAUUCCUGGGUUUUUUUAGAAUCCUGCGAGUAAAAGAGGCCCCGAGUUCUCUCUUCACUUGUGUGGUGAUUGUCUUGGUCCUUUUCAUUUUUGUCAUGGCAUUCUUGAGGUGCUGAUGUGUGUGAGGGCAUGAACCAUGAUCAGGUUGAGUUCAGAUUUCAUUAGAUUAGAUGGAUUAUCAUGCCUUGUGUCCUGAUAGUGUAACAGUAAACUGCUUUACUCUUUGAACCAUUGCUCGUAGCUGAUAGUGUAACAGUAAACUGCUUUACUCUUCACUUGUGUCCUGAUAUAUUUUUUCAGUGUCCUUUAUUGGUGGUUCUAUGAUGUAGUCCAGAUGAAACCAAUUGCAUGCAUUGAGAAAUAGAGUAUUAAAACAGAACUUGACGUGGUUUUCCACUUAGCUGAAGAAUAAAAUAGACCACAUAUCUGGGAAGUAGAUUGAUAUAGGACAACUUAUUCAGGGGCUCGAGCUUGUAUAGGACAGCUUACACAUGAUAUGCUUGUGCUAGGUUGUUCUACAGUUCAAGAUUUACUCCUUAACUGAAUUCUGUAACUAACAAACCUAGCUCUUGCAAGUAACAACAUGUUCAAGAUCAAGGCCGACAGUAUGUUCUGACAGUAUAAGAGUAGGAAUUCUAUGUUGUUUCUAAAAGCUCUACAAUAUCCAGAUUUUAUGAUAUUUCUACAUCCAGUUUUUGUGGUUAGAUAUCUGACAGUAUAAGAGUAUGUUCUGAUAGUAUAAGAGUACACUAGUGCAGAACCGGGCAAUAGCACCGGUUCGUAAGGCCCUUUAGUGCCGGUUUAGGAACCGACACUAACGUUUCGGCACUAAAGCCCCCCCCCUUAGUACCGGUUCAGCACGAACCGGUGCUAAAGGGCAACCACGUGGCACGAGCCAGCUCCGGGGGCCGGGAGCCCUUUAGUACCGGUUGGUAACACCAACCGGUACUAAAAUGUUUGGGGGGUUUUUGGUUUUAUGAUUUCUUUUUCAUUUAAUUUUGUGUUUUCCAUUUUAAUUCUUUUUCUUUUGCUUGUAUUUUACGGUACUACACAUUGUACACGUUAUGCAUAUANNNNNNNNNNNNNNNNNNNNNNNNNNNNNNNNNNNNNNNNNNNNNNNNNNNNNNNNNNNNNNNNNNNNNNNNNNNNNNNNNNNNNNNNNNNNNNNNNNNNNNNNNNNNNNNNNNNNNNNNNNNNNNNNNNNNNNNNNNNNNNNNNNNNNNNNNNNNNNNNNNNNNNNNNNNNNNNNNNNNNNNNNNNNNNNNNNNNNNNNNNNNNNNNNNNNNNNNNNNNNNNNNNNNNNNNNNNNNNNNNNNNNNNNNNNNNNNNNNNNNNNNNNNNNNNNNNNNNNNNNNNNNNNNNNNNNNNNNNNNNNNNNNNNNNNNNNNNNNNNNNNNNNNNNNNNNNNNNNNNNNNNNNNNNNNNNNNNNNNNNNNNNNNNNNNNNNNNNNNNNNNNNNNNNNNNNNNNNNNUAUGUAUAAAUAGAAUUUCUAGUAGAACCAAUCAUAUAUAUAUCAUCAAUGUCUCACAAACCAUAUUAAUUCACACAUACACACAUGUAUAGCUAUAUACAAUUUCUCCUACAUAUGCAUGUUGCCUUCGGAGCCAGUGGCAUUAGCCUAAUUGGUGCCUUCGGAGCACGAUGACAAUUGGAAGUGGUUCAUGGGGGCGGUAGCGGGUAAUAGUAUUCUCCCUUCGGAUUUAUGACCUGGUCGAACAAAAAUCCCGCUAUUUCCUCUUGAAGUGCUUCUACGCGCUCUGUUUCUAGGAGCUUGUCCCGCACCUCUUUGAACUGUUAAGAAGGAGAUCAAUAUGCAUGUGUAUUAGUUGUGUGACUAGAUAUCGAUAAUGGUGUAAAAAUUGUGAAUAGUGUUCUGACAAGCAUACCCAUUCCUAUCUUUGAGAUUUGCUCCUUUCGGACGCCAUCAUGCGAAUGUUCUCGCAAAAGCAGAAUGCACACAGAUCAGUCCCCUGCGCCUGCUUCAGGGCCUUUAUUACGAGAAUGGAAUUUAAUUUGAUCAGAUAAUAAUUAAUCAAGCAUGAUAAUUAAAGAGAUGGCAGCUAGCUAGCUAGUACUACUUAAUUACUUACCUUGGAUCGAAACCAUUUUAGCUUUGGUUUCCAUUCGCCUUCCGUGACGCUGAUGAACCUUGCCCAAGCCUUGCCCGCCGACAAAGAAAAUGAAUAAAGGGGUUAUUAAAUAGUUCAUAUCAUGAAAUGACGAAUUACUAAAUAGGCCGAGAUAUAUAGUUAAUAAUGAUUGAAAUUACCUGUUGACUAUCCCAAACAAGAUGUUAUAGUCACUUUGUUUUUUAAGUAGCGAGUCCAGUAUUUCAACUGUUCCGGCGUCAACUUUAAUGAUACACAAGAUCCAGUGAAAUCUGCAUGCACACACGUUUCCAUGUCUUAAUUAAGCGGGCAUAUGUAAGCAAAAACAUGUAGCUAGCUAGGUAGUAGGCAAAAAUAGAGAAUUUGUAGUACAAGAAAGUGUGACUCACUGGAAGUUGUAAGGAAGUACUAUAUCUUCAUUGUAUUUGAGGCACUUCAAGAACUCUAGCGUGUUGUCCUCUACCUCUUUUUCUUGAUGCUUGUUUAUUUUCCAUGUGUAUUCAUUAACGGUGUUUGGGUCAAUGAACCCAAUGCCAUAGCAUCCACCUUUUCUCAUUUCAUACAUCUUCAUCCUGCAUAAUACCACAGAAAAGAAUAUAGUGAGGAUAAUUACAGGUAAUGAUUGAUCAAAAGGAUCACUACAGCUAGCUUGAGACUUAAAUUACAGAAAGAAAUCACUUACAAACAAUAGCAACUGACGAUAGAUUUGUCGAGUGCGUCUUGAUUGUAUAACUGAAACAGUUCAGGAUACUCAACGGCCACAGCUUUCUCAUGGUAGUAAUCAUCCUUCUUGACAUACACCAUGAGGGACUCUCGAUUGGAUCUCUUGGUAAUGUCCAUGUACCAUUGAUGCAAUUCAUACAUUCUCGUUGGGAGCUUGUUGACAUCUUCUGGCUCGACCAAAGGUUCGCCCCGGACAUAUUUCCGUUUUAUUUCCUCCUCUGUAAUCCCAGGCAUGUCCUCGAUCUCGAGGAGUUGUCCAACAGUGAUAUUGAGUUCUUCAGCCUGCAUUAUAUGCUCCUGGGUUAUUACCACAUCGCCCACCUCGGGAACGUAAACUGUUUGGCCACAAUAAUAUUGGGCACGCGUACUGUCACGUGUUGUUGGCGGCACAACAAGCAAGGGCAUCGAUUGCGCCGCCUGUUUUCCCAGUUGGGCAACGGUUUUCCCGCAUUUUUUGACAGCUGCUUAUUGUUUGCUCGAGCUCGAGCUCGCCUCCUUCUGUAGACGUCGUCGAUGUAACUUCCUGAUGUGGCGCUCAUAGUCUAUGUCAACAGGCUUAGGAGCUGGUGGUUGAGCCAUAGGAAUGAAGUGGUCAACUACUUCCACAGGCACUUUCUCCCUUGGCGGCGAUGGCGGUUUCGGUCCAAAAUGGGCGUCGAGUUCUGCCUGCACUAUGGCAUUGGUUUGCUCCUCGGUCCUGUCGUAAGCCCUCACAGGAAGAGGAGUAGUGAGGUUUGGACCAUAUUUAUAUCGCUUGCCUCCGCCUGUACUUCCUGUACUAUGACCUCGACUCGUACCGCUACGCACCAUAGCUGCGGGGUGUCUCUUCUGCGAUUGCUGAGGCGGCGGAGACGUCUGACGGGGCUGAGUUGGACGAGGAGGAGUAGCCUGAAGCUGUGCCGGACUUGAAGUGGCCUGAGGUUGUGCCGGACUUGGAGGAGGAGUGGACGUCUGACGCUGUGUCGGACUUGGAGGAGGAGUGGCCCGACACUUUGCCGGACUUGGAGGAGGAGGAGUGGCCUCACGCGUUGGUGGACUUGGAGGAGCGGGAGUCUGCUGACUCGGUGGCGGACUUCGAAAGAUGAUGCAAUCCUUUCUCCAUAGGAUGACACGAUGUAUGGCCUCUCCCAAUGUGUGCGUGUGUGUGUGUGUUCAUCAUGCUUGUGUGUAUGGGCUCGGGGAGGGGCGGCGCCCAUGGUGGCCACCAGGGGCGAGGGAGAGGGGUUAGAGGGGGAGAGCUCACAGCGGGGCGACGGCGACGGCGAGGCGACGGCNNNNNNNNNNNNNNNNNNNNNNNNNNNNNNNNNNNNNNNNNNNNNNNNNNNNNNNNNNNNNNNNNNNNNNNNNNNNNNNNNNNNNNNNNNNNNNNNNNNNNNNNNNNNNNNNNNNNNNNNNNNNNNNNNNNNNNNNNNNNNNNNNNNNNNNNNNNNNNNNNNNNNNNNNNNNNNNNNNNNNNNNNNNNNNNNNNNNNNNNNNNNNNNNNNNNNNNNNNNNNNNNNNNNNNNNNNNNNNNNNNNNNNNNNNNNNNNNNNNNNNNNNNNNNNNNNNNNNNNNNNNNNNNNNNNNNNNNNNNNNNNNNNNNNNNNNNNNNNNNNNNNNNNNNNNNNNNNNNNNNNNNNNNNNNNNNNNNNNNNNNNNNNNNNNNNNNNNNNNNNNNNNNNNNNNNNNNNNNNNNNNNNNNNNNNNNNNNNNNNNNNNNNNNNNNNNNNNNNNNNNNNNNNNNNNNNNNNNNNNNNNNNNNNNNNNNNNNNNNNNNNNNNNNNNNNNNNNNNNNNNNNNNNNNNNNNNNNNNNNNNNNNNNNNNNNNNNNNNNNNNNNNNNNNNNNNNNNNNNNNNNNNNNNNNNNNNNNNNNNNNNNNNNNNNNNNNNNNNNNNNNNNNNNNNNNNNNNNNNNNNNNNNNNNNNNNNNNNNNNNNNNNNNCGGGGACGGGCCCGGGGCGGCGACGGAGACGAGGGCGGCGACGGCGACGGGGGCGGCGACGGGGACAGGGGCUGCGACGGGGAUGAGGGCGGCGACGAGGAUGGGGGCGGCGACGGCAACGGCGCGCGACGGGGGCGGCGUAGGACGGGGGCGGCGACGACAUCGAUCGAUCGGGAAGAAACAGAGGGAGAAUGAAAUUUUUCGAAGUGAUGUAUAUAUAGAAGGCACCUUUAGUACCGGUUGGAGCCACCAACCGGUACUAAAGGCCUGUUUUGGCCAGGCCAAGCGGCGGGAAGCACCCCCCUUUAGUACCGGUUCGUGGAACCAACCGGUACUAAAGGCCCCCCCUUUAGUACCGGUUGGUGCCACGACCCGGUACUAAAGGCUGUGCGCUGCCAGGCGAGGGGCACAAAAGUUUAGUCCCACCUCGCUAGCCGAGGGGCACUCGCACCUGCUUAUAAACCCCGUCGUCGCUGCUGUCUCGAGCUCCUCUCUUAAGCAGGCCUUCUGGGCCUACCUCUUCUGCGAUGCCCUGUUGGGCCUACUGGGCUAGCGGGCCUGCAUCCUGGCCCAACUUGAAUUUGGGUUUCUAGUCGUAUGCAGGCCGCUGUGGCCCAGUAGGUGGGCUUUUUUUUCUUAUUUUUUUUUCUUUAUUUAUUUUUGUGAAUAACUUAACUUUGAAAAUAGAUUUUUCAGUGAUUCUUUUUCUUAUGUUUAAUAUUAGUGUGUUUUAUCAUUAUAUUCAAUUUGGUAAUGCUUAGGUUAUUUAAAAAAUGAAAUGCCUUUGUAACGGCUGAGUUUUCGUCCGAAACCCUGAUACUUCGAAACAGAUUGUCCAUUUUGUACACGAAGUGCAUCCAGUUUUUGCGGUAACCCUCUCUACUUUUUUUCACAUGCUAUGUGGGUGAAAUUAUGAUACCAUGCCAACUUUCAUCCUUUUCCGAGUUCAUUUGAAAUGCUUUUCAAUUUCAGGGUCAUUUAGCUGAAAAAAAUCAGUAAAUGCAUGAAAGAAUUUGCUUGCACAUAAAAUUUCUUCGCGUUUCAAAUGCCAAAACACAUAACUAGCUACCCUAACUAUUACAGAGAUUCCCUCCUGGGUGUGAAACACAGAAGAAAGUGAUGAUAGUUAAGCUGAUCACAUCCCAGAUCUUUGGGUGUGAAACUUUUUCUUCGCGUGUGUCCUUUUGCGUCGUAGUCAUGGAAAAUCUUCAUCAUUUAAUGGGAUGCUCGGGUCAAUAUUCACUGUGAAUGGAGCAAUUUCAUCAAACUUUUCAUAAUCUUCUGACUUGUUUGUCUUGUCAUCCACUCCCAUGAUGUUUCUCUUCCCAGAAAGAACUAUGUGCCGCCUUGGCUCAUCGUACGAUGCAUUCGCUUCCUUAUCUUUUCUUUUUCUUGGCUUGGUAGACAUGUCUUUCACAUAGAAAACCUGUGCCACAUCAUUGGCUAGGACGAAUGGUUCGUAUGCAUAUGCAAGAUUGUUGAGAUCCACUGUUGUCAUUCCGUACUGCGGGUCUUCCGUUACCCCGCCUCGUGUCAUAUUGACCCAUUUGCACCGAAACAAAGGGACCUUCAAACCACGUCGAUAGUCAAGUUCCCAUAUGUCCUGUAUAUAACCAUAAUAUGUUUCCUUUCCCGUCUUGGUUUCUGCAUCAAAGCGGACACCACUGUUUUGGUUGGUGCUCUUCUUAUCUUGGGCGAUCGUGUAAAAUGUAUUACCAUUUAUCUCGUACCCUUUGAAAGUCAUUAUAUUCGAAGAUGGUAACUGGGACAGCAAGUACAGGUCAUCUUUAAUAGAGGUGUCAUGCAUGGUACGUGCUUGCAACCAGCUGGCGAAACUCCUGGUUUGUUCACGUGUAAUCCAGUCAUCAGACCGCUCCGGGUGUUUGGAGCGUAGCAAAUUCUUGUGUUCAUCCAUAUAUGGAGCCACCAAGGCGGAAUUCUGUAGAACUGUGUAGUGUGCUUCAGUGAGAGAAUGUCCGUCCAUACAUAUUAUUUGUUCCCCUCCUAGCGUGCCUUUUCCAUCGAGUCUGCCCUUAUGCCGUGAUUCAGGAACACCAAUCGGCUUAAGGUCAGGAAUAAAGUCAAUACAAAACUCAAUUACCUCCUCAUUUUGACGGCCCUUGGAGAUGCUUCCGUCUGGCCUAGCACGGUUAUGAACAUAUUUCUUUAAGACUCCCAUGAACCUCUCAAAGGGGAACAUAUUGUGUAGAAAUACAGGACCCAAAACGUUAAUCUCUUCGCAUAGGUGAACUAGGACGUGCGUCAUGAUGUUGAAGAAGGAUGGUCGGAACACCAACUCAAAACUGACAAGACAUUGCACCAAAUCAUUUUAUAACCUUGGUAUGAUUUCUGGAUCGAUUACCUUCUGAGAGGCAUGCAUGUAUCUUCUGCACCUCUAACCCUAGAGGGCAGACAACCUUCUUUGCUUCGUACGUACUCUCGAGCAAUUCGUUGUCCUUUGGAAGCAUAUCCUUUAUCAUUACCAGCAACUUUCCAAAUCCCUUGUCAGAUACACCAUUCUCUGCCUUCCAUUGCAGCAAUUCCAGUGUGGUGCCCAGCUUUUUCUUGUCACCUACGCAAUUCAGGUACAACAAUUUUUUGUGAUCCUCUAACAUGCGCUGCAACUUCUUCUUCUCCAAAUCACUUGCGCAGUUUCUCUUUGCAUCGGCAAUGGCCCGACCUAGAUCAUCAACGGGCUCAUCUGAUGCCUCUUCUUCAGCUUCUUCCCGCAUUGCCGGCUCAGCUUCUUCCCGCAUUACCGGCUCAGCUUAUUCCCCCAUUGUUGUAUCAUCGUAUUCAGGGAACCCAUGGCCAGGAUAGCUGUUGUCGUCCUCUUACCCAUGGCCAGGAUAGCUGUCGUCGUCCUCUUCUUCUUCAUUGUCUUCCAUCAUAACCCCUCUUUCUCCGUGCUUGGUCCAAACAUUAUAAUGGGGCAUGAAACCGGACUUAAACAGGUGGACGUGAAUGGUUCUUGACGUAGAGUAAUUGUGACCAUUCUUACAGCGAGCACAUGGACAAGGCAUAAAACCAUCCGCCCGCUUGUUUGCCUCAGCCGCAAGCAGAAAAGUAUGCACGCCCUCAACGAACUGGGGAGAGCAUCGGUCAUCGUACAUGCAUUGUCGGCUCAUCUUCAUUACACAACACCGAAUAGACCAAAUUAAUACAAGUUAUACAACACUUAAAUGCAACAAACAAAUAACUCUCAAGCUAAAGCAUUUAAAUGCAACAACAAAUACGAUCAAGAUCGCAACUAAGGUAACAAUGGAUCCAACAGCAUAAUGAUACCAAGCCUCACUAUCGAUGGCAUAUUUUCUAAUCUUUCUAAUCUUCAAGCGCAUUUUCUCCAUCUUCAUCUUGUGAUCAUCGACGACAUCGGCAACAUGCAACUCCAAUUCCAUCUUCUCCCCCUCAAUACUUUUCAAUUUUUCUUUCAAGUACUUGUUUUCUCUUUCAACUAAAUUUAACCUCUCGGCAAUAGGGUCGGUUGGAAUUUUCGGUUCACAUACCUCCUAGAAAAAAUUUCUAUGUCAACUUGAUGGUCAUAAUUUGUCAUAAACACGAAAUGCAACUAGUUUUAAAAGAGAAUAUACAUACCACAUCCGAAUCAUAACAAGGACUAGGGCCGACGGGGACGGAUAUCAAAACCAUGGCACUAUAUGUAUAACAAACAACGUACGGGUAAGAUAAUUAUACGAGUAACUAUAUAUCCAAAUCACACAAACAUCAAUUUUUAUAUAAAAUUUCAUGAACUAGAGGCUCACCACAAGGUGGUGCCGGCGACGGGACUGUGCGGGCGAUCGACGGUGGCUACGAUGGAGAUUUAGAAGGCACUAAGUAAACCACACCUACAUAUGCAAACUAAGUGUUAUUUUUGACCUCAAAUUGCAUAUAAAUCAAAUAUUAGCACACACAUAUAUAUAUAUAUCCUCCCAAAUUACUAAACUCACAAAUUAAUCACUAUAUAAAGCAUUGCAAGAGCUAAUCUAGCAAUGAGAGAUGAAAGGACAAAGUUGCUAACCUUUGUGAUCAUUUGAAUGGAUGGGGGCCUUCAAAUCUUGACAAAUUUUGGGCAAAAUGUGUGAUGAGCUCGAGAGGAAGAGGGGAAGAAUAGAGAGGAGAGGGGAAAGGGGAAGAACAGAGCGAGCUCGGGUGGACGAAGGGUUUAUGUAGGACGACCUUUAGUACCGGUUCGUGCCAAGAACCGGUACUAAAGGGGCUGGAGGGGCACCUGUCUGACAACAUCCUGCCACCACUCUCAUUAGUACCGGUUCGUGGCACGAACCAGUGCUAAAGGUUCGCCACGAACCGGUACUAAUGAAAGCGGCCCGGCUAGCCGUUGGAACCGGCACUAAUGUAUACAUUAGUGCCGGCUCAAAUACAAACCGGCACUAAUGUGCUUCACGUUUGACCCUUUUUCUACUAGUGGUAGUAUAUCCAGUUUUUGUGGUUAGAUAUCUGAAUUGAGAAAAAACAUAGCUUUUGCGGUCUCUGAGGCAAAACUUGCUACUCCAUAUACAACUAAUACUACUACUAGACAAGAUACUACUCCAUAUACUACUAAUACUACUACUGUAUUUCAUUUCAAAGUUUAAAAUGCUGGUACUGAGAUUUUCAUUUCCAAUGAGUGAUGUUUUUCCUAGUAGUAGAAAAAACAUAGCAACUUCUCUGAUUUUAUAAAGUUGUUCUUAUAUGGGUGAAACUUCACUUGUUUUUAGGCUAGUGUAGGGUGUUGCUUCUUCUGUAUGGGCCAACCAUGUCACAAAUAAAUUCUUCCUUCUUCUGUAUUUGACAAGUAAUGACUUGCAAAGCUGAUGAUCAUCUUGCUAGUUUGCUGGGUUUUGUCUCCGACCAUUGUGUCGUGAUGAAUUUGCAGGUACCCCGAGAGGCCCUUGAGUUUGCCGGAAUGUCGAUUAACUUCCGUUCCGGCAAAUUCGGGUACUCCAUAUGUCCUAUUUUCAGCAAAGGUCAUGCCGAAAUUUUCCAUGAAUUUUAGCAUGACUUUGCUAAAAAUAGGACAUAUGGGGUACUUGCGACUAAUGCAUGGGCCGGGGUAUCUUAGUACUUAGUUAAGUAGGAUCAACUGCCCCGCCAUUCUUGCUGCAUUAAACCAUAGGUGGCAAUAGAGCCAAGUGAUUAGGCCCAACUUAGAAUUCUCCUUAGCAUCAAUAAACCCUAGAUGACAAACCCAACAUAGGUGGCAAUAGAGCCAAAUGAUUAGUGCCAAGUGAUUAGGCCCAACCUAGGGUGCCUCAGCAUCGAUAAACCCUAAAUGAUGAAAACUUAACUUGGCUUCUAUAUAGGGUGCCUCGGUGUCGAUGAGAACCUAAAUGAUGUACGCUUAGGCUUUUAGGGUGCCUCGGCGUCGACAAACCCUAAAUGAUAAAAGCUUAGCUUUUAGGAUGCCUCGGUGUCGACAAACCCUAAAUGAUGAGACCAUGAUCUUGUUCCUUGAAAAUAACCAACUUUUUGACCAAACUUUUUUCCUAUUUAGAGCGAAACAUGGCCCACAACGAUGAGGCCGGCAGUUCGAGCGGCAAGCCAUUCUGAGAGCUGUCCCAGGAGUUGGAGGAAGAACCUCACCGCUAUGAGGACGCCGCAGAAGACACCGAUCCUGACUACACAACCACUAGUGGCGUUGGGGAUGACACCACUAAUGGUGCCGCCGAGGAUGCCACCACUAAUGAUGGUGGCCCACGCACAGAUGGCAGCCAACCGAGGAGGCAACGGAAGGACCGGCGCCCGAGCGUGCUCGGCACCGUCAGGGAGGAAUUUACUGAAGUGAACUCCGACGGGCAUCCGACGGCGCCCAAACAAGUAGUCAAGGGGUACUCGGUUCAGCUCGGGUGCAUUCUCCGGAGCACCGUCUCGAUCAACACCGAGAACCUAAGGCAUAAGGACCGAGGGAAUUUGUGCAGCCUCCUCUUCAUGAAGCUACAUGAACGAUACAAGUUCCCCGCUGAGUUUGAAAACACAUGCCUCUCAGGGAAUAAAGUUAACAGUGCCGCCCUCACGAAGAUGAGCACGGCCCUGUCUACUUGGAGAAGCACGGUGAAGGCAAUGAUUGAUAAAGGUGAUAGUUAUGACAAGAUCAAGGCGAAAUAUCCUUUGAUGAGCGAAGAUGACUACAAGGAGUUCAAGAUCAAGUGCGAGAGCAGCACAACCUCCGAAUCAAGUUAUUGGGGGAAAGAAAUGCGGCAGUUGAACUUAGGGGUCCACCAACUCGGUCCCGGCAGUUACAGAGUGGCGGAGCCUAUAUGGGACAAGGAGGACGCGGAGCGUGCCGAGCAAGGCCUACCACCCCGCUUCAAGAAAUACAGUGACAAGCAGACCAGGAAUUUUCUCAGGGCCCGGUACAAGGAGGACCCGGUAACAAAGGAGCUUACCACGGAUCGAAAGACCAAGGAGCUUGAGCCUGUUCUGGUAAGGAAUACACCCUCGCGUAAUUAGCUCCAUAUGGUUGCAUUCUAAUUAAUCCCCAAUAUUUCUAAAUGGUUCACGUUCCUUCCGCAGGACAAAGAAAGCAGUAGCGCGGGGUCGUCUCAGAGCUCCCCUUUCGACACCCCUUUGAAUAGGGCGUUGAACAUAAUGAAAAAUAAGGAUAAGCUCAGUGAGCCGACGUCAGCUGGUCGUGUGGCCGGGAAAGACUUGUCCACAAAAUGGUCGUCAUACUAUACCGCUGGUGGGCGAAAGGAGAAAAAGACCAGCUCGGAAAGCCAGUCGCGCGAGGUUGAAGCACUCAAGGCACAAGUGGCACGGAUUCCGGAGCUUGUCCAAGAGCAAGUGGAACAACAACUGGGAACGAAGCUCAACGCAUGGUGCCUACGUUGAUUCAUGGGCUGACGACAUGGAUUGUGGGUGGCCAACAGGGGCCUCCCCCGGUUCCCAGCUUCACGGCCAGCAACUCGCAUAGCGCGUAGGCGGCGCCAUUGGUGUCUCCGGCGGAGGCGGUAUUCGUGUCUCCGGCGCCGGCACGGGCAUUGGAGCUUAAUGCACCCGGGUGUAUGCCGGCCGGCACCUCGCCAGCAAGCGGCCCCUCCGUCAAUUGCACGCCCGCCGUUGGCGGUGCCUCGACAUUAGCCGAGCUCGACGGCAUCACGGUAACUAAGCCUCUCGGCCGAUGACUUCAUCUCCUUGCCUUUGACUGGGCAUCCCUGACGCCCUACAUGUUUUCGCAAGGCGCCGCUGACGUUCCUUGCACUCUCUUGCACUUCGUGGGCGGCGAGUUGGUCGAUGUCGCCAAGGGCAGAAUCGUUCAACCGGGCAAUCCCAUGUUCCAUGGUAAUCCGAUGCCACCCAUAGUGUAUAGGGUUGAAGUGGUUCGGGUGCUGCCAGGCUGGGACGAGCUGUUACCUCCGAUUCGACCCGCUGGGGCCGACGAAGAAGAUGAGAUGACCCUCAGCGCCUGCGUAAGCUGGCCCCUGCUUUGGCCGAAGAGCCAGUUUCGUUUGGGGGCGGGGGACACCACCCCACAGACAAGACCGCCAGUCGUGCCGGCGCCAAGCCAUGGCAAGAACGCCGCAACACUACCGGACAUGCCAGACAUCCCUAUGGCACAGGAUCCGGACAUGCAUAUGGCACAGGAUCCGGACGACGACGACAAUGACGAUGGUACAUUUACCAACGUCGAUAAGUACUUUGCCAAACAUGGGUACGGUGACGAGUUCUGCGGGCCUCCUUCUCAUGAACCCAACCAAGACGACCGCGAUCUAGCUGUUACGUCCGAGAAACCCAGUUGCAACAGGCGUCGUCUGGCGUUCAGUUCUCAGGAGACGCCUCCAGCUGCCGCCUUCACCGAGCCUCAGAUAGCUGAGGUGCGAAAUAUUAUCAGCCCCAACACGCUCAAGAAGGCGGUCUGUGAGCAGAACUCGGUCCCAUUACAGCAGAUCAAGAAGAAGAGCCGGAAACGGAAGACUAAAAAGGGCGCCGGUGCGAGCCAGCCGGCACCAAGUACGAUCCGUGCUUAGGACGGGCCACCUUCACCUAAGGAUAUCUCGAGGAGGGUGCAUGUGGCGGGUAGGGCGAUGCUACCGACAAAUAUGCUCAAUGCUACAACCGGUGCUAUGCGGAGUCUGCACGACAGUGUUCUUUCUUUGGAGAAGCGGCGUCUCAGAGAGAAUGAUGUGGCAUACCCGGUUUUCGUGGCCAAGGUGCCAGAGGGCAAGGGCUUUGUGGAUGGCGACAUCGGGGGUACGAUCGUCCUGCAGUUUGAUGACAUCUUUGCUAUGUUUAACCUUCACCCGCUGCACUACACCUUCGUUUGGCUGUUUUUGCUGAGUAUGGAGAUGCGGAUCAUUAGAGACAAGACCCCGGACAUCGUGAUAGUCGACCCCUUCUACAUGCGUGCCAAGCUCUUGAGCAGCGCUGGGGACCACCAAGUCGCGAGUUCACACCUCGAAGGCGUCAUUCUGGCAAACCCAGAUAAGGAUAACUUCCUUGUGGCUUACUUUCCCGAGUAAGUCAUCCCUUAACCGCCCCGUAACAUAUGAUUUCUUAGAUUUCGAUCGUUCUUUUUUUUCUAACAUUCCGUGUUCUAUGCAGUGACACACAUUGCACACUCAUCCUCUUAAGCCCGAAAUAUUCCAUGGCCACGUAUUUUGACCCGAACCGUGACUCCAAGAUAGAGUACACAAAUAUCAAGAAAGUUCUUGAUGAUGUUCUCCCCGGCUACGCCAAAUCUGGAGGCACCUUCACCAGGGCAGUUCGUAAGUACGGCAAGCACGUGUUCGCCCACAAUACGACGUUUUGCAGCGUCAAGCAGCCGCCUGGCGGUCAGAAGGAUGCCUACUACACCCUCCAUCACAUGGGGGCGAUCGUAAGGGACCAUCAUCACCUUCUGCUACCAGAUAAUCUCAAAGAUUGGGCCGUGAGCUUGUCGGCAAUCCAGGACGCGGACAUCAGACAAGAAUUCUUUCGCAUCCAGUCGGAGUUUGCGGACAUCAUCCAUCAAGACGUCCUUCAUACCUCGGGGCAGUUCUACCUCAGAUAUCAACCGUCCAACAGUGAGAUAGACGGAACGCUAUAAAUGCAGGCUGACAACGCCCGCGAUUUCAUGACCAUCACGACAGACGGCGGCUUCAUCCACGCUCCUGUCCCAUGAGUCGAGUCGAAAGUAGUGAUGUGUAGUUCUGAAACAUUGAUUGGCUCAUGUUGUAAUUAAACUUUAAUGAAUUGUAUGUCUCUUUGGUUUGGACAGUCGUUCAACUUAGAUGUAAUCGAUGCUAUUUAUUAGUAGGACCAUGAAUCGUGCUAUUAAUGUCUUGCUUUUCUCUUCUGAUCCUUUUGUUGCAUACUUAUAUAUUGCUUAUGUAUUGUCGGUUGUUUGGCUUGUGCAUAGGGAUGCUGUCGUAUGUCGUGUACAAGGGUAAGGUUCCCAAAGUCUACGGAGACUGGGAGGAGUGUCGGAGACAGGUUCACCAUUUUAGCGGUAACAGUUACAAAGGGUACACCACUAGGGCGGAGGCGGAAUCUAGAUACGCCCGCUAUCUAGCGGGAGAGAGGAGGGAGCGUUGGAGGAACCGGAUGAAGACCAAUUUCAUCACGAUGAUGCUCAUCGUGACGACCGCAGCUCUCUUCUAUGUGAUGGUAGUUUAGAUGAUCGAUAUUGGCUUGUAAUGUGAAGACAAACUCGAUACUCGCGGUCUCGAGACUUGUAAUAUUUUAUCUUUGUUCGGUCUUUUGAAUUCGGAGACUAAUAUGAUGAAUUGUAUUCGGAGACUAAUAUUAUAUUGUAUUCGAUGAAUCUGCUGUUGCUGUGUGCUGCUGUCUAUAUUCUGUCCAAUAAUAUAUUUUGUAACCUGUGCAAAAAUCAGAAAAGUAAAAAACCUAAUAUUCAUACUAAUGGCGCAUCACAUCAAGGUGCACCAUUAGUAUGCCAAAGGAUACUAAUGGCGCAUCACUACAGAGUGCGCCAUUAGUAUGCCAAAGUAUACUGAUGGUGCAUCACCCCACAGUGCGUCAUUAGUAUGCCAAAGCACAUGGUUAAAUAUGCCCCCCUGGGAGGCAUACUAAUGGCGCAUGGUGUUCUAUACUAAUGGCGCACUAUAUGGUGCGCCAUUAGUAUACCAGAUACUAAUGGCGCACCAGUGGUGUGCCAUUAGUAAAAAAUACUAGUGGCGUGAUACUAAUGGCGCACCAAUAGUGCGCCAUUAGUAGGCAAAACUGGUGCGCCAUUAGUAGGCCUUUUCCUAGUAGUGCAGAACACAGGUCAACGCCAAGGUCACGCGGUGACCACGCGGCGGGCAUGCGAGUUUACACGCUUUGGAGUUGGGGCCCUAGGCCACAUCCAAACCUCGACGUAUCGCCACCAAACCAUGUAUUUAUGAUUGAAUAGAUACUUAUGUACCUAGAAAUGAUUUUUAAAAAAAUAAAGAGCAAACAAUAAGGUAGCUGCAGUUCAAAUUUGACCCGCUUCCUGCUGAAUCGGCGGGAAUUUGUCUUUUUCACCAGAGGUGGAUCAAGGCUUUUGACACCAAACCAUUUGGUCAAUUGUGAAUCAAAUAUGGCCUAGUAUUUUAGAAAAAUUAUUUGGUCCAAUUUUGCAACAAAUAUAUGGUAGGUCCUUCACAAAAAGAACUCAAUUCAGGCACUCGUAAAAUGGAAAAUGAAUUUUCCGUGCAAAGAAAAUGAAAACUCCCUUAGGCAACAUUGUUUGGAAUUCCAAGAUGCACCCUUGUGCUCAAUAUGAGAUCAUUUGAACAAACUAUGCCAUGAAUGUGGCCAUAAGAUCGAUCAUUUGGCUUGAAAACCCUGAAUCUUCACGCAUGAUAGCUCAUUUCUGAGAACACUUCUUUAAAAUAAUUGCCGUAUUACAAGUUUGUUAUUUUUCCUGGAAACUUGGUCACAUAUAAUGACACAAUGCGAAGGUUUCCCAAUUUUUUGAUUUUUUUUUUAAUUUUUUAUGCCCGUUUCGAAAUGCGAUCAAAACGGCGGGUUUGACCAUUCCUAGCUAGUGGUUGAAUCUUGGAAAACUUUUGAUGUUUCUCUGAUUAAAUAGAUACUUAUGUACCUGGAAAUUAUUUUUGGAAAAAAUAAAGAGAAAACUAUGAGACAGCUGCAGUUCAAAUUUGACCCGCUUCCUACUGAAUCGGCGGGAAUUUGUCUUUUUCACCAGAGGUGGAUCAAGGCUUUUGACACCCAACCAUUUGGUCAAUUGUGAAUCAUAUAUGGUCUACUAUUUUAGAAAAAUGAUUUGGUCCAAUUUUGCAACAAAUAUAUGGUAGGUCCUUCACAAAAAGAACUCAAUUCGGGCACUCGGAAAAUAAAAAUGAAUUUUCCGUGCAAAGAAAAUGAAAACUCCCUUAGGCAACAUUGUUUGGAAUUCCAAGAUGCACCCUGUGAACAAUAUGAGAUCAUUUGAAAAAAAAUUCGUAGGGCUUUAAAAAACUCAUUUUGAGCACUGAAAACUGAAAGUGGUUUUUUCUGAAAAACUUAUCUUUGAUUUCGACCAAUUUAGAUGGUCAUAAAGUCUUCAAAUUGUUUGCUACGUUCUGAUUGGUCCAUGGCAUAUCACGCGGAUCAUGGAUCAUACACCGUCGGAUGCUCAAGGAUCCAACGGCAGUCAUCAACCCUUCCACACCAACCCUAGCUCUGUCCUCAUGGUCAUUUUGCAUCCACCCCCGCCUCCUUUUUCCCCACAUCCAUUCCAGAUCGAGAGAGAGCUCGUCUCCUCCAGCUUCCUCCAGAUCGAGAGAGAGAUCACCGCCGCCACCUCCCUCCAGCGAAGCUCGCCGCCGUCCAUGGCCUCCCCACGCCCUCCUGCUCCGCCCGCUCCUCCUCCCUCCACGCCUCCCGCGCGCCGUUCCCGAUUUCCCAAACCAGACUGCCUCCCCGGUUCAUUCCUUCCUCCCUUCCCACGCACCGGCCUCGGCACCGCCACCCAACUCGCCGACGACCUUACGCAUCGCUGCCGGCCUCCGCUCCCUCCCCUCCCACACGCCCGACGCCCCAUCCUCUCCACCUCCCCUUCUCCCCCAACCCCCAGUAGCACCCAGGCCCAAGAACAUAUGCGGCGGCUAGAUCCCAGAUCCAGCACGCCGGGCUGUGCCUCGCCGGAGGCGCACACGCGGAGUGAGGAGGGUUGCCCGCAUGCACACGCCAUGGACCUCCAUCACGGGACGCCGACGCAUAUCGUCUGCCCGGCCGCGUCACCAAACGGCUGCCUGCCUGCUCCCUGCCGAUGCCAUCCCGUGCUCGGGACGCCGUGCCUACCACGCCCCGAGGACGCUCCUCCGGGUACUCUCUCGCCCAUCUUCGAUUUGCUCUUCUUCCCCUCCCUCCUCCCCUCCCCUUCGUCACAUGAUUUUAUUUUCCGUCCUCUCGCAGGUGCGCGCAUCGGACACCACCGGCGCCCAAUCCUAGCCGCAGCGCACACCAUCCUUGUUGCUCAUGGACGAACCGAACACGAUUGGCUACCAGAACCAGAUCCCUCACUCGCUCCAUGGUUCCCGCAUAGGUGGUGGUUCCUCUCCUCUCCUGUCUCACCCUCACGCUCUCUGUGCUUGAGGUUUGAAGCUCUAGUACGCUUAGAGUGACUGGUUUCAUUAAUCUCUUAAUCGACAAGUUAACUGGACUAUUUUGCUGUAUUUCCAUCAUCCUGAAAUCUAAAAAGUGGCCGCGCACUUUUUAGUCGAACCAAGCGGCCGGCUCUCACAGCGCAUGCAUGUGGUAAUUUAUUUGUCUGCUAGUGCAUGUAGGCGUGGCAUUAAACCUAAAUACUAGAAAGUGCGCACGCACUAUCUAACGCUUGCGAGCGGCCGCAUGCUGGCCACACGAUUUUUGCCCGAACCGCCGCACGCUUUGUCUGCUGAGGUUGCCGCUAUCCACCCACGUCUUCAUCCCCACCUCAGUUCGCUGCCACGCCAUGGAGGUGGUCGCUCGCCGCCCUUGACGCCCUCGCCCUCUACUCCCCUCCCACCGUCCUCCCCCUCUCCCUCCCUUGGCCCCCGCCUCGCCACCCACAUGCUCACCGCCUCCCCCACCUUUGCAGCCACCAUCCCCAAGCAGCACUUCCUGACCCCCAUCUCGGACCCCAUCUGGGCUGCGGUGCCUGGGAUGGCGCCGUGAUGGUACGAGGAGCAAUGCUUGGAUAUGCUCCCUGGCCAAAUUUGCACCAUGGCCCAUCCAGCUGGGUAAUUUGAUUGCAAUCUUCUUGCUUGGGAGGUUAUCUCGUUCCCAAGGGAACAACGUUUGAGCAGCCGUCACCGGAUUUGGUCUUGUUCCUUUACAACAACAGGAUCAUGUACCCGACCGUCACCAGGAUCCUCAUUGGAGCGCCCCAUUUUGUGCCUAGAUCCGAUCCUCCCUCACCUUUAUUUCUCUGAUCUAGAUGUCUGCCCGAGGGCAUUUGAUGGCAUUAGAGUUUGUCUAAUCCGGUGGUGGAACUGCUCCUUCCGAACGCGCCUCCGGAUGGGGUUCAUCAUCGUCGCCCCGACGUCUUCUUCCCCCUACGUCUUCAAGAUGUUGAUUGAAGUAUUCUGUAGACGGUAGUUAAGAAAAGAAGCAUAGUUCGAGCAAGUAGUAUAGCAUAAAGAAGGUCAGAUUACUUUGACUUGCCUGGGUCGACCAAUCUGCGAGGGAUUCCGACGUAGUGUGCCCAGCCUGGCAUUUUUGUGAUUAUUUUUGCUACGAUUUGAAUUGGAAUGGAAGGAAAGAAGUGCAUAAGAGUAUUGAGAGGAUAGUUUCCAUGCUUUUGCUCAACCCUCAAAAUGCAUCUGUGUGGUUUCUCUGUUUUCUCUUAAGUUGCAUGCAUAUAAUUAACCAGUUGGCUAGUUUGUUGUAAUAGUUGCACAUGCACACAAAUAUAGUUGGAUCGCACAUAUACAUAUCUUAGUUGGCUAGCCAAUUUAUGAAGUUGCACACUGAGGGCUAACCGGUUGCACAAUCAAUGAUAUUUUGAUGGAUAUACUGUGUAAACCAUGUUGAAACAGUGUGUGUGGUUUUUUGGUUGCACACUCAUGUGUGCCCUAUUGCCAAGGGUAUGUGUCAAGAGUUUGCAGAUCUAAGCAAUUCAUAUCCUAGUUGGCUUUGCCACACUUAAUUAUGCAGUUGCACAGGGAGGGCUAUCUAGUUGCACGGUUGACGGCUAGUUUAGUUUUGGCUCCAGCUAAUCAUCUCCGGGCAGUGUGUAUGCUGAAUUUUUUGGUUGCACACUAAUGUGUGUCCAGUUGGCCAUACAGUGCAUCAAGUUGCACAAAUUUUUGUUUGGUAGGUGUGCUUUAAGAAAUCAACAUGAGUUGCUUACCUCAUGGCACUCUUUGAUAUCAAUUGUUUUUGCUCAUUUUUUUCUUUUAUACAUUUGGUUGUUGCGACUAAUUUGUUCAAUCACUUUUUGUUCAUAGACCAAAAAUGGUUGUAGAAGGAGAUGCUACAAGGAGUCAUGUUUGGUUUUUCAUUGUUUUUCAGUUAUCCUUCUAGCAGUUUUGUUUUGCAAUUAUAAUAACUAUUUGUUGGGUUUUCCGACCAUGUUUUGUGUUUUGUUUGUUUUAUGCAGGGGUCUACAUACCGUUCUUCUCGGCGGAACUCCAAACAGCCCGCCGAGCAGCAGUCGCGCUGUGCUGAUAUCUAUGGGGAGGCAGAGGAUGAUGAGGUAAGUAUCGAGCAAGCAGUGUGGGUGCAUUUCCCUUUUUUGCAUACACACACAAGUAAUUUUUCCAUGCAUCCUUUUAGGUUGCUGUCCGAUUCCGCAUUGUAAAAUGGUGGAAAUGGAAGGCGACCUCAUAGGUGGGAGUUGUAUAUGGAGCUGGCACAUCAUGUGCAGCAUGUGUUGAGGUAACAUGAAAUGGUAUUAGGCAUUUUUAUUUUCUUUUUUUCUACACAAAGUAACCUGGGAUAUGAUUUUUUUUACCCAGUUGCACAAGAACCAGCUAGGUGUUGGCAUCAUGAACUUUAUAGUUGCACAAGAAUCAAUUAAGAGUUAGUAUCCUUAACUUUUCAAAUAUUUGCACAACAAUAGCAUACGAGUUGGCAUCCUCAACUUCCAUUGUUGCACCAGAACCAUUUGGGAGUUGGCAGUCUCAGCUUUUUAAGUAGUCCCACAACAAUAUCAUAUGAAUUGGCAUCCUCAACUUUCAUAGUUGCACCAGAACCAAUUAGGAGUUGGCGGUCUCAUCAUUUUAAAUAGUCCCACAACAAUAUCACAUGAGUUAUCCUCAACUAUUUUAGUUGCAUAAGAACAAAUCAGGAAUUGACAUCCCCAAUUUUUUUAAAUAGUUGCACAACAAUGCCACCUGAGUUGGCAUCUUCAACUUUUAUAUGAGUUGAAGAUGCCAACUACUGAAAUUCAAUCCCCACAAGUAGAUGGAUCUGGGGGUGUUGUCAGAUGCACUUGUGUUGGUUAAGUUGCGCAGAUAUGCCCCAGAUCUGGUUCAUUUUCUCUAAGGCUUCAUUUUUGCAUCAUAUGCAGGUUUUACAGGUUAUGGGGGUGGAGGAGCUGUUGUAGCUUUGUGCACGCAAUUCUCAGCUACGAAGUCACAUAUACAAUUGUGUGGAAAGAUCAAAGGAAAAAACGCCUGCAAACCAUAUUCAGUAGUUGGCCAGUUUGUACUAAAUAGUUGCACACAUACAAAACAGGGAUUGGUUCAGUGUUUUUCUCACAAAUUGUGUUUUAAUCUUGUCCAGGUUUAUUUUGGUCAAGGAGUUGAUGUAGAUUCUGCACAUAAUUUGAUGCUAUACUUCUUAUACGGUGCUAUUGGAAGUACAAAGAAGAUUUAGAUGAUAUUGUCUUUAGUUGCACACAUCCAGGCAAAAGUUGGCUUGGAUUCAUGUUUAGUUGCAUAAAUAUAUGUUUUUUUCAUAGGAACUACAUCAUGUCUAUUUGUGCAUCUGCAACUACUCCCUUUUGUUUAUUUGCACGCAUCCGGGCAAUAGUUGGCUUGGAUCCAUGUUUAGUUGCACAGGAAAGUGUUUUAUUAUACAGAGAUAAGAUUCAAUUGUAUUUUGUUGCUUCAUGUUCCUUAUUCCUCCUACUAUGAAGAAGAUUUGUGCUAGAUCCAGAGGGAAAGUGAAAAGGCCAGAGGGAAGUUACCUAAUGGUGCUGCCUUGUAUGGCUUUGAACUCCCUCUUCUUAGAACUGAAGCUUUUUCACCUAGUUGUGCUCUGCCAUGGCAGCUCUAUAGGGUUUGGAUCCAGGCCUGGGAUCCCCUUCUUUCGUGGAGAAGGAGGGUGACCCAAGGAGGGAGGAAGUGUGGGUGAGGUGUGCGUGGGAGGUGUGGGGAGGUUGUGGUUGGGAGCCUGAUAGCGAUGGGGAAGAUUUUCUAUUGGUUGGGAGUGUGGGACACGGGCCGGAAGGAACUUUUCUUCUUGGGUUCAAGGGGGGACAGAAAGUUACCUUUUUGGCUAGCCGCUCCAUCACGCUAGCGGGCAGUCGGCCGCCCACUAGACGCCUCCGGCAUUAAAUACGUUCACACUGCUCCUUUAGUUUAAGAAAGACAGAUCCAUCUGCAUUUAUUUCGGGUUUUUAAAAAUUCAAAAAGCUAUAUCUUUCAAACCACGCGUCGGAAUUCAAAUCCGUUUUCACCAUUGAAAUCCUCGCGACGAGAUCUUUGAAACUAGAUCCCGCAUGGGUAUAUUUUGACGAAUUUUUUUCGAUGCCAACUUUGGAGCUAUAUAGUGCAACUCUAUUACUGCAUUGUGCAACUUUAUUACUACAUCGUGCAACUUUUUUCCAAAACUAAUGUUUGGAGCUGCGCCUUCGUAUGAGGUUACAACCUAGCAACCACGACAACUUUGAUGUGCGACUAGUCUAUUGCCUCGACGAAAGUCGAUGUGCAACCUCCUCUUGUAAUGUAGUCUAGUCGCACACACAUUGAUGUUUAGUUGGCUUGUAAUGUAGUCUAGUUGCACAUACAUUGAUAUUUAGUUGGCUUAUAAUGUAGUCUAGUUGCACACACAUUGAUGUUUAGUUGGCAGGAAGACUAAUUGCACAUGCAUAUGCUUAGUUGGCUUGUAAUUUAGUCUAGUUGCACACACACUGAUGUUUAGUUGGGAGGACACUAGUUGCACACACAUAUGCUCAGUUGGCGUGGCAAUCUAGUCUAGUUGCACACACAUUGAUGUUUAGUUGGCAGGACUUUUUUGGCACACACAUAUGCUCAGUUGGCGCGGCAAUCUAGUCUAGUUGCACACACAUUGAUGUUUAGUUGCCAUGACUUUUUUGGCACACACAUAUGCUCAGUUGGCGCGGCAAUCUAGUCUAGUUGCACACACAUUGAUGUUUAGUUGGCAGGAAGACUAGUUCGUCGAAACAUCCCCAUGCGGGAUAUAGUUUUGAAGAGCACGUCGCGAGGAUUCCAGCGGUGAAAACAGAUUGUGACCGGUGUGAAUGUAUUAAAUGCUAAAAGAUACAUGCGCUAGCAGACAAAAAUUACACACAUGCAUGUCUAUACAGAGCAGACGCUAGCGGAUAAAAAAUUUCAAUUUUAGGCCGGCCGCUCGCGCAUGCCAGCGAGCAGCCGGCCGCUACGUAGACUCGUCCCAUCAUACACCUUUGAUUUAUUUAGUGACUGCAGACUGGGAAAAUGCACUUAUAUUGUAAUCUUUGGCUUUUCUAAGACUGAACUUGAAGGCUGCUUCUGGGUAGUAAUUUUACUUGGUAGAUGCUCCAGGCCAAAAACACACACAUUAUGUACUAAAUGUGGUCGCGUAAGCUCGUGCUUAGAAAUCAAAUCUUUUUGCUGCAAACAUUUUACAAUGGUACGAGCAUAAAUCUCUGGUGGACCAAGCCUUUUUUGCUCCAAACAUUUUACAUACCAAUGCUUGGUGGUAGCCAUUGUCCAAAAAUAAAUGAAUUGUUCAGACUUCAGGCUUAUUAGGGGGUGUGUUCUUCUGAUUUGCGAUUCUGAUAGGACUUCUGCUCGUACCAUUGGUCGAUUCUAUCCAACGGAAUUGAUGAUACAGAGCAUUAAACACUUAGGAAAAGUACUUGGAUGUGUGAAAAAUUUGCUUUUACAAGAAUUAAUUCGUUUUGUCUCUAAUUGAUGCUGACGACAAAAGCUAUGUUCUGUCUUUGAUUCAUGCUGAUGACAUCUUCAUUCAUUUCAUCCAGUGAGCAAACAUGGCACCAUCCAUGAGUCUUGCAGUGAAAGGUCUGCUCCCCUUUGCAUAUGGCGGAGGGCUGCAGGCGCUAGGAGUCGGAUCCGCUCUUCCCCAUGUCCGAGUGCAUGCAGAACUCCGCUGACAGGUUCGACUCCUUCUCUUCAUCUCUUUUUGUGAUCUGCUGCCUGCCAGUACAAACUCCGCGUGUGGUUUCGACUGCUUGUCUCGCGGGAUUCGCCGCCGCAUUGUGGAGAAUUCCGUGCGGUUUCUGAGCAUGUGGUGCCAGUUCCGAAGCUCGGGUACCUCUUGGCGUGAUUGUUUCUGCCUGGAUUGGCAUUUGCGACCAAUAGGCUAGGUCUUUUUAUUGCUGAAAUCCCAACAUAUGAUGGAUGUCUUUGAUGAGAAAUUACUGGCAGGUUUCUGUAGCUUAUCUAUUGAGUUAGAUACACCUGCAACUGUUUAUUGCUGUCAAAUUAGGCUUUGGGGCAUGCCUUCUGUUUGAUAGUAUAUAGCUUACCUUAUGACAGAAUGUGAAACAGCUUUGCUAAUGUGGUACAAGCUAGCCAUCAGCAUGUAUCUCCACGUUUACAGAGGUUCAGUAAUGUUCUCUAGUAUUUUUUAGGAUUUCUCUUGAUAAGUACUUCUUUCUCCAUAAUUCCAUGCGCUUGUUGCAUAUGCUGCAAUUACUGUGUAUCACACUGAUCUAAAGAAAUUAAUAAUAAACUAAUAGUUACAGUUUUCUAGUUUUUCUAAAAAACAUGAUAUUUUAAGUAUGGCCUCUUAAAAUAUAAUAUCUGAAUUUCCAUGGAUGGCCUGUUCCAGUUAGCAUGAGAGCAGCUGGUAAUCCUACACUUAGCAUGGAUGGUCUGUUCCACUUAGCUUGUGCAUCAGUACCCAGUAUAUAGUCUCUGCUUUUGUUUGUACAUAGCUCACUACUUAGAUCUCCUCGGCUUGAACAAGCACAAGAUUCAUCAGCAGCACUGAACAAAAUUCAGCUUAAACUAGCACAGUAGUCAGUACAUAGUAUCUGCAGUAUCUACAUUUUGUCAGUACUGUUAAAUUUUGUUUAUAGUGCUAAACUUGCAUAGUACAGUCUCUGCCUUUUGUUUAUACCAUUAGAUUUUGUUUAUAAAUCCAGUUUGUACUGAUAAACUUGCACAUUCUCUGCCUUUUGCUUAUACUGUUAAAUUUUAUAAAUCCAUUUUAUAGUGCUUACCUCUUUGUCACAUUGGGUUUGGCAGCAGUUGCUAAUCAGUUUACAACAUGGAUGAUGACUGUUGCAAACAUCAACUGCAGCUAACAGAAGACUGGGGGGAAGCACUCAUCUCCGUGCUCAAGCGUGUGCAUGCUCAAGUGUAUGAGGGGACUGUGUGUUCUGGAAGAUGGAAGAGGAAGAAAACUUAGUUUUGUUGAACUAAAUUUUUUGUAUUCUGUUUUGUUGUACGUAUCAUUUGAUAGUUUUGUAUAGGAACAAGUGAUACUAUUUUGUAGGGCUUUAUGGCCUGUGAUGUAAACAUAUUUAGUGCUGAAAUAUGAAAUUAUUUGCAAAAUUUGUUGAAACGGAGGAUCAUAUGUAUGAAUAUGUGAAUGGGCUGAAAAGAGUAUUGGACCAACUCCAGGAUUGAAUUAUUAUUUGAAUGUAUAAGAAGGCUGAAUAUAAACCAGAAAUCAGCUGCACAAAAUUGUACAUAUAUUCUUAGAAGGACGCGUCUAGUGGGCAGCCGGCCGCCCUGGGAUCGCUAGCCAGCGGCCACCCGAAAAAGGAAACCACCUGGUCCCCCCUCGAGCGAAAGAGGAAACAGUCCCCCGCUCGCCCACGUGGUCCACCUGGUCCCCGCCCGUCGGAGCGAAAAAGGAAACUGCCCCGCCCGCCAGCUGGCCGUGGGAUCACGUGCACCCUCCUCGCCAAACUGCGCCCUGGCUAUCUUCUUCUUCCUCACGAAAGAAGGAGGAUCUGCCCAGGUUGCAGAAUCCACGCCAUCGCUCGCCCCCACGCCUCAGCCCCACCUAUGCUGCCUUCUUCUUCUUCUGCACACCAGAAACAGAUCCAAACGCAAUCUCCCCCAGCCCUUCUUCCUCCUCUUACACAGCCGCCAUGGGAGCCCCAAAGUAGAAGGAGCUGCUUCAAGAUCUAAAGGGCAGGGUGGUCAGAGCCAUACCAGGCAGUAAGAUCGAGCAGGUAAGCCCCCUCUCCACUUCACUUCCCCCUUCUCCAUGGAUCCAUGGAGAAUCUGCUUCAAAAAAGAGGUGAAUCUGGCACAUCACACCAGAUGUUAAACAUGAUGGAUGUGUUAAACAUGCCAAAAACUACCACCUGGAUGUGUUAAAACAAGCCAACUAAAAACGAGUUCUCUGGCCAAUUAAAACAUGAUUAAAGCCAACUUCUAGUUAUUGUUUGCAAAAUGAACAAAAAAUUGACUGCCCAAUGCUUUGUUGAACAUGUGCAACGAAAAAUUCAUAAAUGUGCAACUGAACAUGCAUCCCAGCCAACUGAACAUGUAUCCUGGCCAACUAAACAUGUAUCCUGCCAACUAAAAAUAUAUUUGGCAAUACAUGCUUCUGAGUGAACACUUUGGAAAAAAUGUAGUAUAUGUGGAAAUAAAAAACACGUUUUCUGGCCAACUAAACAUGCAUGUUGGCCAAAAACUGAUGACCAACUAAGACAUAUUCUAGGCAACUAAGACAUCUAUUCUAGCCAACUGAAUGCAUUAACUGUCCAACUGAACACGCAUGUUGGCCACAAACUGAAAAAAAAUGCAACCUGGCCAGCUGAGACAUCUAUUCUAGCCAACUAAAAGCAUUGAAUGUCCAACUGAAUAUGUAUGCUAGCCAAGUGGAAAUCCUGGAAAUUGAGAUGUCUAUUAUAGCGAAAACCAGAAAUCUGUAGUGCAACAGGAAAAACAUAGGAACUUUUGUCCAUGGCUAAUGAAGCCACAAACCAUAUUAACAUAUUCACACACGUAAUCUUGUCCCACGCAUAUAUUCUGGUCCCACACCUAUUGCAAACCAUAUUAAUAUGUUCAAAUAUACCAGAUCUAGAACCAUAUUAACUAUAAUCUGUCCUCCAAUUCUUCUUUCUUCUUUCACCUGGAUUUUCCUUCUCAAAUGUAGCAUCCAAUUAUGUGCAGAAAAAUCUGAAAAGAGCUCCUUGCGAAACGGAAACCUACAGAUCAUUGCAACAAAACAAAAAGGGAAAAGGUAAGAAAAACUCUGUAGCAAAAAGAAGUCAUGCUCUUGCCAGUUAUUUACUGCAAACUGUGCAACUAACAUAACAACUCUGUGCAAACAAAAAAAUUCAUAACUGUUAUAAUAAAAGAUUAUGCUAUGGUCAUGUUGCUUUUAGGUUGUUUGAAACACAGUUUUUCUGUGGUUACCAACUGAUGACAUCAAUUUCUUCUUUUUUUUAUAUGUGCAGGGAGUGUGUGGUAGCAUCCAAAAACAAAGGGAAAAAAUGCUUGAUCUCAAUGAGUUGCCUCCAGAUCUGAAUGAGCUUCCUCAUGAUAUGGAUCAGCAGCAACCCAGCAUACAACAAGGAAACUGGACAGAAAAUGGUCGAUCUGUUUACUACACGCAGGCAAGUCGUGAUGGUAACCCUAUGGGCCAUGACAAUGUGGCAGGCCAGUCAUCAGCCCGUGGUGCCCCUGUAGUGGUGUCUUUGCAGCCAGAGAGCCAUACUCUUGAUGACACAGGAACCGAGGCAAAUGUUCCUGGUCCAACCAGGACUGAGCUAGGAGCUCGGGCUGUUGACGGAGCUGUGCAAGUAGAAGAAGGAGAGGAUGAGGCUGGUUCUCAACCUAUGGAACCCUAUGUUGGCAUGAGGUUUGACAGCCUUCAAAUUGCUAAGGAUCACUACAACAGUUAUGCACUACGGAUGGGUUUCUCUAUCAAGAUGAACACCUCUAGACGGACACACCGCACCAAUGAAUUGAUAAAACAACAGUUUUGCUGCAACAAGUUCAAGAAGCCUGAAGCUGAUGAUGGAGGAGCUGAGGCUCCUCCUUACCUGGACCCUAUUCCAGAUCCAACAUCUGUUAACAGUGAUGAGGAGAUGGAAGAAGAACCUCCAAUAUUUUCUGAAGAGGAGGCUGGUACUAGUAAGAAGAAGAAGAAGCGCAAACGCGAGACAAUAAAGCAGACUGAAUGCAAGGCGAAAAUGUUGGUGAAGCUGAUAGAUGGGCGAUGGGAGGUGACGCACUUUGUUCGUGACCACAAUCAUCCGCUCGUGAACAAACCUUCAUUGUCCAAAUACUUGAGAUCCCACCAAGGCAUCUCACCUGAUGAAAAGGAGUUUUUGCGCAUCUUGUAUAACUGCAACUUGACUACAGGUGUGGUGUUUUUCUAUAUCCCUUGAAGAAUUAAGUUUCCCUCUAGGCAGUCCAGUGUGCAACUGUUAUGGUACUACUGUGCAACUGAAAUGGCUUAACUAUGCAACUGCUGUCCAACUUCCCAUGCUUUUUAUAUUUCACUUUUGGUGCUUCUUGUGCAACUAGAUUGUCUUUACUGUGCAAAUACACAAUGUCCUGUAUGCAAAAACUGCAAAGUGUUUUUAAAAAGGUGCAGCUAGGUGUCCAUUUCCUGUGAUUAUCUUCUGUGCCAACACGUGUCCUAUUACUGUGCAGCUGGAUGUGCGCAUUUGUGCAACUAAAAAAAGGAUAUACUAUUUGUUUUUGUAUUAUGCAGGACGAAUGAUGCAUGUAAUGGCAGAGUUCUAUGGAUCUGAGAUGAUGGUGCCGUUCGGACCAAAGGCAAUAACAAAUCUUUGUACAAGUUUCCGUAGAGAUGACACAAAGGAGGGUGAUCUGAUUGAGACAAUUGCGCACUUCAAGGAUAUACAAAAAAUUGAUCCAGACUUCUUCUUUAAGGUGAAAUAUGAUGAAGAGGACAGAGUUGUCAACAUAUUUUGGGUAGACGGCUUAGCUCGAAAAGCUUAUGCGAAGGCGUACCACGAUUGCAUAUCGUUUGACACCACCUACAUGACCAACUUGUACAAUAUGUCGUUCGCGCCCUUCAUAGGAAUAAACCGACAUGGCCAAUCUUUCAUGCUGGGUUGCGCGUUUGUGAGGAAGGAGUUGGCAUCGAGCUUUGAUUGGGUCUUUGGAGCAUUCCUAGAGGCUAUGGAUGGCAAACCUCCUGACAACUUCAUCACCGAUCAGGAUGGUGCGAUGAGGCAGUCAAUACAGAGCAUCUUUCCAACCACCGUGCACCGUUGUUGUCGAUGGCACAUCAUGAAAAAGGCUCAGGAAAAGGUUGGUUGGUUGCUGUGCCGGAAUCCAGGACUCUCUGAUGAUUUCAGCAAGUGUGUUGACUUUAGCUUCACUAUAGACGAGUUUGAGCAGAAUUGGGCUGGGUUAAUGAUGAAGUAUGAGGCUAUGGCACACACGCACUUUGAGAAGUUGUACGAAUACAGGUCAACUUGGGUGCCGUGCUACUUCAAACACAGGUUCUUUCCCUUCCUCCAGUCUACACAGCGUAGUGAGGGGUUCAACGCCGUCCUCAAAAGAUAUGUGAACCCACACAACUCAAUGCUGAACUUCGUCAAGCAAUAUGAAAAAAUACAGAACCACAUCCUUGCCAAGGAAGGCUGCAAUGAUUACAGGACACAACACCUUGAGAUUGAGUUGUGGUCCAACUUCCCAAUAGAGAAGCAAGCUUACAAAACCUAUACUAGAGACCUUUACCGCAAGUUUAGAGAAGAGUUUGAGCUGAUUGGACGUUAUAAUGCAUUCCAAGUUGGUGCUGAUGCGUUUGAGCUCAGACCGAACCAGAAAUUUGUUGCGAAAUAUGGUUCUCGAAACUACUUGGUGCAGGCAAGGGUGGAGGAGGGUUCCUAUUUGUGUGAGUGUUGUAAAAUGGACAAGGACGGCAUCCUCUGUUGCCACAUCCUCAAGGUGUUCACCCAUGUUGGCGUUGAUGUCAUACCGGAAAGGUACCUGCUAAGACGGUGGACACCUACUGCUGUACUUAGUGCGCCAGGGACUGGUUAUGAGCAACCGGAUGAAAUGCCUCCUCAAUCAAAGAAGCAGAUAAGGGAGAGGAACAUGAUAUACGAUUUUCAGAAACUAGCAAAGUUUGCGAGUGGUUCUGAUCCAGCACAAGCUAUUGUAUACAAGCAUAUGCGUGCAGCACGUACCGAGAUCGGCCACCUGAACAAGUCCAAGAAAAAGAAAAAACCGACUGCUGCAACGGGGCCAUCAGAUGAUGGCAACCCUCGAGGACCUCCUCCACCUCCAGGCAGCAAUCAGGGGGCUCAUCAUCCAGGUAAUUACCUGCCCCAACUCCUGAUCUAACUAGGUGUGUAACUUCAGUUGCACACAUCAUUGUGCCCAGUUGCACACACCAUGGUAGCCACUUGGACAGAACAUACUGCCUAGUUGCGCACGCUGUGUUAGUUCAAGCAUCAAGAUAUCAUAGCUAACUUAUUUUUCCAGUUAUGCAUAUAUGUGAUGUCAACCCUCAAGGACCUCCUCCCCCUCCUGGUUGUACACGGCAUCCUCCGCCACCUCCUCCCCCGCAUGCUCCUCCCAAUGGCCCUACAGGCAGCACUCAGGGGGCUCGUCGUCUAGGUAAUUACCUGCCCCCAACUACCCAUCAAACUAGGUCUGUAACUCCAAUUGCACACAUCAUGGUGCUCAGUUGCACCGAACAGGCUACCUAGUUGCGCAUGCUGUGUUAGUUCGAGCAUCAAAAAGAUAAACACAACUGACUUGUUUGUCCUGUUCUGCCUAUAGGUGAUGCCAACCCUCAAAGACCUCCUCCCCCGCCAGGCCCAACUAGUAGUGCCCUUUGUGCUACUCCCAAUGGACCUACAGGCAGGACUCAGGGGGCUCAUAACCCAGGUUAGUACCUUCACCGACUCCAAAACAAAAACUAGGGUGAGUGACUUUAGUUGCACAUAUCAUAGUGCCCAGUUGAACAGAGACAUGCUGCCUAGUUGCGUGCGCUGUGUUAGUUUGAGGAUCAAGCUAAAAAUCUAACUUGUUUUUCAUGUUCUGCCCAUAGGCGACUACAAUCCAAGUACCAUGAUAGGCCGUGCUACUGCAGGUGUUUUUUUCAACUGAACUUGCACACAGCAACCAGUUAGUUGCACAAAAUGUACUAUGUGGCUGCACAGAACAUCAGUGCUGGUUGCACAAUAACAAAAAUACUAAACUUUUUAUAUGAUUAUUACACAGGUGAUCAUGACGGUCCUACUGCCCCGUUGGAGGCUGCAUCCCUUGCACAAGCUUCUGAUGAUUUUGUGCCCAGGGAUCCUCCAAGGUCUACUACAAAGGGUAGGGCAAAGAGUCGACGAUACAAAUCGGCGCUGGAGCUACACCCAAAGAAGAAAAACAAAUGCAGCCAGUGCCAAUCUACAGAGCACACUGCUGGUGUGUGUCCACAGAGGCUCCUGUGAUUCUGUUUCCUGAUUUGUAACUUUGGAACAAAAAAGGAAAAUAAUUAUGUCUUUUUUAGCAAUGUUGGGACCAAGUGGACACAUUCAACAUCUAUGAUUCCUCUUUAUCUAAUUUAUGCUGCUUGAAUUAGUUCAUGCACUGUGUAAAAAAAGUUGCUAUUUGUGCCUUUGUUGGCAACUGGUUAAAUAUUUAGUUGUUGAACAAUUGUAUAUCCAGUGCUCCUAAUGUAUCAACAAAAGUGAUGAUAUUGAGUUGCAAACGCAAUUACUAGCAGUGUGCAACUACAAAAUCUACUUAAUAAAAUUGUACAAACCAGCAACUUCCUCCAUGGAGCAGGAAAAAAAAUAGUACUGACCUACUCCUUGUCGUAUCUCAGCAACUUCCUCCAUGGGGCGGUGUUGUGCACGCUGGUGACCCAAACAUACGUCAGCUUCUUCCUGAUGUUGAGUACUUCCUUGGGGUCGUAGUUGGGCAGUUGGCUACCAUUCCACUCGGUGGCGUUAAGCAGUGCGAACAACCCACACUCAUUACUGCAAAAAAUGGGCAAAAAAAAUUGUCACAUAAAAUUAAAACCAAAUAAUUGGGUCAACUACUUAAGUCCUACUGUGCAACUGCUUGUGUUCUACUACAACUCAUUAUGUGCCACUGUGCAACUACUUAUGCGCCACUCUGCAACUAGCUAGAUAAUCCAUUAGAAACUCAUAAAAAUGAUAAAACAGAUUGAAGACUAGUACUAUGUCUAAAAAAUACUAAAGAUUGCACAUGUAGAAAAAUUUAAAAACUACAAAAUGAUUGUAUUUGAUUGAGAAGGAAUGAAAUGCUUAUUGUCUUACUUGCCAAGCUGCUUUGGUACGUCAAUGUAAAUAAUCUGGAAGUGCUCGAUGCUGAACUUUGGGUAAUGCUUCCUCCAUAGCUGGCGUACUGCCCCCGCAAUGGUAGAGGCGUUGUUCAUCAGCUCAAUGUUGUCCAGCGUCCUGCUUGAAUCAAGAACUUCGAAGCGUCCGUCCCUCAAGUUGACACUAAAGACCCAAUAAUGCCUCCCUCCGUCCUUAUCGGUUACAUCUGCGCACUCGAGCACUGGCAGCAUGACCUGCAAGCGUGAACGAUUUCAAACACAAAUACAAGAUGUAGCUAAGAAAAACAGUAAAAGACUUGGUCAAGUUAAAAACGGGUUGCAACAAGUAUCUGCCAACUAACAGAUGUGUCAUGUGCAACUGGACAUGCUGUGGGUGCCAACUAAAAAAAGAUUGAUGAUGUGGGCACAACACUCACCAAGUCUUUCUUGUCGAGACGGUUCUUGUAAUCAAACUUCUUGUUCAUCUCAUUCACAUUGUGGAUCCCUUGCUAUAAUUUUAUCUGCAGAGAUUAUAAAACAUGGCUCAAAACUCCUUAGUAGGUGAAAGGCCUCCCUCAAAUGGUCAACGAAAAAGUGCUACAGAACAAAGAUGAGGGUAAAAAGAAGGUUUCAGAAAAACUUACAGAAAACCUCAGUGGCAUAACAACCUUCUUUGACCCUUCUGGUAAGUUAUCCAUUAUGUGUAAGAUUCCAGUCUCAAUAACAAUUUUUGACAACCAUUGAACCGGCUUCAUCGAAUCAACUAACUCCUUUAAAGAAAUGUAGAAAGCACCAUACCUGAUUAUCUCAGGGCUGAUUUUUUUGAAAGCAAUAAAAAGACAAGUUAGAUCGAAGGGUCACAGCAAAAAAAAUGUGCAUGAAAAUGAAAAAAGAACAGUGUGCAACUAAAAGCCCUGUUCUGUGCAACAUACUAUGCUUUCUGUGCAACUAAGUGGCUGGUACUAUGCAACUGAAAAAGAUAUGUAUGUAGGCUGUGGGGAGUUAGUUUACCUGGUAGCUCCAUCAUCUGCUCCUUUGUGAUGCCUGACCCAAUACAAGAGGGCAGCGUAAAGCUUGUUCACUACCUCAUUGGUGCUGAAAGUCUUGUUCUUGUUGUAGUCGAUGAAUGGAGACCUUUGAGAUGCUGCGGGCCUUCUUACCAUCCUCUGUCUUCGUGCAAGAGGUGGCCCCGAAGAACUGCUCAUGCCAAGUUCUGGUUCUGCGCAUAUCGGGGUGUGGCAAUUCUCUGGUGAACUAACAUCUAGUUCUUGAGCUAUUGCCUUGACAGCAUCAGCAGCAUCACAUCCUUCAUUCACAGCUGCUGGGUCUAACUCACACUCAUCGAUGCUAAUCACACCGGCUUCCGCUGUUUCUGCUGCUGGAGCAGGUGCUGGAGCAUCACCAUCUAUGUCGAGGUCAAAAGAUGGUGCAUCGCAGAACCCGUCACCAUGAUAAGAGUUUGAUCUUUGUAAGGGUUCAAGGACCAGGGCAUCUCCUUGCGGCACAAACACGGGUGCAUCAUUCACUGACUUGGUUCGCAAUAGUGUUGUAGUUGGCGGCCUUGGAGGCUUGCACCUACUUAUAAUGUCGAAUACCUCCUCUUGUGUUAAUGGUUGCUGAAAGACAGCUCUUGGGGACGGCACUUUGAUAGUUGGAUGACCUCCUUUUGUGUUUGGCAUUGAAGCAUCUCUAUCAGUAGGCACCUUGGGACUUGCAGUUGAAGUGGUGCCUUCCUGGCCAGCUGUGGUGGUUUUGACUGUGACCAUGCUGCUAACUGACACAUCAGUUGGCACACUGGUAUCUGUAGUUGGCAUCUUUCCAGUCUGAGUUGGCAGCAACCUGGCAGAACUUGGCACCCCUGCAUCAAUGGCUGCGGCUCGCAGCUCUCUCUUGUCUCUGAACCCCAAAUCUUUUGUGGCCUGUUCCCCCUUUGCGCCCCUGGCAAACUUGACAAUCUUCUGCUUAGGUGGUUUUGGUGGGACUGUUGAAAGGGGAGUCUUCCCCUUGAUCUAUUGAACUUCUUUGACAUCGGUUGGCUCUCUGCUCACUACUGUUGGCAUAUCAGUUUGAAGCACAGAUUCCUUGACCAUAUUUACUUCAGCAUCUGCACUCACCAUCUUCUCCUUGAUUUGAGGCAACUGCAGAUUCUUCUUAAUUGAAACUGCUUUAUGCUUCUGAACCACGUGAGGGUUUGCCGUGGAUGCUGCCUUGCUCUUGCUGGAGCUUAGGUCUGGGAGCUGCUUUAAAUAUUCCUUGUAUUUUUCCUUUGAAUGAACCCAGUCAAGACCCUUUCCUGCUUCCUCCAUGUCAAUUUGAUUCUUUUCAGCAUCAGUUGAUAAGAACAGGCUCUUGUCAUUGGCAAAGCUGAUCUUCUCACACAUAUCUUUGUCGCUGAAAUCUGGCACGGGAAAGGUGGUUGGCAAAGCUGGCUUCAAGUUGCAGAGCUUGAACAUAUCAAUGCUGUCCUGAGACUCUGCUUCGUCAUUUUUCUUUGACUUUGGAAAAUCCUUGUCUUUCCAGCAAGUCUUGUCAAUCAACAUCUAUAGUGUGCUCCUGCUACUCAAUGAAUUGUUGUUGCUCGCAGGGUUGGCAUGAGUGCUAGUCCUCCUGGAUGUGUUGCCACCUGUACCACCAGAACCAGGGGCGUUGUCAUCAUCAUCGUCAUCGCUGCUGUCGCUGCCUCCAUUGGAUCCCCCUUUAUCAUCACCAUAAUCAUCCUCGUCUUCUUCAUCCUCGUCUUCUUCCCUAUCACUGCCAUCAGCUGUUGCGCCUUUGUCUUCUCCCCUCUCACUGCCAUCAACUGCUGCCCCUUUGUCCCCGUCCCCCUCUCUGGCCUCACCUUCUUCUUCCUCCUCCUCUGCAUCACUAUCUUCUUCCUUGUCCUCCUCCUCUCCUUUGUCCUCUUCUUGUUUGUCCUCCUCCUCCUUCUCCUCCUCCUCCUCCUCCUCAUCCUCCUCCUCGUCUGCAUCUUCUUCAUUGUCAUCCUCAUCCUUGUCCUCCUCCCCUGAUUCAUCCGCAUCUGUCUCCUCAUCGUCGUCAGCAUCUAUCGCUGCUUCCAUUUCCUCGUCUUCUUCUGAAUCAUCCUCAACAAAUUCUUAUUCUUCUUGUAUAGUUGACCGUCGUCUCUUUCUUUUUGGAGCACGACGUGAUGCCCCAGUUUGCAUUGAUGGCUGCUAUACGUAAGGAUCAAUAUCUGGUUCCUCGUCAUCAAUCUUGGCAACUUCUUCAAUGAAGGUGCCAACCUGUUCAGUUACAGCCUUGCACAGCUCAUUGACCACUUUCGCAAUUUUUGCCUUUUUCUGCAUCAACACAAAAAAGAUUCAGUACUGAUUCAGUUAGAAAAAAUAAUAAAAAGUAAAAAUGUCUGUAACUGACCAUGAUGUGAUAAGCAAAAACAACUAAUACACACUUUCUGGCCAACUAAAAACAUGAUUCUAGCCAACUACAAAAUGCAUUGUGGCACAAAGUAAAAACCAUGCAUUUCUGCCAAAAGUUGAUGACAAUGGUUGUAAAUGAACACUUUGACUAUCCAAAAGAACAUGUGCAACUACAAAAGCUUAUAUGUGCAACUGAACAUACAUCACAGCCAACUAAAUUCUGUAUUUUCGCAACUACAAAAGUUAUACAUGUCCAACUGAACAUACAUCCCAGCCAAUAGAAAAAAUAUUAGUAAGUGAUACAAGUUCCUGUAUGCAGAACACUAACCUGCGGAUUGUAUGUUAUUGGUAACUUGGAUGCCACAAAUGCUUCAGCUUGCAAAAUUCCACCAAACAAUGGUGUCUGCUCCGUGCCUCUAUACUCCUCUUUAAGCUGAUGUGAAAAAAAAGUGAAACAGAAAAUAACAAGGUUAUCAAAAUAGAUUUGUGUGUUGAAUGAAACCACACAUUACAACCUGUGCAACUACAACAAGAUACUGGAGUAGACAAAUUCAACUAUACAUAUAUGCAACUGAACAAAGACACAAAAACUGUGCAACACACAUGGCACCUAAAAAAAGUUCCUACCAACUGAUGCAACACAUCUGUGCAACAAGAUUAGUAAAACUGUGCAACUUAAAAAAGAUGGUGUGCCAAUUUAAAAUGAACAUGUGUGCAGAUUGCCAAACUUAAAGCUAUAAUCUAUGCAACUACAUGCAUUGUUGUGCCAGCUGAUGACAGUUUUCUGUGCAAUUUCCAAAAAAGAGUGACCAGACAUCAAAAGAAUAUAGAAGGAAGACACUGUUGAAAAAAAACAAAAAAGAACUCACUUGUAAUUUGCCGAACACACCAGAAGAGAUAGUAUCCUUCUUGAUCACCUUGGCAAUUAGAGUACUAUCCCAUGCAUUCGAUCGUAUCGCGCAGUUGCUUACUGGGAUGUCAUGUACGAGCGCAUCAAGGUAUAGUAUCUGCACCAGACCCAAACAAAAGAAAAAGCCAAGUUCAGUUAUUGUUAUGAGAAUUUCAGCAAACUAUAACUGCACAGAAAGAACAGGAACAGAUGGAAAAAGUGGUCAUUUUCACUAACCAUCAAGUGAUACAAGCAGCAGCAAACAGUUUGCUUCUCCUGGUCCAUGUUCCGGAAAGCUUCGUUAAUGUGUUCUGCUACAAAGAGGCAGAUGUUUGUAUUCUUUAGCAUUUGAUGAUCUAGCACAAGUCCAUAACACUUUGGGCUGAGCUUCAAGGCCGUGGUUGGUGCUAGAAAAGUGCUGAAGGCAACCGCAAGCCAGGCCAUAAAGAAUGUGUCAUCCGUUCUUCCAGCCAUAUGCUCAAUCAUCUUGAGCCAUGUAGUGAUCUGGGGAUGAGAAUUUCCAGUUAUGUUGAAAGCCUGUCUGAAUCUCCUAGUUGCAUCCUUGUCAACUAAAUAUCUGACUUUUGGACCCUUAUUUGGGAGAUCAAAUACCCUAUGAACACUGUCAGCAUCGACACGGAUCCUUCCCCUUCCUGGGAAAACCAUUUCAGAGGUCUGUGGCUGGUAGGACUGCACCAGGAACUUAGUGAGGUCCGCUGGAAGUGUGUCUGAUAAGUUCAAUAGCCCCCCGACCGACCUCGAAACUAGCUCUGAUUUCUGUAGUGGGGUUAGAGAGGCGUUGAAAUUUGCAAAGUGCGCUGGUGAUGCCCUUAUCCUUCCUGCUUGUGAUGGUCGCUCCACAUCUUCCCCUGGAGGCACCUCAACUCCUUCACCGCUGCCCUGUUGAUUAGAAAAUGAAAGCAUUACACAAACAUUAAACACAAGAGAAAAAACAAGAAUGAAAAAAAAACUAGCAAUCAUCAUUUGAAUCAGUAUUAGAAUGAGCUAUAUAUUCAUAAAAUGGAUCAUGCCAACUAAUAUGAUGUAUUUGUGCAACUAAUAAAGCUCAUGAGGACAACUGCAAAGACUGCCAGUGUGCAACUGAAUGUGCAACAAUAAAACAGUAAAUAAAAAAAGAACGAGACCUGGCAGCUACAAAAAGUUCUAGUGUAUGUGCAACAAUAAGAAAUGAUAUUGCAACACAAGAAAAACAGUAACUAAAAAAAAGGUUUGCAAAGAACUAUUCAAAUAGCUCAUAAACACACACAAAAACCCCACAUACCUCAGCAUCUACUGCGGAAGAUGCGACAGCUUCUCCAGCAACUACUGCCUGCACAAAAAAAUGACCACUGAUGUCAACUAUGAAAAGAUGCCAACUAGUGAACUACAAGAUGCCAACUAAUGCCAACUAAUGUCAACUGUAUUUAAAUCAAAAUGACUAGAGAUGUCAACUACAAAAGGUUGUUAUUGACAGACUAAAAACAAAAAUACUGUUCGGAACUGCUGCAUAAUUUCAUCACUAUCUAAAAAAAGCGAGAAAAACACUAAUAUUUGAGAUUUUACUUACCCUAGAAGAUGACUCAGCUCCCUUGCCAAGUGCUGCACGUCUAGUCCGCUUUACAACACGGAACUGAUCAGCAUCCUAAGAAAAAAAAUAAAAAACAUGAGCAUGCGAAAAAAUAAAAAAUAAUGUUAUAUGACCCAAACAAAACCAAAAAAUGGACUUGUGUCAUCAACAUGCCACUUACCUCAACAUCCUCUCCCUGCUCAACACUCUGUGCAGGUCGUGGCUGGCGAUUAGCAGGACGCUUCGAGUUCCGGCGAAGAGGCUGACUUCCAGAACGCUGAUUAAGCAACCAAAAGAAAACAUGAAAAAAAGACAUUAGCAUACAUGCAUAAGUUGAAAAACAACUCAAAAACAAAAGAAAAAAGUGAAUAAAAAUACAUCUCCUUGAUUGCCACCCGCAUCUCCUCCUAUUAUAACCAUUUUUGCCCUGCGGCAGGAAAUACAACAAAAAAACAUAGUUAGAAGAUGUGGACAACCAACUACUACAAUGAUGCAGCCAACUUGGGCAGUAAACCUUGUGCAAACUGGACAUCAAAUAAGCCAACUAACUUUUUUCUGCCUAAUUAUUACUUGCCAACUGUGACAAGUAAUACCUAGACAGAAAAAAGUUAAGUAAAGGCAACAAGCUCAGUGAGAUAACUUAUUCUGAAAAAAGCGUCCCUAGUUGAACAUGAAGGGAGACACAUGAAAACAACCACAUCCACAACAAAAGACUUGCACAUUGAGAAAAAUUAAAAUGGAAAAUUGGCAAGCAUUUGUACUAAUUUGAACAAAUCAAGGGGUCCUAGUUGCACAAAGCAGGAGAAUAACACAUAAACCACCACAGCCACCACAAUGCUGGUGGAUUUGGUAGAUUAUAUCGGAAAACUGGCAAGCAUUGGUGCUAAAAUUGUACAAACAAGAGUCCCUAGUUGCACACAGCAGAGGGGGAAACAGCCAACUAGUAAAAGUGUAUAACAUAUGCAACUAAGUAAAACCAACUAAGUAGAGCAACUGGCACAAGUGUAUAACAUAUGAAUAGCCAACUUAGUAAAAGUGGUGCAGCCAACCGAGCAGGCAACUUGUGCAACUGAACACAGUAUAAACAACCACCUAGUACAAAAACAGUGAGCCAACUGACCAAAACAACUGCUGCAACUGCAGAGCAUAUGGACAGCCAAGUACUAUAUGGACGCAGCCAACUGAGGAGAAUUUUGUGCAACUAACCACUUAAAUCUCUGAACACCAACUACGAAAUCAGCCAAUGCAUUGCACACAACAUUGCGCACAUCUAAUACAAACUUACAGAAUAACUAAGAAUCACGAACAGAUCUCAAAUCUCUGCAAAAUUGAAUGGAACCUGAAGUAAACAGCCAAAUCUCCCUAAAAUCGCGCAAACGGGGACUACACGUUGACCCUGUCCAGCCACCCCCGUGCCGUGAACUAUGCCUCCAACGAUUCCCCCGCGAGGAGAACCACCCGCAAGCCAUCGCCAAACUGAGCACUCCGCCGCGACGCCCCGUUCGGUGGAGAGGAUGGCGAGGAGGAAGACGAAGACGAAAUGGGGAGAGAACUCGCUGUGGUGAGGGAUUUCAGGCCACCUUGUAGAUCCCGACCACCGUUGGGCGCGUGCUGCGAGAUGGGAGAACGGAACUCAAUGUGACCUCGCAUUCCCCUCGCCCUAAAAUUGCCCUAAAAUCGCAGGAAAUCGAAGAUAAGCGGGGGUAGUUCGCGCCGUUCCCGAACCCUAGAGAGCAUUCCCCUCGCAUUUCGGCACCAUCCGCGCUCUGCGAGAUAGAGAAAGGGAGGAGAAGCAUGUAGAAGUGGAGGGAGAGCAUACCUCCGGCGGCGAGGAGCACCAGCGAUUCCCCGGCGAGGAGAACCACCCGCAAGCCGCCGUCAAAUCCGAGCACUCCGCCCGCCAUGCCCCGUUCGGUGGAGAGGAUGGCGAGGAGGAAGACGAUGAAGGAAUGGGGAGAGAGAGCACACUGCGGCGAGGGAUUUCAGGCAUAGAUUUCGAAAACCGCCGCCCACGACCCCCACUACUCUCUCCUCUAUCACUUACAGGUGGGCCUCCCAUGUCCGGAUGCGGACAAAACCGCCCACGACCGCGGUGCGCGACCAGGUGGCACCUGGCGGAUCUGGGAGCGAUCGCUUGCGCGAUCGAACGGCCACGGGCCGGCCGCCCGUUUCGGUCAGUUAGUGGCCGGCCGCUUUUUAGAUUUCAGGUUAUUAGAAAGGCCAAACGUGCAUAAAAAUUGAUGGGUUAACCAGUUGGGCUUGGCACAUGUAGCUGACAAAAAUUAACAAAAAUAAAUAUACUAAAUGGGCUGAAUUGUUGGACUCGGCCCAUGUAAAAGACAAAAUCGGACCGGGCUGAAUCUUGUGCCACAUCAAGCUUGCCACGCUGGAUGCCUACGUGGCCUGGGGAGGUUGCUAGUGACCAAAAAUUUGGUCGUGGAACCAACGACCUUUUACAUAUCACAAAGAAGGUCAAAAAUUUCAGUUUACAACCGCCAACUUUUGAUCUUCUGUUUUUGGUCAUAAAAGUCGCAAAUGAAAAACUAUGACCUUUCAGCGCCCAAUAGUGAGGGUCACAAGUUGAUAUAUUUCUUGUAGUGCUUCCACUUCUUUUUUAAUUUACUUACCAAACUUUCUACACUUACUACUUAAAAAGAACGUAAGGUUCCCAUUUCACCUUUCUUCCCAUCACCCCUUCGUCCAACCUUUCAUGUAUAUGAUAAUCAAUCACCUUAAUUUACUUACCUUCCACUUCUUUUUUAAUUUACUUACCAAACUUUCUAUAUCUAUAUCUAUAUCUAUACUACUUAAAAAGAAUAUAAGGUUCCCAUUUCACCUUUCUUCCCAUCACCCCUUCGUCCAACCUUCCAUGUAUAUGAUAAUCAAUCACCUUAAUUUACUUACCUUCCACUUCUAUUUUAAUUUACUUACCAAACUUCUAAUAAAAAAUAUAAGGUAGUUCAUGAUCAAAAUUUGAUGAACAUUUAUUUACAAAAUUGCAUUAUUAUUGACAGGUAAAUCACAAACUAACAUACUAGAAUAUUUAUAUCCCGUUGCAACGCACGGCCAAUGUUUUAGUUGUUGUUUAUAAACUAUUAUUGUAAGUUGUUUUUUAUGACUAUGUAGUGCUCAAGUCGACGAGUUGCAAAUUUGGGUAAUUUUACCUGCGGGUACCCAUUUAUCCUAAUGGGUGAUGUGUAUGGGAAAACAUUGUACCCAUCGACGGGUAUGGAUAGAUUUGAGGCAACGGUAAGGAUAUGCGGUGGCUCCACCCAUAUCCAAACCCAACGGGUGCCAUACCACCCAUUAACAGUCGCGCAAGAGGCGGUCGAUGGGCGUGUCCACAUCAUUCUUGAUUUUACUGUCUGGUAUAGAAACUUGUUUUUUAGGUAAGAAAACUCCCCAGAUAACGCCUCGCUGCAAUCGAGCCGCACACGCACGCGCCGCCGCCGUCAUCUCCCUUCACAGGCACGUCUCUGUCUUCACUCGAUUUCCUUGAUCCCCUUUUCGCACGUUGCCUCCUCCCAUUCCUUCCCCCCUUACUCGCACGUAGGUGGCCGCAGGAGAGGCGUGGCAGAGGAGGCUCGUUCAGGGGGUGGUGGUGGUGGGAGUGGGGAGUAAGGGCAUCUCCAGCCGCGCCCCCAAGAAGGCCUCCCCAGGCGAUUUUUUCGCGCCGGCGCCGAAAAAACGGCCCAGUCGCGCCCCCAGGAGCCCGAUUUUCGCCGGCUUGGGCCGAAAACAGCGCCGGCGGACCCAGCCCGAACCCGGCGUGCUGGAGGGCGCUCGGGGGCGUCGGGCGAACUUUUUUGGCGCGAAGAAACCGCGGGCCCGAUGCGUCAGCGACAUGGAUUACUUCUCGGCCCUUCGUCGUCCUCAUCGCCUCGUUUCCCGCGGCGAAUCAAUGCCAAAGCUGCCGCGCUGCCGCGCCGGUCAGCCUGCGCCAUUGAUGCUUCACGGGCGGCGCAGUGAAGGCCGGACGACGCGCGUCCCUCGCCCUUGCCUCGCCCGCCACGCGUGCGCACGGUGCCACGCGUGUGGGCGGCGCGUCGGCCUAUAUAUGCCGCGCCCCGGCGCACUCGGUCGCCUCACACUUCCCCUCCGUCGUCGCUCUCUCCCCUCCGCUGUCGCUCCUUCCUCCCUCUCCUCUCCUCCUUUUCGCCACCUCCAAUGGCCGAACGUUUCCCCGGCGACGGCGUGGCGGCGAACGGCUUCGGCCGCCGCCAUCUCCAUGAAGACGAGGCUCGCCUCCUUUACGAGGCCGAGUACCCGGUCCCGCCGGACAUACGGGUGCCUGGGGCGUGGAGGAUCAGCGCGGGCGGCGUGCCGGUGCCCCCGGUACCCUCCGGCACGGUGCGGCGCGCGGAGAUCGCCCGCAUCCGCUCGAACCUGCCGCCUGCGGCAAGGGAGGCGCCACGGUACGCCCCCGACAGCCCGCUGUGGGAGCCGUACUUCCUCCGCCGUUACGCCGAGCAGCUCGAGGCCACCAAUGGCGUCGUGCCCUCCGGCCGGCAAAACUCCGCCGGCUGGCGUCGAUGGUGGGGCGUGCCAGGGCGCACGCUGGACGCCGUCCUCGAGUACAUCGAGGGCGGCAACACACCGCGCCUCGACUACCCCGCACCCCCUUCCUUUUCACGCCGCCGGGGAAGCUCCUGGACCCCGAGGCGCAUGGAAACCGGGGGGUACUCCUCUUCGUCCAGCGGCUCGCCCUGCCUCCGCCCCGUCAAGCCGGAGCCCCAGGACACGCCGGUGGCCACGCGCACCCGCAGCUCCGGCGUCCGUAUCGGUGCCCCGUCAAGCCGGAGCCCUGCCGACCGUUUUGUCCUCGUCGAGCCCAAGACGGAGCCCGGCCUCGUCGUGCCCAAGAAGGAGCCCGGCCUCCCCGCGGAGUACGAGGAGAUAGCCCGGCGCGCUUCUCCGACGAGGACGCCAUGCGGUGGGCGCGGGAGGACUACCUCCGCGAGGAGACGGUCCGGCAGUGCCGGGCCCUGGAGGAGAUCGCCGCCCGCAAGCGCGGGCCCGAGGACCAGCACGGCGUCGUCAUCCUCGACAACAACGACGACGACGCCCCCGGACCUUCCAGCCCGUCGCGCCAACCGGGGGAGGGGUGCAGCAGGGACGGCGGAGGUUUAGGCGGGGGCGACGACGACGACGGCGGCGACUACACGCGGUUCUACAGCCUCCUCGACAUGUAGCCGCGUGGGCAGGCAGCGAGGCGGGCGGCGAGACGGGCGGCGAGGGAGACGGCGGGAGUAGCCCGCCGGUUUUUUUUCUUUUGUAAAAUAUGUUUAAGUUUGAACGAACUCGCCGAAGUUUGCAAUGAAUUUGCGCCGUGUUUGUGCCGUGUUUAGAUUUUUUAAAUACCGUGGGCGCCGCGACUGGGGGGCAUCACGCCCCCAGUGCGCGGUUUAGCGCCGGUGCGCCCCCAGGGGGCGAUUUUUUGCCCCUCCUGGGGGGCCAACGGCUGGAGAUGCCCUAAGAAAGAGCACGGAGGCGGCGGCGGCAGCGGCGGCGGCUAGGAAGAGCGUGUGCGUGACCGACGCAGGAGGCAUCAUCGCCUCGUGGCUCAUCAAGCUCCUCCUCUCCAAGGGCCUCUAAAUGGUCCGCGACACCGUGCGAGAUCCCGGUAAGGACCCUCCUCACUUCGAUCCGUCCAUCCCAGCCCCCAAAGAUCCAACCUCAGCUCAUGCUCGCACUGCUCCCGCCCCACGAUGAUGUCUGCGUCGAACUGAAAGCCCACGGAGGACGGGGACGAGGUCGGGGUGGAGAUGUGGAUCGUUUUCUUUAAAUCCCCAACUAAAGAGUUUGAAGUUGUUUCUGCAGAGAACCUAGGUAAACAGUUGAUUCUGGUUGAUUUCUUUUGAGUUCAAUGUCAGGAUCUCUGGUGGAUGCACAAAAAUGUUGCUCUCCCAGCUCAGCAUGCAUUUUUAGUUUGCAUUUUGUAUAUCAAUCUCAAAAGGAUUUGCACUAUGAACAAAUUGUUUUCCUGUCUGAAACAUGCACAAAAUCGGAAUAGAGGAAGGAAAAUCAGUGGUUAGACUAUGUGGGUUGUGUCUAUUGGGAAAUGGAGGUCGCAAAUAAACUAAUGCACAUACUUAUGUAAGUAGAUGGAUAUUAAUGGGGGACCAACAACCUAAAAAGGGAGGGAAAAACCAUUAUACUAAAUCUAUAUCUAUUGUACUUGUUUUUCACGUACUUUUGAUCAGAUUGUUACAUUAGAUAUGCCUUGCAUCUUGAAUAUCAUCUCGCUUCCAUAAUUGAUAAAAGACAGUGCAGAUAAUGCCCUUGUUAUUACCUUUUCACUUUUACUUGAUACUUUCUUAAGUAUAAUUGCAACCCAGUUCUUCAAACAUAAAGUCUAAAUCAGGUGUCACGUUAUAGUUAUCUUUAUAUACUUCAAUUGCCGAUCUGUUUAUUGCAUUGCCUUCAAAAGACUCACUAGGGAUCGUGCGCUUUGUUUGAUUUUCACUGCAGAUGUCAAUGAAUGUGCGCAGAGUCCAGGCUCCUGCCAUGGCUCUGCAACUUGCCACAACACAGUUGGAGGGUUCCAUUGUUCAUGCCCUUUUGUCACCAGUUUUGCUAAGGAAACAAACUCAUGCGCCAAUCGGUUUAUAAGUCAGGUAAACCAUGAGAAGUUAGCACCUUGCUUUAUUAUUCUUACAAUCAACAAUGCCUGCUUUAGAUUCUGAAAAAUGAUCUUUGUUGUUUAGUCUGGUAAAUAUUUUGCGUUUUGGCGAGAGCAGCAGAGUUGUUUUUCUCUCCAUUAGCUGGCACUAAUGCCUAAGAGGCAUGUCACUGUUAUGCUCUAUCAUGGCCAAAAUUUGGUUUGUGCUUAAACAUUGUCUGAGGCCACAUUGUUGGUCCUAUGGUUUUAGAAAUGAAAAGUUGCAAGUGCAACUAUCACCGGCAAUCCACCAACAAUAAAAAAUUAGUUACGUACAAAAAGGAAAAAUAAUUAUACAUCUAACUAUUAUGUAUGGAUAUACUUUUUCAGGAGUUGAGCAGGGCACAAUCUGUGGCACGACCGCAUUCUCCUACUCAUUUGUCUCAAAGCAAAAGAAGCUCGCUGCCUUUGCCUGGAGAGAGCAGAAGUUUCUUUUAUCUAAUCCAAGAUGAUCUAUUCAUGAUUAAAACAGCGAGGAAAUCAGAAGUCGAGGUAAUUUUCUUAUUGAUGCCACUGUGAUGAGCUCUACUCUCUACUGUCGGCAUAAAGUAGGACAACAUUUUAUUUGGAGGUUAUAUCACUUGUGAAAUAAUUUGUAGUGUUGUUUGGAUUGCAUCCUGUAAAUGCCAUUAAAUAUUCUUUCCCAUCAUGUUGGCCUAUUUGAACUAAUGUUCUUGAGUCUCAUCAACUCUGAAUAUGGUGUAUGGUGUACUCACAUCCCUGCCAUUUGGGAACUAAAUGAAAUAGUUAUUAGUCUUGGACUCUUGGUAGUGCUUAGGGCCUGAAAUCAGAUAAAUUAUAUGGACCGAAGCGAACACAAUGUAUUUUAAUGCAAUUGUUCCUUUUACAGGCCAGUAAACAAAAUCAAGAUUAGAACGCAACGAAUGGAUCGGUUUAUGGUUACAAGUGACAAAAUUACCUACUAUAAUUCUUGCAAUCACGGUGUUGCUACUCAUUGUCAUAGGACGCAGUAGAAUCAAACACUCCUUCUGGUUUCCUCAUUUAAUUUAGAAAGUACUCCCUCUGUAAACUUGUACACCUAAAACAUCUUAUAAAAUUUUGCAGAGGGAGUAGUAUUUAUCUAAAGUUUAUUUUUCCAUUGAAAUGUGCAAUUUUACACAUUCCAGUGCAAGGGUUGGAUGUCCUUAUAAAGCUUUUUAAUGGGUUGAGGUAAGUGCGGGAUGGAUGAAAUUGCUCAGUACCAUCUAAUCUGGCAAUCUGGAUUAUGAUCGGUUCAACUAUUUUGUGGUUCCACUUCUACUAAUUGAAGCCAGUGAGUUGGUGUAUGCUUGAAGUGAGUCUGGUUCUUGCUUCAAUUCCCCCUGUUUCACCUCCAGAUCUACUCAUCGGGAGAUGGAUUCCUUGCAUUGAGAGGCUGGUAGGGGUGCUCGUUUAGCACAUGAUUUUUUUUCUUACUUUUGAUUCUUAUAAGCCUUUUGGACUUAGGUGAUCAUUGGUACACGAUGUAGGUCUGACGUUGUUGUUGAUAAUCAUCCAUACCUAUGCUGGACGUGGACGAAGUACACACAUGUACACGCAGCUUUUUUUUGAUCCGUUGCAUAUCAAAGUAUGAGUAGAUAUAUCACAGUCCUCUGUAAAUACCUACAGUUCUUUGCUUUGUGUGAAAUUGACCUUUGGUAAUUUGUGUUCACUUUUUACUUGUAUGUGUGCGAAUUUAUAACCUGGAUAUUUUUCCUACUAGGCUUCAUUCAGAAGAUGGACUGUCUUGCUCUACUUCGAAAUCGAAACAGGUGAGUCGUGUCCUUUUUAGGAUUGAACCAACUGAAGUGAAACCAAGAUACAGUUUCUGCAGCACUUAUGAGCAAAUUGUACAGGGGAAAGACAGGCGGCUGCUGCAGAACAAGGGAAGGAGUAGCAGCUAUCUGCUGUUUCAGUUGUUUAUGUGCGCUGAAGAUUGUUCGCACCCGUACCCUGAAGAAAGAAGGCAAAAUAAUCCAUAACUAUUUCUUGAUAAUAAAGUACAUAGACAUAGAUAUAUAGCUCAUUGGCUCCAUCACGUUAGUUUGCUAAAUAAGUUAUAUGGAUCCUUGCAGACACAAGAUAGAUUCUAGAUAUACCUGGGAUAUGUUCAUCCGGGUUCAGUUAAUAAGUGCAUUAGUCAACAUUGUGGUGCAAUGACAGAAUCUGUUGUCCACAACUUCACCUGUCAUAUCCUUAAGGGUCUUGAUUUCCUAUAGAGCCAAAAAAGUAUGCAUAGGUAAUGUUUCUUUUUCGUUGUUCGUUUUUUAUCUGAUAAUGAUUUUCCGUUCACUGCUUCCUUACUUUCUGAACCUAACCUUUUUGUUUUGUUUUUUGCGUUAUCUCUUUUUUUUCUUAUACAAAUUCUCAGAUUGCUUUGUUCUAUUUAGACAAUACAAAUGGUUAAGAACUCAUUAUCUCUUAUUUUUCUCUUAUACAAAUUGUAUGAUUUGUUUGUCCUAUUUAGACCAUUCAAAUGGUUAAGAACUCAUUAAGUACUUUCCUUUUGUAUGAUGUAGAUGCCAAUAAUUCGCUCUUCAGUUUUGUAGCGAAAAUAGUACCCGAAGUUUAUAGAUCUUUAUUCCUUCUUGUCGAUGAGACGAGGACUGAUUUCUACACAUAUAUUUACUGCAGAUCUGGAAAUAGGUUUAAAGGAAAGAUUUAGAAGGUGAAGGAGCUGAUAAAGAGCAUGCUAAAUUCUCACUGUCUUAAUCAUUUUUGGUGUACAAUGCAAUUCAUGUAUAGGUUUGGUGCUUUGUGCUGACAAGAAUUCUCUGAUUGGCAUCAUUUGCAGUAACUGUGGUGAUCCAGGACGCUUUCAAGAUUACAAGUUCAGUAGUGGCAACUUGAACUUAUGUAAGAAUAAACAGGGUGAUUUUUCAUUCUGAAGAGUUUCCUAACUGUUGACUUUAAGCCUUCAUAGUUACAUCGUGGGAUUAUGAAUAAGAUGGUGCUAAUUAUAUUUUGAGUGAAUUUCUGGUGUGUAUUAUUCAGACUAGCCCUUGAACUAAAUAAAGAGAAGUCAAAGAUAGCAUGCAGUUGCAGGAGUUGGAAUUUUGUUUCUGCUGCUCCUGUCUGUCUUUGAGAAGCACCGAUGCACCACCAAUAUAAUAAGUUGUUAAACGAUUCAAGAGGACUAUGAACCAGGGAUAAAUGCAAUAGCAAGGUUAGUAUGCAUAGGCAUGCAGAGGAGGCGCGCCCUGGGCGCGCUCCUGCCCCUAGUACAACACAAUAAGAGUGGCACAAAGGGCGAACACUGGCGAGAGCCACGUCCUCGUUUUUACUGUGUCGAGGUAAAAAAAAUAAAGCCAUUGGAAGUGGAAAAGCACAUCGAUCCCACAUCCCACCUCCCUUUCCUCCCCAAGCACACGACCUUUCCUCUGGUCGCUGUCACUCGCCUCUCUCUCCAGCGCGCUCUCUCUCUCUCUCAUCCUCUCUCCACCUCUCGGCCGCCAGCCGAUUCCGGCCGUUACCGGCUGUCUCCGGCCCCGCCUAACACUCCCUCGUGUUCUCCUCCACCGCUAAUGUAGUAGCGCACUAUGCUGUCUUGGACGCCGAUGCGGCCCCUCGACGGCAGUGAUCUUCCCACCGCCGGGCUCCACAGCCUGCUCACCCUGCCCUACCCCAGGCUCCACUAUAAGAAAUAUGUCAACUAGUGACCUUCUGUUAGUGACCCUGGAAGAAAUGGUCAUAGAUCUAUGACCAUUUCAGACCAAUUGGUCAAAAGAUGUUCAGGGGGCUCCAAACCCUAAACCAUUGUGACCAUUUUGGCCAGAAAGGUCGUAAUUUCCUUACAUGAAAUGGUCAUAAAGCAAACAUCGCUAGUCCGUUGCCUUAUUUCUAGUUGUUAACGACCAAUAUAGAUGGUCAUAGCCUUGUAAAUUGUGGUGGGUUGCUAUGACUAGGCGCCACCUCAUCAGUUUUGCCUAUGUGUCAUGUCCAUGUGGCAGUUUUUGCCCAAGGUUGUGAAACAACCUAUAUUUCUGUCAUUCCCAAAAUUCCCAAAAAAACUCAUAAAUUCUUUGGGUCAUAUCUUCGUCAAAUAUGUAAAAACCUUCCUUGCCUAGUUCAAAAAUAAUUCAAAAAUAUUCAUUUUCCUAUUCUAUUCAGAACAACAGUUUGUGAAGGAAGUACCACUUUGGCAUGUCCAAAUAGUAUCCAUUUUCUACAGUGCUUUCCUAUGCCCAAAUAACCAUCCUCCACCAAAUGCCAGCUCAAUCCAUUCAUUAUUUUGAGCCGAGCUUCAACAUUCGUAGUUAUGUCCAGUGUGGUAGUUUGCAAAGCAAGUACCACCUAGGCUCCUCCUUUUGAGCUGAAAAUUUGUGAAGACGGUCUUCGUAGUAACUGAUCAUCCUCAGCCAAAACUCACGCCCAUUAGCCAUGUACAUUUCCGUACCGCUAAUCAAACACUUGGCUGCUAAUUCAUGUUCGAGCAUCGAUCGGUCUCCGCGUGAGAAUCUUAUGUUGUAAUUUUCUUCCUAGCACCUACCUGGGGAGUGCCCAACCCACUAGACAUGCCUAGGCCGCCCAGAACACAAGGCAACACCAGGGUCACGCGGUGACCAUGCGGCAGGCAUGCGAGUUUACGCGCUCUAGAGUUAGGGCCCUCGGCCACCGCCCAAACCUCGACGUAUCGCCACCAAACCAUGUAUUUAUGAUUAAAUAGGUACUUAUGUACCUAGAAAUGAUUUUUGGUAAAAAAUAAAUAGCAAACUAUGAGACAGCUGCAGUUCAAAUUUGACCCGCUUCCAGCUGAAUCGGCGGGAAUUUGUCUUUUUCAUGAGAGGUGGAUCAAAACUUUUUACACCCAACUAUUUUGUCAAUUGUGCAUUAAAUAUGGACUAUUAUUUUAGAAAAAUGAUUUGGUCCAAUUUUGCAACAAUUAUUUGGGAGGUCCUUCACAAAAAAACCUCCUUUCGGGCACUCAGAAAAUGGAAAAUGAAUUUUCCUUGCAAAGAAAAUAAAAACUCCCUUAGGAAACAUUGUUUAGAAUUCCAAUAUGCACCCUUGUGCACAACAUGAGAUCAUUUGAACAAACUAUGCCAUGAAUGUGGCCAUAAGAUUGAUCAUUUGGCUUGAAAGCCAUGAAUCUUCACGCAUGAUAGCUCAUUUCUGAGAACACUUUUUAAAAAUAAUUGUAUUAUUACAAGUUUAUUAUUUUUCCUAGAAACUUGGUCACAUAUAAUGACACAAUGCGAAGGUUUUCCAAUUUUUUGAUUUUUUUUGAAUUUUUUAUGCCUGUUUCAAAAUGCGGUCAAAACGGCAGGCUUGACCGUUCCUAGCUAGUGGUUGAAUCUUGGAAAUUUUUUGACGUUUCUCUGAUUAAAUAGAUACUUAUGUACCUAUAAAUGAUUUUUAAAGAGCAAACUAUGAGACAGUUGUAGUUCAAAUUUGACCCGCUCCCUACUGAAUCGGCAGGAAUUUGUCUUUUUCACGAGAGGUGGAUCGAAACUUUUGACACCCAACCAUUUGGUCAACCGUGCAUUAAAUUUGUCCUAGUAUUUUAGAAAAUUGAUUUUGUCUAAUUUUGCAACAAAUAUAUGGUAGGUCCUUCACAAAAGAACUCAUUUCGGGCACUCGGAAAAUGGAAAAUUGAUUUUUUGUGCAAAGGAAAUAAAAACUCCCUUUGUCAAUAUUGUUUGCAAAUCCAAGAUGUAAACUUGUGCAAAAUAUGAUAUCAUUUGAACAAAUAUUUGAUAGGACUUUCACAAAAAAACUCAUUUUAAGCACUGAAAAAUGGAAUGAAAUUUUUAUCUUGAAUCAAUCACGACCAAUUUAUAUGGUCAUAAGGUCAUCAAAUGGUUUGCUACGUUCUGAUUGGUCCAUGAGCAUAUCACGCGGAUCAUGCAUCAACCGCCGUAGGAUGCUUCCGGAUCCAACGGCAGCCCUCACCCCCUUAGCCAACCGCAACCCAACUACCCAAACCCUGACCCACACCCGCACUCCUCCUCCCUCGGCUCCUUGCCGCCGCCACCUCCUCCCCCUUCCAGAUCAAGACAAAGCGAGAGCUCGCAUCCUCCCUUACAGAUCGCUACCGCCACCUCCCUCCGGUGGAGCUCGCCGCCGUCCAUGGCCUCCUCCAUGCCCUCCUUUUCUCACCCCUCCCCUUCCCUCACCAGGAGGGAGAGAAGAACCAGAGGGAGGGAGAUCCAACGUGAUCUAGCCUCGACCUCCACUGCCUCGGCCUCGCGCCUCGCCGGAGCAGCUCUACCGUCGGCCGAAGUUGCGCAGGUCGCCAUGUUCCCCCGCUCUUCUUCCUCCCUCUGUUUAUCUCUUCCUUUUUUCUAUCAAGUCUCAACCCCCCUCUGUACUUCUCUUUGCAAGGAGACCGCCAUGGACUUCCUCAUCGAGCCGUCGCCGGAGUUCCAAGUCCGCGCUGCUCGAAACCGUCUUCAACCUCCAUCGACCCUUGUUCCUCCAUGCCCCGCCAAGCGCGCACCAAGCCGUCGCCGCGUCGAGCUCCACCGCCCAAGUCCGUCGUCCCGCCGCCCGCCGAACCUCCCUAGCUGUCUUCCUCCACUGCAUCCCGUCGCUCCUCGAACGCACCAAGUCCCCCUGCAUCAAGCACCGCCCUCGCCCAGACGCAUCGAGCGUUGGUGCUCUUCUGCCUCAUCGGGUGGAUGACACCCAGCGCACUCACGUGCAUGGGGUCAAGGGCGUUGACCGCGCCCCUGCCUGGGCAGAUCGCCAGCGCCUCCCGGCUCGAUCCCCUGCUCUACCGCUCGCAUGGUACGCUCCCUCGCUCCCUCCAUCCCCUCUCCUCGAGUUGAUGAGAUCUGAGAGAAGCCGACGAGUGGCCGUUUGGUGCGGCACGGGACAGAGGCCAUGUGCUCUGCUCAAGGACUUGUUUUAAUCCUGAUAUAUCUGAUGAAAUAGUACUUCUCUACUUCACUGUUCAAUCAGAUAAUGCAGAAUCCCAGUUCCAGAAUGUUUUUCAAACUAUAUUUGCUAGAAAAACGAUCUUAUAUUAUUUACAUGGGUCAAUCUCGACCAUCAUGAUUCCUAAGCUAAUAAGGUUGGUUGUGUGCUCUCCUUGCAGCAGCCUGAGCUCCGGCAAGGUUGAUCUGGACGGCUCGGCAGCGUCACCGGCGGUGAGAACCCCCCCUCCCUUUGCGGCUAUGGACGAACUGGUUUGCGUGUUGCCUCCUGCCUUUUGUGCUCGCGUUGCGGUGGUUAGGUUAAUAAAAAUUGAACUAAUUAACUACUGUAAGCAAUUCUGCAAUUGUUUGUGGAUCUGGUAGCAAGCUGUAUGAACCAUAGUUUAGCUGCUUUAGAUAACUACUACUUAGGUUAAUAACAAUUAGUAGGACUUCAUCACAGUUCUUCUGUAGUUCCCUUUAGCUGCUUUAGAUAACCAUAGGUCUUAUGUAGUUGUAGCUGGACUGUUAAUUUGGUACUCCAUCACAUCGGUGUGGGUUUUGGCAGUAUGAGUGUACUGCCACAAUGUCACCAGCUGGUGCAAUUGCAACCAGUAGAAAUGAGAAUAUAGUAUUGGCAAUUUGGCAUAAUAUACACCUGAGUCGGAUAAGACUUAGGACAAUGUCCUUUGAGGCUGCAGAAGAUUAGUUGCUAGUUGCUACCAUGUGCGUAGGAUAAGAUCAGAUGUUGCUGCAGGAUAGUUAUCCUCUUCGUAUGGCAAUAUGCUUAUUUUCCUUGGUUCCAACUACGCAGCGAAUUCUCUUUCAAAAAAAAAUGUGGCGCAUGCAUGAGGAUCAAUCCUGUUGACUGCGUGACAAUCAUGUUUCUCAUCGUUGUAAUUUUUAGUUUUGAAAAAAAUACAUGUUUUCUUGAUCUUCUGUUAAGUCUGUUUAUUUAUAAAUCCAACUUCUAUGUUUUUUUAGAGGAAAACCUGAAGAAUGACCCCCAAUGUUUCCGUGCAGGUAGUAACUCUAAUAGGCCACUACACUUUCCAAAUUCCAAUGCUCGCGUGUUGGUCGUUCCCAAGUUUUCACUACCCUGAGUAUGUACUCUACCGUACAUUUCCAAAAAUUCUUCCUCUCAUUCACCUGAUGCAUACUUGUUCAAUGUGUUUUCGUGAAGUUAUUAGACAUACAAUACUUUUGAAAUACCCAUACUGUAACUGACCAAAGAACUAGAAGCAAAAGACAUACAGUACAUCACCUUUCAAAUGCUCAAUACUGUAGCUGACACACUAGAGAACUAGAAGAAUAACCUGCAUUAGAAACACUCGCUGGGUGCUUCCCUUGCCCCUGGCAAUGUCAAUGAAUCAUAGUGGUAAUGUAGGCACCGAAGAAAUUGUGGCAUGUUGUUUAAUUUGUUUAUCCAUUUGUUGCAAUAUGUGCACUGUUGUGGUGAAACUCUAGUGUUUCUGCAACCUACAAGUGCGUAUGGGCACUGAUUUCUAGAAGUAUUUGAGUUGACAUCUUUGUUGGUUUAGAUAGUACAUAAAUUUUGAAGGGCGGUUGAUUUGCUUCUGGUUUUUGAAACAGAGCUGACUAUAGUUAUGCAUGAACGAGAAUAUGCUUGUAACUAGUGAUAAAUAGACCAGCUUUGCAGUUUGCCACAUUGGUGAUGUAAAUGCUCCUAAAUGAUGAUAUCUUAGCAAGUGCUUUCUGCGAUGUUUAACCUUGUUACUAUCGUCCAUAAGUAUUGCCGUUGAUUUUGAUAUAUGAGCACUAGUGUUUCCUGCUUACAGCAAGCUAUGUAUUGUACAUGUGUCCAUUUUACCUGUGUAAAUAGUUUGUUUCAUACCUAGUAACAUGUUUCCUCAUAAUGAAUUAUUCGUGCCAUGUGAAUCAUUGCUGCUAUCCUGCUACUAAUGGAUACAGGGACGAAAUGCACAGUUUCCUGUCAAGUAGUGUUUGUUUGGUGACAGGAUGCUAUUUUUUCCUUCCAAGUAUAAUGCUCCUUUCAUGUAGUGAUGAUACUACAUCUAUUUCAUUUCAUGUUUAUGCCUCUUCCAGAAAAUGUGUUGCACCUACAAUAAUCAAUCUAACUUAUCCAUUUUAUUGUAUAGGCCUUCGAGUACAAGAGGCUGCUACUUGAUUAUAACAGCGAACACGACCAACAAGCUCCGCCAGCGCGAGGCAAGCGACGACAUGCUCGGUUACCCCCACCUGUGAGUCGCGCUCCCCCUGCCCAGCCGCCCCUCCGUGAGUCGCUCUAGAUUCGGGAUCACUGCUAGAUCCUCGGCACUAGAAACGAUCAGAUAUUCAGAUGAUAUGUUAGUUUCUGUGGUUUCUGAUAGGCCCGCUGCAUCUAUUGGCGUUAACCAUUUCCUAUGUGGUUCUGUGUGGAACCCUUCCUAAUUUGUUUGCAGCCCUUCCUAAUUUUUUGUUUUUGUUCUAUUUGGAAAUGGAUGCAGCAGGUGCUCUGCUCUUGCACACGUCUGGCACCAUCUCCAGCGCGGUGGUGCUUCUUGAGGCGACCGACGUGAUGGUGGCUGUGUACGGCGGCGACCACAAGCUCUUCGGUGAGUCGGCUCCAUCUUCUAGCCCUAGCUCCCUAUUUUCUGCUCCUAUAGCAUGCUUUGUUGGUUUAGAACACUAGCAGCAGUAGCCUACCGUGUAUACACACUAAACAGCAGGAGCUCAAUCACCUUGUGUACACUAGCAGCUUGCUUACACACUUGUCACUUUUGCUUGUGGUAGCCAUUACGUAGCUGAAUCAUGUCUGUGUCUACUAAUCAUCAGUUCAUAGUAUUUGGCUUCUGUGUGAUUGUCUGCGACUAUUUUAUGGUGAUGUGGAUAUACUUUCUGAUUUAAAGUUACUAAUAUUUUUUGUUUUGAUUCUUUCUCUGGUGCGAGGAAAGCUGUGAGUAGAGGUCAACGAUGCCUACUUGCUUGGCUGCUACAGUGAUGCAUGCGCCGGUCAAGCAAGCACACAUGCAUAUACGUACAUGUUAGGAUAGUAGCAGAUGUGCCAUAAUUCCUGUGUAAGGAAAUGUAUUCCUGAGAUGAUUUUGUUAUGUUAUCUAAACCUGGGAGAUGCGUUAUGUGGUGUGAUAUGAUGGAUGAUCUGAAUUCGACAUUGAGUUUUCCUGAUUUGAAUAUGAAACAAUGUCGGAUGCGUGUGUGUAACUGGAUUAAAGAGGUCUUGUGCCCAAACAAUUUUGUGUAAACAUUUAUUUCGAAAUUCGAGAUCUAAUACUGGACAACUAAUUGGGCUGAAAAAGGCUACAACCCAACAAGCAUUGGUCUGUUUAAAAAGUGAAACAAAAAAAGCCUUAGAAAAUAAAAAAAAUAUAUUGCAAAAAAGGCCGAGGCCCCCUAAUAUGGAAGUAUGGCCCGUGCAGAAAUUGACAGAAAAAAUACACUAAAUUGGUUGAAUUAAUGGGCUCGGCCCAUAUAAACACCCAAUUGGACCGAGCCGAUUCUAAUUUUUGACCUUUUCAAUUGGUCGCAAUUUUGCCACGUCAGAUUGCCACGUCAGAUUCGACGUGGCCUGGGCAGACAGCCAAUGACCAAAACAAAAGGUCAUGGGUUCAACGACCUUCUGUUUUGGUCGUAAACGUCCACGACCUUCUCUAAUUUUAGUUUACGACCGUCAGCUUUUGACCAUCUGUUUUUGGUCAGAAAAAGGUCGCAAAUGAAAAUCAAUGACCUUUCAGUGACCACUAGUCAAGGUCACAAGUUGACAUAUUUCUUGUAGUGCUCUCUGACCGGCUCCUCCGUGCCGCCCCCGCCUAAAAGACAAGUCUUUGAUUGUGUUUUGGUUUGAUGUGUGGAGCGCGCGCGAGGUGCUCGAUUGAUUGAUUGUGUGCUGCAAGACUCAUGGAUCAUGAUGGUGAGUCAGGUGACGGGGUUGUCGCUUUGCACGGGUUCGCUCGGGACGGUGCUCCUGUUGUUCUUGUUUUCGCUCCCGUUGAUCUUUCCCAUGGAGGUUGUUCGUAUGACUGGAGAUUGCUUCUCUUUGUGUUUUUUAGGGUAAGCUUCUCUUUGUGUUUUGAUUCCUGGUGCUGCUGCCUGUGUAUUUUCUGAUGUGUGUUUUGUGUUGCCCAGGUUCAUGUGAGGUGAGCUAGCUGUUUGUUCUCAUUACCAGAUCGGCAGCGGGUGUUCCUUUUAGUUUCAUCCAAGUUGAGCUUCGCCUGCCAUUGAGGUGUGGUUCAUCCUCUCCAUGUAUGCAUGUGCUGCUCCAGUGGUGUUUUAUUAGUUAUUUUUUGUGGUGGGCUCAUGCUCGUCACCUAUUCCUUCUUAUGUUGCACCGGUCGUGUGGCUUUGUUUGUGAUGUAGAGCAGCGGUGUAGGUUUGAUUCUGGUGUGGCGUGUUGAUGGCUUAGUGCUCUAAAUUUUUGCUUUUUUCUCAGGAUUCCUGUGAUUCGCGGCGGCGUUCAUGUUCAGAUUGUGGAAAAAGGGCAUGGUUAUGUCCUGGGAGCUCAUCUCGGUGGCCAAGCGGCGGCCUUCUAUGUUGGCUGUCAUUUCAAUGACAAUGAUCGUUUGCUUGUCUGCUAUGGCGUCCAACACGAUUUGGAGGUUAGAAGGUUGUAGAUCAUAGCACCCAGGAGACAACUGUUAUUCAUCACACAUUUAGUGGUCGUCUGCAAUCUCAGGGCCCCUUUGUUUUCACAUUUGAUUUAAUGUUUCAAUCUAUAAUCAACGAGUCUACCUUUCUGAUUGCUCUAUUUUUAAUUGGUAAGGGAGCACCCUGUGUACACAUGUAUAGGCUGUAGUCCAGAGCCGUGUAAGGCUCAGGCCCAUGCAACCCUCUACUUCUAGCUUCUUCCUCUCCAUACAGAAACUCUGCUUUUUGUCUAUCUUUCACAAUAUUGAACAUGGUAUUAGAGCCAGCGAACCCUAGCUUCCGUCCGCCGCCGCCACACACGGAGCCGUCGUCAGCGAGGUGAUUCCAGCGAGAUCCUUCAUCCAGCAACGUCCUCAACUUUGGUUCCCCCUGUAUUCGUCGUCAUCUCGUGGGAACUGCUCUCCCGUAGCUCCCCGUGCGUCUUCCCCGCUAACCUGUGGUUGGCUUCUUGCACCAUCGCCGGCCUUCCAGCAAGCCGGUGCGACAUCUCCGCCAAGUCGUUGCCUUCGCAUCGGAGGUUUGCUGCUCUAUCAAGCAGCUGCUCCUCUAUCAAGCAGCAGCUGCUCUGUACGUAUUGGGAACCUGCUCCCUAUCAGCUGGUUUGCUUAAUUCUGCUGUGCUCCAGUAACUGAAGAGGUUUCAAUUGCUUGAUUUGCUCUCCAGUUAGCUGUUGCCUUGUGGUGCUUUGCUAAUUUGGCCUCUAAACUUGCUCCUACUCUGUUCAAUCAUUGGUGUGGCUGCUGGGAUUAGUUUUUCCCCCUUUUGCUAGAGGUCCUUGCUGCCAUGGCGAAGAAUGAUUUUGGAUUAGGAGCUGGUUCAAUGUCCAUAGACAUCAAACUUGAUGGUACAAAUUAUAGGGAAUGGGCUUUCUUGGCUAAAACAAUCUUAAGGGCAGCAGGUUUUGUCUCACACUUGUCUGAUGAUCCACCUAGUCCUAUUGAUGAUGCAGCUGGGAAAUCUUGGCAAAAGAUUGAUGAUCGUGUCAUGGGCGCUUUAGUUCUGGGUGUUCAUCCCUCACUCAGAAUGAGUCUUGAGCAUCACACUUCAGCCAAAGAAAUGUGGAAGUAUUUUGAGCAGCGAUACAUUCAGCCUAGCGGUGCUCUCCAUUUUUCACUAUUGCAGAAUUUACACAACACUCAGCAGCAGCAAGACAUGUCCAUCGAAGAAUAUUAUGGGGCUUUUACUCGCAUUACUGGUCAGCUAUGUUCCAUGGUUCCGAAGAGUAGUGUUGGAUGUAAGUCGUGUGUGGCCAAGGAAGAAUAUGAGCAUCGGACUCUUGUCUUUCAGUUUGUGAUGGGUCUGAAACAAGACUUUGAGAACAUUCACACUCAGUUGCUUAGUCGUACGACUCCUCCUACCUUGACAGAGGCACUUGCUAGCUUGAUUGCUGAGGAGACUCGAUCGUCUUCGUUCCCUUGCUACCACUUCAACACCUUCUCUACACAGUGUUCUGGCUUUUCCUCAGCGGCCAAGUGCUUCUAGGGCUGCACCUUCAGGUGCUUUCUGCUCGCACUGCAAGAGGACAGGACACUGACCUGAUAAUUGCUUCCAGCUUCAUCCAGAGCUAUUAGACGAGUAUCGUGCAAGAAGAGACCUGCAGCAUUGUGCAGCCACCAAAUCUCAGUCUCGGUCUUUGAGGCCGUCUACAGCGACUGUCACCGAGCCGCGUGCAAUGAGUGCUUCUGUGUCUGCUCUCACUCAGUCUGCAUCUACUUCUUCACAUCCUUGGGUCUUGGACUCUAGAGCAUCUUUUCAUGUGACCUCUGAUCGCUCACAGCUUGUGUCUUGCCAGCCUGCGCAAGAUGGUGCCUCUGUUCAGACUGCCGAUGGUACACCUUGUUCUGUCACUCAUCGGGGUUCACUUUCCACAUCAAAAUUUUCUGUUUCUUCCAUAUCUUUUGUUCCUCAAUUGUCCAUGAAUCUUAUGUCAGUUGGUCAAAUUACCGACAUGAACUGUUUUGUUGGUUUUGAUCCCUCUUUUUGUUAUGUGCAGGAUCGUCAGAGCAAGAGGAUCAUUGGAACUGGCCAUCGCCAUAGAGGAUCCUCGUCCCUCUACGUUCUUGACUACUUACACCUUCCUUCAGCUUCCACCGCUUCCGUGAUUCCGUCUGCUGCAUCAACAAGGAGAUCCACUUUGUCGUUUUCUUUUGCCCAGUGGCACCAUUGCUUAGGUCACCUAUGUGGUUCUCGUUUAUCCACUCUUGUUCAACAGGGUGUUUUGGGUCGUGUACAUAUAGGUGCUGGUUUCCACUGUAAGGGUUGUAAGCUAGGGAAACAAAUACAACUUCCAUACUCUUCCAGCACUACUCAUUCUAGUCAUCCUUUCGAUUUAGUGCACUCUGAUGUAUGGGGUCCCUCUCCCUUUGUUUCCAAAGGUGGUCACAAACAUUAUGUUAUAUUUGUUGAUGAUCACUCCCGAUAUACUUGGGUAUAUUUUAUGAAGCAUCGUUCUCAAUUGAUUUCUAUAUACCAGGCUUUUGUGCGUAUGAUCCGUACUCAAUUCUCUAGUGCUAUUCGUGUUUUUCGUUCUGACUCUGGAGGGGAGUAUCUAUCUACUGCUUUUCAUGAGUUUCUCUCUUCUGAGGGUACUCUCCCUCAGCUCUCAUGUCCUAGUGCUCAUGCUCAGAAUGGUGUUGCUGAGCGUAAGCAUCGCCAUAUUAUUGAGACAGCUCGCACCCUUUUGAUUUCUUCAUUUGUCCCUAUUCAUUUCUGGGGUGAAGCUAUAUCAACUGUUGUCUACCUUAUAAAUGUGCAACCUUCUUCUCGUCUUCAGGGAAAGUGUCCUGGUGAGGUUUUGUUCGGUUCUCCUCCCAUGUAUGACCAUCUUCGUGUUUUCGGCUGUACUUGCUAUGUUCUUCUAGCGCCUCGUGAGCAUACCAAGCUAACUGCACAAUCUGUUAUGUGUGUUUUCCUUGGAUACAAUCUUGAGCAUAAGGGUUACCGUUGUUACGAUCCUUCUGCUCGCCGCAUUCGCUUUUCUCGUGAUGUCACUUUUGUUGAGGAUCAACCCUUCUUCUAUUCCGAUUCAACUAGAUCAUCAUCCUCGACCACUUUAGAGUCUACCUCCUUUCUUUCUCUUCCACCAAUCUUCUCAGAUGAAUUUGUCUCUGGUCAGCCAUCAUCUGUCUUGACAUCAGAUCCACCUUCAUCACAUGUGUCAUCUCCCCUUUUGCCAAUUCCAACUCCAAAAUUUCUUCCAUCAGCUCCACCUCUAGAUAGCCUUCCUUUCCAUUACAGCCGCUGCCCUCGAGUUCCAUCUGAUAUACAGUCAUCUGUUCCCUUGUCUUCUUCUCCUCCGGCCAGUACUAUUGAUCAUUGCACUGGCGAUUCCUCCCAGACAACAAGGUAUGCUCUUCGUGAUCGUUCCUCUCUUGAGAUUCCUGACAGAUACAAAGAGGACUUCUUGUAGGGGAAGUGUAUGAGCCUAGCACUUACCAUGAGGCAGUUGUGUCACCUAAGUGGCAAGUGGCGAUGUCUGAUGAGCUUGAAGCCCUAGAGUGUACUGGUACAUGGGAUCUGGUACCAUUACCUCCUGGGUCUACCCCUAUCACUUGCAAAUGGGUGUACAAGGUGAAAACCAAGUCAGAUGGUUCUGUUGAACGCUAUAAGGCCCGACUAGUUGCAAGAGGUUUUCAGCAGUCCCAUGGGAGAGAUUAUGAUGAGACUUUUGCUCUAGUUGCUCAUAUGACUUCCGUUCGCACUUUGAUUGUUGUGGCUGCGAAUAGGUCAUGGAAGAUUUCUCAAAUGGAUGUGAAGAAUGCCUUUCUUCAUGGCGAUCUGCAUGGGGAAGUUUAUAUGCAGCCACCUCUGGGUAUUGAGGUUCCACCAGGUCAUGUUUGUCGCCUUCGAAAGGCUCUUUAUGGGAUCAAGCAAGCCCCUUGUGCCUGGUUUGAGCGGUUCAGUUCAGUGGUUCAAGCCGCUGGUUUUUCUCCUAGUGAGCAUGACCCUGCACUCUUCAUUCAUACAUCUAAGCAUGGUCGUACAUUACUUCUGCUUUAUGUAGAUGACAUGUUGAUCACUGGAGAUGAUGUUGGGUAUAUUGCUUUUGUUAAAAAGAAGUUGAGUGAGCAAUUCAAGAUGUCAGAUUUGGGGCCUCUCAGUUAUUUUCUAGGAAUUGAGAUCGAGCACACAGAUGAUGGUUACUAUAUCUCCCAACAAAAGUAUACUCAAGAUUUGAUUUCUCGCUCGGGUAUUACCGACUCACGCACUGCUGUGAGACCCAUGGAGAUUCAUCUACAGUUGCGUCCUACUGAUGGCACUCCUCUUGAGGAUCCCUCUCGGUACCAUCACAUUGUAGGCAGUCUGGUGUAUCUUACAGUGACAAGGCCUGACAUUGCUCAUGCAAUCCAUAUUCUCAGUAAAUUUGUCAGUGUUCCUAACUCAGUUCAUUAUGGACAUCUACUUCGAGUGCUUUGAUAUUUAAGGGGGACUGCAUCCCGCCGCUUGUUCUAUGCUCAUUCGAGUCAGCUGCAGCUUCAUGCUUAUUCCGACUCCACUUGGGCAAGUGACCUAGUCGAUCGUCGCUCUGUCACUGGCUAUUGCAUAUUUCUUGGGACGUCUCUUAUUGCAUGGAAAUCCAAGAAGCAAACUGCAGUGUCACGCUCUAGCGCUGAGGCAGAGCUUCGGGCACUUUCUACUACGACAUCUGAGAUUGUGUGGCUUCAUUGGCUAUUGGCUGAUCUUGGUGUUCCAUGCCCUACACCCACAACUCUUCUUUGCGACAAUACUGCUGCCAUUCAGAUUUCUAAUGAUCCAGUGAGGCAUUAGCUGACCAAACACAUUGGUGUGGAUGCCUCCUUCACUCGAUCACAUUGCCAACAAUCAACUAUUAAUCUCCAGUAUGUCCCAUCAGAGCUUCAAGUUGCAGAUUUCUUCACAAAGGCUCAAACUAGAGAUCAGCAUAGGUUUCACAUUUGCAAACUCGGUGUAUCAGAUGCUACUGACCCACCUUGAGUUUGAGGGGGGGGGUGUUAAGGGAGCACCCUGUGUACACAUGUAUAGGCUGUAGUCCAGAGCCGUGUAAGGCCCAGGCCCAUGUAACCCUCUACUUCUAGCUUCUUCCUCUCCAUACAGAAACUCUGCUUUUUGUCUAUCUUUCACAAUAUUGAACAUUAAUCAGCUCUAAAUUCUUAAGGGAUCUGUCUUUCACUAUGCAUAUGUUACAAUUCAUCAUAUGCCUAACUUUUGAAUGGCAUGUGCAGGUUCACCUUACUGCAUGUAGAAUGGUCUCAAAUUGCUAUGAGAAUAUGACGGAUGGACUUGAUUGUUGAAAUUCAGUUCACUGCUGUAGAGUGGCUUGAUGGGGACAAUAAGCCCAAAUGUGAUGGGUAAGUCCUAUUUACCGCAUCUAUACACUUCUAUUACUUAGAAAGAAAUGUUCCAGGUUCAUAUUUUGAUCUAAGAUUUAGAUAUUAUCUUUCUUUGCCAUACAUGUUAUGCUUAAGUUCUUAGAAACAAAUUAAAAAAAAUCUUUUCAUAAAGUCAUAAAGGAACAUAAAAACUGAAAUACUUAUAAGUAGCAACAGAAUGACAACUAAAUCUGUACGUACAAUUUUGGUAAUCUCUUCUAUAAACAAUCUGGAUGAUUGUUUCAGUAGGUUAAAACUCUCUCUGUUCUUAUUGCUGCUGUAUACAAGCUGUGACAUUGCUCUGUUUUCUUUCUUGGUUGGAUUUCUACAACCAGGACACACAUCCUGGUACGUCCCAAAGUGUUUUUUCCUGAUAUAGUGAUGCCGAAAGAAUAAAAAAAUUCAGAGUUAAGGCACAUAAUCUCCAUGUCCGACACGGGGCUGCCUCCUUUGAAAUCUCGAUGCAUGGCUGUGCUAUAAGUGUUGGCUUUGUCUGAUUGCGCGCAAGAUAAGAGCCUCUUCACCACCUUCAAUAUAUUAGUGCUGGCUUUGUCUGUCACUCAAAAACUAUUUCAUUGGCAUGUCUAUUAGUUUGGGUUCGUCCCUGUUUUAGGUGUUUGGUUUGAGGAUUAGUUGAUCGAUUAGUCAAAUGUAUUUCUAUAUUAGUUUGGGUUGGUCCCUGCUUUAGUUCUUUGGCUUGAGGAUUAAUUACAUGGAUGCUUAUUUCCAGGGAUUAUGCCUGUCAUAGUUGCCGUUCUUAGAUGUUUGGUUGAUGUCUGUCAGGCAGAGGGGGUGAGAUGGGUUGUGCAUGACCUUGUGUUUUUGAAAAUUGUUUACCUAAGUUGAUUAGAUGGUGUGUUGUUGGUCUACCAGAUUCGAUAGCCUACCUUGAUGCCGGACCAAAUAAAAAGAGGUCUCAACUCAGUUUCUUUAGAUGCAGGUUCAUCUCGAGUUGACCUAUUAUCUCUACAAUAGAAGCUAGAGAAAUUAAUCCAUUAGCAUUUUCAUGCAUAUGAUUUAAUCUAAAUUUUAGUUGUCCUAAUUUAAUAACAAUACUAUUUAUAUUGCUUAUAUAUAUAAUACAUCUUUCAGCAAUCAACAGUUCACCAACCUAUUUAUUGUAUGCAUUAAUUGGAUUAAUAAACGACAAAUGCGGGAUUUUAUUGAAGUCAAGUUACUAAAUAUUCAUGAUGGUAUCUUUUCCCUGAACUUAUCCAGAAUGAACUGAGAGUCGAAUACUUAAGUGGUUCAGGAAAGCUUCAAAUACAAUAGAAGAGGGUACACAGUAAGUACUUUGUGCAGAGGCUAGCCAUCCUUGAUCCCAUCACCAUAACAUAUUUUGUGUAGGAUGGGAUGGAUGGGAGGUGCGACACAAUUUUGUAAGUACAGACAGAAAAAUGCAGUAUGUUUGAUAAUCUUAUCACUGUACGCUCUCUUUUCCUGUUUGCGGGUGGAUUCUAAAUAUAUUCUAGACAGAGGAAUUAUUCAGGAACUAAAGGUAAGAUGUCUCAUAAAGCACAACUGCACUUUUGCUGCUAUCUUCUGCAGUAUUUUCUUUUUUGUUCUUCUGCAAUAUAUUUUGUUACAAAGAUUUACAAAAUAAUAUUGGUAAAUAUAACUUCCAUUUGUUUUCCGUGAACCUUGCAGUUGGCUUGCCUCUGCACUAGGGGAAUGCUUGCAUUAGACCAUCAAAGUUAAUUUCUAUUACAUCAGUAUCCACAUGUUAAAUGCGUUUAUAGUGAUUGAACAACUCAUUAAUAGAUGAAGCCAUCGAACAGAAGGCGUUUUUUUACUCUCAGUUAUAAUGAUGGAAUCUUACCAUGUGUGGAAUUAACUUUGUAUUAUUUCUCUUUACUAACCUUUUAAAGGAAUAAUGAGAGUAUCAAUUUAAUUGUGCAGUUUGUUGAUUAGACAAAUUAUUGUUUUGUUCUAACCUUGUCAUGGUGUGCUAAAUUGUUUCUUUCUGUCUGAACAUGCCUGUUCUAAGUGCCUAUGUUUUUACUUAUUUUGUACCUAUACAUAAAAAUUCUAAUUUUCUUACUCCUGCGGUUAUGCAUGACCUGCAGCUUAAUCACACGGAUCUUAAGCCAGAGAACAUUCUCCUUGUUUCAUUUAACCUCAAUACAAUCAGGGUUCACGAUUAGAAGGUACUAAACAUCUCUCCUUGUUUCAUUUCACCUGAUACAAUCAGGGUUCAAGAUUAUAAGGUACUAAACUUCUAAAUCAGAGCCUGGCCUAACUUUGAGAUUUCCCAAAAUGUAUACUUUUGUAUUUCGGUCAUUCUUUGGAGAUGAUCCUUUGGUUACUUAAUGCUCUUUAUGGUAUGAGUAAAUUUCUUUUUCUUUAUUUCUAAACUCAAUUUUCUUUUCUCCAUGAAGAUUCCUAUUUGCUCACCCAAGGAUGGUUCUGUUUUCAAGACCUUACAAAAUCUGCUCUUUUAGACAUGGAUAUAGAUGGUGAUAUAUGCAUACCCAAUCUUUACUCCUUUAGACAUGUAUGGAUGCAAAGACAACACCCAAUCUGCUCCUUUAGACAUGUAUGCAUGCAGAGACAACACCCAAUCUUUACUUCUAUUUUAACUCAUACUGAUACAGAUUUCAAUAGUAUAAACAUGAAAGUACUUCUGAAAUGCCUAAAUAUUGAUAUCUGCAUGCUUGUAAAUUUACUUCGUGAAUCAUUUUUAUGCUGCUACUUUUCUAAUUAUUGUAUCUCUUUCGUCCAAAGCGUGAGUGCAUUGCAUUUGUACUGCUCUAUCUUAUUGUUAUAUUUGCAUCUGCCAUUGCUUCCAUAAUCUAUAUUUUGGCUCUGAUCUGAAGCAUAGCAUUGCUCCGAGCGGAACUAGGGAUCAAACAAGGCAGCCCAAUGUGCUGAGAAAAGAUAGGAGCGCACAUGAACGCCUCAACAGGUGCGCCUCCAGUCUUACGAACUACCUCCAUGGGAAAGAUAAACCGGAGCGAAAACAAGAACAACAGGAGCACCACCCCCGAGCGAACCCAUGCAAAGCGACAACCGUGUCACCUGGCCCACCAUCGUGAUCCAUGACUCUUGCAUGACACAAUCAAUCAGUCGAGCACCUCGCGCGCGCUCCACGACAUCAAACCAAAACACAAUCAAAGACUUGUUUUUUAGACGGGGUGGCAUGGAGGAGCCGGUCGGAGAGCCUGGGGCAGGGGAGGGCGAGCAGGCCGUAGAGCCCGGCGGGCGGAAGGUUGUUAUUUCUUGAUGCAUCUUCAUUUGGAUUUAAGUGCGCUACUGCUGGUCCUCUCUUGCGAUUGCGUGCAGCUUGCUUCUGACAGAGCCAAGUCAUGCCCUGAUGAGGUUCCUUUCUUCAGCCAAACUGAAUUUUAAGCGUGCCUUUUGCAUUUUGCUCGUUCAGGUGCCAGAUUUCCCAGCUCAGUUAUGCGGCGAACACUCAUGUGCUUGGCGCUGAGGUAUGUGUGUGUCUCUCGACUCUCGUUUCAGUGCUAAAAUAUAUCAACAUCUAUCCAAUAUCUCUUGUUUGCUGUCUAUCAGAGUUACCAAACUUCCUGAAGAUGUGAAGAAAGAACCCGAAGACCCGAAUAGCAGGUACUAACCGGCUAUAUGUAUUAUGACUGCUACACUUCAGACAUCAGAGAUCCUAAGUUUUAAUUGAUAUACAACGUGUGCUUCCGUUCAUGUCCAAUUUGAUAGUUGGAAACAGUUUUAAGGGAGGACUUCAAAGAAUAUUUUGCCAAAUUUGUUAAGUGCGGGUAAUUUGAUUUUUGGCGGUCCAUCUUUUUUCUUUAUAAUUUGUUCUCAUACCAUGACUAGCAAUCUUUUUUUACAUACUAUUACUAUGCGAGUGUAUGACCUGUCAGAUAACCUAUAUUUGCUGUGAGAUUAUUGCAGAUUUAACUCUUAAGCUUACUAAAAUAAUAGGCAAAGAAAUCAGAAGUUUUAACUCAAUUUUCAUAACAUUUUAUUCACAUAUACCUUCACAAUUAAGUUGUGUAGUAAAGAAAAUUUUAACUCCCAAGCUUGCUGGGAAAAGCAUAGAAAUCAGAAGUCUCAGGAGGCACACACACUGAGGCGUGCGCACCGCACAAGUAUUUAAAGUUGGUAGCAUGUUUCAUAUUUUGUGUGCUGAAAUUUAUGUUUCAAAACAUUGUUGCAAAGUAUGAAAUGGGCAGUGAAAUCUCAACCAUGGGCCAUGACAUUGUUCUUCUAAAAAUGCUAACACAGAAAUGACCUACUGAUGAAGAAUUCAAUGAUGGAUUUACGCUUCGCAAGUAUGUAGAGGUGUCUCUUUCACCGAUUGAGGACAUUCUUCACCUCAACCUUACCUUAGAAAUAUGAGAUCAACCGGUCGAUCAUAUCCCUAACUUGCAAGAAUACAAGAAUUUUAUGCCGAAGGAUAUAUGUGCUCUCCAACUCUUUAAAUUUGGCAUUUUAUGCUCUGCAGAAUCACCAAAAGAAAUACGCAUGCAUGAAACUUCUAUGCUUGCUCUGCUUUAUCAACACUCUUGUUGCUGCAGUUCUAUUGCCAUGUCUUGUAUUUUUAACAACCAACAUGCAACUAUCGCUCUUUUGGACUGCAUGUCUUCUCGCUGAAGUAAGAAUCAUGUCAUACAUAGACGUUAACUAAUGCGCUAGCUUGAUUAGUGUGUAUAAUCCCGCCUCAAGAGGCGCCACUAGGUGGCGCCCCAACCACUAGUCCCUAUCUAGGAUAGGUAGGUUCUACCUACUUGUACGGUUCAGAUGGAUUAUAUGAGGGUUUUAUUGUUCAAUCGUAAAUUUAUGUUUGGCACAACAACAUCUUUGGGUCCCGAUCCCGUACCCGAUCGUAGAGUGCCUAAAGUCGCUUCCACCAACCAAAUCUAAACUAGUAUGGCCUCCUUUUCCUUUUCCUUGUGCUUAUUGUAGUGUUGCUUUUGCCAAAAUCUAAGCUAUAAGUGUUAGGGAAACUCCAACGCAAACCUCCAAACUAUUCCCGGUUGUCCGUUCGGGCCAAAACGGAUGGAUGGAUCGGCCCAACGCGCGGCUGCAUCCGCAUUUUUUCCCGUUUGGUAUACGGCCCGUCCCAUUUCCGACACAAACAUGAGCCCGGUUUGCAUCCACAUGGACGUGGAAUGGACGGGCACGCGCUUGCUCGUCGCUUGUCUCAGGGACGCGUGGCGACCGUCCACCUACGUCCACUGCCCAAAGUAAAUGCGCUCACACGGCGGGCCCCGGUUGUUAGUCACACAACGCUUGGUCGUCGUCCUUCUUAAAUUGGAAGCCAUGGACCGGCCAGUCCACAGCUUUCACUUCCUAGCCGGCCUAUCUCCUCUAGCCCGCACCGCCUGCCCCGCCAGCUUUUGAGAUCGCGCUAACGGCAGCCGGGCAUCGGGACAGGCCGUACAUCCACGUCGACGUCUGCUAGCGCUACUGGGAGACGGCGACGCCAUUGCCGUGGGGAGAUGUCCACCUGCUGAACAACUGGCAUCUCUCUGCCAACCAUGUGCCCAUCCCUCCAGUGCCCGUGAGCGGCGCGCCCGCCGCCUGGAGAUGAACUGAUGAUGCGCCCGCCUGCCAUCGGAUCUGCUGGACGACGUCGUAGAUGCGCCGCUGUGGGAUAUGUGGCUCCGCGACGAGCAUGACCUGCGGCGGCAAUCUUUUUCUGUCAGUCGUCCUCCGAGACCGCGCCACCCGCGUCCUCCUCGUGCUGACAGCCCUCCCCAAAUGCGGGGCCGUAGGCGUGUGCACGGCAUCACGCCAACGCCUUCUCCGUCUCCGUCCCUGCCACCGACGCCGCCCAUGACCGAGAGGAGGAGGCCCAUCUCAUGAGGCGUAUCAUGGAGGACUCCAUGAACACGUGCGACGAGCGGUAAUGGCAUGGCCUAGAAACCACGCUGGCCCUCUCCGUGGCCGGCGAUGUGGCCAUCCCGGAGCUGGACCUCGACGUCAAGGAGGAGGUGCAGGAGGAGGUCUUGGAGGAGCCGCCCGUCGCCGCGUGGAACCCUCGUCUGGUGGGCCAGCGGUGGAGCUGCUCAUGCACGGCGCCGGAGAUGGCCGACUCGAUGGGUGUCGGCCCAUGGUCAGCCACGCCGCCGCGGUCACCAGAGCAGGAGUAGGAGCCACGGGAGGAGGUAGUGGAGGCGCCGCCGGCGCCUCCAGUCUGCCAGGGGCCACCAGCCUACCUUUGGCAGCCACCUUCGUAUGCCGACCUCACUCGAGACGAUGACUAGGAGGAGUAAACAGCGGCCAUGGGGGCACAGAAGACGAAGGCGGCCAUGAAGCGGCCAUUAUCUUUUUUCUAUGUUUUAUUUUUUUUAUGUUUAUGUGCUGAACUUGGGUAAUGUGGACGUUUGAAUGUUUAAAUUUAUGUUUUAAGUUAUUUUUAAUAUGUUUUUGUUUUUUUGGUUUAAAUUCAAGUCCGACGAGGCAGGCCAUUUGAGGUGCGGUUGGCCCGUUGAACGCACCGACCGCCUCAAGUACAACUGCAAGCGGACGAAUGUGUCCGUUUUCCUGUCCCAAACAAACGAAAAGCGGAUGAAAGGAAUGUCCGUUUAGGAUCGUGCGUUGGAGUUGCCCUUAGCUUGGGCUUGUGUCGCAAUCACGAAAAUCUAAACUUUACGCUCUGCCUCUGCUCUGCUCCUACCCCCUAUAAAUAUAUCUCAUCUGAUGCAGAAGUGAGCCUCUUCAACCAACCCAACAAACCAAAGCCCGACGAUGGCCAUCAUCAAGCAGUCGCUCAUUGUCCUAGUGCUGCUCAUAUGCGGAGCAGGCGGCUCCACCACACCGGCGCCGGCGCCGGAGCCGGCGCUGCUGACGCAGGAUAAUCUGUGUGUCGGCAUAAGGUCAGUACCUACUUUUCUACAGUUCAUUCAUUUCAGAGAGGGCACGUGAAAAGUAAGUACUGACACAGGAUAAUCUGUGUGUCGCAUAAAGCACUACCAACGAAGAGAUGGUCUGCGUCGCCGACGGCGCACUGGCGUGCUUCGCCGAAAAUGUAGUCACCGACGAGCUUACCUUCACGCCAUGCUUCGUCACCGCCGCCGGCGAAUGCUUGGCCAAGGAUAAGGAGGAGCCCAGCAAGAACCACUGCAUCGGCCUAGAGAUCAGCGACCUGAAAUGCCUUGGAGAUAGCGCCUGGACCUGCUACAACAGCUUCACCGGGUACAUCCCUCCCGCCUUCAUCGCGUGCUUCCCAGGCAGAGCCCCCAUGUGCACCCCACAGUGAUCGUUGUCAGGAUUUUCAUUCCAUCACCUACACCAUGAUCAACUGCUUGCUUGCCGACAAUAAAAGGGUUUGUCUGUGUGUGUGUGUGUGUGAUUUAGUAUGUGGUAGUAGUAAUAUGGUAUGGUUGUGCCAUAUUUCUCGGAUUUUUGUUUUGAUGAUUGAUGAUGAUUUCGCUGGAAAAAGAAAAUAGAGUGAGAAGCAUUGAGCCUUCCUUGUACUGAUCUCAUCAGAAGGAAGUUGGAAAUGGAAAACAAAAGAAUGGUUGGUUGUAUAAGCACGGGAUUGAUUGAUUGAUUGCUGCGUGCUUUUAUUCCAUUCUCAACUUGUACUGUAGCGCAUUAAUUGAUGUGCACUCCGUAUUCCCUAUGUUCCUAAAUACUCACUCGGUCCCUAAAUAUAAGUAUUUUUAGAGAUUCCAAUGCGGACUACACACGGAGCAAAAUGAGUGAAUCUACAUUUUAAAAUAUGUCUAUAUAUAUCCGUAUGUAGUUCGUAUUGCAAUCUCUAAAAAGACUUAUAUUUAGGAGUGGAGAGAGUAGGAGCAUAAGACUUAUAUUUCAAAUGUUCAAAUAUAGCGGUAGUUGUACUUAAAUAAGUUCAAAUAUUACGCUCAAAUAUUAUUGCCCUCUUUAACCGUCCAUGAAUGCUCGAUCAGAUUUUCCUUGGGUUGCUCAUGAGUUGCUCAAUGCCAGAUACGUUGAUGUCUUUUAACAAAUUUUUUAAGUGUGGUCGGAUUCUGAUCAAGAAGAUUGAUAGGAUCACCCACGUUCUCAAAUUCAAGACUUACGGCAGCGACGUCAUCCUCAUCCUCGACGAUCAUGUUGUGCAUAAUCACACAACAGGCCUUCACCUCCCACAAGGUCUCUGCAUCCCAUUAUUUAGUUGGUCCAUGAACAACUGCAAAACGUGCCGGCAGGACUUCAAAUGCCUUCUCAACAUCCUUUCUAGCCGCUUCUUGUCUUUGGACAAAGGGAGCCUUUUUCUGGCCAACUGGGUUAGAGAUGGUGUUGACAAAGGUAGCACACGGAGGACAGAUACUGUCAAUCAGACAAUAACCCAUGUUGUACUCAUGUCCAUUGACAGUAUAGUGGCAAAGAGGAGUUUUUCCUCCAAUUAGCCUCACAAACAAUGGUGAUCGAUGUAGCAUAUUGAUGUCGUUGUGAGAUCCGAGUAUGCCAAAGAAAACAUGACAAAUCCAAAGUUCAUGUAAUGCAACAGCUUCAAGAAUGAUGGUGGACUUCUUAACAUGGCCCUGAUAUUGCCCUUGUAGAACUUUUGGGCAGUUCUUUAAUUUCCAAUGCAUGCAGUUAAGAGAUCCGAGCAAAUCUGGCCACCCACUUGCUUCCGAUAUUGCUAAGAGCCUCUCGGUGUCUGCGCCAUUUGGUUCUCUCAGGUAUAGAGGUCCAAACACCAAGACCACGACAGUUGCAAACCUGACCAUUGCAUCUCCACAUGUGCUCUCAGACAUCAGUAGAUACUCGUCCCACGAAUCAGCGGUCGUGCCAUAUGCAAGCAUCCGUGGUGCGGCCAUGCGCUUCUGAUAACCAGAAAAUCCAAUCCUUCCCACGGUGUCUUUCUUCAAGAUGAAGUAGUCAUCAAAGAACCGGACCCCAUGGUACGAUCGAAGAAAAUUUUGUGCACCCGAAACCGGCGGCGGAAAUUGUCAGCGAAGAGGGCAUUGGGGGGCAAAGUAUCCAGACAUCAAUGUCAAAUGGUCGCACGCCCUAUUGCGGUUGAGCACUCGAUGAUCCUUAAUCAAUCCCUUGAAAUUGAGAACAUGCUCUUCCGCACGCUCCUCUUCUCCAAGGACAGUCUGCAUCAUCGCCAUCUCAUCCGUGUAGCUCUUCUCGUCUGACAAGCCGUCUGACGACUCAACAUAGUGCUCAUAUAUGUACUAUGUAUCUGAAUCCAUUGCUUCAAAGAAGAAGGGACAAAAAAAUUAGCUCAGCCAAUUCAACGGAUAUUUGCCGGGCAUGGUGAGCAGCGUAGGAGCGGACGGUACCUGAGUGGUGGUCGGAGGAAAGGCUCGUCCCGACAAUAGAGAAGAACCGGCUUGGAUCCCGGGUGUACAGCUGGAGGUGACGGACAUGUCGGGUACCAGCAGGGGUGUGCAAUGGUGGUGGAGUGACGGCAAAGGCAAGAGACAAAAAGGCAACGAGAGAAAAUGGAAGGAUGAAGGCAUGGUGUCUGAGAGGGAUUUUUGAUGGGCUAGGUGUCAGAGUCCUACGUGUCUGCUCUCCGAAAAAGUACGUCCGGACCGCUCGGCCGAUCGAUACAUGCUCGUGUAGGGUGUCAUAACACGUCUGGCGGACCGCACAAUCCGGACGGUUUGAGGGUUCACUUUGGAGAUACCCUAAAGAAGACGAUCCGACUGUAUGCGGGCGGUUUGAGUGUUCUUUUUGGAGAUGCCCUAAAAAAGAACUGAUUUCAGUCAAUAAGCGGUUAAGAUAAUUCCAACAUGUUACGCAACUUGCAAUGUUUGAACAGGUUCUAUGACUCGAAAACACAGAUGCUGCGGCACCUAUCAAGUUAAGUUGUAGUUUCCAGUUUAAGGAAAAACAUCGAUAGGGCAAGUACGAAAACUAUAAGGGAGCAACACAGACCUUGGCAAGAACAUACAUCCAUGUUUCGAUUCAACCGGAACUAUUUGGGAACAAUGAUUUUUACACCCUCAUCAUUCUCGAUGGGAACACAAAGAGAAUAUAUCUCAUUAUGGUAUAACUAACGAGCAAAAGAUGAGUGUUAUUAAUCUAUAAUCUAUACCUACUAAUAAAAGAAAUAGGUAUUUUUAAUCCGUUUUCUUAUUUUAUAGAAAACCCCUAAUAUUUUUGACAUUAAAUCCGCAAUACAUAUUAAAUGUUUUUUAAAAUACUCAUAUCUUUUAAAUCGUAACUCCAAAUUUAACAUGUUAUAUAUGGAAUUUGACUAGAAAAAUAUGUAGAAUCUGAAUAUGAUGUUAUUUUUCCUGUUAACAAUUUUAAAAAUACUAUUUAGGCUGUAAUGUUAAUCAACAAUGCAUUAUCCGUCUUUUUUCAUACCGGUACAAGUUUAGAUUGUGGAUGAACACCUCAGCAAAAUCAGGAUUGAACAUGAAAUUGAAGAUAAAUUUGCUAGAGACACCCAAAAAAUAAGGAUAUGCAUGACAAGAAAUAAAAGAAGGACCCAAUAAAGAUGGGAUGUCCGCUAUAAAAGAAAUAAAAGGGAAAAUGCGGAGGAGGUCCGAUAAAGAUGAGAUGUUGCGCUAUUCUCCUAUAUAUAAGAAGAAAAAAGAGAGGAGAUGCAUGAAAAAAAGGUAAAAAGGAGGCAUGCAUGACAAAAAAUAAAAUAAAAGACAAGUUUGAUAAGAUAUAAAUAGUGAUGAAACAGAGACCAAUACCUAUGACAUGUAUGGCAAGAAAUAGUGAUGAAAUAGGGGCGCAAGUACCUGCGUCCACAGGAGACCAUACAAAAAAUGUUCUUUUCCAGACAAAAAAAAUCUCCUUUUAUGAUUGAAAAAUCAUGUAUCUUUUAACAACUCUUCAUGUAUUUAAGAAAUAUGCAUGUGAAAAAAGUGUUCAAGAGUUACCCUAAGUUGGUGAUUCUUGAACUUGACAUGAAUAAAUGCAUGAUCUUACCCGUUUCUUUGUAUGGAUUAAAUCUACAUGCAAGCCAUGUUGAAAUAGAACACAUGUAGAAUCUUAAACUGCGCUUUUAUAGGUUAAGACCAUCUUUGUUUGGGCCGUAGCUACAAGUUCUCAGAUAAUAGAUUUUUUUUAUAAAUUAAGAGUGUGUGGUUUUUUUUCUCCCGUUGCAAUGCACGGAUCUUUUUGCUAGUCUAAUAAAAAACCAACUAACCCAUCUAAUCUACUGAAAGGAAACAAGAUCCAAGAUUAAACUUGGGGUUCGAAGAUCAAAGGGCUAGGCCGGCGUAUGUCGAUGAGGUUCUCUAGGGCAGGGAUCGGAGGCUGCAGACAAGAUCGGGAUGAACUGAUGGGCAAAACACAAGGAAAUAGCCAGCAGCGGACCGAAGAUGGCCGUGGGUGGUGUCAGUGUCCUUGUGCUUCCCGACUGGAUCAUACCAGCGCCAUGCAUGUGCACUGCAUUGGCCAGCAGUGAAGAGGGCAAGACCACGAUGGCAAAUUAAGAUCAAAUGGAACGCACAUAGCACAUGCCAUUGAUACGAGUCAGGGGUAUGAAGAUGGAUGCUUGGCACGUCACACGGCCGCGUCAGUCAUGGAUUGCUCAACUGGUUUGGGCAAAAAGGUUUCGCUCGCUCACUAGAGCAAAGGAACAUGGAGGAGACUGAGGUCGACGGGUCCGGUCCGGUCCUUUUUAUAGAUAGAUAGAUAGAUAGACGAUGCAAGCUAGUCUUGGAAUUUCGGUUCACACAAGAAACAGCCCCACGAUGCAUGGCUUGGCUAGCUUAUUAAUGGUUCACACAAGAAACAGCCCCACGAUGGCUUGGCUUGGCUUGGCUACAAGAAACAGCACCACCAACAGCCAAAAGAAGCUGGUCCUUAGGCGCCAUAUUCUUUUGGAGAUCCCGGAAAUAAUGAAUGGUCCAACACUCCUAUGUCGGAAACAGAUAUACACAUAUAAGGGAAUCCAUGAUUUCCCACGCACGUACUCCCUACGUAAAAAAAAUAUAAGAGCGUAACGCAGUAAACAAAACACAAAAAAUAAAUUUCUUUACUGUGGGAGUAUUAUGCAAGGUUGGGAAUAAAUAAAUCCCCAACACAUAGCCAAGUCGUUUUUCCUUUCUGUAGCAUAACAACACAUAUCUAGCAAAAAAAUUGACUAGUAGAGGGUCUGCACUUGUAGCAUAAUGGAGAUGGAAAGUUCAAUUAUACAUGAAGUGAUCCAAUUGCAGAACAUUUCAGAAAAACAAAAUAAAAUGGGAAAAAUAGUUUAUAGUUGCGAUUGGUUUACAAGGAAUCAUAUGUCUUGGGUGACCAGAGCUAUAGUGCUCCUUAACUCCAGUGAGAUAUGCAGCCAAAUACAAUCAAUAAGAAACUGAUCUUGUGUUUCAGAAGAAGAAAAAAAUUGGUCCUCCAAGUUGUAAUCAACCAUCCAUAGCAAAAUAUUUGCUCUUAGACAAAAAGUUACACGUCAUCACUAACUUGCGAUCCGGUAGGCUGUUGGAUCCAAAUAGCAAUGGCGUAGAUUUUUAACCCGCAAAAAAAAAAGCAAUGGCAUAGAUUUUUAGUGACAUGCCACCAGUAAUGAUAUAGUGGUGACGUACCAAAUAUGCCAAUGCCACCACUAUUAAAAAAAUAGUGAUGACGUGGAUUGAAAAUGAGGCGCCACCAACUAAAUUUGUGGCUAAGCCCUUUUUUCCCCUGGUGCAUCACCUCACCCUCCUAGACAACCUCAAGGAGACGUUCGCCAACCUGCGCGAGUACCAGAUUAACCUGAACCCGGAGAAGUACGUGUUCAGCGUGCCACCUGGCCAGCUCCGUGGCUUCCUCGUCUCAGAGCGUGGCAUCGAGGCCAACCCCGAGAAGAUUAAGGCGAUCGAGCGCGUGCGCAAGCCAGCUUGACUGCGCGAAGCUCAGAAGUUCACCGAUUGCAUGGCCUCUCUCAGCCGGUUGGGCGAGAGGGCUUUGCCCUUGUACCAGCUGAUGAAGAAGACGACCGCGUUCAACUGGACCCCGCAGGCGGACGAAGCCUUCCGUGACCUCAAGUGCAUGCUCUCCAUCGCACAUGUCCUAGCCGCGCCGGCAGGGAAGGAGCCCAUGCUAAUGUACAUUGCGGCCACCACCCGUGUGGUCAGCGUGGUGCUAGUGGUGGAGCGCCCGGAGGAGGCAAGGCGCAGCCGGUCUAGCGGCCCGUGUACUAUGAUACUAUCUGAGCGAGAUGCUCUCCCUCUCCAAGCAAAACUACCCCCACUACUAGAAGAUAUGCUACGGUGUGUAUCUGGCCUCCAACAAGCUGAAGCAGUACUUCUAGGAGCACUCAUCACUGUGGUGAGCAUGGCUCCUCUCGGAGAGAUCAUCGGCCGCCGGGACGCCACUGGCCGGGUCACCAUGUGGGCCAUCGAGCUGGCUGCCCACACGAUUUUCUACGAACCUCGCACGGCUGUCAAAUCCCAGGCGCUGGCUGAUUUCCUCGUCGACUGGCCUAAACCUUCCAACCCAGCCGGCUCCGGCCCGUGGAAGCCGCCAUCCUGGCGGUGGUGGAGGCACCAUCCUGCGCAUAACCAAUUCUCACUUUCCUCCUGAGCGGCGACCUUCUUCACGCGUGAUGGGCUAAUAUGACACAUUAGCUUAGAAGAUGCUAACUGAACAGGCUGCGCGAUCCGAGCUGUUCAUUUUGCUUUUAGAGACCUCCAAUAUGUGCAUGCUUGCAGCCACUCAAUUCUCUUUAAUUACUUUCAUUCCUGGCGGGGUGCGGUGACAUUUUGAUAACUAAUAAAUGUGUACGUGCAAUGCAUGUUAAUAUAAAAGUUAUAUUAGGUAGGAUACCAAUUCACCUUAUUGCAUGUUUAUAUUUGAUAGAAAAUUAGUUACACAUUAAUUAUGUGGUUAGCACAAACAUUGAUAUUUUUAUGAUAUUAAUUGCAUGUUAAACAUGUUGAGUGGUUUGAUGUUUAAGAUUAAUUGGAUCUGCCCCUUUGGUCUUUUUAUAUUUUGAUGAUAAAAAUGAAAAUGAUGAUUGGUUUGAUGCCAAAAAUUGACAUGUCAAUAUUCUACAAUUUUGUCAACCUAACAUAUUUGAUUCUGACAGUGAUAUCCUCAGCCUAUCAGGGUUCAAGUCCUGGUGCAUUUUUCGGUGAUGCGCGUUCCGUGGGAGGAGACGUUCUCGUCAACUACGAGGCGCCUAUGGUAUCAAGAUCAUAUGCCGACUCAGUCUCUCGGAGGUGCUCAUAGGGAUAUGGUGUGCAUAUGUGCGUUCAUAGGGAUGAAUAUAUGUACGUAUAUAUAUGAGCGUUGUGUUCAAUUUAUCAUUUUUGGCAAUUUUGUCAACCUAAUAUAAAGUUAUCAACUUAUGGCAAGUCUUGCAAUUGCCAACAUGUGCGAACCAACCUGUGGUUGGAUGGUUAGAGGGACUGUGGUAUCCCAGCCCACCAUGGUUUAAGUCCUGGUGCUCGCAUUUAUUCCUGGAUUUAUUUCAGGAUUUCCAGCGAUGCGCAUUCAGUGGGAGGAGAUAUUCCCGUCGACGACGAGGUCCCUUCGGUGACUUCGUAAAUUUCAAGAUGUUAUGCCGGCUUAGUCUUUCGGAGGUGCUCAUAGAGGUAGGGUGUGCGUGUAUGCGUUCAUAGGGAUGAAUGUAUGCGCGUGUAUAUGAGCGCUUGCGUUUGUACUAUGUUCAAAAAAAAUUUUGCCAACACGUUGGCUAGCCAAAUUUUGGUUGUAAAUCAAUUACCCUGGGCGUAUUUAUGUCAACACACAAAUGCAGAUCGAUGUGCUAAAUAAUCGCGUGAUAUUUUUGGCUUGCAGGUACGCUCGUACACAGCUAUCCUCCUUUUCAAAUUAACCGAGAAAACCCCCCAAAAAACAUCACGUUGAUUUCACCCAUUAAUUUACAGCAUGUAUAAAUACACACAAGAUUGGUUGCUUACCACGAUAGUUCGUUGAGACACAUCGUUCCUAGCGCUCUUCUUCGAUCAAAUCAGGAGAGUGUGCCACAGCUGAUCAUAUUGGUGGUACUACCAACCAUGGUAUGCGUAGGUUUCAUCAGCUCAAUAUCUCAAAAGUAUAUAUGCAUGUGUAAAUUUUGUUCCGAUCAGCUGUGUAUGUAUACUCUUGAUUGAAAACGGCAGAGGACUGCAGCACAACAUGUCUCCUUCGUGCUGCUGCUGCUCCUUGUGUCAAUGGCCGCAGUUAGAUCGACCGCCGGAGUGCAGCAAGGACAAUGGUACAGCGUCAUGGAUUUCCAUGCAGCUGGGGACGGCGCGACGAGUGAUGUCGAGGUAACAAUUGGAACACCAUAACCUUUAUCUAUGAUUCUGAAAUCGUUAUCAUGUAUGUUGCCCAUCAGAUUCAGAUAGUUAAUCUUUUGCUUAUUUGUGCGCUGGAAGGCGUUCGAGGAGACAUGGAAAGUAGCCUGCAGCAGCCACAGCAGCGAGGUGAUCAUGUACGUACAUCCCCGCAGGAAAGGAAAGACAUUCUUGCUGAACCAGACGAGGUUCAACGGACCCUGCAAGUCGCCCAUCACCGUACAGGUCGGUUGACUUGACGAUCGGUCCACUCUGAAUAGUCUAUCUUUUAAUUGUGUAGUACUCCCUUCAUAAAGAAAUAUAAGAGCAUACUGGAAUUGAGGUUAGUGUUUGUGCAGCUGGAGGGCGACGUGGUGGCGCCAAACUCCUUCUAUUUAAAGCCAUCAGACGUCCUGACCUUCUAUGGCGUCGACAACCUGACGGUGAAUGGGAGCGGCCAGAUAGACGGGCGAGGCGCCCAGUGGUGGGAUUGCUACAACCAAAAGGUAAUUAAGCCCCAAAUAUAUAGAGUAUAGCUGUUGCUUCUUCAAUAUAUAUAUUUAUCUCCAUAUAUUUGCAACAAUCUGAUCUGAUAUCUCUCUCGUAUUGACAAAAAUGCAAUGACCGGCCAAGGGUAUGUAAGCGUGCACUUACAGACACACAAUACUUCCUCCCAUUGUCCAACUAAAAUAGAGAUCCCUCUCGCAGUCGUCGCUGUCGUUCGCGCACUGCAACAAUCUACGGGUGACCAACAUACGCCUCAAGGACGGCGCCGAAAAGAACAUGAUCAUGUACGAGUGCACGCAGGUGCAGGUGCACAACGUCUCCAUCACGGCGCCGGGCGACAGCCCCAACACGGACGGGAUCAAUAUGGGCUCCUCCAACCAUGUAAACAUCUCGUCUUGCUCUAUGCACACCGGUAUGUACGGAUCGACAACCACCCUCCUUCCUUCAGAUGGUACUAAUAUAUAUUGCACUCUGUCUGGCCUCGAACGUAGGUAUUUUGUGCAUGCAGGUGAUGAUUGUGUGUCGAUUCUAUCGGGAACCACCAAUGUUAACGUCACCAACACCACCUGCGGGCCUGGUCAUGGCAUCAGGUAUACAAACAAACAUACAUACAUACAUACCACACCCAUGCGUAUAUUAUACUCCCUCCGUCCUAUAAUGUAAGAUAUUUUUCGACGGUAGUAUACAUUGACCGUCAAAAAAGUAUUAUAUUAUAAGACGGAGAGGGAGUAGUAUAUUAAUGCACGCACGUGCAUGCUCAUAACCUUCUCUAGUGAGUAGCAUACGUUGACCUUUUUGUAUUCUGUAUCUACGUAUGUAGUGUGGGAAGUCUUGGAGGUGUUGCUGACGGCCCAACGCUGGUGGAAAAAAUUACAGUGUCCAACUGUAGCUUCUUCAAUACCACGACCGGUGUGAGGAUCAAAUCGUGGCAGGUAACAUGCAUCUACUGAUGGUAGGCAGGUAACAUGCAUCUACUGAUGGUCGAUCCGUUUCUGUACAUGUAUGACUUCUUUCUUCUAUAAUGCAAAGGCAGAGCUCCUAUUGUUCACGUCAAAAAACAAGCAUCUACUAGUACGUACAUGGUUGUGCCUUGCAUGUGUUUAAAGAUAUAGUUACUGACGGUGGCAUGCAUACACAUGCAUGUUCCAUGUACAUAUCAUAGGUUACCUGCAAACCAUAUAUAGUAGGUAUAUAUAUCCCCUAAUAUAUACAUAUGGUAUGAUUCAAUGGAUACAGGGAUGGCAAGGCACUAGCAACCGGAUUCCUUUUCAUCAAACUCAGAAUGACUGCCGUCCGGUUGCCUAUCGAUAUCGACCAGUUCUAUUGCCCCCAAGGAAACUGUCCACCACAGGUGAGGGAUCCUGUCCGCACCACCACUUGAUCAAUGGUUGCCUUAAAUAAAGAAGGGAACAAUUUCUGAAAUUGAACGAAACCCUAUAUAUUGCUUUUGCCUUUGCAGGAUGGUGGUGUGGCCAUAACAGACGCUCGAUUCAUCGACAUCCAGGGGACGUCCUCAGAACGAGAGGCCAUCAAGAUAUGUGCAGCAAGAGUGUGCCAUGCCAUGACAUCUACCUCAAAAACGUCAACCUCUCUUGGGCCAACCACAUUGCCCCGGCACAAGCUAUUGUUCAGAAUGCCCAUGGAAGCGUCACGGGAACGGUGAAGCCACAAACACAGUUUGCUGGCAAUUGAUCACAAGUCGUUAAUGGACAUAUACGUCAUCAAAAUGUAACAUCUUAAAUAUAAGUAGAUAUCCACCAUUACAUUUGACACGGAAAUAUACAAUAUUUAAUAAACUAAUUAAUCUAAGGAGUCCUGGAAAACACCUCAUUGGACACAUCAGAGUGGGCAAACUCGGUGUCGGCUGGAGCAGCUGGGGCCCAAGAGGCGACUAGUGUGGCAGUGACGAUCUUGGCUUUCUCGUUGGCAUAGAAGCGUGCGUGGCUGCAUCUCAUCCUACCCACCUUCUUCUAUUGGGCAGGCCGAUCAAGGGUGGCACAGGUUUUGCAUGCCGCGCCUUGGAUCGGGCCUUGUGACAGGCCGCGAGCGCCUCCUCCUCUCCUUUGCACGGGGGAUGGGACCACGCGACCCCGAGACGGAAGUGACAACGCCCGAUGAGAUCAAGGAAAAGAUCAAUGAACUUGAGAAAGUCUCCAAACCAUGUGCAAAUACAAUUGGUCCAGAGAUUGAUUUUUAUUGGAUGAUGAGCAAAGAUCUCGAAGCCAAGGUGAAUAGUCUCUACAGUAAGAUGGAUACCCUCUUUGAUUUUACCACCAAGCUCUUUGCAGAAACCAACCUUCUUACGAAGUUGGCCACCGAGCAAUAACGAGGAAUCUCUGUGAUGUGUCAUUUCAAAUGUAUCGGUCUCGCACGCAACGUGAAGAAGGCGGAGGAAUCCAAGGAAGCUAAGGAGGAAGGAACCUCGGCCAGACCCAACACCCGGUCUAAGGGCUGUGGACUUUUCUUGGCCACGCAUCGGCGUUGAAGAUGCCCUAGGUUCUCUUUGCUGGUCCGGCCUGCCAUGCGUGACAAAUGCAUGCAUGCAAAGUCUGACAGCUGUGGACCUUUCUUGGCCACGCAUCGCAGCAACAAGGACCAACGAUACGUACCUGCAGAGUUCAAGUUCACCCCUACCUCUUCUUCAGCCAACCAGUGACUUGAGACUUGACUUGCACACACACUCAUUUCAGAUUUUUCAGGCAUGCGCGGACUGACCAGACCACUUACGAGGAGAGCCACGUACCGGUUUGACACCGUGCGUGCAGUUUUGUGCCUAGAUCGGACAAAUUAAGCUACACCAACUCGAGUUGACGAUGCACCUAGCUACUAGCUAGGUUGAUGAAUGGUGAACGUGAGCAGCGUCUGGUCCGGUGUGUGACGCAACAGCUGCGAUUUGGGACUCGGCUAGCGGCCGCUGCAUGCAUGUCCUGUCACGAUUUCACCAGCACACGAUCCACGAGACUGCAUGCGCCUGGCUUUGGACUUGAGCGAGCUCCAGAUGACUUGGCUACGGCGGCCGGACGAGAUUGCAUGCGUUUGCGCUGGAAAUGUUUGCAUGCGUACGUAUUUGGCUACGGGUCAAAUCAAGUCGGCGUGACGCGACUCUUCAUCUAUUGCUCCUCUAUAGUCCACUAGCUAGCUGUAGCUAGGCCUCACUACCUAAGUGCCUGACUUGCUUUGCUUAAAGUUUGACUGCUGCUUUGGUUCUACUCUUCAUCUCACAGUUUGCACUACCCAGCUGGUAAGUACGUACUAGAUUACCUAGCUAAUCAGAACGAAUUUUGCGUCAUGAUCAGUUAGGAUUCACCAGAACUCGUCAAGAAGCAACCUAUAGCUGCCGUCUCCCCUAAAAAGUUAAGGUUUCCUUGCCUCCUGUCGGCGCCGCCGUCAGUUCGUCUGUCUCCGGUGGCCUUAAUUAGGGCCAUAAGAGCAGAGUGGAUCCCGGCCCUUGCCGUGAGAGGGGCUCCAUUUUUAGAUAUUUCUUCAAGUUUUGUUAGGGUUUGUGUCAUAUUCAAAAAAACGGGACGGCGGCGGCUCCCUGAAGAUGGAAUAAAAUUCUCCCCGUCUAGUCCUCGUUUCGGUGGUGCUUGCAGCAUCGUCGGUGGGUGUAUGGAGGUGUGUCUCCGGAGGAUACGUUCAUAGUUGUCGGUUUGGAUACGUUCAUAGUUGCCGGUUCUCCCCCAUUGACGUUGUUGCCCGUUCUGAGACCAUCCACAUUUGCACCGCCUAAUAAUUAUUUUCUAAGUGGGAAUAAAACGUCUUCGAAAUGGGUUGAAAGUUGACGUGUGGUCUUAAUAUAUUGUAGAUAAACCGUUUGUCAAAUUUCAUCGCAUUUAGAGGUCGUUUGAUAUCCAAAUUGUUAAACUAUAGCGGCACUACAUAGCUAGUGAGCAAGUACAGGGAUUGAUCACCGAAAUACAUAUUCUGUUGCAUAAUUAGGCCCCUUGUAUUUCUAUGAUUAUUAAGUUUCGUGACCUGCUUGCAAGCUAAUCGAUCUUGUGGCAUAUCCUCUUGAACUCCGCAAGGUGGUCGUCGAAGAGGGCCACGUAGGCCUCCAUGCUGCCGUCGCCCAGGGUGGACGGCACCAGGAACAGGCUGCCCUCCAUGGGGUAGUACGUCGGCAUGACGCGGAAGGGCCCGCCGCCGCCGAAAUUCAGGCCGUGGAAGUUGAUCCCCAGCCACGCGUCCACCUCCAGGUCCGGGCACAGCACCGCCUGCUCGCUGUCCGCCGUUGAGACCAGCCCCUCAGCCUCCACAACGCCGGAGGAGGCAAGGUCCACGAAGGACCGGAAGUAGGCGUUGUCCACGUCCGCCACGGCGCGGUAGACGAGCUCCGCCGCGUGGCCCACCGGCCGGGACAUGAGGUCGCCGGCGUCCGUGCGCGGGAACGCCCACAGGACCACGUUGCCGAAGUAGUCGCGCGGCAUGGGCGGGCGCAUGCGCGUCCGGCCGUUCAUGGAGAUGCGGACCUUGGUCGUCACGUCGGCGCCCAGGCCGCGCACCGCGGUGAUCGCGCGCCAGAGGUGCGCCACCACGCUCUGGAACGUCGUGUAGCCGCGCCGCGAUGGCGGGAGCCCCGACGAGGCCCGCGCCUUGAGCCGCGCCACGAAAUCCUUGCUCAGGUGCAUCAUGUGCACCUUCACCUUGUCGUGCCCCGCCGCGCCAAAGCCGAUCUCCUCCUUCUCGUCCAUCGUGUUUGGUGCCGGCGCCCUGUACUCCACCUCCCGAUGCGGGAACUCCACGAGCGGCGGCUCGCGCGGCGCGAACCGGGUGCCGCGGUCGCAGACCGGGAGCGGCGACACCGGGAGCUGCCGCGUAGCGAGGCCCCACGCCGCCAGGAAGUUGGCCGUGGCCUGCCCGUCGGCGAUCUGGUGGUGCCCUGCGAAGCCCACGGCCAGCGACCCACAGGAGAAGCGAGUCAGCUGCACCUGCACCAGCUCCACAGGGCCGUCGUCGAUCCUCGGGUGCAGCCGCCUCACCUCAGGCGACGGCCCGGACGGCACGGACACCGCCAUGGGCGCGUCCACCUUGGCCUCCACAAAGCGCGCCCCGGCGUCGUUCAGUAGCACCGACCGGCGCCCGUCGGGACCGUCGCCGAUCUGCCCGGCCCACUCCUGGUACACGGCGAGCGCCUUGGCCAGGCCCAGCUCGACCUCGCUGUUGGGCGGGUUCGGCGGCCGGAACGCGAAGAUGAUGGCGACGUGCUCCCCGUACGUCACCUUGUCGAACACGGAAAGCGGCACCCACUGCGCACGCUCCGGCGCCUCGCCGUCCUCGUACAGCGGCUUGACGAUCUUGGAGCUCUCGAUCUUAACCUUCAUGCUGGUGCUUACACUGUCAGCCUCUCGAGAUCUCUGUUUGAUUUUGCUUGCACCAAUGUGCAUGCAUGCAUGACGUACGUACUCUGAUCUGAGUCCGAGUGAGGAGCGUACGUGCUUCACUCCUUUGAGUCCGUGUCACUGGCUAGCUGUAGUAGCUUACAACAGAGACGAUAUGCUAUAUAUGGAAGCAAGGCCAGGCUAUGUAGCCUCUUUUUUGCGGACAAAAAUGUGAACGUAGAACGGAAAAUUGAGACGCGUAUGUAUCCCGUACUUACGUAGAGACAUUGCUUUUGAAGACAUGAUCGAACUGGCCCAGCUCGAUCGUCUACGUACGUCUUCGGAGUUUCACAUGUUGAUCUGAUUAAACGUCUGGCUAAUUAGUUUAAUUCGAUAUCUCAAGUCUCAACCAUAUAUAUACUGUAUUUCGUGUGCGCCAUUCUCUCAUUAGUUAGUUAGCUUCUCGAUCGGCGACUCUCGCCUGUUUGCUUACCGCAGCAGACAACGAUAGAGUUUAGUGCAGGAAAUUACGUACUUUACGUAAAUUUCAUCUGGUGCAUGCCAUUGUUAACUCUCGCCAGGUAGCUUAGUACAUCUCGUUCGUGGGAACGGAGUGUCCGAGGUUGGCUAGCUUGUCUUGUCUGAAAGAGUGGCGGCGUUCCGGAGUUUUCCAGGGAAACAACGAUGCGAUGGUGCAUUGCAUGCAUGCCGCUGCCAGACACACACACGAUCUAAAAAUCGAAUUCUAGUGCUAGCUAGUGCAGCAAACUGUGAGAGCAUGCAUGCAUGCAUGCAUGCAUGGAUUCGAUACGGUUACGUAGUACUAGACUACUAGUACGUACGGCCGGAGCAGCAGUCAAAUUUUAAGCAAACAAGUCAAGCAUUGAGGCAGUGAGGAGUUGAUCGAGGAUAUAUAUACUACUCCCUCCGUUCAUAAAUAUUUGUCUUUCUAGACAUUUCAACAAAUAACUACGUACGAAAAAAAAUAAAUGAAUCUACAUUCUAAAAUAUGUCUACAUACAUCCGUAUGUGGUAGUCAUUUGAAAUGUCUAGAAAGACAAAUAUUUAGAAACGGAGGGAGUAUACAGGAACAAGAAGAUGAAGAGUCGCGUCGCGCCGACUUGAUUUGACCUGUAGCCAAAUACGUUUCUGCCAAACAUUUUCUAUACUUCUAUACUAUUAUUAAAAGAGCAAACAUAAACUCCUCUAAAACCACACAACAAACUGUACACGAAUUAAUCAGGACCCUUCGAUUAAAUAAAGUUAAACACAUCCUACUGUCCAUAUUACACCGAUGGUUAGCUAACCAGAUCAACGUCUCAGAUCGAAUGUUCUGCCAAGCAGACGCUAUGGUCUGUGAAUCGUACGCGCUCGGCAAUCCUCGAUCCCCAUGGCCCACCCCGCCUAAUUUGCGGAAAGCAAUUAGUCCGUGAUCUCCCUCACACGAUCCCCUUAAUUGUGGAAACAACCGGAUAUUUUCCUUCUUUCUCUCCACCUCUUUCUUCCAAAAAGAAAAUUGCUCCCUUCCCUUGCCCGCUCACCUCUCCCCACGCCCCGUCGCCUGUAGGUUGUUUGCCGCCGCCCCACGCGACGCAGGAGGGGAUCUCACAUGCUUCCGUCUUCUCUCAUCCCCACGACAAGCGCGCGGCAGAGGGCGGAAAUGGCGACCACCAUCUCUCUCCUCUCCCUCGCCCCGCUCCGACUCACCCACAGCCGCAUCAACCAUCUCCGUCAGUGGCGUAGCUAGCCCAACAUGCCAGGGUGGUCCACCAAUGCAAAAUAUUCACAUAAAUAUAUUUAUUUAUUAUAAAAAUAUAUUUUUCUCUAUGCUAUAUAUAUUAUGGGGAAAUUCCAGGGUGGUCCAUGGACCACCCUGUCCACCCCCUAGAUACGCCACUGAUCUCCGUGCCCGGUGGGGGCAUGGGGAGUAGGCUGCUCUUGGUGCUCGACCGGGCGCUCACCGACGAGCAAGACUAUCACGAGCGCGCCCAGGUGCAGCACAAGGGCAUGGAGGCGGACGUCCUACUGCUGCCUUGGUCUCCACCCCAUCGUCGUUGCCUUUCCCCUUCCUCCUCUGGCCCUGAGACAUCUUGUUGUUGUGUCCACCACGUCCGGUCUUCGUCCGGCCAUCCAAUCUCCUCCUUCCCUAUGAGGUAUGCAUGAGCAGCUAGAUAGGUUGUUUCUUUCUCAUCCACCACGGCAUCAAUUCUCUGUCUUGUUAAAUCAAAUCUAUCAAUUCCACUAGGGUAUGGAUGGGGCCUUCACACGAUUUCUUGGCCAGAUCACCCCCUGGGUGUAUUGUCCAUGGCAGGAUCAUGCAUGUUGUUGUGCUCCUUGAUUCCAUUUUCUGGAUGAUAUGUGUACGAUUGGUGCGCUAUCUUAUCUUGUGUGGUUACAAAUUCAGGUUCUUUUACAAUGGAUGAUGUAUGAUAGCUUGGUGUUUUUUAUUAUGGUAAUAAUAAUUAAUUAGUACUAUGCAUCUGAAUACCCUUGUGCAUACAAUUGUUGUAUAUUUGCAGAAUUUGAUAGAUAGAUUAUAACUGCUGCUCUUUGUAGAUUUUGUACGAAGGAGAGAAGUCGAACCAUGGCGAAGAUAAAGGCGGCCGCUAAGCCACCCCCUAGGAACCGGAUGCACAAAUGCGAUACGGUCUUUUCCUGCCUAUUCUGCAGUCAUGGGAGCAGCGCUGAAUGUCGGAUGAUAGUACCAUCUUCACGUAUUUUUACUGUUAGUUGGUUUAUACUAGAUGGUUAUCUAUCCAUUCAACAUUGUAACAUGCCUUCAUUUUUCUUCAAUGAUACAAAUUAAGAACUUGAUUGGUGAGGCUAAUUGUCAAAUCUGCCAGGAAAGCUUCAGCGCCACUGCAAAAUGGUAUGUCCAAAUCAUACAUAAAACUGCAUACUGUACCUCCUAACAUGGAAGUAGAUGCCGUACUGAUUGGCUCUCAGCUAGAAAAUUCCACACCAGGCAUCUCAUUUGGCUUUGUUCCAUCUCAACCUAAUUGAUUGCAACUCUGGGAAUAGAGUAUAGCUUAUGUAUAAAUUUCGUACAACCAUGUCCAUUUCAUAUACUCUUGGUGGCUUAGUCAUUCUAAUCAACUAUAUUACUCCCUCCGUUCCAAAUUUCUCAUCGUGGUUUUACUCACCGUGGUUUGAACUAAAACCACGAUGAGUAAUUUGGAACGGAGGGAGUAUAAUACAGCAUAACUGAGGUAGUAACUCAUGCAGGGUUAUAUACGGAUUCGGUUGCCAUUAAAUGAUGUCUGUAAGAUGGAAAUCAAUAAAUAGCGUCCAUGCCAUCAUCUCCCCAUAUACACUUGCACUGAACACCAAACAUGGCUGCUACUUUGAUUCAGAACGAGUCUUGCCUAAUUCUCUUGAUCAAAGCAUUGUACUACACUGCUACUCUGCGUGAAAACAAAAACUUAGAUUUUGUACAUUUCCUUUGCUAUUUCUCAGUUCUCAAAAUCCUGGUUUUUGUUUGAUUAACCGGUGAGGCAAAGCUUAUGCUUCCGUUUCAAAAUCAUAGUUUUUUUUGUUUUCAAAAUCAUAGAAAAUCCAUGGCAUCUCUCACAAAGUCACAAUGCUUGUGUGUUCGAUGAUUUGAAACAAAUAGAACACUUUUUGGUCACAGGAGCACCCCUCCGCCUAUUGUUCUUAGCACAAUCAAAAAUAAGGCAAAGCGUUUGGGUCACUGCGGGUGCCAAAAAAUUAGGGACAAUAACAUGAAAGAGUAACUUUUUGGUUAUAAGUGUGUCUAUUUUAACACAAACUCUGUUAUCUUCUCAGUUAAUCGAUAUGGCGAAGCUUAUGCCUCCUUUUGAAAAAAAAUAAAAAUUAACUGUUAGAGAUAUUACCAUAAUGCUAUUUGAUUACUAUUAUGGAUAUGUGAUCAUUGACUCUUUGCCUUUUGUACAUUUGAUGAUAUAUUUCAAUUGCAUUGCAUAACUUUAUUUUACGAUGAAUACCAAGGUGCAAAUUCCUGGCUCCGCCACUGCCUGCAUUCAUGAAAAUUUAUGAAUGGGACAAUCUUUUGUUCUGGUGUAUCAAAUGUCUUUGAACAUCCAUGCAUUGAGACUGAAAUGAAUGCAAUGAUAGUUGGCAUUCACGCUUCAGGUAUGAGAUCAGCUCAAUAAUUUCCAAUUAGGUAUCUUUCUUUGAACAAAGGGGUGGAUAGGAGAACACGGUUUGAACCCCUCUGUAGAAUGAAAUUUUUUCAUGAUACAUAGUUCACAAUUUUCAUAACUUAAAUACAAGUAGGUUCCAGUUGCGAUUCCAAUGUAUAAUCCGAUUAGUUUUUACUCAUGUUGCUUUGUCAUCCUCUUUCCAAGCAUGUGAUUUGAUUCCGCAUAUUUAUUUGACAUGUCCGGUUGUAUUUGGUAACCUAUAUUUUAGUAUAUGUACAUUUAAUGUUGUGAUUGUAUCUCCAUGAAGAAUUGUCAAUUUCACGUGACAUAUUAUCUUGGAAAUGUUAUAUAUGUGUGAGGUUUGGCAUGCUAUUGGAAAUUAAAAUAAAGGGUCUUGAAAUUGUGUCCUUCAGUUUUACCUUAUUGAUGUUUUGUUUUUAAUGAACAUUAGUCGAGAUGUGCAUAGAAGAAACAUGAAUGUUAGCAUCUUGUUACAGCAUAGUUACUUUAUGGGAUAUGAUUAAGUAACUAAUGUAAGACAUGAAAAUACGCGUCUACUCUUGCAGUCUGUUUCCUUGUAUAAAAUUUAAUGCAAAAUUUAAUGCUUCAACAAGUUCAUAUGCUAAAUAUCUUUUUUUAUUACUUUGUGAUAUAAUGUAUGGACAUAUUAUCUGUUGGUAACUAUCGGGAACAUCGUUUCAUGUAUGGCAGCAGGGAAGGAUAAAUUUGAAGCUUUGCAGAUUGUAUGCCUGGGUGAGAGUGAGGAGGAUAGCUGACUCUACAUUGUGUAAAUUAUUGUGUAUCCAAAGAAGUAGGAAGGAUGCAUUCCAUGCCCUUAAUGCAUGGGUGAGCGAGUUAGGAGGAAAACACAUUGUACAUUUUUGAAUUUGUGGUGUAUCGAGGUCCUGAAGUUCAUGCAACUAUUCUACGGUAUUUUCGUUGGUAAAUUUGUUUCUCACACAUCUUGUUUGCCUCUUUAAAUUGUUUGAAAUAGCCUAUGAUAUAUUUGAUCUUCACAUUUUUAGCACUUUAUUUACUCUUGAUCGACCAUCUUGACAUUGUUUGAUUGCAUUCCUUUGAACCUUCUUGACCAUCUUACAUCUCAUAAUAUAUAAGACAAUGUGCAUAUGAUAUAGUGAACAACUAUUGUGAUCCUUUAUAUGUUAUCUAAAUGCGGAUUUUUGACAGUUCAUGUAUGUGCAUGAUGCUUGGAUAGUGCGCACUAGGUAGGGCUUGCGUUUGGUACUGAUUUAGUAUACCCCAUAGAAGUAAGAUGAGAUACACAUUUUGUUGUAUCAACAAAGGAUAAAUCAUCAAGAUGUCAGCUCAAUGAGUACAAAAAUCAUUGCACAUCAUGCUUGUAGAUAUACGAGGACUGAAACUAUGAGCUUAGAAAUUAAAAUUCUGAAUUAUACGUGCGUUGCACGUGCACGCUUACUAGUCACAGCAAGGUCUCCCCUCGCCGAGUCCCAAAUCGCAGCUGUUGCGUCACACACCGGACUAGACGCUGCACACAUGCGCAUUGUCAACUCUGGUUGGUGUAGCUUUGUCCGAGCUGGGCACAAAACUGAAUGCAUGGUGUCAAAGAAUUGGGGCCACGACCGCCACCUGUACGUAUCCACUAUGCACCACGUGCAGCUUACUCAUGCGUCAUCUCGUCAGUGCGCGCAUGCAUGCCUGAAAAUCUGAAUCAAGUGUGUGUGCAGGUCAAGUCUCAAGUGACUGGUUUGCUGAAGAAGAGGCAUGCAUGGGUGGUGAACUUGGACUCUCGUACUACUCCCUCCAUUCCAAAUUACUCGUCGCAGAAAUGAAUGUAUCUAGAACAGCGUUGGUCGUUGUUGCUGCGAUGCAUGCGUGGCCAAGAAAGGUCCACAGCCCUGAGACUUUGCAUGCGCUUGUUUGACAGGCAAGGCAGGGCAGGCGGCUGGGGCGAGCAAAGGGCAUCUCCACGUAUCUGGACGUUUUUUACUGUCCAAAACGGCGUCGUAAAUCUGGGAAUUCACGCAAACCUAAUGCAAAUUUAGAGGAGGUUUGCGGGAGGAUGGAGCGGGCACGUGGUGCGCCUCAUGCCUCCGAUCGUUAUACUAGCUCUGUUGAACAUUAACCCAACAGACACGUGGGACUCAGUUUGGAACUUAACCUGUCCAGCCAAGUUGCACGUGGGACUCUGUCGUGCUAUUUUGACGAACAAACAUUUGAAGAUAAACCCGAGCCGCCCUGCGUGCAACUUGGCCCGAAUACAACAAGACACCUACUAUUUGAAUGCAAGGCUGACGUGGAGGUUUGGAAGCUCCUUGGGAUCGAUGAGAUCAUCAAAAAGGCCUUGCUAGUCGACAAGGCAGGUGAAGUGACUUUGGAGCAUCUGUUGUGCAUUCCUGAGCAAGAUGUCCAAGUGCUUGCUUGGGCUACCAAAGUUGAAAGAAACAGUGGCGACACCGAUGACAGCCUGCUACUUGUGGUAUGAGCACUGUAAGUUGACACACAGAGAAGGAACACGAAAUGCUACUGAAAUUAAUAUGGCAGUGAGAUGUUUGGCAGCUAACUAUAUUAUCUCAUACAGUCCUAAGGCCGAAGUGAGAUCAGCCGCUUGGUUGAAACAAAGAUAUGACUACGUUAAGGUAAACAUUGAUGCAGGUUUUGAUGUGGACACGCUCCAGGAACGGUUCAUACGAGACCAUCAUGAAAAGUUCAUUGCAGCUGCAAAUAAAAAUAUUGAUUUUUGCUUUGACUCAUUCACGACGAAGGCAGUUGCAGUGAGGUUUUGAAUGAACCUGACACGUAUAGUUGGAUGCAGUAAGAUCGAGGGGAAAAUAUCUGGUGCUACCGGCUCUUAGGUGCUACCGUGAAACGGGCAUCCGAGAGCCAUUGGAUCUCAUAUCCGACGACAUCUAAGAAGCUAUUGUAUCUGCGCGUAAUUUUCAAACUAGGAUGACGUUGUUUGACCGAAAACUACAAAAAAUUUCUGGAGUGUUUGACAAAAAAAACUACUAGUUUAGGGGUCGGCGUCCCACAGAACUACCACUUUUAAAAUUUUGACCGAAAACUACCGAAAAUUUCUUAAUCUGUCCCUAGAAACUACCAGUUUCGGUUGAUGAUCGUUUAGACUAUUUAAACAGAAAACUGACAGGACUGGCCCGGGCGUUUGAGGCUCGUUUAAGGCGCCCGUCUGGGUCGAAAUUUCGUGGCCGAUCAGUAACCGGCUUGUCCGCCCGGGCGUUAGAAGCAGGUUUGGGGCACCCGGCUGUAGAUGCUCUUAGGGAAUCUCCAUGGCGGUGCCAUAAAACACCCGCAACCGUUUGAAUGGACGCAUCGGGACGUUUUUUUUACUAUCCAAAGCGGUGUAAAAUGUCGGAUGCGUUUGCGUGUCCGAAUUCCCAUAAACCGAAUGCAAAGUUAGAGGAUGUUUGCGGGAGUAUGGACCGGGCAUGUGGUGCGCCUCAUGCCUCCGAUUGUUAUACUAGCUCGGUUGAACAUUAACCCAACAGACACGUGGGACUCUGUUUAAGAAAAUACAGCUCGGACUAAAAUCCAUCCAAACAGCUUCUUCUAUACAUAGCAAUUUUUCGUCUUUUUUGCCACAAAUAUGUUUUUUGGUAUUCUUUUCAUGAAAUUUCACACGAAAGUAGAUUAGAGACCCAAGUUUGAUAUCCCUAAAUCCCCUUUUCUUUUCUUGGUAUUUUUUUCAACUUAACAUUCAUAUAGGGGCUGGAGCACCCCGGUGCUACAAAACCUCUUCCCGCUGUAGAUGCUCUAAUAAAUUUCAUAGGUUGCAUAUAUGCUCUUCUCAAUGGGUAGUAAUUACUGUAAAAUUAUGGAGUAAAAGAUGGAAUUAACUGAUGAGCCUAAAGGUGUUGGAAGGAGUAGGACAGGACAGCAUCACAUCUGUUGUUUAUCACUUCCUAAUUCCAAGUUUAGAGGGUGGUUUGAUAAUUCUGAUGAGUGUUGUUAAGCCUGCACACGUGUUCCUAUCCUAUGUAGUCAUAUAUCUCUUAUAAAUGCAAAUACCUGAGGCAAUAGUGGGCAGAAAAGAGUUGGCUGCGUGCUGCAGGUGGGAACGUCUUGUGGGCCCUAUGUGCAUAUGGACACCACCAUCGCCAUCCCUCCACCUUUCAAGUUUUCGUCGCAUCUCUUUAUUUUAACCAUCCCUCCGACAUAAUCAAUCAAUAGUCAGAGACUCAUAGUAACUGGUUCCUCAGGCCACCACCAGCGCCAUUGAUUGUCUUUGCAACGGUGUGUGUCUGCUCCUUGUGAUUUCAAAAGUAAAAAAAAUAAAAAAUUGUUAGGUCCACAUAUAUACUGGUGUUGAACAGAAUCAAAGAAAAACAAAUUUACCUCCUAGCCUCCUACUCCCUCCGUUCCAAAUUACUCGUCGCAGAAAUGGAUGUAUUUAGAACUAAAAUACAUAUAGAUACAUCGAUACUUGCGACAAGUAAUUCGGAACGGAAGGAGUACAAAAGUUGGAGAAUAACACUGUUGCUAAUGAGUGAGAGAGAGAGAGGGGGGGGGGGAUAUGUCUGUGGUCUGUAGCUAAAAUCGACCCUUCAAUCAUAGUUCACUCACCAGAAAAGAAAAUGCAGUCACAACACACGCGAUCCCUUGAUCUGGAAUGAACUUGCCACCUUUUUACCAUAUAUCUUAGUGACCCUACCACUGAUUUGGAAGCAACCUACCAGUCUUCAGACCAAAAGUAGACAAGAGCACAUGCAGGUAACUUUUAGGCGAUGCCGAGCUCCUUUCCUCGACCCUCCUUCUGCUCCAUCUUGUAAGCAGACAUGGAAGCAGCAGCAGACGAGGAGAGGCCCCUGCUACAUCUGCAACCGCUGCUUAAUCAGGUAUACUGUCUUACACUCCACUUCUCUUCUUCUCUUACUCCUUGUCAGUCCUCCGCGAGAGAUUUACAGUUUCAAUUUUCCAAACUGGAUGUCCUGGUACUGUGAUGUAGGAUGUAGGUUCAGAAUACACCAGCGAUGGAUCUGUUGACAUCAACAAUCAGCCUGCUCUGAAGCACAACACAGGCAAUUGGAGGGCGUGCUACAUGAUUUUAGGUACCAGACAAGAGUGAUUCACUCAUGCAAACUGCUCCUGUUUUUUCUCUUCUUCUCUUUUUGCUGCUGACCCCCUCAACGCAUCUCAGGCGUCGAGUUUUGCGAAUGCGUCGCCUUCUUUGCAAUCGCGUCCAACUUGGUGACCUACCUCACCACGGUGCUCCACGAAAGCAAGGUCGCCGCCGCGCGGGAUGUCUCUGCCUGGGUUGGCGCAUGCUUCCUCGCGCCACUUAUUGGGGCCUUCUUGGCUGACACAUAUCUGGGAAGAUACUGUAUGAUGGUUGUUUUCCUUCCGGUCUACACCAUUGUAAGUACGGCUAGCACAGCACAGCUAACCCACCAGAUCUCUGUAAUGAUAAUUGUGACUCUCAACACUGCAAAUUUGAUAGGGGAUGCUCGUGCUCACGGUCUCAGCAUCAGUCCCGACAUCCUACUACCAUGGUGAUGUUCAUCAUGCUGUGGUGGUGUACCUAGGACUUUAUCUUGCCGGGCUUGGGAGCGCUGGCAUCAAACCCUGCGCGUCGGCCUUCGGCGCCGACCAGUUCGACAGCGAGGACCUGACAGAGCUGGAGAAGAAGGGCUCCUUCUUCAACUGGUACUACUUCCUGCUCAAUCUCGGCUCCCUUCUGUCGAGCACACUGCUUGUUUGGCUGCAGGACAAUGGUUGGUGGGGGCUCAGUUUCGCGAUCCCAACGGUGCUCAUGGCUUUGGGCCUAGCAGUGUUUGUUGGUGGCUCCAGAGUGUACAGGUUCAGGAAACUGAGAGCAAGCCCAUUCACGAGCAUCUGUUAGGUGCUUGUUGCGGCCGUCAGGAAGUGGCAUGUGCAACUGCCAGAUGAUAUAUCGUCCUUGUACGAGCCGACCAGUUCGUUAUCAGCACCUGAAUCAAGUCACAAUAUUCAGCAUACGAAUCAAUUCAGGUACUUCAAUUAUUGCAUUACUAAAAUCAACCCAUAGUCUAAAUUUGACAUUUAGAAACAAGUUAUUUCAUUGAGCUAUGGCAUCUUUUUGUGCAAUUGUGAGGUGUGACAUCUUUUUUGCAAGCACAAAAGAUAUCAGAAAAUGAGUAGGGCGUUUUGGUGACCGAGCACCAUGGAGCCCUUUAUUUCUGAAAAAUUCAAAAUUCAAACUUUUUGACUUCAAAAAAUUCUGAAAAUAAAUAUGCAACUAUACACGGAUGAAAUGUAUGUGCAUGUAAAAAUUCAAGAUGAAAUACUUCGAAAUGCGACCUACACAAAAAAGACAAAUUUCUGAACUUUGAGGAUGAAUAGUAACAUGUGUUAAAAAGCCUCAGAUUUGUCUUUUUUGCACAGCCUUCAUUUCAACGUAUUUCAUCCUAAAAAUUUACACACAUGUGUGUUAUGCCUUCAUGUAUAUCUGUAAUUUUUUUCAGAUUUUUUUGAAUUGUAAAAAUAUGAAUUUUCAUGAAUUUUGUGUUUUUCAAAAACCGGCCUCCAUGGAGGCCGAGCUCCAAAAGGCAUUUUCGUCAGAAAAUUUGCUACAAAACGAUAUCUAGAAACUGCAUCUAUGAGUAAACUUAAAGUGCGAGACCUUACCUCUUAUAUAUAAGUUAUAAUUAUGUGAUUGCAUUCUUCAGGUUUCUAGACAAGGCUGCCGCGGUGCUGCCCCCGUUAGACAAGACAUGCACGGCGUUGCCGAUGUGUUCAUGGAGUCUCUGCACAGUGACCCAAGUUGAGGAGCUGAAGAUACUGCUACGGAUGUUACCCGUCUGGGCGUCGUUCGUGAUCUUCUACUCAGUCGCUGGGCAAAGCGCAUCGACAUUUAUCGAGCAGGGGAUGGUCAUGGACAACCACGUCGGCCAGUUCGCAAUCCCACCUGCCUCCCUCUCUAUUGUCAGCGUGUUCAGCGUCCUUAUUGGGGUUUUCAUCUACGAAUCCGUGCUAGUGCCACUCGUGCGGCGUUAUACCGGCAAGGCGAAGGGCUUCUCGCAGACGCAGCGCCUUGGAAUUGGCUUUGCACUGUCCAUGCUGACCAUGGUGUACUCAGCAAUGCUUGAGAUGAAAAGGCUGGCCAUCGCGCAAGCCAGUGGCCUGGCAGACCAGAAUGUGCCUGUGCCAGUGAGCAUUCUGUGGCAAGUUCCUGCAUAUGUAAUGCAAGGUACAGCUGGGGUUUUCGCAGGAAUCGGAAUGGUGGAGUUCUUCUACGAUGAGGCCCCUUACACCGUGAAGAGCCUUUGUGCAGCAUUCUCGCAGCUUGCAGUUGCGUCCGCGGCUUACUUCAACGCACUCGUAUUUAGUGUUGUUGCGGUGGCCACGAAGCACGGUGGUGCGCCUGGAUGGAUCCCGGAUAAUCUGAAUGAAGGGCACUUGGACUAUUUCUUCUGGAUGAUGGCUGCUCUUAGCUUACUGAAUCUGGCGCAAUUUGUGCACUACUCCAUGAGGCAUAGAGAGAAGACAACUUCUUGACACAAAAUGGUGGACACUGGACAGAAGCUUAUUGACUUUCCUAUCAUAUCACAACAAAGAUGGCUUCUAUGCAGUAUCUGUGGAUGGCGCACAGCAUUAUCCAUCAGAAUGAUAGAUAAUAAACUGAAACUUCAAUUUUUAUCAUUGUAUAUAUGGUUUUACUUCCGCCUAUUCUCUGUACUUAGCAGCCAACUUCAAACCAAGAGAAGAAUUUGAGACAAAAUUAAAUAAGUUCUUUGGUGUGGGCGGAUGAGCUGGUUAUGCCCCCACAACUUCAAGAGAUCAUUUGAUGCAAAUCAGAGUAUGGUUAACUGAUGAGAUCAUUCAAAGUGGUAUUUUUCAUGCAAAAAAUAAAGGACCCCAAGUGGUUUUCUUUUAAUAAAGAUGAUCCAGUUAGGGGGUUGUUUGAUAGAAUAUUCUGAUCGUCUUUAAGGUUACUUUCAUAGUCAAUUGUACCAGGACAGUAGACUGAAGCUCACGAACAGGGUGGCAUACUGGCCUGGAUCCCCUACCUAGAACCUCUGAUUCCCCUGUAAUCUGAAACCUUACCACUUGUACCCCCCCCCCCUAUGCAGUGGGAUUUUUCUGCUGCUUUGCAGGUAUGAGAAAUAUAUUCAGGUAGGGCUUCUCGUCCGCUUAUAAUCUAGUAGGACAAUAAUUCGAGAAUGUAAUCUGGUACCCCUCCGAUCCAUAUUAAUCGUUAACUUUGUACUAAACCAGCGACAAUUAAUAUGGAUCGGAGGGAGCAAUAAAAUUGUUCUGUGCACUUCUCUGGAACUAUAAACUGUAGGUAUGGCUGCAGAGUUAUUUGCACAAAACACAAACCUUGUAAAAAAAUCUGUUGGGUUCCAAAACUACCAUUAAGAAAAAUGACAAUUUCAGGAUUUUUCUAAUGAGCAUAUACGAGUCCUGCAGUUACCUGAGCCUCAGGUGCAACUUCUUCCAAGCAUCUCAAGCGUCAGUCCGUGCGUAGGCAAAUCGCCGAACACGUUGGGCGCGUUCCGUGGAAAGGGCAAAAGUAACCUGUUGGCUGCUGCCGAGAGGCGCGAUGCGGCGGCGGUGAUGCUCAUCCAGCGACAGCAGCAUGUGGCGGCUGCGGCGAAGGCCGUUGCAACGAGCGCUCCUCCACGAGGGUGGCGGCGGCGGCGGUCUGGCACGCACGCUCUCGCCAUGGCGAGUGCGGAGGCCGCACGGCCGGCUUGGGCCUCUGUACGAGCACAACCGUGUCCACACGGAUACAGUAAUGGCUUUUUUUUCUCCCUCAUCAUGUAAGACGUUUUUUUGGCACUAGUACACUGUCAAAAAACAUCUUACAUUAUACUCUCUCCGUUCCGAAUUAUUUGUCUUGGACUUGUUUAGAUACGGAUGUAUCUAGACUCAUUUUAGUGCUAGAUAUUUCCGUAUCUAGACAAAUCUAAGACAAGUACUUUGGAACGGAGCGAGUAGGACGGAGGAGGGAGUAUUAUGGAGCAUAAAUUCAUAUUUAUUGUAAAACAAAAUGUAAAAAAAAGCAGAACAAAAUGUAGACAACUCAUCAUGUUUAUUUAAAAAAUACGAAAAUGAUAAAUCUCGAACGUUCAUAUUUUAAGCAUGACCAUCCGAUCGUUUUUUAUGACAAUUUUAGUUCAUGCGAGAUUGAUAAACAUGACAAUAUUUCUGCCAAAAAACAAACUACGACAAAGUUGUCAUGUUUUAACAAGUAAAGCCGCCACCUCGUGUCAACUUGCUGUCACAUCCCUAUAAAUUCUUUGCAAAUAGUUGUAUCUUUAUCCAUGCAUCAUGUUAAAUUCAAAGAAAAUUGAGUCGACGGAAUUUUCAGAAGCCUCGGAAAAUAUUAAAUAAAGGGCAAGGACCCUGAAAUUGCAUUGAAUGAAUCCAAAAUGCCUUAAAAACAGUUCUGAGAAUUUUGGCAGGACUAUAUAUCUAACCAAAAUUAUUUAGGCCCUGUUUGUUUAGACUUUUGCUUCUGUUUUUGCAGCUUUUUCACUUUGGCUAAAAAGCCAUAAAAGCUCUAAGUAGAUGCUUUUAGAGCUUUUUUGGCUUUUGAUGAAUCAAUAUAACAAUAUUUAGCUUCAAAAGCCAUAAGAGCUAUAAAAGCACCUAUUUAGGAGCUUUUAUGGUUUUUUGGUUAAAGUGAAAAAGGUACAAAAGCAUAAGCAAAAGCUCAAACAAACAGGGGCAGUAUUGGGCGCCGGUGCGCCGGCCCAACAUUUCGGCCGGUCGCCUAGCACCCGUCGGAUUGGCACCAUCUGAACCGCUUAGGCCUUAUCUUCUUCCUCCAAUCUGAAAACGAUUCCCGCGGGUGAAGCUUCCUUCCCACGCGCAUGACAGAAGACGCCUGAAAAUCACCUCGUGUCCUCCAGCUUGUAGCACCUUGGGGCUCACCUUUCGUAGCAAACGACGGCACACGACCCCGUCGCCGGCCGCUUGGAGCACCGCUGCUCGCCACGCCCACACCCAAGGUCGUCGCCGCAAAAAACGUGGAGGCCGUCGAUGUAUCUUAUCUGUCCAUCGCUGUCAUUGGAAGAACUUGUCCAAUAGCCUCACAGCUCCACCUCCCAAAAUCCUUGUAGCUCCACCUCCCAUGACGAGCCCCCGUCGAAGCAAUCAUCGACGCCAGUCAUGGCGAAAAACGGCAAUGGAUGCAGCAAAAUGUUGUCACCGCCGUCACAGGUUGGGAUCAUCAUCAUUAAUGGUUGCAGCAUAUGUCAACGCGGGUCAUAGCAAAAAAAGACGAUGGAUGCAACAAAAAUGGCAUCUGCCGUUGCAGGUCAAAGCUGUGACAUGAAUGGUUGAAGCUUUUUCCAUUGUCGUAUGUAGCUUUUGUCACCAACAGUUGCAGCUUUCUUCGUCACCCAUAAUUUGCGAUAUCUAUUGUUGGAACUUAUUUCGUCGCCGGUUGAAGCUUUUCUCGUCGCCGGUUGAAGCCUUUAUCAUCGCCGGUUGAAGCUUUCGUGUUUGCGUAGUGCCAACACCCCCAAAAAUUGGUUCCAUCAAUUGAAGCUUUUGGUGACGCUGGUUGUAACUUGCUCGAUCACCCUAUGCAGCUUUAAUGUUUUGAGCAAUGGCUAACCGCAUAUUUUGGUCGUCUUCUUCUUUUUUUGAAAAAUCACCGGGGGGAGCUCCCCACCUGAAUACAUUUCUCAAUUUUGUAACCAAACGUUUGUCUGAUUACAAAGGUGAAUUACAUAAGCAUGUGUAGACGUGAUGAGAGAUAGGAGCGCCAUGAGGAGGCGGCCUGUUUAUGCUCUGGCUUCUUGAUCCGGUGCGUCCAGAGUAUGAGGUCGUCGAUGAUUCGCUUGAGGGUGAAGAUGUUGUGGUGACUCUAUUGCUUGAAAGUCAUAGCGUUCGUGGAAUCCCAAAUAUUCCACAGUAUGAUGAGGAGGACGGAGUGCCAAAUUAGCACAUCCACCUGGGGAGGGAGAUGGCAGUCCCAAAGGUCGUCGAUGGUGUCGGUUGCAGCACCAUGGAGGGGUAGCUUUUAGGUUUCAUGGGGGAGAGGAGAUGCUUGCAGCGGAGGGGAAGGAGGUGCUUGUGCAAGCAGCAAGGGGGCACGCCCUUAACGCUGGCGAACUCGUAGCGCGGGAGGCGAGAUGGAAUCAGCAGGAGGCGAGAGGAAGAAGAAGCGGAGCAGAAAGAAGAAUAAAAACGUGAAAAGGACGUCUAGCUUAAGGCUCACUGAUAACCCACAAGUAUAGGGUAUCGCAACAGUUUUCGAGGGUAGAGUAUUCAACCCAAAUUUAUUGAUUCGACACAAGGGGAGCCAAAGAAUAUUCUCAAGUAUUAGCAGCUGAGCUGUCAAUUCAACCACACCUAGAAACUUAAUAUCUGCAGCAAAGUAUUUAGUAGCAAAGUAAUAUGAUAGUAGUGGUAAUGGUAGCAAAAGAUAAUAGUAGCAAAAGUAGUGUUUUUGGUAUUUUGUAGUGAUGAUAGCAAUAGCAACGGAAAAGUAAAAAAGCGAAGAACAAUAUAUGGAAAGCUCGUAGGCAAUGAAUCAGUGAUGGAGAAUUAUGACGGAUGCGGUUCAUCAUGUAAUAGUCAUAACCUAGGGUGACACAGAACUAGCUCCAAUUCAUCACUGUAAUGUAGGCAUGUAUUCCGAAUAUAGUCAUACGUGCUUAUGAAAAAGAACUUGCAUGACAUCUUUUGUCCUACCCUCCCGUGGCAGCGGGGUCCUAACGGAAACUAAGGGAUAUUAAGGGCUCCUUUUAAUAGAGUACCGGACCAAAGCAUUAACACAUAGUGAAUACAUGAACUCCUCAAACUACGGUCAUCACCGGUAAGUAUCCUGAUUAUUGUCACUUCGGGGUUAACGGAUCAUAACACAUAAUAGGUGACUAUAGACUUGCAAGAUAGGAUCAAGAACUCUCAUAUAUUGAUGAAAACAUAAUAGGUUCAGAUCUGAAAUCAUGGCACCCGGGCCCUAGUGACAAGCAUUAAGCAUAGCAAAGACAUAGCAAUAUCAAUCUCAAAACAUAGUGGAUACAAGGGAUCAAACCCUAACAAAACUAACUCGAUUACAUGAUAAAUCUGAUCCAACCCAUCACCGUCCAGCAAGCCUACGAUGGAAUUACUAUGCACGGCGGUGAGCAUCAUGAAAUUGGUGAUGGAGGAUGGUUGAUGAUGACGAUGGCGACAGAUUCCCCUCUCCGGAGCCCCGAACGGACUCCAGAUCAGCCCUCCCGAGAGGUUUUAGGGCUUGGCGGCGGCUCCGUAUCAUAAAACACGAUGGAUCCUUCUCCUUUAUUUUCCCCUGAAAGCAAAUAUAUAGAGUUGGAGUCGCGGUCAGAGGAGCUCCAGGGGGCCCACGAGGUAGGGGGCGCGCCCCCCACCCUCGUGGCUAGGGUGUGGGCCCCCUGGUCUUCAUCUUAUGUAAGGAUUUUUUAUUAUUUCAAAAAAGACGUUCCGUGAAGUUUCAGGUCAUUCCGAGAACUUUUGUUUCUGCACAUAAAUAACACCAUGGUAAUUCUGCUGAAAAUAGCGUCAGUCCGGGUUAGUUCCAUUCAAAUCAUGCAAGUUAGAGUCCAAAACAAGGGCAAAAGUGUUUGGAAAAGUAGAUACGACAAAGACGUAUCAACUUCCCCAAGCUUAAACCUUUGCUUGUCCUCAAACAAUUCAGUUGAUAAACUGAAAGUGAUAAAGAAAAACUUUUACAAACUCUGGUUGCUCUUGUUGUUGUAAAUAUGUAAAGCCAGCAUUCAAGUUUUCAGCAAAGAUUAUGAACUAACCAUAUUCACAACAACACAUAGGUCUCAUGUUUACUCAUAUCAAUGGCAUAAUCAACUAGCGAGCAAUAAUAAUAAAUCUCGGAUGACAACACUUUCUCAAAACAAUCAUAAUAUGAUAUAACAAGAUGGUAUCUCGCUAGCCCUUUCUGAGACCGCAAAACAUAAAUGCAGAGCACCUUUAAAGAUCAAGGACUGACUAGACAUUGUAAUUCAUGGUAAAAGAGAUCCAAUCAAGUCAUACUCAAUGUAAACUAACAGUAAUGAAUGCAAAUGGCAGCGGUGUUCUCCAACUGUUGCUUUUUAAUAAGAGGAUGAUGACUCAACAUGAAAGUAAAUAGAUAGGCCCUUCUCAGAGGGAAACAGGGAUUUGUAGAGGUGCCAGAGCUAGCUCAGUUUUGAAAUAGAGGUGAAUAAUAUUUUGAACGGUAUACUUUCAUUGUCAACAUAACAACCAAGAGAUGGCGAUAUCUUCCCUGCUACACACAUUAUUGUUGGAAAUAUGCCCUAGAGGCAAUAAUAAAAGCAUUAUUAUUAUAUUUCCUUGUUCAUGAUAAUUGUCUUUAUUCAUGCUAUAAUUGUGUUAUCCGGAAAUCGUAAUACAUGUGUGAAUAACAGACACCAACAUGUCCCUAGUAAGCCUCUAGUUGACUAGCUCGUUGAUCAACAGAUAGUCAUGGUUUCCUGACUAUGGACAUUGGAUGUCAUUGAUAACGAGAUCACAUCAUUAGGAGAAUGAUGUGAUGGACAAGACCCAAUCCUAAACAUAGCAUAAAGAUCGUAUAGUUCGUUUGCUAGAGUUUUUCCAAUGUCAAGUAUCUUUUCCUUAGACCAUGAGAUCGUGUAACUCCCGGUUACCGUAGGAGUGCUUUGGGUAUACCAAACGUCACAACGUAACUGGGUGACUAUAAAGGUAGACUAUGGGUAUCUCCGAAAGUAUCUGUUGGGUUGACACGGAUCAAGACUGGGAUUUGUCACUCCGUAUGACGGAGAGGUAUCACUGGGCCCACUCAGUAAUGCAUCAUCACAAUGAGCUCAAAGUAACCAAGUGUCUGGUCACGGGAGCAUGCAUUACGGUACGAGUAAAGUGACUUGCCGGUAAUGAGAUUGAACGAGGUAUUGGGAUACCGACGAUCGAAUCUCGGGCAAGUAACAUAUCGAUUGACAAAGGGAAUUGCAUACGGGGUUGCUUGAAUCCUCGACAUCGUGGUUCAUCCGAUGAGGUCAUCAUGGAGCAUGUGGGAGCCAACAUGGGUAUCCAUAUCCCGCUGUUGGUUAUUGACCGGAGAGUCGUCUCGGUCAUGUCUGCCUGUCUCCCGAACCCGUAGGGUCUACACACUUAAGGUUCAGUGAAGCUAGGGUUGUGAAGAUAUGUAUAUGCAGUAACCCGAAUGUUUUUCGGAGUCCCGGAUGAGAUCCCGGAUGUCACGAGGAGUUCCGGAAUGGUCCGGAGGUAAAGAAUUAUAUAUAGGAAGUGCUAUUUCGGCCAUCAGGACAAGUUUCGGGGUCACCGGUAUUGUACCGGGACCACCGGAAGGGUCCCGGGGGUCCACCGGGUGGGGCCACCUGCCCCGGGGGCCACAUGGGCUGUAGGGGGUGCGCCUUGGCCUAUAUGGGCCAAGGGCACCAGCCCCAAAAGGGCCCAUGCGCCUAGGGUUUGGGGGAAACCCUAAAGGGGGGUGCCCCCUUGCUUGGGGGGCAAGCCCCCCACCCCUUGGCCGCCGCCCCCCUAGGAGAUCCUAGGGCCGGCUCCCCCCCUAGACACCCCUAUAUAUAGUGGGGGAGAUGAAGGACAUCACACCUCAGCCUUUUGGCGCCUCCCUCUCCCCUGUUACAUCUCUCUCUCGUAGUAUAGGCGAAGCCCUGCUACUGUGACGCCCUGCAUCCACCACCACGCCGUCGUGCUGUUGGAUCUUCAUCAACUUCUCCUUUCCCCUUGCUGGAUCAAGAAGAAGGAGACGUUACGCUGACCGUACGUGUGUUGAAUGCGGAGGUACCGUCCGUUCGGUGCUAGGAUCUCCGGUGAUUUGGAUCACGUCGUGUUCGACUACCUCAUCCCAGUUCUUUGAACGCUUCCGCUUGCGAUCUGCAAAGGUAUGUAGAUGCAUCCGAUCACUCAUUGCUAGAUGAACUCAUAGAUGGAUCUUGGUGAAGCCGUAGGAAAUUUUUUGUUUUCUGCAACGUUCCCCAACAGUGGUAUCAGAGCUAGGUCUAUGCGUAGUUCUUCUUGCGCGAGUAGAACACAAUUUGUUGUGGGCGUAGAUGUUGUCAAAUUUCUUGCCGCUACUAGUCUUAUCUUGCUUCAACGGUAUUGUGGGAUGAAGCGGCCCGGACCAACCUUACACGUAUGCUUACGUGAGACCGGUUCCACCGACUAACAUGCACUAGUUGCAUAAGGUGGCUGGCGGGUGUCUGUCUCUCCUACUUUAGUUGGAGCGGAUUCGAUGAAAAGGGUCCUUAUGAAGGGUAAAUAGAAGUUGACAAAUCACGUUGUGGCUUUCACGUAGGUAAGAAAACGUUCUUGCUAGAGUGCGUCUAACUUGUUUUUGCAGCAAGUGCUUUGUGAUAUGAUAUGGCCAAAGUUGUGAUGAAUGAUGAAUGAUCUAUAUAUGAUGUAUGAGUUGUUCAUGCUAUUGUAAUAGGAAUCACGACUUGCAUGUCGAUGAGUAUGACAACCGGCAGGAGCCAUAGGAGUUGUCUUUAUUUUUGUAUGACCUGCAUGUCAUUGAGAAACGCCAUGUAAAUUACUUUACUUUAUUGCUAAACGCAUUAGCCAUAGUAGUAGAAGUAAUAGUUGGCGAGCAACUUCAUGGAGACACGAUGAUGGAGAUCAUGAUGAUGGAGAUCAUGGUGUCAAGCCGGUGACAAGAUGAUCAUGGAGCCCCAAGAUGGAGAUCAAAGGAGCUAUGUGAUAUUGGCCAUAUCAUGUCAUGUUUAUUAUUUGAUUACAUGUGAUGUUUAUCAUGUUUUGCAUCUUGUUUACUUAGAACGACGGUAGUAAAAAAGAUGAUCCCUCAUAAUAAUUUCAAGAAGUGUUCCCCCUAACUGUGCACCGUUGCGACAGUUCGUUGUUUCAAUGCACCACAUGAUGAUCGGGUGUUUGAUCCAAACGUUCACAUACAACGGGUGUAAGACAGAUUUACACAUGCAAACACUUAUGUUGACUUGACGAGCCUAGCAUGUACAGACAUGGCCUUGGAACACAGAAGACCGAAAGGUCGAGCAUGAGUCGUAUAGAAGAUAUGAUCAACAUGAAGAUGUUCACCGACGUUGACUAGUCCAUCUCACGUGAUGAUCAGACACGGCCUAGUUGACUCGGAUCAUGUUAUACUUAGAUGACUAGAAGAGGCAUGUCUAUCUAAGUGGGAGUUCAUUGAAUAAUUUGAUUAGAUGAACUUAAUUAUCAUGAACUUAGUCUAAAAUAUUUAUAAUAUAUCUUGUAGAUCAAAUGGCCAACGUAGUCCUCAACUUCAACGCGUUCCUAGAGAAAACCAAGCUGAAAGACGAUGGCAGCAACUAUACGGAAUGGGUCCGGAACCUGAGGAUCAUCCUCAUAGCUGCCAAGAAAGAUUAUGUCCUACAAGCACCGCUAGUCCCACAGAACCAAGACGUUAUGAACGCUUGGCAGACACAUGCUGAUGACUACUCCCUCAUUCAGUGCGGCAUGCUUUACAGUUUAGAGCCGGGGCUCCAAAAGCGUUUUGAGAGACAUGGAGCAUAUGAGAUGUUCGAAGAGCUGAAAAUGGUUUUUCAAGCUCAUGCCCGGGUCGAGAGAUAUGAAGUCUCCGACAAAUUCUUUAGCUGUAAGAUGGAGGAAAAUAGUUCUGUCAGUGAGCACAUACUCACUAUGUCUGGGUUACAUAACCGCUUGACUCAGCUGGGAGUUAAUCUCCCGGAUGAUGCGGUCAUCGACAGAAUCCUCCAGUCGCUCCCACCAAGCUACAAGAGCUUUGUGAUGAACUUCAAUAUGCAGGGGAUGGAAAAGACCAUUCCUGAGGUAUUUGCAAUGCUGAAAUCAGCAGAGGUAGAAGUCAAGAAGGAACAUCAAGUGUUGAUGGUCAAUAAAACCACUAAGUUCAAGAAGGGCAAGGGUAAAAAUAACUUCAAGAAGGACGGCAAGGGAGUUGCCGCGCCCGGCAAGCAAGCUGCUGGGAAGAAGCCAAAGAAUGGACCCAAGCCCGAGACUGAGUGCUUUUAUUGCAAGGGAAGUGGUCACUGGAAGCGGAACUGCCCCAAAUACUUAGCAGACAAGAAGGCCGGCAAAACAAAAGGUAUAUAUGAUAUACAUGUAAUUGAUGUGUACCUUACUAGUACCCGUAGUAGCUCCUGGGUAUUUGAUACCGGUGCAGUUGCUCACAUUUGUAACUCAAAGCAGGGGCUGCGGAAUAAGCGGAGACUGGCAAAGAACGAGGUGACGAUGCGCGUCGGGAAUGGUUCCAAGGUCAAUGUGAUCGCCGUCGGCAUGCUACCUCUAUAUUUGCCUUCGGGAUUAGUUUUAAACCUUAAUAAUUGUUAUUUAGUGCCAGCUUUGAGCAUGAACAUUGUAUCGGGAUCUCGUUUAAUUCGAGAUGGCUACUCAUUUAAAUCCGAGAAUAAUGGUUGUUCUAUUUAUAUGAGAGAUAUGUUUUAUGGUCAUGCUCCUAUGGUGAAUGGUUUAUUCUUAAUGAAUCUCGAGCGUAACGCUACACAUAUUCAUAGUGUGAGUACCAAAAGAUGUAAGGUUGAUAAUGAUAGUCCCACAUAUUUGUGGCACUACCGCCUUGGUCACAUAGGUGUCAAACGCAUGAAGAAGCUCCAUGCUGAUGGACUUUUAGAGUCUCUUGAUUAUGAAUCAUUUGACACGUGCGAACCAUGCCUCAUGGGUAAAAUGACCAAGACUCCGUUCUCAGGAACAAUGGAGCGAGCAACCAACUUAUUGGAAAUCAUACAUACUGAUGUGUGCGGUCCAAUGAGUGUUGAGGCUCGCGGUGGCUAUCGUUAUGUUCUCACCCUCACUGAUGACUUGAGUAGAUAUGGGUAUAUCUACUUAAUGAAACACAAGUCUGAAACCUUUGAAAAGUUCAAGGAAUUUCAGAGUGAGGUUGAGAAUCAACGUGACAGGAAGAUCAAGUUUCUACGAUCAGAUCGUGGAGGAGAAUACUUGAGUCACGAAUUUGGCACACACUUAAGAAAAUGUGGAAUAGUUUCACAACUCACGCCGCCUGGAACACCUCAGCGUAAUGGUGUGUCCGAACAUCGUAAUCGCACUUUAUUAGAUAUGGUGCGAUCUAUGAUGUCUCUUACCGAUUUACCACUAUCUUUUUGGGGCUAUGCUUUAGAGACUGCCGCAUUCACUUUAAAUAGGGCUCCGUCGAAAUCCGUUGAGAUGACACUGUAUGAAUUAUGGUUCGGGAAGAAACCUAAGCUAUCGUUUCUAAAAGUUUGGGGAUGUGAUGCUUAUGUCAAGAAACUUCAACCUGAAAAGCUCGAACCCAAGUCGGAAAAAUGCGUCUUCAUAGGAUACCCUAAAGAAACUGUUGGGUAUACCUUCUACCUCAGAUCCGCAGGCAAGAUCUUUGUUGCCAAGAAUGGAUUCUUUCUAGAGAAAGAGUUUCUCUCGAAAGAAGUAAGUGGGAGGAAAGUAGAACUUGAUGAAGUAUUACCUCUUGAACCGGAAAAUGGCGCAACUCAAGAAAAUGUUCCUGAGGUGCCUGCACCGACUAGAGAGGAAGUUAAUGAUAAUGAUCAAGAUACUUCUGAUCAAGCUCCUACUGAAAUUCGAAGGUCCACAAGGACACGUUCCGCACCAGAGUGGUACGGCAACCCUGUCUUGGAAAUCAUGUUGUUAGACAACGGUGAACCUUGGAACUAUGAAGAAGCGAUGGCGGGCCUGGAUUCCGACAAAUGGCUAGAAGCCAUGAAAUCCGAGAUAGGAUCCAUUUAUGAAAACGAAGUAUGGACUUUGACUGACUUGCCCGUUAAACAGCGAUCCAUAGAAAAUAAAUGGAUCUUUAAGAAGAAGACAGACGUGGAUGGUAAUGUGACCAUCUAUAAAGCUCGGCUUGUCGCUAAGGGUUAUCGACAAGUUCAAGGUGUUGACUACGAUGAGACUUUCUCACCGGUAGCGAAGCUACAGUCCGUCCGAAUCAUGUUAGCAAUUGCCGCAUUUUACGAUUAUCAGAUUUGGCAAAUGGACGUCAAAACGGCAUUCCUUAAUGGUUUCCUUAAGGAAGAAUUGUAUAUGAUGCAGCUGGAAGGUUUUGUCGAUCCUAAGAAUGCUGACAAAGUGUGCAAGCUCCAACGCUCGAUUUAUGGGUUGGUGCAAGCAUCUCGGAGUUGGAACAUUCGCUUUGAUGAGAUGAUCAAAGCGUUUGGGUUUACGCAGACUUACAAAGAAGCCUGCGUUUACAAGAAAGUGAGUGGGAGCUCUGUAGCAUUUCUCAUAUUAUAUGUAGAUGACAUACUUUUGAUGGGAAAUGAUAUAGAACUCUUGGACAACAUCAAGGCCUACAUGAAUAAGAGUUUUUCAAUGAAGGACCUUGGAGAAGCUGCUUAUGUAUUAGGCAUCAAGAUCUAUAGAGAUAGAUCAAGACGUCUCAUAGGUCUUUCACAAAGCACAUAACUUGAUAAGAUAUUGAAGAAGUUCAAUAUGGAUCAGUCUAAGAAGGGGUUCUUGCCUGUGUUACAAGGUAUGAAAUUGAGCUCAGCUCAAUGUCCGACCACGGCAGAAGAUAUAGAAGAGAUGAGUGUCAUCCCCUAUGCCUCAGCCAUAGGUUCUAUUAUGUAUGCCAUGCUGUGUACCAGACCUGAUGUAAACCUUGCCGUAAGUUUGGUAGGAAGGUACCAAAGUAAUCCCGGCAAGGAACACUGGACAGCGGUCAAGAAUAUCCUGAAGUACCUGAAAAGGACUAAGGAAAUGUUUCUUGUUUAUGGAGGUGACGAAGAGCUCGUCGUAAAGGGUUACGUCGACGCUAGCUUCGACACAGAUCUGGAUGACUCUAAGUCACAAACCGGAUACGUGUAUAUUUUGAAUGGUGGGGCAGUAAGCUGGUGCAGUUGCAAGCAGAGCGUCAUGGCGGGAUCUACAUGUGAAGCGGAGUACAUGGCAGCCUCGGAGGCAGCACAUGAAGCAAUAUGUAUGAAGGAGUUCAUCACCGACCUAGGAGUCAUACCCAAUGCGUCGGGGCCAAUCAAACUCUUUUGUGAUAACACUGGAGCUAUUGCACUUGCCAAGGAGCCCAGGUUUCACAAGAAGACAAGGCACAUCAAGCGUCGCUUCAACUCCAUUCGUGAAAAUGUUCAAGAUGGAGACAUAGAGAUGUGUAAAGUACAUACGGACCUGAAUGUAGCAGAUCCGUUGACUAAACCUCUCCCUAGGGCAAAACAUGAUCAACACCAGAAUUCCAUGGGUGUUCGAUUCAUCACAAUGUAACUAGAUUAUUGACUCUAGUGCAAGUGGGAGACUGUUGGAAAUAUGCCCUAGAGGCAAUAAUAAAAGCAUUAUUAUUAUAUUUCCUUGUUCAUGAUAAUUGUCUUUAUUCAUGCUAAAAUUGUGUUAUCCGGAAAUCGUAAUACAUGUGUGAAUAAUAGACACCAACAUGUCCCUAGUAAGCCUCUAGUUGACUAGCUCGUUGAUCAACAGAUAGUCAUGGUUUCCUGACUAUGGACAUUGGAUGUCAUUGAUAACGAGAUUACAUCAUUCGGAGAAUGAUGUGAUGGACAAGACCCAAUCCUAAACAUAGCAUAAAGAUCAUAUAGUUUGUUUGCUAGAGUUUUUCCAAUGUCAAGUAUCUUUUCCUUAGACCAUGAGAUCGUGUAACGCCCGGAUACCGUAGGAGUGCUUUGGGUAUACCAAACGUCACAACGUAAUUGGGUGACUAUAAAGGUAGACUACGGGUAUCUCCGAAAGUAUCUGUUGGGUUGACACGGAUCAAGACUGGGAUUUGUCACUCCGUAUGACGGAGAAGUAUCACUGGGCCCACUCAGUAAUGCAUCAUCACAAUGAGCUCAAAGUAACCAAGUGUCUGGUCACGGGAUCAUGCAUUACGGUAUGAGUAAAGUGACUUGCCGGUAACGAGAUUGAACGAGGUAUUGGGAUACCGACGAUCGGAUCUCGGGCAAGUAACAUAUCAAUUGACAAAGGGAAUUGCAUACGGGGUUGCUUGAAUCCUCGACAUCGUGGUUCAUCCGAUGAUAUCAUCGUGGAGCAUGUGGGAGCCAACAUGGGUAUCCAGAUCCUGCUGUUGGUUAUUGACCGGAGAGUCGUCUCGGUCAUGUCUGCCUGUCUCCCGAACCCGUAGGGUCUAUACACUUAAGGUUCGGUGACGCUAGGGUUGUGAAGAUAUGUAUAUGCAGUAACCCGAAUGUUGUUUGGAGUCCCGGAUGAGAUCCCGGACGUCACGAGGAGUUCCGGAAUGGUCCGGAGGUUAAGAAUUAUAUAUAGGAAGUGCUAUUUCGGCCAUCGGGACAAGUUUCGGGGUCACCGGUAUUGUACCGGGACCACCGGAAGGGUCCCGGGGGUCCACCGGGUGGGGCCACCUGCCCCGGGGGCCACAUGGGCUGUAGGGGGUGCGCCUUGGCCUAUAUGGGCCAAGGGCACCAGCCCCAAAAGGGCCCAUGCGCCUAGGGUUUGGGGGAAAGCCUAAAGGGGGGCGCCCCCUUGCUUGGGGGGCAAGCCCCCCACCCCUUGGCCGCUGCCCCCCCUAGGAGAUUGGAUCUCCUAGGGCCGGCUCCCCCCCUAGACACCCCUAUAUAUAGUGGGGGAGAUGGAGGACAUCACACCUCAGCCUUUUGGCGCCUCCCUCUCCCCUAUUACAUCUCUCUCUCGUAGUAUAGGCGAAGCCGUGCUACUGUGACGCCCUGCAUCCACCACCAUGCCGUCGUGCUGUUGGAUCUUCAUCAACUUCUCCUUUCCCCUUGGUGGAUCAAGAAGAAGGAGACAUUACGCUGACCGUACAUGUGUUGAACGCGGAGGUACCGUCCGUUCGGUGCUAGGAUCUCUGGUGAUUUGGAUCACGUCGUGUUCGACUACCUCAUCCCCGUUCUUUGAACGCUUCCGCUCGCGAUCUGCAAAGGUAUGUAGAUGCAUCCGAUCACUCGUUGCUAGAUGAACUCAUAGAUGGAUCUUGGUGAAGCUGUAGGAAAAAUUUUGUUUUCUGCAACGUUCCCCAACAAUGGUAUCAGAGCUAGGUCUAUGCGUAGUUCUUCUUGCGCGAGUAGAACACAAUUUGUUGUGGGCGUAGAUGUUGUCAACUUUCUUGCCGCUACUAGUCUUAUCUUGCUUCAACGGUAUUGUGGGAUGAAGCGGCCCGGACCAACCUUACACGUAUGCUUACGUGAGACCGGUUCCACCGACUAACAUGCACUAGUUGCAUAAGGUGGCUGGCGGGUGUCUGUCUCUCCUACUUUAGUUGGAGCGGAUUCGAUGAAAAGGGUCCUUAUGAAGGGUAAAUAGAAGUUGACAAAUCACGUUGUGGCUUUCACGUAGGUAAGAAAAUGUUCUUGCUAGAACCCUAAUUCAGCCACGUAAAACUUGCAACAACAAUUAGAGGAUGUCUAACUUGUUUUUGCAGCAAGUGCUUUGUGAUAUGAUAUGGCCAAAGUUGUGAUGAAUGAUGAAUGAUCUAUAUAUGAUGUAUGAGUUGUUCAUGCUAUUGUAAUAGGAAUCACGACUUGCAUGUCGAUGAGUAUGACAACCGACAGGAGCCAUAGGAGUUGUAUUUAUUUUUGUAUGACCUGCGUGUCAUUGAGAAACGCCAUGUAAAUUACUUUACUUUAUUUCUAAACGCGUUAGCCAUAGUAGUAGAAGUAAUAGUUGGCGAGCAACUUCAUGGAGACACGAUGAUGGAGAUCAUGGUGUCAAGCCGGUGACAAGAUGAUCAUGGAGCCCCAAGAUGGAGAUCAAAGGAGCUAUGUGAUAUUGGCCAUAUCAUGUCACAUUUAUUAUUUGAUUGCAUGUGAUGUUUAUCAUGUUUUGCAUCUUGUUUACUUAGAACGACGGUAGUAAAUAAGAUGAUCCCUCAUAAUAAUUUCAAGAAGUGUUCCCGCUAACUGUGCACCGUUGCGACAGUUCGUUGUUUCAAUGCACCACGUGAUGAUCGGGUGUUUGAUCCAAACGUUCAAAUACAACGGGUGUAAGACAGAUUUACACAUGCAAACACUUAGGUUGACUUGACGAGCCUAGCAUGUACAGACAUGGCCUCGGAACACAGAAGACCAAAAGGUCGAGCAUGAGUCGUAUAGAAGAUAUGAUCAACAUGAAGAUGUUCACCGACGUUGACUAGUCCGUCUCACGUGAUGAUCGGACACGGCCUAGUUGACUCGGAUCAUGUUAUACUUAGAUGACUAGAAGAGGGAUGUCUAUCUAAGUGGGAGUUCAUUGAAUAAUUUGAUUAGAUGAACUUAAUUAUCAUGAACUUAGUCUAAAAUAUUUACAAUAUGUCUUGUAGAUCAAAUGGCCAACGUAGUCCUCAACUUCAACGUGUUCCUAGAGAAAACCAAGCUGAAAGACGAUGGCAGCAACUAUACGGACUGGGUCCGGAACCUGAGGAUCAUCCUCAUAGCUGCCAAGAAAGAUUAUGUCCUACAAGCACCGCUAGGUGACCCGCCUGUCCCACAGAACCAAGACGUUAUGAACGCUUGGCAGACACGUGCUGAUGACUACUCCCUUGUUCAGUGCGGCAUGCUUUACAGUUUAGAGCCGGGGCUCCAAAAGCAUUUUGAGAGACAUGGAGCAUAUGAGAUGUUCGAAGAUCUUAAAAUGGUUUUUCAAGCUCAUGCCCUGGUCGAGAGAUAUGAAGUCUCCGACAAAUUCUUUAGCUGUAAGAUGGAGGAAAAUAGUUCUGUCAGUGAGCACAUACUCACUAUGUCUGGGUUACAUAACCGCUUGACUCAGCUGGGAGUUAAUCUCCCGGAUGAUGCGGUCAUUAACAGAAUCCUCCAGUCGCUUCCACCAAGCUACAAGAGCUUUGUGAUGAACUUCAAUAUGUAGGGGAUGGAAAAGACCAUUCCUGAGGUAUUUGCAAUGCUGAAAUCAGCAGAGGUAGAAGUCAAGAAGGAACAUCAAGUGUUGAUGGUCAAUAAAACCACUAAGUUCAAGAAGGGCAAGGGUAAAAAGAACUUCAAGAAGGAUGGCAAGGGAGUUGCCGCGCCCGGCAAGCAAGCUACUGGGAAGAAGCCAAAGAAUGGACCCAAGCCCGAGACUGAGUGCUUUUAUUGCAAGGGAAGUGGUCACUGGAAGCGGAACUGACCCAAAUACUUAGCAGACAAGAAGGCCGGCAAAACAAAAGGUAUAUAUGAUAUACAUGUAAUUGAUGUGUACCUUACUAGUACCCGUAGUAGCUCCUGGGUAUUUGAUACCGGUGCAGUUGCUCACAUUUGUAACUCAAAGCAGGGGCUGCGGAAUAAGCGGAGACUGGCAAAGAACGAGGUGACGAUGCGCGUCGGGAAUGGUUCCAAGGUCAAUGUGAUCGCCGUCGGCACGCUACCUCUAUAUUUGCCUUCGGGAUUAGUUUUAAACCUUAAUAAUUGUUAUUUAGUGCCAGCUUUGAGCAUGGACAUUGUAUCGGGAUCUCGUUUAAUUCGAGAUGGCUACUCAUUUAAAUCCGAGAAUAAUGGUUGUUCUAUUUAUAUGAGAGAUAUGUUUUAUGGUCAUGCUCCUAUGGUGAAUGGUUUAUUCUUAAUGAAUCUCGAGCGUAACGCUACACAUAUUCAUAGUGUGAGUACCAAAAGAUGUAAGGUUGAUAAUGAUAGUCCCACAUAUUUGUGGCACUGCCGCCUUGGUCACAUAGGUGUCAAACGCAUGAAGAAGCUCCAUGCUGAUGGACUUUUAGAGUCUCUUGAUUAUGAAUCAUUUGACACGUGCGAACCAUGCCUCAUGGGUAAAAUGACCAAGACUCCAUUCUCAGGAACAAUGGAGCGAGCAACCAACUUAUUGGAAAUCAUACAUACUGAUGUGUGCGGUCCAAUGAGCGUUGAGGCUCGCGGUGGCUAUCGUUAUGUUCUUACCCUCACUGAUGACUUGAGUAGAUAUGGGUAUAUCUACUUAAUGAAACACAAGUCUGAAACCUUUGAAAAGUUCAAGGAAUUUCAGAGUGAGGUUGAGAAUCAACGUGAUAGGAAGAUCAAGUUUCUACGAUCAGAUCGUGGAGGAGAAUACUUGAGUCACGAAUUUGGCACACACUUAAGAAAAUGUGGAAUAGUUUCACAACUCACGCCGCCUGGAACACCUCAGCGUAAUGGUGUGUCCGAACGUCGUAAUCGCACUUUAUUAGAUAUGGUGCGAUCUAUGAUGUCUCUUACCGAUUUACCGCUAUCUUUUUGGGGCUAUGCUUUAGAGACUGCCGCAUUCACUUUAAAUAGGGCUCCAUCGAAAUCCAUUGUACCGGAACAAGUUUCGGGGUCACCGGUAUUGUACCGGGACCACCGGAAGGGUCCCGGGGGAACACCGGGUGGGGCCACCUGCCCCGGGGGCCACAUGGGCUGUUGGGGGUGUGCCUUGGCCUAUAUGGGCCAAGGGCACCAGCCCCAAAAGGGCACAUGCGCCAAGAGAAGAGGGAUAGGAAGAGUCCUAAAGGGGGAAGGCACCUCCGAGGUGCCUUGGGGAGGAGGGACUCCUCCCCUGGCCGCACCCUUCCUUGGAGGAAGGGCCAAGGUUGCCCUCCCUUUCCCCACUAUAUAUAGGGCCAAGGGAGAGGGGGGAGGCGCAGCCUUGGCCCUUCCUCCAAGGAAGGGUGCGGCCAGGGGAGGAGUCCCUCCUCCCCAAGGCACCUCGGAGGUGCCUUCCCCCUUUAGGACUCUUCCUAUCCCUCUUCUCUUGGCGCAUGGGCCUCUUGGGGCUGGUGCCCUUGGCCCAUAUAGGCCAAGGCGCAUCCCGUACAGCCCAUGUGCCCCCCCGGGGCAGGUGGCCCCACCCGGUGGACCCCCCGGGACCCUUCCGGUGGUCUCGGUACAAUACCGGUGACCCCGAAACUUGUCCCGAUGGUCGAAAUAGCACUUCCUAUAUAUAAUUCUUUACCUCCGGACCAUUCCGGAACUCCUCGUGACGUCCGAGAUCUCAUCCGGGACUCCGAACAACUUUCGGGUUACCGCAUACUAAUAUCUCUAUAACCCUAGCGUCACCGAACCUUAAGUGUGUAGACCCUACGGGUUCGGGAGACAUGCAGACAUGACCGAGACGUUCUCCGGUCAAUAACCAAUAGCGGGAUCUGGAUAUCCAUGUUGGCUCCCACAUGUUCCAUGAUGAUCUCAUCGGAUGAACCACGAUGUCAAGGACUUAAUCAAUCCCGUAUACAAUUCCCUUUGUCUAUUGGUACGAUACUUGCCCGAGAUUCGAUCGUCGGUAUCCCGAUACCUUAUUCAAUCUCGUUACAGGCAAGUCUCUUUACUCGUUCCGUAACACAUCAUCCCGUGAUCAACUCCUUGGUCUCAUUGUGCACAGUAUGAUGAUGUCCUACCGAGUGGGCCCAGAGAUACCUCUCCGUCACACGGAGUGACAAAUCCCAGUCUCGAUUCGUGCCAACCCAACAGACACUUUCGGAGAUACCCGUAGUGUACCUUUAUAGCCACCCAGUUACGUUGUGACGUUUGGCACACCCAAAGCACUCCUACGGUAUCCGGGAGUUGCACAAUCUCAUGGUCUAAGGAAAUGAUACUUGACAUUAGAAAAGCUUUAGCAUACGAACUACACGAUCUGGUGCUAUGCUUAGGAUUGGGUCUUGUCCAUCACAUCAUUCUCCUAAUGAUGUGAUCCCGUUAUCAACGACAUCCAAUGUCGAUGGUCAGGAAAUCGUAACCAUCUAUUGAUCAAUGAGCUAGUCAACUAGAGGCUUACUAGGGACAUGGUGUUGUCUAUGUAUCCACACAUGUAUCUGAGUUUCCUAUCAAUAAAAUUCUAGCAUGGAUAAUAAACGAUUAUCGUGAACAAGGAAAUAUAAUAAUAAUCAAUUUAUUAUUGCCUCUAGGGCAUAUUUCCAACAGUCUCCCACUUGCACUAGAGUCAAUAAUCUAGUUCACAUCGAUAUGUGAUUAACACUCAAGGUCACAUCCCCAUGUGACUAACACCCAAAGAGUUUACUAGAGUCAAUAAUCUAGUUCACAUUUACCAUGUGAUUAACACUCGAUGAGUUCUGGGUUUGAUCAUGUUAUGCUUGUGAGAGAGGUUAUAGUCAACGGGUCUGAACCUUUCAGAUCCGUGUGUGCUUUACAAAUCUCGAUGUCAUCUCCUAGAUGCAGCUACCACGUUCUAUUUGGAGCUAUUCCAAAUAACUGUUCUACUAUACGAAUCCAGUUUACUAGUCAGAAUAAUCUGGAUUAGUGUCAAAGUUUGCAUCGGCGUAACCCUUUAUGACGAACUCUUUUACCACCUCCAUAAUCGAGAAAAAUUCCUUAGUCCACUAGUUACUAAGGAUAACUUUGACCGUUGUCCUGUGAUCCAUUCUUGGAUCACUCUUGUACCCCUUGACUGACUCAUGGCAAGGCACACUUUAGGUGCGGUACACAGCAUAGCAUACUGUAGAGCCUAUGUCUUAAGCAUAGGGGACGACCUUCGUCCUUUCUCUCUAUUCUGCCGUGGUCAAGCUUUAAGUCUUAACUUCAUACCUUACAACUCAGGCAAGAACUCCUUCUUUGACUGAUCCAUCUUGAACACCUUCAAGAUCAUGUCAAGGAAUGUGCUCAUUUGAAAGUACCAUUAAGUGUUUUGAUCUAUCCUUAUAGAUCUUGAUGCUCAAUGUUCAAAUAGCUUAAUCCAGGCUUUCCAUUGAAAAACACUUUCCAAAUAACCCUAUAUGCUUUCCAGAAAUUCUACGUCAUUUCUGAUCAACAACAUGUCAACAGCAUAUAUUCAUCAGAAAUUCUAUAGUGCUCCCACUCACUUCUUUGGAAAUACAAGUUUCUCAUAAACUUUGUAUACACCCAAAAUCUUUGAUCAUCUCAUCAAAGCGUACAUUCCAACUCCGAGAUGCUUACUCCAGUCCUUAGAAGGAUUGCUGGAGCUUUGCAUAUUUAUUAGCAUCUUUCAGGAUUGACAAAACCUUCCGGUUGUAUCACAUACAACCUUUCCUCAAGAAAAUCGUCGAGGAAACAAUGUUUCGACAUCCUAUCUGCAAUAUUUCAUAAAUAAUGCAGUAAUCGCUAAUAUAAUUCCAACAGACUCUUAGCAUCGCUACGAGUGAGAAAGUCUCAUCGUAGUCAACUCCUUGAACUAGUCGGAAAACAUCUUAACGACAAGUCGAGCUUUCUUAAUGGUGAUACUUACCAUCAUUGUCCGUCUUCCUUUUAAAAUCCAUCUAUACUCAAUAGCCUUACGACCAUCGAGCCGUUCUGCCAAAGUCUACACUUUGUUUUCAUACAUGGAUCCUCUCUCAGAUUAUAUGGCCUCGAGCCAUUUUGGAAUCCAGGCCCACCAUCGCUUCUCCAUGGCUCGUAGGUUCAUUGUUGUCUAGCAACAUGACUUCCAAGACAGGAUUACGUACCACUCUGAAGUAGUACGCAUCCUUGUCAUCCCACGAGGUUUGGGAGUGACUUGAUCUGAAGUUUCAUGAUCACUAUCAUAAGCUUCCACUUCAAUUGGUGUAGGUGCCACAGGAACAACUUCCUGUGCCCUGCCACACACUAGUUGAAGAGACGGUUCAAUAUCCUCAUCAAGUCUCCACCAUCCUCCCACUCAAUUCUUUCGAGAGAAACUUUACCUCGAGAAAGGACCCGAUUCUAGAAACAAUCCCUUAUUGCUUUUGAAUCUGAGACAGGAGGUAUACCCAACUGUUUUGGGUGUCCUAUGAAGAUGCAUUUAUCCGCUUUGGGUUCGAGCUUAUCAGCCUGAAACUUUUUCACAUAAGUGUCGCAGCCCCAAACUUUUAAGAAAUGGCAGCUUAGGUUUCUCUAAACCAUAGUUCAUACGGUGUCAUAUCAUCGGAAUUACGUGGUGCCCUAUUUAAAGUGAAUGUGGUUGUCUCUAAUGCCUAACCCAUAAACUAUCGUGGCAAUUCGAUAAGAGACAUCAUGGUAUGCAUCAUAUCCAAUAGGGUGCAGUUAUGAUGUUCGGACACACCAUCACACUAUGGUGUUCCAGGCUGUAUUAGUUGUGAAACAAUUUCCACAAUGUCUUAAUUCUGUGCCAAACUCGUAAUUCAGAUAUUCAUCUCUAUGAUCAUAUCAUAGAUAUUUUAUCCUCUUGUCACGACGAUCUUUCAACUUCACCCUGAAAUUACUUCAAACCUUUCAAUAAUUUAGACUUGUGAUUUAUCAAGUAAGUAUACUCAACAUCUACUCAAAUCAUGUGUGAAGUAAGAACAUAACGAUAUCCACUACAUGCCUCAGCACGCAUUGGACUGCACACAUUAAAAUGUAUUUCUUCCAAGAAGUUGCUUUCUAGUUCCAUUUUACUGAAAACGAGGCUUUCAGUCAUCUUUCCCAUGUGGUAUGAUUUGCAUGUCUCAAGUGAUUCAAGAUCAAGUGAGUUCAAACGGUCCAUUUGCAUGGAGUUUCUUCAUGCAUAUACACCAAUAGACAUGGUUCGCAUGUCUCAAACUUUUCAAAAACGAGUGAGCCCAAAGAUCCAUCAACAUGGAGCUUCUUCAUGCGUUUUAUACCGAUAUGACUUACGUGGCAGUGCCACAAGUAGGUGGUGCUAUCAUUACUAUCUUAUAUCUUUUGGCAUGAACAUGUGUAUCACUACGAUCGAGAUUCAAUAAACCAUUCAUUUUAGGUGCAAGACCAUUGAAGGUAUUAUUCAAAUAAACGGAGUAACCAUUAUUCUCCUUAAAUGAAUAACCGUAUCGUGAUAGGCAUAAUCCAAUCAUGUCUAUGCUCAACGCAAACACCAAAUAACCAUUAUUUAGGUUUAACACCAAUCUCGAUGGUAGAGGGAGAAUGCGAUGCUUGAUCAUAUCAACAUUGGAAACACUUCCAACACAUAUCGUCAGCUCACCUUUAGCUAGUCUCCAUUUAUUCCGUAGCUUUUAUUUCGAGUUACUAACACUUAGCAACCGAACCGGUAUCUAAUACCCUGGUGCUACUAGGAGUACUAGUAAAGUGCACAUCAACACAAUGUAUAUCCAAUAUACUUCUAUCGACCUUGCCAGCCUUCUCAUCUACCAAGUAUCUAGGGUAAUUCUGCUCCAGUGGCUGUUCCCCUUAUUACAGAAGCACUUAGUCUCGGGUUUGGGUUCAACCUUGGGUUUCUUCACUAGAGCAGCAGCUGAUUUGCCGUUUCAUGAAGUAUCCCUUUGUUCCCUUGCCCUUCUUGAAACUAGUGGUUUCACCAACCAUCAACAAUUGAUGCUCCUUCUUGAUUUCUACUUUCGCGGUGUCAAACAUCGCGAAUAUCUCAAGGAUCAUCAUAUAUGUCCCUGAUAUAUCAUAGUUCAUCACGAAGCUCUAGCAGCUUGGUGGUAAUGACUUCGGAGAACCAUCACUAUUUCAUCUGGAAGAUCAACUCCCACUCGAUUCAAGUGAUUGUUGUACUCAGACAAUCUGAGCACAAGUUCAACAAUUGAGAUUUUCUCCCUUAGUUUGCAGGCUAAGAAAAUCGUCGGAGGUCUUAUACCUCUUGACGUGGGCACGAGCCUGAAAUUCCAAUUUCAGCCCUCGAAACAUCUCAUAUGUUUCACAACGUUUCAAAAACCGUCUUCGGUGCCUCAACUCUAAACCGUUUAACUGAACUAUCACGUAGUUAUCAAAACGUGUAUGUCAGAUGUUCGCAACAUCCACAGACGAUGUUCGAGGUUCAGCACACUGAGCGGUGCAUUAAGGACAUAAGCUUUCUAUGAAGCAAUGAGGACAAUCCUAGUCCACAUAAUUGCUACUAUCAACUUUCAACUAAAUUUUCUCUAGGAACAUAACUAAACAGUAGAACUGAAGCGCGAGCUAUGACAUAAUUUGCAAAGAUCUUUUGACUAUGUUCAGGAUAAUUAAGUUCAUCUUAUGAACUCCCACUCAGAUAGACAUCCCUCUAGUCAUCUAAGUGAUUACAUGAUCCGAGUCAACUAGGCCGUGUCCGAUCAUCACGUGAGACGGACUAGUCAACAUCGGUGAACAUCUUCAUGUUGAUCAUAUCUACCAUACGACUCAUGCUCGACCUUUCGGUCUUCUGUGUUCCGAGGCCAUGUCUGUACACAUGCUAGGCUCGUCAAGUCAACCUAAGUGUUUGCAUGUGUAAAUCUGUCUUACACCCGUUGUAUGUGAACGUUGGAAUCAAACACCCGAUCAUCACGUGGUGAUUUGAAACAACGAACUGUCGCAACGGUGCAUAGUUAGGGGGAACACUUUCUUGAAAUUUUAGUGAGGGAUCAUCUUAUUUACUACCGUCGUUCUAAGUAAACAAGAUGUAUAAACAUGAUAAACAUCACAUGCAAUCAAAUAAUAGUGACAUGAUAUGGCCAAUAUCAUAUAGCUCCUUUGAUCUCCAUCUUGGGGCUCCAUAAUCAUCUUGUCACCGGCAUGACACCAUGAUCUCCAUCAUCAUGAUCUCUAUCAUCGUGUCUUCUUGAAGUUGUCACGUCAUCUAUUACUUCUACUACAACAGCUAACGGUUAGCAAUAAAGUAAAGUAAUUACAUGACGUUUAUGUUGACACGCAGGUCAUAAAUAAAUUAAGACAACUCCUAUGGCUCCUGCCGGUUGUCAUACUCAUCGACAUGCAAGUCGUGAUUCCUAUUACAAGAACAUGAUCAAUCUCAUACAUCACAUAUAUCAUUCAUCACAUCCUUUGGCCAUAUCACAUUACAUAGCAUACCCUGCAAAAACAAGUUAGACGUCCUCUAAUUGUUGUUUGCAUGUUUUACGUGGCUGCUAUGGGUUUCUAGCAAGAACGUUUCUUACCUACGCAAAGACCACAAUGUGAUAUGCCAAUUGCUAUUUACCCUUCAUAAGGACCCUUUUCAUCGAAUCCGAUCCGACUAAAGUGGGAGAGACAGAUACCCGCCAGCCACCUAAUGCAACUAGUGCAUGUCAGUCGGUGGAACCAGUCUCACGUAAGAGUACGUGUAAGGUCGGUCCGGGCCGCUUGAUCCCACAAUGCCACCGAAUCAAGAUAAGACUAGUAACGGCAAGUAUAUUGAACAAAAUCAACGCCCACAACUACUUUGUGUUCUACUCGUGCAUAGAAACUACGCAUAGACCUAGCUCAUGAUGCCACUGAUGGGGAACGUAGCAUAAAUUCAAAAUUUUCCUACGUGUCACCAAGAUCUAUCUAUGGAGUCAUCUAGCAACGAGGGAGGAGUGGAUCUACAUACCCUUGUAGAUCGCCCGCGGAAGCGUUCAAGAGAACGGGGUUGAUGGAGUCGUACUCGUCGUGAUCCAAAUCACCGAUGAUCCUAGCGCUGAACGGACGGUACCUCCGUGUUCAACACACGUAUGGAGCAGCCACGUCUCCUCCUUCUUGAUACAGCAAGGGGGAAGGAGAGGUUGAUGGAGAUCCAACAACAGACGGUGUGGUGGUGGAAGUAGCGGGAUUCCAACAGGGCUUCGCCAAGCGCCGCGGGAGGAGGGAGAUGUGUCACGGGAGGGAGAGGGAGGCGCCAGGUCUUAGGUAUGGUUGCCCUCCCUUUCCCCACUAUAUAUAGGGCCAAGGGAGAGGGGGGAGGCUCAGCCUUCGCCCUUCCUCCAAGGAAGGGUGCGGCUAGGGGAGGAGUCCCUCCUCCCCAAGGCACCUCGGAGGUGCCUUCCCCCUUUAGGACUCUUCCUAUCCCUCCUCUCUUGGCGCAUGGGCCUCUGGGGGCUGGUGCCCUUGGCCCAUAUAGGCCAAGGUGCACCCCCUACAGCCCAUGUGCCCCCCCGGGGCAGGUGGCCCCACCCGGUGGACCCCCGGGACCCUUCCGGUGGUCCCGGUACAAUACCGGUGACCCUGGAACUUGUCCCGAUGGCCGAAAUAGCACUUCCUAUAUAUAAUUCUUUACCUCCGGACCAUUCCGGAACUCCUCGUGAUGUCCGGGAUCUCAUCCGGGACUCCGAAAAACUUUCGGGUUACCGCAUACUAAUAUCUCUAUAACCCUAGCAUCACCGAACCUUAAGUGUGUAGACCCUACGGGUUCGGGAGACAUGCAGACAUGACCGAGACUUUCUCCAGUCAAUAACCAAUUGCGGGAUCUGGAUACCCAUGUUGGCUCCCACAUGUUCCACGAUGAUCUCGUCGGAUGAACCACGAUAUUAAGGACUUAAUCAAUCCCGUAUACAAUUCCCUUUGUCUAUCGGUACGAUACUUGCCCGAGAUUCGAUCGUCGGUAUCCCGAUACCUUGUUCAAUCUCGUUACCGGCAAGUCUCUUUACUCGUUCCAUAACACAUCAUCCCGUGAUCAACUCCUUGGUCACAUUGUGCACAGUAUGAUGAUGUCCUACCGAGUGGGCCCAGAGAUACCUCUCCGUCACACGGAGUGACAAAUCCCAGUCUCGAUUCAUGCCAACCCAACAGACACUUUCGGAGAUACCCGUCGUGUACCUUUAUAGCCACCCAGUUACGUUGUGACGUUUGGCACACCCAAAGCACUCCUACGGUAUCCGGGAGUUGCACAAUCUCAUGGUCUAAGGAAAUGAUACUUGACAUUAGAAAAGCUUUAGCAUACGAACUACACGAUCUAGUGCUAUGCUUAGGAUUGGGUCUUGUCCAUCACAUCAUUCUCCUAAUGAUGUGAUCCCGUUAUCAACGACAUCCAAUGUCCAUGGUCAGGAAACUGUAACCAUCUAUUGAUCAACGAGCUAGUCAACUAGAGGCUUACUAGGGACAUGGUGUUGUCUAUGUAUCCACACAUGUAUCUGAGUUUCCUAUCAAUACAAUUCUAGCAUGGAUAAUAAACGAUUAUCAUGAACAAGGAAAUAUAAUAAUAAUCAAUUUAUUAUUGCCUCUAGGGCAUAUUUCCAACAGCAAGAAGGAUUUCUAGCACCAUUGCCGGGGAGUCUACGCAAAAUUCAGUAUACCAAGUACCCAUCACAAUACUUAUCUCCCGCAUUACAUUAUUUGCCAUUUGCCUCUCGUUUUCCUCUCCCGCACUUCACCCUUGCCAUUUUAUUUGCCCUCUCUUCUCGCUCGCCUUUCUUCCGCCAUGUCUGAAUCAAAAUGGGAUGGGAGUUCUCUGCAGAGUUUUAGUACUUUGGACAACCAUUCUAUUCUCGAUAAGCUCAUAAAUAUGGAUACUAUGGAAAAACCUACCAAAGUUAUCAAUGAGAAUCUUAAUAAUUUUGAUGAAGAUGAUUCUGGAAUUUUUCGUUAUUUACUUGAUGAAUCUUUGAAAGAUGCUUGGUAUAGACUAUUAAGGAUCAGGGCUAGCUACGUGCCUCAAUACCAAAUUGAAGUUUACUUAAAAAGCUUUUAUAUUGCCCUUCCUUCUUCUUUUAAGCAUGUCUUAGAUUCUACAUUUGAAGAAGGUUUUCUUGAAGGCGAUGUUGUAGACACUUAUGAAAAAAUGAAAACCAUAUUUGGGCACCCCAUGAAUGAGAAAGUUGAAUCUACAUCUCUUUUGCUCUCUUACCAAAAUGAAUCUAUUAAAGAGAUAAAGGCUAGCCUAGAUACAAAUUUCCGUAACGUACUUAAUCUUUCCUCUACCAUUAAUAGCCAUGUGCUUUAUCAAAAUAGAAGGAUCAAUUCUAUAGAUAGCAAGUUUGCUCUUUUCUUUCCUAAUACUAAAGAUGGCAAUACCUAGAUCUAUCCUUGCUUUUUAUGCUUAGCUAGGGGCGUUAAACGAUAGCGCUUGUUGGGAGGCAACCCAAUUUUAUUUUUAUUCCUUGCUUUUUGCUCCUGUUUAGUAAUAAAUAAUUUAUCUAGCCUCUGUUUAGGUUGUGUUUUUUGUGUUUAAUUAGUGUUUGUGCUAAGUAGAACCGUUGGGAAGACUUGGGGAAAGUCUUGAUAUCUUGCUGUAAAAAACAGAAACUUUAGUGCUCACGAGAACUGCCGCCAUUUUUAUUUGGAAAGUGUUAUUUAGUUAAUUAUUUUUGAAGAUGAUUAAUAGAUAAAUUCCUCACGUCCAGAAAUUUAUUUUAGAAUUUUUGGGGUUCCAGAUUUGCGCUAGCUACAGAUUACUACAGACUGUUCUGUUUUUGACAGAUUCUGUUUUUCGUGUGUUGUUUGCUUAUUUUGAUGAAUCUAUGGCUAGUAAAAUAGUUUAUGAACCAUAGAGAAGUUGAAAUACAGUAGGUUUAACACCAAUAUAAAUAAAUAAUGAGUUCAUUACAUUACCUUGAAGUGGUCUUUUGUUUUCUUUCGCUAACGGAGCUCACGAGAUUUUCUACUUUAAGUUUUGUGUUGUGAAGUUUUGAAGUUUUGGGUAGAGAUUUGAUGGAUUAUGGAGCAAGGAGUGGCAAGAGCCUAAGCUUGGGGAUGCCCAUGGCACCUCCAAGAUAAUCUAAGGACACCUAAAAGCCAAAGCUUGGGGAUGCCCCGGAAGGCAUCCCCUCUUUUCGUCUACUUCUAUCGGUAACUUUACUUGGAGCUAUAUUUUUAUUCACCACAUGAUAUGUGUUUUGCUUGGAGCGUCUUGUAUGAUUUGAGUCUUUGCUUUUUAGUUUAUCACAAUCAUCCUUGCUGUACACACCUUUUGAGAGAGCCAUACAAGAUUUGGAAUUUGUUAGAAUACUCUAUGUGCUUCACUUAUAUCAUUUGAGUUAUAUAGUUUUGCUAUAGUACUUCACUUAUAUCUUUUAGAGCACGGUGGUGGAUUUGUUUUAUAGAAACUAUUGAUAUCACAUGCUUCACUUAGAUUAUUUUGAGAGUCUUAAAUAACAUGGUAAUUUGCUUAAAUAAUCCUAAUAUGCUAGGUGUUCAAGAUUAAUAAAUUUUUUCUUAUGAGUGUUUUGAAUACUAAGAGAAGUUUGAUGCUUGAUGAUUGUUUUGAGAUAUGGAGGUAAUAAUAUCAAAGUCGUGCUAGUUGAGUAGUUGUGAAUUUGAGAAAUGCUUGUGUUGAAGUUUGCAAGUCCCGUAGCAUGCACAUAUGGCAAACGUUAUGUAACAAAUUUGAAACAUGAGGUAUUAUUUGAUUGUCUUCCUUAUGAGUGGCGGUCGGGGACGAGCAAUGGUCUUUUCCUACCAAUCUAUCCCCCUAGGAGCAUGCCCGUAGUGCUUUGGUUUUUGAUGACUUGUAGAUUUUUGCAAUAAGUAUGUGAGUUCUUUAUGACUAAUGUUGAGUCCAUGGAUUAUAAGCACUCUCACCCUUCCAUCAUUGCUAGCCUCUUCGGUACCGUGCAUUGCCCUUCUCACAUUGAGAGUUGGUGCAAACUUCGCCGGUGCAUCCAAACCCCGUGAUAUGAUACGCUCUUUCACACAUAAACCUCCUUAUAUCUUCCUCAAAACAGCCACCAUACCUACCUAUUAUGGCAUUGCCAUAGCCAUUCUGAGAUAUAUUGCCAUGCAACUUUCCACCAUUCCGUUCAUCAUGACACAUUCAUCAUUGUCAUAUUGCUUAGCAUGAUCAUGUAGUUGACAUAGUAUCUGUGGCAAAGCCACCGUUCAUAAUUCGUUCAUACAUGUCACUCUUGGUUCAUUGCAUAACCUGGUACACCGCCGGAGGCAUUCAUAUAGAGUCAUAUCUUGUUCUAAGUAUCGAGUUGUAAUCAUUGAGUUGUAAAUAAAUAGAAGUGUGAUGAUCAUCAUUAAUAGAGCAUUGUCCCAAAUAAAAAAAGAAAGGCCAAAUAAAAAAAUAAAAAAAAAUAAAGAAGGGACAAUGCUACUAUCCUUUUUCCACACUUGUGCUUCAAAGUAGCACCAUAAUCUUCAUGAUAGAGAGUCUUUUGUUUUGUCACUUUCAUAUACUAGUGGGAAUUUUCCAUUAUAGAACUUGGCUUGUAUAUUCCAACAGUGGGUCUCCUCAAGUGCCCUAGGUCUUCGUGAGCAAGCAAGUUGGAUGCACACCCACUUAGUUUCUUUUGUUGAGCUUUCAUACAUUUAUAGCUCUAGUGCAUCCGUUGCAUGGCAAUCCCUACUCCUUGCAUUAACAUCAAUCGAUGGGCAUCUUCAUAGCCCAUUGAUUAGCCUCGUUGAUGUGAGACUUUCUCCUUUUUUUGUCUUCUCCACAUAACCCCCAUCAUCGUAUUCUAUUCCACCCAUAGUUCUAUAUCCAUGGCUCGCGCUCAUAUAUUGCGUGAAAGUUUAUAGGUUUGAGAUUACUAAAGUAUGAAACAAUUGCUUGGCUUGUCCUCGGGGUUGUGCAUGAUGUGAGCAUUCUUGUGUGAUGAAACUGGAGCAUGACUAACUAUAUGAUUUUGUAGGGAUGAACUUUCUUUGGCCAUGUUAUUUUGAGAGGACAUAAUUGCUUAGUUAGUAUGCUUGAAGUAUUAUUAUUUUUAUGUCAAUAUGAACUUUUAUCUUGAAUCUUUCGGAUCUGAAUAUUCAUACCACAAUUAAGAAGAAUUACAUUAAAAUUAUGCCAAGUAGCACUCCGCAUCAAAAAUUCUGUUUUUAUCAUUUACCCACUCGAGGAAGAGCAGGAAUUAAGCUUGGGGAUGCUUGAUAUGUCUCCAACAUAUCUAUAAUUUUUGAUUGCUCCAUGCUAUAUUAUCUACUAUUUUGGACAUUAUUGGGCUUUAUUAUCCACUUUUAUCUUAUUUUUGGGACUAACCUAUUAACCGGAGGCCCAACCCAGAAUUGUUGUUUUUUUGCCUAUUUUAGGGUUUCGAAGAAAAGGAAUAUCAAACGGAGUCCAAAUGGAAUGAAACCUUCGGGAACAUGAUUUUCUCAUCGAACAUGAUCUAGGAGACUUGGACCCUACGUCAAGACACAAAGGAGGAGGCCACGAGGUAGGGGGCGCGCCUACCCCCCCAGGCGCGCCCUCCACCCUCGUGGGCCCCCUGUUGCUCCACCGACGCACUCCUUCCUCCUAUAUAUACCUAUGUACCCCCAAACAAUCAGAUACGGAGCCAAAACCCUAAUUCCACCGCCACAACUUUUUGUAUCCACGAGAUCCCAUCUUGGGGCCUAUUUCGGAGCUCCGCCAGAGGGGGUAUCCAUCACGAAGGGCUUCUACAUCAUCACCGUAGCCCCUCCGAUGAAGUGUUAGUAGUUUACCUCAGACCUAUGGGUCCAUAGUUAUUAGCUAGAUGGCUUCUUCUCUCUUUUUGGAUCUCAAUACAAUGUUCUCCCCCUCUCUUGUGGAGAACUAUUCGAUGUAAUCUUCUUUUUGCGGUGUGUUUGUUGAGACCGAUGAAUUGUAGGUUUAUGAUCAAGUCUAUUUAUGAACAAUAUUUGAAUCUUCUCUGAAUUCUUUUAUGUAUGAUUGGUUAUCUUUGCAAGUCUCUUCGAAUUAUCAGUUUGGUUUGGCCUACUAGAUUGAUCCUUCUUGCAAUGGGAGAAGUGCUUAGCUUUGGGUUCAAUCUUGCGGUGUCCUUUCCCAGUGACAGUAGGGGCAGCAAGGCACGUAUUGUAUUGUUUCCAUCGAGGAUAACAAGAUGGGGUUUUCAUCAUAUUGCAUGAGUUUAUCCCUCUACAUCAUGUCAUCUUGCUUAAGACAUUACUCUAUUUUCAUAAACUUAAUACUCUAGAUGCAUGCUAGAUAGCGGUCGAUGAGUGGAGUAAUAGUCGUAGAUGCAGGCAGGAGUCGGUCUACUUGUCUCGGACGUGAUCCCUAUAUACAUGAUCAUGCCUAGAUAUUCUCAUAACUAUGCUCAAUUCUGUCAAUUGCUCAACAAUAAUUCAUUCACCCACAGUAGAAUACUUAUGCUCCUGAGAGAAGCCACUAGUGAAACCUAUGGCCCCCGGGUCUAUCUUCAUCGUAUUAAUCCUCCAAUACUUAGUUAUUUCCUUUGCUUUUUUACUUUUCUUUUAUUUUACUUUGCAUCUUUAUCAUAAAAAUACCAAAAAUAUUAUCUUAUCAUAUCUAUCAGAUCUCACUCUCGUAAGUGGCCGUGCAGGGAUUGACAACCCCUUAUUACGUUCAUUGCAAGGAUUUAUUUGUUUUGUGCAGGUACGAGGGACUCGCGCGUAGCCUCCUACUGGAUUGAUACCUUGGUUCUCAAAACUGAGGGAAAUACUUACGCUACUUUGCUGCAUCAUCCUUUCCUGUUCCGGGAAAACCCAACGCAGUGCUCAAGAGGUAGCACAUAUAAGAGCCACUUCAACAAUUUAAUUAUGGUCUUCUCCUAUCGACCCCCAAAGAAAAGAAAAGAAAUAAAACUAUUUACAUAGGAAAGCUCCCAACAAGCAAAAGAAGAACAUGAAAUCUUUUUGGGUUUUCUUUUUAAUUACUACUACAAGCAUGGAAAGUAAACUAAUUAAAAGCUACAACUAAUUUUUUUGGUUUUUCUUAAGGUUUAUUAAACACAUAAGAAGAAAGCAUAAAAAGGGAAUAAACUAGCAUGGAUGAUACAAUGAAAAAGUAUGAGCACCUACAUCUAGCAAUGAGUGUGUGAACAUAAAUGUAAUGUCGAUGGGAAAUAUGUACUCCCCCAAACAUAGGCUUUUGGCCUAAGUCGGUCUAUGGCCACGGCUGGCCUGGCGGAUAUCCAUAAUAAUAGUUGGGGUCGUACUGCGAAGAAGAAGAUUCUGAUUGCCACUGGUUGGCAAUCAUCUCCGGAUCCCAGAGAUAAUUAGACUGUCGUGGAGGAUCAAUUUGUCGUUCCAACUCUGGCUCUGCGGCCGAUGCAGGGUUUUGAUAGGCGUGAAUAUCCUCCAGCGAGAUGAGGUACUGGCCUGCAGAUAAAUCAAACAAGGAAGGAGCAGGCAAGGUAAUAGUCUCCGGAUGAUGUUUAUCAAAGAACAAUUUGUAUUUAAGCCCCCCUUCCAUAUUCUUUAUAAUGAAAUCAUGUGCUACCAUACUCUUAUAAUCUAAAUAAACAGUAGGCAACAAUUUUCUUCUUUUUCAUAGUGCCUAAUAGGUAUGUUAUAAUAUGCAGCAAGGCGUGAAGCACAGAUACCACCAAAGAUGAGUCCUUUUGUACGGUUCAGACUUAACCAUUUAGCAAUAAUACCGCCCAUACUCACCGAGUUAUCACGAAAUAAACUGUGGAACAAAAUAAUAAUAUCAGGAACACUAAGGUUUCCACAAUUUCCGCGACUAAUUAAGCGAUGACUAGCAAAUAUUGCAAAGUAGCGUAAAACAGGAAAAUGUAUGUUAGCGAUUCGUGCAUCAGAAACCUUCCUCGUUUCCCCUACAGUGAUGGUACCAAUAAACCCAUCCACAUCGUCACAUUUCCUCUAUUUUGCCCUCGAAAGGGAUCAAACAAACCAGACAAAAAUCAUAAAGUGACAUCUUCUUAACCACAUCAUAUAAAUAAAACUCUACUGAAGGAGGUGAUUCCCUAGGAUAAUAGUAGAAGUUUUGCGCAAAAUUAUUGGUGAGUAAGAGAUAUUGUUCGCGUUGGUCGCGGAGGAAGUCGGUGAGGCCUGCAUUCUUAGCCAAUUCAUAAAAAUCCUCAUAAAUCCCGGUUGCUCUCAAGAAUUCAUCGGAGGGCCUUUCACACGGCCUAACCUCCGCGGUGCGAGGCAAAUUAUAUUUGGGCUUCAUUGCUUCUUCAUUUUGCUUUUCCUUCGAGCUUCGGCUCGAUGAGCCCCUCAAAAAUCUCUUCAUUAUUCUCUGAAAAAUUCUGAAAUAUUUAGUAACUUCAAAAUAAAAGUGAACCAAACUCAACAAAAUUGAUAGCAACUACUCAUACAAGUGCCUAGAGCCUAUAUCAUGCAUCAAAACUACUUGGAACCAUAUAAAUUUGACAUGCAAGCUCAAGAACAUGGUCACCUAGGCAGCACAAAUUUGCAAUGAAUAAAGCACUAGAACAAAACUAAUUGGACCAAUGGAGGAGUCACAUUCCAAGGAACAAGCCCCCCAAGAAGUUUUGUGAGAGGUGCUUUGAGCAAGGAGAUCGAAAAUGGCAGUAAAAAUAAGCUUGGACUCGGGUUUGAACUAGAUAAUCCUGUUUGUGGGAGGAAGAAGGAGUGUGUGGGUGCAGGAAUAAGUGGAGGAGGGCCACCAUGGGCCCACGAGGCAGGGGGCGCGCCCUGGGGGGUAGGGCACGCCCCUGACCCUCGUGGCCAGGUGCCAGCUCCUCCUGCUGUGUUCUCAAUGCCAAAUAUUCUCAAAUAUUCCAGAAAAAAUCAUAUUUAAAUUUCAGGGCAUUUGGAGAACUUUUAUUUUCACGGUAUUUUUAUAUUGCACGGAUAAUUCAGAUAACAGACAGAAAAUACUAUUUUUAUUUUAUUUAAUAUAAAUAACAGAAAGUAAAAGUGGGGUAUAGAAGGUUCUGCCUUCUAGUUUCAUCCAUCUCAUGCUCAUCAAAAGGAAUCCACUAACAAGGUUGAUCAAGUCUUGUUACCGAACUCAUUCCGAAUAACAUGGAACCAGAGAAAAUUCGAAUAACACUAUGUUACCUCAACGGGGAUAUGCACAUCCCCAACAAUAAUAAUAUCAUAUUUCUUCUUAACAGUAGGAAGAGGAAAUUCAAAACCUCCAAAAAUAAUCGAUGGAAUUUUUCCAAUAGAAUUGAUACUGUGGACUUGAGGUUAUUUCCUCGGAAAGUUUACCAUAUGCUCAUUACCAUUAACAUGAAAAGUGACAUUGCCUUUGGUGCAAUCAAUAACAGCCCCUGCAGUAUUCAAAAAGGGUCUUCCAAGAAUAAUAGACAUACUAUCGUCCUCGGGAAUAUCAAGAAUAACAAAGUGCGUUAAAAUAGUAACGUUUGCAACCACAACAGGCACAUCCUCACAAAUACCGACAGGUAUAGCAGUUGAUUUAUCAGCCAUUUGCAAAGAUAUUUCAGUAGGUGUCAACUUAUUCAAAUCAAGUCGAUGGUAUAAAGAGAGAGGCAUAACACUAACACUAGCUCCAAGAUCACAUAAAGCAGUUUAACAUAGUUUCUUUUAAUGGAGCAUGAUAUAGUGGGUACUCCUGGAUCUCCAAGUUUCUUUGGUAUUCCACCCCUAAAAGUAUAAUUAGCAAGCAUGGUGGAGAUUUUAGCUUCUAGUAUCUUUCUUUUAUUAGUGACAAUUUCUUUCAUGUAGUUAGCAUAAGGAUUCAUUUUGAGCAUAUCAGUUAACCACAUACGCAAAAAGAUAGGUCUAAUCAUUUAAGCAAAGCGCUCAAAAUCCUCAUCAUCCUUUUUCUUGGAUGGUUUGGGAGGGAAAGGCAUGGGUUUCUGAACCCAAGACUCUCUUUCCUUUCCGUAUUUCCUAGCAACAAAGUCUUUCUUAUCAUAACGUUGAUUCUUUGAUUGUGGGUUAUCAAGAUCAACAACAGGUUCAAUUUCUACAUCAUUAUCAUUACUAGGUUGGGUAUCAUCAUGAACAUUUUUAUUAACAUUAUCACUAGUUUCAGGUUCAUUACCAGAUUGUGUUUCAGUAUCAGAAAUAGAAAUAUCAUUUGGAUUCUCAGGUGUUUCAGUAAUAGGUUCACUAGAAGCAUGCAAAGUCCUAUCAUUUUUCUUUUUCUUCCUUUUAGAAGGACUAGGUGCAUCUAUAUUAUUUCUCUGAGAAUCUUGCUCAAUUCUCUUAGGGUGGCCUUUAGGAUACAAAGGUUCAUGAGUCAUUCUACCAGUUUUAGUAGCCACUCUAACAGCAUAAUCAUUAUUCUUACUAUUCAAUUCAUUGAGAAAAUCAUUUUGAGCUUUAAGUACUUGUUCUACUUGAGUGGUAACCAUAGAAGCAUGUUUACUAAUAAGUUUAAGUUCACCUUUAACAUUAGCCAUAUAAUCACCCAAGUGUUCAAGCAUAUUUGAAUUGUAUUUCGAUUGUCUACCAAAAUAAGCAUUAAAAUCUUCUUGCUUAACCAUAAGUUUAUCAAACUCAUCUAAGCAUGGGCUAGCAAACUUAGUAAUGGGAUUUCAGCUUUAUCAUAUCUAUAGAGAGAAUUUACCUUUACUACCUGUGUCGGGUUAUCAAGACCAUGUGUUUCUUCAAUAGGUGAAGGAUUAAGAUCAUAUGUUUCUUCAACAUGCGGUAAAUUAAGACCGUGUAUUUCUUCAAUAGGAGGUAAAUUCUUAACAUCUUCAGCUUUAAUACCUUUUUCUUUCAUAGAUUUCUUUGCCUCUUGCAUAUCUUCAGGACUGAGAAAUAGAACACCUCUCUUCUUCGGAGUUGGUUUAGGAAUAGGCUUAGGAGGUGUCCAAUUAUUUUCAUUUGUCAACAUAUUAUUCAAUAGAAUUUCAGCUUCAUCUGGUGUUCUUUCCCUGAAAACAGAACCAGCACAACUAUCCAGGUAAUAUCUGGAAGCAUCGGUUAGUCCAUUAUAAAAGAAAUCAAGUAUUUCAUUUUUCUUAAGAGGAUGAUCAGGCAAAGCAUUAAGUAAUUGGAGAAGCCUCCCCCAAGCUUGUGGGAGACUCUCUUCUUCAAUUUGCACAAAAUUAUAUAUAUAUAUAUCCCUUAAAGCAGCUUGUUUCUUAUGAGCAGGGAAAUAUUUAGUAGAGAAGUAAUAAAUCAUAUCCUGGGGACUACGCACACAACCAGGAUCAAGAGAAUUAAACCAUAUCUUAGCAUCACCCUUUAAUGAGAACGGAAAUAUUUUAAGGAUAUAAAAGUAGCGAGUUCUCUCAUCUUUAGUGAAUAGGGUGGCAAUAUCAUUUAAUUUAGUAAGGUGUGCCACAACAGUUUCAGAUUCAUAGCCAUGAAAAGGAUCAGAUUCAACCAAAGUAAUUAUAUCAGGAUCAACCGAGAAUUCAUACUCCUUAUCGGUAACACAGAUAGGUGAAGUAGCAAAAGCAGGGUCGGGUUUCAUUCUAGCAUUAAGGGAUUGUUGCUUCCAUUUAGCUAAUAAUUUCUUAAGAUCACUUCUAUCAUUACAAGCAAGAAUAGCUCUAGCAGAUUCUUCAUCCAGAACAUAACCCUCAGGAACAACAGGCAAUUCGUAAGUAUUAGAGGGAGAGUCUUCAUCAUCACUAUCUUCAAUAUAAUCAGUUUCAAUAAUUUCAUUCUCUCUAACCCUAGCAAGUUGUUCAUCAAGAAAUUCACCAAGUGGCACAGUAGUAUCAAGCAUAGAAGUAGUUUCAUCAUAAGUAUCAUGCAUAGCAGAAGUGACAUCAUCAAUAACAUGCGACAUAUCAGAACGAAUAGCAGAAGCAGGUUUAGGUGUCGCAAGCUUACUCAAAACAGAAGGUGAAUCAAGUGCAGAGCUAGAUGGCAGUGUUGGAAAUAUGCCCUAGAGGCAAUACGAAAUUGGUUAUUAUUAUAUAUCCUUGUUCAUGAUAAUCGUUUAUUGUCCAUGCUAGAAUUGUAUUGAUAGGAAACUCAGAUACAUGUGUGGAUAAAUAGACAACACCAUGUCCCUAGUAAGCCUCUAGUUGACUAGCUCGUUGAUCAAUAGAUGGUUACGGUUUCCUGACCAUGGACAUUGAAUGUCAUUGAUAACGGGAUCACAUCAUUAGAAGAAUGAUGUGAUGGACAAGACCCAAUCCUAAGCCUAGCACAAAGAUCAUGUAGUUCGUAUGCUAAAGCUUUUCUAAUGUCAAGUAUCAUUUCCUUAGACCAUGAGAUUGUGCAACUCCCGGAUACCGUAGGAGUGCUUUGGGUAUGCCAAAUGUCACAACGUAACUGGGUGGCUAUAAAGGUACACUACAGGUAUCUCCGAAAGUGUCUGUUGGGUUGGCACGAAUCGAGACUGGGAUUUGUCACUCCGUGUAAAUGGAGAGGUAUCUCUGGGCCCACUCGGUAGGACAUCAUCAUAAUGUGCACAAUGUGAUCAAGGAGUUGAUCACGGGAUGAUGUGUUACGGAAUGAGUAAAAGAGACUUGCCGGUAACGAGAUUGAACAAGGUAUCAGGAUACCGACGAUCGAAUCUCGGGCAAGUAUCGUACCGCUAGACAAAGGGAAUUGUAUACGGGAUUGAUUAAGUCCUUGACAUCGUAGUUCAUCCGAUGAGAUCAUCGUGGAACAUGUGGGAGCCAACAUGGGUAUCCAGAUCCCGCUGUUGGUUAUUGGCCGGAGAGUCGUCUCGGUCAUGUCUACGUGUCUCCCGAACCCGUAGGGUCUACACACUUAAGGUUCGGUGACGCUAGGGUUAUAGAGAUAUUAGUAUGCGGUAACCCGAAAGUUGUUCGGAGUCCCGGAUGAAAUCCCGGACGUCACGAGGAGUUCCAGAAUGGUCCGGAGGUAAAGAUUUAUAUAUGGGAAGUCUUGUUUUGGUCGCCGGAAAAGUUUCUCGCAUUAUCGGUAUUGUACCGGGAGUGCCGAAAGGGGUCCGGGGGUCCACCAAAGGGGUCCACCUGCCCCGGGGGGGCACAUGGGUUGUAGGGGUGUGUGCCUUGGCCUAUAUGGGCCAAGGGAACCAGCCCCAAGAGGCCCAUGCGCCAAGAGAUAAGGGAAAGGAAGAGUCCUAAAGGGGGAAGGCACCACCUAGGUGCCUUGGGGAGGAUGGACUCCUCCCUGGCCGCACCCUUCCUUGGAGGAAGGGCCAAGGCUGCGCCCCCCCUCUCCCUUGGCCCUAUAUAUAGUGGGGGGAAGGGAGGGCAGCCGCACCUAAGCCCUGGCGCCUCCCUCUCCCUCCCAUGACACAUCUCCCUCCUCCCGCAGCGCUUGGCGAAGCCCUGUUGGAAUCCCGCUACUUCCACCACCACGCCAUCGUGCUGCUCGAUCUCCAUCAACCUCUCCUCCCCCCUUGCUGGAUCAAGAAGGAGGAGACGUCGCUGCUCCGUACGUGUGUUGAACGCGGAGGUGCCGUCCGUUCGGCGCUAGGAUCAUCGGUGAUUUGGAUCACGACGAGUAUGACUCCAUCAACCCCGUUCUCUUGAACGCUUCCGCGCGCGAUCUACAAGGGUAUGUAGAUCCACUCCUCCCUCGUUGCUAGAUGACUCCAUAGAUUGAUCUUGGUGACACGUAGGAAAAUUUUGAAUUAUUGCUACGUUCGCCAACAGUGGCAUCAUGAGUUAGGUCUAUGCGUAGUUUCUAUGCACGAGUAGAACACAAAGUAGUUGUGGGUGUUGCUAUUGUUCAAUAUGCUUACCGUUACUAGUCCAAUCUUGAUUCAGCGGCAUUGUGGGAUGAAGCGGCCCGGACCGACCUUACACGUACUCUUACGUGAGACUGGUUCCACCGACUGACAUGCACUAGGUGCAUAAGGUGGCUAGCGGGUGUCUGUCUCUCCCACUUUAGUCGGAUCGGGUUCGAUGAAAAGGGUCCUUAUGAAGGGUAAAUAGGAAUUGGCAUAUCACGUUGUGGUCUUUGCGUAGGUAAGAAAUGUUCUUGCUAGAAACCCAUAACAGCCACGUAAAACAUGCAAACAACAAUUAGAGGACGUCUAACUUGUUUUUGCAGGGUAUGCUAUGUGAUGUGAUAUGGCCAAGAAGAAUGUGAUGAAUGAUAUGUGAUGUAUGAGAUUGAUCAUGUUCUUGUAAUAGGAAUCACGACUUGCAUGUCGAUGAGUAUGACAACCGGCAGGAGCCAUAGGAGUUGUCUUAAUUUAUUUAUGACCUGCAUGUCAACAUAAACGUCAUGUAAUUACUUUACUUUAUUGCUAACCGGUAGCCAUAGAAGUAGAAGUAAUAGUUGGCGAGACAACUUCAUGAAGAUACGAUGAUGGAGAUCAUGAUGAUGGAGAUCAUGGUGUCAUGCCGGUGACGAUGAUGAUCAUGGAGCCCCGAAGAUGGAGAUCAAAAGGAGCAAUAUGAUAUUCGCCAUAUCAUGUCACUAUUUGAUUGCAUGUGAUGUUUAUCAUGUUUAUACAUCUUAUUUGCUUAGAAUGACGGUAGUAAAUAAGAUGAUCCCUCAUUAAAAUUUCAAGAAAGUGUUCCCCCUAACUGUGCACCGUUGCGAAAGUUCGUCGUUUUGAAGCACCACAUGAUGAUCGGGUGUGAUAGAUUCUUACUUCGAAUACAACGGGUGUUGACGAGCCUAGCAUGUACAGACAUGGCCUCGGAACACAUGCAAAACACUUAGGUUGACUUGACGAGCCUAGCAUGUACAAACAUGGCCUCAGAACACAAGAGACCGAAAGGUCGAGCAUGAGUCGUAUGGCAGAUACAAUCAACAUGAAGAUGUUCACCGAUGUUGACUAGUCCGUCUCACGUGAUGAUCGGACACGGCCUAGUUGACUCGGAUCAUGUAAUCACUUAGAUGACUAGAGGGAUGUCUAUCUGAGUGGGAGUUCAUGAACUUAAUUAUCUUGAACAUAGUCAAAAGGAUUUCGCAAAUUAUGUCGUAGCUCGCGCUUCAGUUCUACUGUUUAGAUAUGUUCCUAGAUUAAAUUUAGUUGAAAGUUGAUAGUAGCAAUUAUGCGGACUAGGUCCGUAAACUGAGGAUUGUCCUCAUGGCUUCAUAGAAGGCUUAUGUCCUUAAUGCACCGCUCAGUGUGCUGAACCUCGAACGUCGUCUGUGGAUGUUGCGAACAUCUGACAUACACAUUUUGAUAACUACGUGAUAGUUCAGUUAAACGGUUUAGAGUUGAGGCACCGAAGACAUUUUAAAACGUCGCGAAACAUAUGAGAUGUUUCGAGGGCUGAAAUUGGGAUUUCAGGCUCGUGCCCACGUCAAGAGGUAUAAGACCUCCGACGAUUUUCUUAGCCUGCAAACUAAGGGAGAAAAGCUCAAUUGUUGAGCUUGUGCUCAGAUUGUCUGAGUACAACAAUCAUUUGAAUCGAGUGGGAGUUGAUCUUUCAGAUGAGAAAGUGAUGUUUCUCCGAAGUCAUUACCACCAAGCUGCUAGAGCUUCGUGAUGAACUAUAAUAUAUCAGGGACAUAUAUGAUGAUCCUUGAGAUAUUCGCGAUGUUUGACAUCACAAAAGUAGAAAUCAAGGAGCAUCAAUUGUUGAUGGUUGUUGAAACCACUAGUUUCAACAAGGGCAAGGGCACGAAGGGAUACUUCAUGAAACGGCAAUUUAGCUGCUGCUCUAGUGAAGAAACCCAAGGUUGAACCCAAACCCGAGACUAAGUGCUUCUGUAAUAAGGGGAACAGCCACUGGAGCAGAAUUACCCUAGAUACUUGGUAGAUGAGAAGGCUGGCAAGGUCGAUAGAAGUAUAUUGGAUAUACAUUGUGUUGAUGUGUACUUUACUAGUACUCCUAGUAGCACUAGUGUAUUAGAUACCGGUUCGGUUGCUAAGUGUUAGUAACUCGAAAUAAAAGCUACGGAAUAAACAGAGACUAGCUAAAAGGUGAGAUGAAGAUAUGUGUUGGAAGUAUUUCCAAGGUUGAUCAAAUAUCGUACGCUCCCUCUACCAUCGAGAUUUGUAUUAAAACCUAAAUAAUUGUUAUUUGGUGUUUGCGUUGAGCAUAGACAUGAUUGGAUUACGUCUAUCGCAAUACGGUUAUUCAUUUAAGGAGAAUAAUGGUUACUCUAUUUAUUUGAAUAAUACCUUCAAUGGUCUUACACCUAAAAUGAAUGGUUUAUUGAAUCUCGAUCGUAGUGAUACACAUGUUCAUGCCAAAAGAUAUAAGAUAGUAAUGAUAGUACCACCUACUUGUGGCACUGCCACUUAAGUCAUAUCGGUAUAAAACACAUGAAGAAGCUCCAUGUUGAUGGAUCUUUAGACUCACUCAUUUUUGAAAGGAUUGAGACAUGCGAACCAUGUUUGUUGGUAGAUAUGCAUGAAGAAACUCUAUACAGAUGGAUCGUUUGGACUCACUUGAUUUUGAAUCACUUGAGACAUACAAAUCAUACCACAUGGGCAAGAUGACUGAAAGCCUCGUUUUCAGUAAAAUGGAACUAGAAAGCAACUUGUUGGAAGUAAUACAUUUUGAUGUGUGCAGUCCAAUGAGUGCUGAGGCGUGUAGUGGAUAUCGUUAUGUUCUUACUUCACAGAUCAUUUGAGUAGAUGUUGAGUAUAUUUACUUGAUGAAUCACGAGUCUGAAUUAUUGAAAGGUUCAAGUAGUUUCAGGGUGAAGUUGAAAGAUCGUCGUGACAAGAAUAUCUAUGAUAUGAUCAUAGAGAUGAAUAUCUGAAUUACGAGUUUGGCAUAGAAUUAAGACAUUGUGGAAAUUGUUUCACAACUAAUACAGCCAGGAACACCAUGGUGUGAUGGUGUGUCCGUACAUCAUAACGGCACCCUAUUGGAUAUGAUGCAUACCAUGAUGUCUCUUAUCGAAUUACCACGAUAGUUUAUGGUUUAGGCAUUAGAGACAACCACAUUCACUUUAAAUAGGGCAUCACGUAAUUCCGAUGAGAUGACACCGUAUGAACUAUGGUUUAGAGAAACCUAAGCUGUCAUUUCUUAAAAGUCUUGGGGCUGCGACGUAUAUGUGAAAAGUUUCAUGCUGAUAAGCUCGAACCCAAAGCGGAUAAAUGCAUCUUAAUAGGACACCCAAAAUAGUUGGGUAUACCCCCUGUCUCAGAUUUGAAAGCAAUAAGGGAUUGUUUCUAGAAUCGGGUCCUUUCUCGAGGAAAAGUUUCUCUCGAAAGAAUUGAGUGGGAGGACGGUGGAGACUUGAUGAGGUUAUUGAACCGUCUCUUCAACUAGUGUAAGGCAGGGCACAGGAAGUUGUUCCUGUGGCACCUACACCAAUUGAAGUGGAAGCUUAUGAUAGUGAUCAUGAAACUUCAGAUCAAGUCACUACCAAACCUCGUAGGAUGACAAUGAUGCGUACUACUUCAGAGUGGUACGUAAUCCUGUCUUGGAAGUCAUGUUGCUAGACAACAAUGAACCUACGAGCUAUGGAGAAGCGAUGGUGGGCCUAGAUUCCAAAAUGGCUCGAGGCCAUAUAAAAUUCGAGAGAGGAUCCAUGUAUGGAAACAAAGUGUAGACUUUGACAGAACAGCUCGAUGGUCGUGAGGCUAUUGAGUAUAGAUGGAUUUUAAAAGGAAGACGGACAAUGAUGGUAAAUGUCACCAUUAAGAAAGCUCGACUUGUCGUUAAGAUGUUUUCCGACAAGUUCAAGGAGUUGACUACGAUGAGACUUUCUCACUCGUAGCGAUGCUAAGAGUCUGUUGGAAUUAUAUUAGCGAUUACUACAUUAUUUAUGAAAUCUUGCAGAUAGGAUGUCAAAACAUUGUUUCCUCGACGUUUUUUUGAGGAAAGGUUGUAUGUGAUACAAACCGGAAGGUUUUGUCAAUCCUGAAAGAUGCUAAUAAGUAUGCAAAGCUCCAGCAAUCCUUCUAGGGACUGGAGUAAGCAUCUCAGAGUUGGAAUGUAUGCUUUGAUGAUGAUCAAAGAUUUUGGGUUUAUACAAAGUUUAUGAGAAACUUGUAUUUCCAAAGAAGUGAGUGGGAGCACUAUAGAACUUCUGAUGAAUAUAUGUUGUUGACAUAUUGUUGAUCAGAAAUGACGUAGAAUUUCUGGAAAGCAUAUAGGGUCAUUUGAAAGGUGUUUUUCAAUGGAAAACCUGGAUUAAGCUACUUGAACAUUAAGCAUCAAGAUCUAUAAGGAUAGAUGAAAACCGCUUAAUGGUACUUUCAAAUGAGCACAUACCUUGACAUGAUCUUGAAGGUGUUCAAGAUGGAUCAGUCAAAGAAGGAGUUCUUGCCUGAGUUGUAAGGUAUGAAGUUAAGACUUAAAGCUCGACCACGGUAGAAUAGAGAGAAAGGACGAAGGUCGUCCCCUAUGCUUAAGACGUAGGCUCUACAGUAUGCUAUGCUAUGUACCGCACCUGAAGUAUGCCUUGCCAUGAGUCAGUCAAGGGGUACAAGAGUGAUCCAAGAAUGGAUCACAGGACAGCGAUCAAAGUUAUCCUUAGUAACUAGUGGACUAAGGAAUUUUCUCGAUUAUGGAGGUUAUAAAAGAGUUCGUCGUAAAGGGUUACGCCGAUGCAAACUUUGACACUAAUCCAGAUUAUUCUGAGUAGUAAACUGGAUUCGUAUAGUAGAACAGUUAUUUGGAAUAGCUCCAAAUAGAACGUGGUAGCUGCAUCUGGGAGAUGACAUAGAGAUUUGCGAAGUACAUACGGAUCUGAAAGAUUCAUACCCGUUGACUAUAACAUCUCUCACAAGCAUAACAUGAUCAAACCCGGAACUCAUCGAGUGUUAAUCACAUGGUAAUGUGAACUAGAUUAUUGACUCUAGUAAACUCAAUGGUGUUAGUCACAUGGGGAUGUGACCUUGAGUGUUAAUCACAUAGCGAUGUGAACUGGAUUAUUGACUCUAGUGCAAGUGGGAGACUGUUGGAAAUAUUCCCUAGAGGCAAUAAUAAAUUGGUUAUUAUUAUAUUUCCUUGUUCAUGAUAAUCGUUUAUUGUCCAUGCUAGAAUUUUAUUUAUAGGAAACUUAGAUACAUGUGUGGAUAAAUAGACAACACCAUGUCCCUAGUAAGCCUCUAGUUGACUAGCUCGUUGAUCAAUAGAUGGUUACGGUUUCCUGACCAUGGACAUUGAAUGUCAUUGAUAACGGGAUCACAUCAUUAGAAGAAUGAUGUGAUGGACAAGACCCAAUCCUAAGCCUAGCACAAAGAUCAUGUAGUUCGUAUGCUAAAGCUUUUCUAAUGUCAAGUAUCAUUUCCUUAGACCAUGAGAUUGUGCAACUCCCGGAUACCGUAGGAGUGCUUUGGGUAUGCCAAACGUCACAACGUAACUGGGUGGCUAUAAAGGUACACUACAGGUAUCUCCGAAAGUGUCUAUUGGGUUGGCACGAAUCGAGACUAGGAUUUGUCACUCCGUGUAAAUGGAGAGGUAUCUCUGGGCCCACUCGGUAGGACAUCAUCAUAAUGUGCACAAUGUGAUCAAGGAGUUGAUCACGGGAUGAUGUGUUACGGAAUGAGUAAAAGAGACUUGCCGGUAACGAGAUUGAACAAGGUAUCGGGAUACCGACGAUCGAGUCUCGGGCAAGUAUCGUACCGCUAGACAAAGGGAAUUGUAUACGGGAUUGAUUAAGUCCUUGACAUCGUGGUUCAUCCGAUGAGAUCAUCGUGGAACAUGUGGGAGCCAACAUGGGUAUCCAGAUCCCGCUGUUGGUUAUUGGCCAGAGAGUCGUCUCGGUCAUGUCUACGUGUCUCCCGAACCCGUAGAGUCUACACACUUAAGGUUCGGUGACGCUAGGGUUAUAGAGAUAUUAGUAUGCAGUAACCCGAAAGUUGUUCGGAGUCUCGGAUGAGAUCCCGGACGUCACAAGGAGUUCCGGAAUGGUCUGGAGGUAAAGAUUUAUAUAUGGGAAGUCUUGUUUUGGUCGCCGAAAAAGUUUCGCGCAUUAUCGGUAUUGUACCGGGAGUGUUGAAAGGGGUCCGGGGGUCCACCAAAGGGGUCCACCUGCCCCGGGGGGCCACAUGGGUUGUAGGGGUGUGCGCCUUGGCCUAUAUGGGCCAAGGGCACUAGCCCCAAGAGGCCCAUGCGCCAAGAUAUAAGGGAAAUGAAGAGUCCUAAAGGGGGAAGGCACCUCCUAGGUGCCUUGGGGAGGAUGGACUCCUCCCUGGCCGCACCCUUCCUUGGAGGAAGGGCCAAGGCUGCGCCCCCCCUCUCCCUUGGCCCUAUAUAUAGUGGGGGUAAGGGAGGGCAGCCGCACCUAAGCCCUGUCGCCUCCCUCUCCCUCCCAUUACACAUCUCCCUCCUCCCGCAGCGCUUGGCGAAGCCCUGUUGGAAUCCUGCUACUUCCACCACCACGCCGUCGUGCUACUGGAUCUCCAUCAACCUCUCCUCCCCCCUUGAUGGAUCAAGAAGGAGGAGACGUCGCUGCUCCGUACGUGUGUUGAACGUGGAGGUGCCGUCCGUUCGGCGCUAGGAUCACCGGUGAUUUGGAUCACGACGAGUAUGACUCCAUCAACCCCGUUCUCUUGAACGCUUCCACGCACGAUCUACAAGGGUAUGUAGAUCCACUCCUCCCUCAUUGCUAGAUGACUCCAUAGAUUGAUCUUGGUGACACGUAGGAAAAUUUUGAAUUAUUGCUACGUUCCCCAACAGGCAGUUCUUUACCUCCCCUCGUAGUUGAGGGAUAGAUCCUGGUUUUUGGAUCUCUCAAGUUCUUCAUAAUGAUAAUCAGAUAUAAAUCUCAAGUGACUCAAAGAAUAGAGCUAUGCUCCUCGGCAACGGCUCCAGAAAUUAGUCUUGAUAACCCACAAGUAUAGGGGAUCGCAACAGUUUUCAAGGGUAGAGUAUUCAACCCAAAUUUAUUGAUUCGACACAAGGGGAGCCAAAGAAUAUUCUCAAGUAUUAGCAGCUGAGUUGUCAAUUCAACCACACUUGGAAACUUAAUAUCAACAGCAAAGUAUUUAGUAGCAAAGUAAUAUGAUAGUAGUGGUAACGGUAGCAAAAGGUAAUAGUAGCAAAAGUAGUGUUUUUAAUAUUUUGUAGUGAUGAGAGUAAUAGCAACGGAAAAGUAAAUAAGCAAAGAACAAUAUAUGGAAAGCUCGUAGGCAAUGGAUCAGUGAUGGAGAGUUAUGCUGGAUGCGGUUCAUCAUGUAACAGUCAUAACCUAGGGUGACACAGAACUAGCUCCAAUUCAUCAAUGUAAUGUAGGCAUGUAUUCAGAAUAUAGUCAUACGUGCUUAUGGAAAAGAACUUGCAUGACAUCUUUUGUCCUACCCUCCCGUGGCAGCGGGGUCCUAACGGAAACUAAGGGAUAUUAAGGCCUCCUUUUAAUAGAGUACCGGACCAAAGCAUUAACACAUAGUGAAUACAUGAACUCCUCAAACUACGGUCAUCACCGUCAAGUAUCCUGAUUAUUGUCACUUCGAGGUAAAUGGAUCAUAACACAUAAUAGGUGACUAUAGACUUGCAAGAUAGGAUCAAGAACUCUCAUAUAUUGAUGAAAACACAAUAGGUUCAGAUCUGAAAUCAUGGCACUCGGGCCCUAGUGACAAGCGUUAAGCAUAGCAAAGUCAUAGCAACAUCAAUCUCAGAAUAUAGUGGAUACUAUGUAUCAAACCCUAACAAAACUAACUCGAUUACAUGAUAAAUCUCAUCCAACCCAUCACCGUCCAGUAAGCCUACGAUGGAAUUACUCACACACGACGGUGAGCAUCAUGAAAUUGGUGAUGGAGGAUGGUUGAUGAUGAUGAUGGCGACGGAUUCCUUUCGGAGCCCCGAACGGACUCCAGAUCAGCCCUCCCGAGAGGUUUUAGGGCUUGGCGGCGGCUCCGUAUCGUAAAAUGUGACGAAUCCUUCUCCUUUAUUUUUUUCUCCCCAAAAGCAAAUAUAUAGAGUUGGAGUCGAGGUCGAAGGAGCUCCAGGGGGCCCACGAGGUAGGGGACACGCCCUAGGGGGGCAGGCGCGCCCCCACCCUCGUGGCUAGCGUGUGGGCCCCCUGGUCUUCAUCUUUUGUAGGGAUUUUUUAUUUUUUCUGAAAAGAUGUUCCGUGAAGUUUAAGGUCAUUCUGAGAACUUUUGUUUCGGCACAUAAAUAAGACCAUGGUAAUUUUGCUGAAAACAGCGUCAGUCCGGGUUAGUUCCAUUCAAAUCAUGCAAGUUAGAGUCCAAAACAAGGGCUAAAGUGUUUGAAAAAGUAGAUACGACGGAGACGUAUCACCCACCUAGUGCCAGCAUGUCUCCGCGUGAAAAGAAUGAAGCCAGCGAGAGGGACCGGUCGAACGCUCGACCGGUCUGCCGGCGCAAAGGGUUUUACGACAAACAGGGCCUUCUGCACUUUACUUUGUGAUAGCCAUAGUGUUUUAUUUGACAUAAUCCCUAAGCUCGGGUUUUUGACUUGUGAAUGGGCUAUUGAAUAGAACAAGAUGCUUGCAGAUUAUGUGGUGAUGAUAUGUAUUUUAGGAUUUACCAUGCUAGUAUCUUGUAGCAUUUUUAUAUCUUUUCUUGGAACCAAUCAAGUGUAUGUUCGAGUGUUAGCUAUCAAUCAUGUGUAUGUGUAGUGCAAAAGUGAAACUAAUAAGAAGCGAUUUUUUUGUAUAUGUGCCAGUGUAAUUCUAUUGUUGAAUAUGCUGCUACGGGCAUUGUGGAUUGCCAAAAAUGAAGUCAUCUUUGAGCUUGGAACCAUCAAGCAUGUUUCUGACCCCUUGUAAUGUGUCAUGUUUCUACUGCAUAAAGCAAUGGAGGAAGCUUAUGAGGAUGCGACUGAAUGCAAAAGGCUACGCCCAAAGUGGGCAAAGGAGCAAUAUCGGCAAGGAGAAUGUUCACGGAGGUGUGAAAGGAUCGAGAAGAGGUGUCUAGAGGGGGGUGAAUAGACUCUUAGCAAGAAAAGUUGCAGUUUUUAAUUUUUUAAGUUGAAGUGGAGUGUUGGCAUAAGUUUAAACAUUUACAAUACAUAUCAAGUAAGCAUGACAAGAGUAUAUGAGCAGCGGAAAGUAAAUCAUGCAAGUUGCAAGAAUGUAAAGGGAUGGGAUUGAAGUGUGCAAACGCAAUUCGAGACACGAAGAUUUUUGGCAUGGUUCCGAUAGGUGGUGCUAUCGUACAUCCACGUUGACAGAGACUUCAACCCACAAAGGGUAACGGUCGCACGAGUCCACGGAGGGCUCCACGCACGAAGGGUCCACGAAGCAACCUUGUCUAUCCCACCAUGGCCAUCGCCCAUGAAGGACUUGCCUCAUUAGGGUAGAUAUUCACGAAGUAGGCGAUCUCCUUGCCCGUACAAACUCCUUGGUUCAACUCCACAAUCUUGACGGAGGCUCCCAAGUGACACCUAGCCAAUCUAGGAGACACCACUCUCCAAAAGGUAAUAGAUGGUGUGUUGACACCACUCUCCAUAAUUUUUGGAGAAGUAUGCUCGACCAGUUCAUGUUUCCACUAUCAAUGGUGAUGGCACGGUUCUGCUUUGGGUAAAACAUUGAAGGUGAGUCCUCUCGGCUUCUCUUCCUCCGCCUCUAUUCUUAUCCCUUUAUGCCAUGGCUACUUACGUUUUGGCCUUGAUGGCCUGAAUUGGCUUGGUAAAUAAUGCACUACUGGUUUUCAAAGUUCCUGAUAGCUAGUUAGGUGACUCGAUGUUCCUCUGGCUAUAGAAGAACUCAUUUGUUGAGUCUGUUCUAGUAUGUUUUAGUUUUACAAAAGAGCUCUGUUCAAGGUAGGUUACUUGGCAUUUGAUUUUCCUUGCUUUCUUUGAGGAAAUUAUUGGGUUGCUGGGUUGAUGACUGCUGUGAUGUUGUAGUAAUUUUGUGGCCACCAUUUUGGCAAAGAUGAUGCUAUGGCGGCUGCCAACCGUUGAUUUCCGUGACCGACGGUCCUUAACUUUUGUUAGCUACUGUACAUUGGAUGGGUGUCUCAGUUUUGUCAUCUUUUUGGUUUUGAGAAAAGCAUGUUGUUUUUGAAGUCUCCUGGCAGUGCCUUCCAAUAUUUAGUGUGAGAUUGAUUGUAUAGUGUCUUUUUUGGUCACUCACAAAAGGCUUGCAGAUUGUGUAGUGAUGAUAUGUAUUGUAGGAUUUAGAUGCUAGUGUCUUGUAGCAUUUUGAUAUCUUUUCUUGGAACCAAUCACUGUGCUAGUCAAUUUGUGGCAGCAACCUCCAGCCUUCUGCUGGGAAGCUUUUGGAGCUUGUGUUGGCUGUAGUUUCUUCACGACUGUUUGUCAGGUUUGCUGGGUGCCAAUGAUGUUGUUUAUAUUAGUUUUCUACUCUUUGAUUUUGGCUUUGUUGCUAAUUCAGAGUGUCAUUGAAUUCAGAUUGUACUGUAAGUGUUUGACGGCACUAUAUUGACUUGUGUCAUAUAUUGCAUAUGCUUGACAACUCAUCAUCAAACUUGUGACAUAUAUUUAGAAGUAUGCUCCAAUAGCUACCUUGUGAAUUUGUUGUUGAUAUUGAUGACAAUUACUCCUUGUUUAUCUGUUGUCCCCAGCCAGGGACUUUGCAAUGAAAGGAGUUGUUUUUCUGCUGGAGCGAUAUGCUGAAGAUGCCUAUGCUGGUGGACUUGCAGUUCUGUUGGGGUUUUCAGCUGGAGCGAUAUGCUGAAGAUGCCUAUCUUGGUGACAUGCCGAAGGAUCUCAAUGGUGUCGAGUGUCAUUGAAGACGUGAAGUUGCAAUUCUGAACAUGGUUUUCGUAGUGCGGAGUGCUGGAUGUAGGCCUAUCUGUUUGGCUAAUGCGCCUCUCUCUUUGGUGGUUUCCUAGGGCGGGUUACUGUUGCGGAUGACUUGUCAAUGAGCAUCUACAGCAGCUCUCGCCUUGUGCGAUGGCAACGAGUUCACCGUGCUGCAACCGCCUCUCGACGGCCUGUACAUGGUAUUAUGCUCGGCCAGCUCUCAUCUCCACUGUCAACACGGCAUGGAGUGGUUUUGGCCUUGGCUACAAACAUUGAAGGUGAGUCCUCUUGGCUUCUCUUCCUCCUCUAUUCCUUUCCCUUGCUCGGGGCAUGUCGAGCCGGGGCCUUUUUGCCAUGGCUACCUAGGUUUUGGGCUUGAUGGCCUCGAUUGACUCGGUAAAUGAUGCGCUACUGGUUGUCAAAGUUCUUGAUAGCUAGUUAAGCGACUCAAUGUUUCUCGCUACGGAAGGAACAUUGUUGCCUUGCUAGGUUGAUGGCUGCUGUGACUGGUUGGUUUGAUCCAUUCUUGCUGUAUGUUCCUAGUAUUGAUCUGAUGAAAUAGUUGUAAUUAAGAAAUGAUCAUGACCUUUUUAGUCAACCUAGAGACACCUGGAAUGUACUCUAAAAGCUUGUGCCGUCUGAAAGUUUUAGUCAAUGCUUGACACAUUGUUACACUUAACUUUAUAGAAGACACCCAUUUUGUUGUACGUAACCUAUUAUGUCCACUUCAUCAUCUUAAAGUAAGCAGCAAGAUGUUUCAGUUAUCAUGAGGUGGUAUAGACACCACCCGUACGCUAAAAUGGCAUAUGAUGUGUUUGACAUCACUAUAUUGACUUGUGACAUAUAUAUUGCAUAUGCUAGACAGCUCCUUAUCAAACUUGUGACAUAUAUUUAGAAGUCUGCUCCAGUAGCUAUCUUGUGAAGUUACUGUUGAUAUUGAUGGCAUUUACUCCUUAUUUAUCUGUUGUCCCCAGCCAUGGACUUUUCAAUGAAAUGAGUUUUUUUUUCUGCUGGAGCGAUAUGCUGAAGAUGCCUAUCUAUUUCGACUUGUAGUUUUGUCGGGGUUUUCUUUGAGAAGCCACCCGGUUGAACCGAAGGCUCUCGACGGUGCCGAGUGUCAUUAAAGACAUGAAGUUGCAGUUAUGAACCUAGUUUUCCUCGUGCGGAGUGCUGGAUGCAGGCCUAUCUAUUUGGCCAAGGAGCCUCUUUCCCUGGUGAUUUCCCAAGAUGUACACAGUUUCUUGCACUAGCAACUACUACAUUUGCUUGUUGGGAUGAAUUUCUGUACAUUAUUUCUUCUUUUUUGGUAGACCUAUGCUGGGCAGUGUAAAUUUGUAGGGAAGUUCCUCCUAUUGGUAUGGAAUGGGUUGUAAUUUUGGAAUGAACAAGGCACAUUCAUUUUUUGUUGAAUAAAUUUGUAUUGCCAUUGUGUAUGUGAUUCUUCCCAACGCGUUAUGCUGCCAAAAUUUCUGUUGAAAUUUCCCCCAGACUUGUCAAAAUCUAGGCCCUUUUUUGUCAAGUUCUCAAACUCACAGGGGCUUGUGGUAAAUAAGUAGGCCCUUCUGUGUGAAAUUUUCAAACUCAAGGGGUUUUUUGGUAAAUAAAUAGGCCCUUUUGUGUCAAGUUUUCAAACUCAAGGAGGGUCUUGGUAAAGAAAACGUUUGUCGCGGAGUGACAUUCUUUUUGUGCUUAUUUGUUCCUUCUAAGUAUGAUUAAAUGUAGAACUCGUACAAAAAACCAUUCCUGAUAAGGAUGCCGUAGUAAAGUUUAAUUUGUACCUCUUGAUUCAUUUCAUGGCUAUUUGCACGUUUCUUGCCAUUGGGCAUUGGUAAUGUAGUUUAGUCACAAAACAGGGCAUCAGUCUCUUCACAAGGCCAUAGGGAAGAAAUUAUUGCCGACCUUUACACAGAAACAAUGGAUCCAUAAAAGGGACGUGCUGGUGGUGGCAUGAUAAGGUAAUGCAAGAUACAUACGGAAGUAUUUGCCUAGUAUUUGCACUCUGUCUGGCCUCGAAUAUGUACACACAUAAAAUGGACCCUUGAGUGAGUGCACGUGAUGAUUGUGUGUCGAUGGGGGAAUAUGACACAUUAGCUUAGAAGAUGCUAAUGAACAGGACUCGCCAUUCAAGCUGUGCAUUUUACCUUUAGAGACCUCCAAGAUGUGCAUGCAUGCAGUCACUCGAUCCUCUUCACUUAAGCCAUGUCACGGGAACGGUGAAGCCACAAACACAGCUCGGUGGCAAUUGAUCACAAGUCGUUAAUGGACAUAUAGGACCAGCAGUGGCGGAGCUACAAAGAAAUUGUUGGGCGGGCCAGUCUAAAGGAGAAAAAAAACGAAUUCUGAACCAUACCACAAUUACUGGUACUAGGCAAGUAGGCAUUAUUCGUUAUCUUGAAAACAUCUGAACCAUCUCAUUUCCUUUGAAAACUAAACAAAUUCUUCGCUGACUAACCUUACCCAUGGCUAGUUAGUAUUUACUACAUAAAUUACAAUCUGUGAAACUUUGAAAACAAUUGAAUAAUUCAUGCUACCAAAUCGAUAACUAAGAAUUUCAGACAAAUAUAGCUUUCUUAUCUGAAAGGAGCCUAUAGAAAAAUUGGUCUUGGAAAUUUGAGUUGAUGCCAUGAACUACAAUUAGAAGAAAUAAAGGAAAUUAUUAUGUGCACAAUCCAUGUGCAACGGUGCAGCUGUGCCAUGGCGUGGCCGUCCUAGCUUGGCUGAAUCGGGAAUGAAUGUACGAGCGAAGCAGUGCUGGAUGUCUCUGAAUCUGGUCAGCUGGUGGACUUGGCUGCAGACCUGCAUUGGGCUGGGCAUUCACACGCAAGCUAACCAGAGGAAAGCCUCUCGUGAGCAACCAGGCUGCUGACGCCUCACAGACGGAGUGCACUGGGCAUAUGUAGUUUACUUUUUUCUUAUGGGCAAGGCGGGCCAUGGCACGCUUUUUCCUGCACGUAACUCCGCCAUUGACGACCAGGGAGCGGUGCUAUGCUUACCUUACAUGGCGCCAUGCAAGGCAGGCUAGAGCCAAAAUUAUAUUUGUUCAAAUGAUGGUCAACACCAUCUCAUAUCGUCAUGACUACAUUUUCUCGAUAUAUUUUAUUACCAACUAAUAGUACUUCUUCCGUCUGAAAAAACUUGUCCCAAACUUGUCCCUUAAAUGGACGUAUCUAACACUAACUUAAUGCUAGAUAUAUCCGUUUGAGGGACAAACUUUUUUGGACGGAGAGAGUACUAUAUAAAAAGUGUUGUCUAUGGCAGCAAUUCAGAUUUUAGAGUAUCUCGCAUGAUUCUCAUUCCGAUGACCGGCAAAACACCACGUACGGGUUUUUUGCCACGUUGGCGUAGGCGAAGUCCCACAUAAACCUAGCAAUGGAAACAGAAUCAUUAUGAGCAAAAUGCCUUGUACAGCUGCUAGCUCCAGCACAUGGUGCAUGUGGGUUGUGUUGUCGUUGUGGAUGGGAAAGAGAGUGGGCUUAGGGCAUAUCCAACGGUAAACCCUCCAAGGCUAACACUCAAGUAUCAUCAUUUUCUCAUCAAAAUGUAACAUCUUUAAUAUAAGUAGAUGUCCAACAUUAUAUUUGACUUGGAAAUAUACAAAUUUUAAUAAACUUACUAAUCGAUCACCACGACGGCAGAGUCCUGAAAAACACCUCGUUGGACACAUCAGAGCGGGCAAACUCUGUGUCGGUAGGAGCGACUGGGGCCUGAGAGGAGACUGUUGUGAGAGCGACGAUCUUGGCUUUCUCGUUGGCAUAGAAGUGUGUGUGACUAUUUCUCAUCCUACCCACCUUCUUCUAUUGGGCAGCCCGAUCAAGAAAAUCAGUGAUUCAACUAAUAUGCCACGUCAGUCGACUGAGACUUACAUAAUAAAGUCUUAGUCGAUUGAGAUGUAGAUGAAUCCUUAUUUAAUUUUAUUUCACCUCAACGCCUCGUCAAAAUUGUCUAGUCGACAUGACCAACCUAAGGUCAGUACUUGCAUUUCUACAACUCAUUCAUUUCAGAGAGGGCACGUAAAAAGUAAGUACCGACAGGAUAAUCUGUGUGUCGCAUAAAGCACGUCCAAUGGAGAGUUGGUAUGCGUCGCCAACGUCGCACUCACGUGCUUCGCCGAGAAUUCCCUCACCGACGAGGUUACCUCAUGCUUCGGGGAAAUAUCUAGUACUCCCAUCCUUAAGGUGCUCCCAUGCUCCAAUCCUUGAGGUACUAGUAUAUAUUGCACUCUGUCUGGCCUCGAAUACGUAGGUAUUUUGUGCAUGCAGGUGAUGAUUGUGUGUCGAUUCUAUCGGGAACCACCGAUGUUAACGUCACCAACACCAACUGCGGGCCUGGUCAUGGCAUCAGGUAUACAAACAAACAUACGUACAUACAUACCACAUCCAUGCGUAUAUUGUACUCCCUCCGUCCCAUAAUGUAAUACGUUUUUUGUGUCAAUGAUGUUGUUAUAUUAGUUUUCUACUCUUUGAUUUUGGCUUUGUUGCUAGUUCAGAGUGUCAUUGAAUUCAGAUUGUACUGUAAGUGUUUGAUGGCACUAUAUUGACUUGUGUCAUAUAUUGCAUAUGCUUGACAACUCAUCAUCAAACUUGUGACAUAUAUUUAGAAGUCCGCUCCAGUAGCUACCUUGUGAAUUUGUUGUUGAUAUUGAUGACAUUUACUCCUUGUUUAUCUGUUGUCCCCAGCCAGGGACUUUGCAAUCAAAGGAGUUUUUUUUCUACUGAAGCGAUAUGCUGAAGACUCCUAUCUUGGUGGACUUGCAGUUCUGUUGGGGUUUUCAGCUGGAGCGAUAUGAUGAAGAUGCCUAUCUUUGUGACUUGCCGAAGGAUCUCGAUUGUGCCAAGUGUCAUUGAAGACGUGAAGUUGCAGUUCUGACAUGGUCUUCCUAGUGCGGAGUGCUGUAUGUAGGCCUAUCUGUUUCGCCAAUGAGCCUCUCUCUCUCUGGUGAGAUGAAUCUUGAUGAGUGCUGGAUAUGGGCCUACUACGUUUGCUUGUUGGGACAAACUUCUGUACAUUCUUUCUUCUUUUUUGGUAGACAUAUGCUGGCUGUGUACAUUUGUAGGGAAGUUCCUUUGGUUUGUAUGGUAUGGGUUAAGCUUCAUGAAUGUAACUUUGGAAUGAACAAGCCAGCAUCAUUUUAAUAAAUUUGUUCUACCAUUGUGCAUGCAUUCUUCCCAACGUGUUAUGCUGCCGAAAUUUCUAGCGAAGAUUUCCCCGACUUGUCAAAAUCUAGGCCCUUUUUUGUCAACAUUUCAAACCAUGGGGUGGUUUUCUGCAAUAACUAGACCCUUUCUUGUGAAGAUCUCAAACUCUAGGGGUGCUCUCGGCAAGGCAAAAAAGUACGGCGGAAAAGGAUCUGGAUCGCCAGAGUCGGAAUUAGAGGCUUGUGUCGUCUGUCUGUCCCUCCCGUUGUUUAGAAAGAAUAAUUUUCCUGUGAUUCGUUUAUGAUAUUUGGUAUGUAGGACAACAUCGGGUGUAUUUUUUGGAUGAAAAAGUGAUAGCAAAUGCUCCUAUAAUCUUUUCCAUGCCCUUGAUACAUUGCUCCAAAAACACUCAACCACACCCCCACAAUCGUAUCUGUCGAAACCCUAAAGUUAUUCUUGGUCCCACAAUGAUAUUUGCUAGUAGCGUUGAUUACAUCUCGUGGAUAAUGCUAGUUGGUUUAUUCAGUGGAAGAUCGUAUGUUAAUGAUGGGACCGGAGAUGAGUCAACUUUAAUUAGAAGGCGUCCCAAAAAUUCGGAGUUUUUAGAUCUUGAUGCAAAAAUUGAUAAAAGUGGGAUUGGAGAGGUCAAAACUUUAGAUAGCAACAAACUCUGGAAAAAUAGGUAUUUAUGGAGUUGGAAUCAGGGUCUGCGGGGCCACCAGGUGGGGACAACCCACCUGGGCGUGCCAGGAGAGGGACGCCCUGGUGGGUUGUGCCCACCCAGGUGCCACCCUCCGAUGGUUCUUGGCUCCAGAAAUUCUUGUUUAUUGUAUAAAAAUUCCUCGCAAAAUUCCAUUCCAUUCCGAGAACUAGUUUUGCACAAAAACAACACCAUGAUAGUUCUACUGAAAACAGCGUCAGUACGGGGUUAGUUUCAUUCAAAUCAUGCAAAUUAGAGUCCAAAACAAGAGGAAAAACAUUAGAAAAAGUAGAUACAUUGGAGAAGUAUCAAUGAGGGACUAGACAAAGGAAGUUAAAAUAAGUUACGAUGAACGGUUAAGAUUGACUCACUAAAACAAUUCCCUCCCAACUUCCCUAUUAAUAAAACAGUGGGAGUUGGAGUAUCAAGUCCCAUGACUAUUCCCUUAUGAAUUCCCAAUCCCUCCAACCAAACAAUAGAUUUAAAGUCUCGUACCCCUUCAAUUCCCAUUCCCUAGCUCUAAUUACCCCCAACCAAACACGCUGGUAGGGAAUGGAUCCAGUCUUCCCGUCACCUCUACUGGCGGAUGAAUCACCGCCAUCUCGAGGUGGAACCUGAGCAGGAGCAUUUUUGCUCUUCGGUGGAGCGAUUCCGCCGGUGAUACUUCCCUUCAAGAGGGGGAAAUCAAAGCCUUCGUCAUCACCAAUGAUCCACUCAUCGUGGGAGGACCCAUCUCCAUCAACAUAUUCAUCGGCACCAUGUCAUCUCAAACCCCGGUUCAUCUCUUGUAAUCAAUAUUUGUCUCAAAACCUCAUAUUGGUACCCGUGGGUUGCUAGUAGCAUUGAUUACAUCUCGUAGAUAAUGCUAGUUGGUUUAUUCAGUGGAAGAUCAUAUGUUCAGCUAGUUAAUCAUAUAUUAUUCUCCUCUGAUCAUGAACGUGAAUAUGAUUGUGACUAGUUCAUUUUGUUCUUGAGGACAUGAGAUAAGUCUUGUUAUAAUUAAUCAUGUGAAGUCGGUAUUCGUUCGAUAUUAUGAUAUGUCCAAAUGUAUCAGCUGGCUACAUGCGUGUACAAAUAUAUUAUAGGAAAUUCCCCUUGUAUAUGAUCUAAGUAUAUCACAACAAUAAACCACUGGCCAAAAUAAGUGUUGUCUAGAUGCGUCCAACUGUAUUUAUGUGCAAAUAUAAUUUAUAGGAUGGUCUAUAAGCAUUUGGAGGGUAUCAAAAAAUAAAAACCCAUUGGCCAACACAUUUUCGCUGGCUAGAUAGUGUAAGGGUAAAUUAUAGGAUGAUCUAUAUGUAAUGUAAUAAAGAUGUCACAAAAGUGAAUUAUUGUCCAACAAAUAUCAACUGGCUAGACAUGCUCAAUGAAAUUAUGGGGGACGUGUGCCUCAGAUGAUGCAACACUCUUAGCGGGAAGCAAUCACCAGAGCCUCCUAGAAAUUUUUGGGUGGAUGAGAGAUGCAGAAGAUAAUCGGGAGGGACCGGCAGGUGUGGCGGGUGGGGACAAAGGGAAUGGCGCAAACCAUGCGAGGCAUUUUGCAAUCGUGGCACGCGUGUGGCACGGGGCAUGAGUGGGCGAAGAUCAGACUUGAGUGAGAGAGGGGACCAAGUGUUUUGAGAUUUUCCUUUUCAUCAUACACGUCAAAAAGUAGACAAAACCUUCCUUUUACACAUGUGUCUAGGCCCACUAGGCAGCAAAUAUAGUUGGCUAGACACAUGCAAAGAUAAAAAUAUAAGAUGGACACUAUAUGAUCCGAGGGUAUCACAAGACUGGUCAGCCGGUAUUUGCUCGGUAGACGCGUUCAAGCAUAAACCAUUGGACUAUCGAGUGAUCGCAAAGGGUGAACCAACCUUUAGCCAGCUGUCAGCUGAAUACGUCCAAAUGUAUCGGUUGGCCAGAAGCGUGUAAAAAUAAAUCAUGAAAUGAAUUGUAUGUGAUCUGAGGGUAUCAUAUAAUUAAACGACUGGCCAGCAAAAAUGUGUUGACCAAACGAGCAUCCAAAAAAUAUUUGCUGACGGGCGUGAACAUAAUUAAAUUAUAGGAUGAUCUAUAUAUGACCUAGCUAAAGGGUAUCACAAGAUAAAAACCCCGCUACCCAUUAAAUUUGCACCCUAUAUAUAUGCGUCGAAAUGUAAUGGCUAAACGCGCGCGGAAUGAUCGGUUGGCAAUUUUCUACCCAGCAAUGAAUGGUUUAUAUGUGAUGUAAAGAUACCGCAAAAGUGAAGUAUUGGGCAGCGAAUAUUUACGGUUAUACGCGUUUAAAUUUAAUUUCUCCUUUAUAUUCAUAUUAAUUGUCGAUGAUUUAGUACAAAGGGAGUACAUAUUAUAUAUUAUAUUCUUUAAUUGGACUAAAUUAUUGUAGGCUGAAAAUGUGGUUCAUGCAUACUCUGGCUAGACCAAACAUCAGCCGCCCAUUGGUCUUCACGCAUGCAUCACUAAACUUUCCGGCCCCCAUACGGCGCCAACGCGUGUGAACGUCUUACCCGUGAAGUGUCACUGACCUGUGGGGCCGAGCGGUCCCCUGGUUCACAUGUCAGUGAGCGAUAUAGGAUGUUAAGGCGUCGAAGUCCAUGUGAAACGACACAUCCAUCCGCAAAACCAUGUGAGGCAUUUUGCAAUCGUGGCACGCGUGUGGCAUGGGGCAUGAGUGGGCGAAAACCAGACUUGAGUGAGAUGUUGGGGAAUGUAGUAGAAUUUUAAAAUUUUCUAUGCAUCACCAAGAUCAAUCUAUGGAGUCAUCUAGCAACGAGGGAGAUAGGAGUGCAUCUACAUACCCUUCUAAAUCGCGCGCGGAAGUGUUCAAGAGAACGGGGCUGAUGGAGUCGUACUCGUCGUGAUCCAAUCACCGAUGACCUAGCGUCGAACGGACGGCACCUCCGUGUUCAACACACGUACGGUUGGGAAAAUGUCUCCUCCAACUUGAUCCAGCAAGGGGGAAGGAGAGGUUGAUGGAGAUCCAGCAGCACGACGGCGUGGUGGCGGAAACUACGGCGAUCUCGGCAGGGCUUCGCCAAGCACAGGGAGAUGGAGGAGUGUCACGGGAGGGAGAGGGAGAGGCCAGGGGCUAGGGUGCGGCUGCCCUCCCUCCCCCCACUACUUAUAGGAUCCCUAGGGGGGCGCCGGCCCUAGGAGAUGCCAUCUCCAAGGGGGGGCGGCGGCCAAGGGGGUGGCUUGCCCCCCAAGGCAAGUGGGGCGCCCCCACCCCUAGGGUUUCCAACCCUAGACGCAGGGGGAGGCCCAUGGGGGGGCGCACCAGCCCAUUAGGGGCUGGUUCCCCUCCCACUUCAGCCCAUGGGGCCCUCCGGGAUAGGUGGCCCCAUCCGGUGGACCCCCAGGACCCUUCCGGUGGUCCCGAUACAAUACCGAUUACCCCCGAAACUUUCCCGAUGGCCGAAACUUGACUUCCUAUAUAUAAAUCUUCACCUCCGGACCAUUCCGGAACUCCUCGUGACGUCCGGGAUCUCAUACGAGACUCCGAACAACUUUCAGGUUACAGUAUACUAAUAUCUCAACAAUCCUAGCGUCACGGAACCUUAAGUGUGUAGACCCUACGGGUUCGGGAGACACGCAGACAUGACCGAGAUGACUCUCCGGUCAAUAACCAACGGCGGGAUCUGGAUACCCAUGUUGGCUCCCACAUGCUCCUUGAUGAUCUCAUCGGAUGAACCAUGUUGUCGAGGAUUCAAUCAAUCCGUAUACAAUUCCCUUUGUCAAUCGGUACGUUACUUGCCCGAGACUCGAUCGUCGGUAUCCCAAUACCUCGUUCAAUCUCGUUACCGGCAAGUCACUUUACUCGUACCGUAAUGCAUGAUCCCGUGAUCAACCACUUGGUCACAUUGAGCUCAUUAUGAUGAUGCAUUACCGAGUGGGCCCAGAGAUACCUCUCCGUCAUACGGAGUGACAAAUCCCGGUCUCGAUUCGUGCCAACCCAACAGACACUUUCGGAGAUACCUGUAAUGUACCUUUAUAGUCACCCAGUUACGUUUUGAUGUUUGACACACCCAAAGCACUCAUACGGUAUCCGGGAGUUGCAAGGGGGGAGGCGGGAGUGCCUUGGGUGUGACAAAUGUCACAACGUAACUGGGUGACUAUAAAGGUACACUACAGGUAUCUCCGAAAGUGUCUGUUGGGUUGGCACGAAUCGAGACUGGGAUUUUUCACUCCGUAUGACGGAGAGGUAUCUCUGGGCCCACUCGGUAAUGCAUCAUCAUAAUGAGCUCAAUGUGACCAAGUGGUUGAUCACGGGAUCAUGCAUUACGACACGAGUAAAGUGACUUGAUGGUAACGAGAUUGAACGAGGUAUUGGGAUACCGACGAUCGAGUCUCGGGCAAGUAACGUACCGAUUGACAAAGGGAAUUGUAUACGGAUUGAUUGAAUCCUCGACAUCGUGGUUCAUCCGAUGAGAUCAUCGUGGAGCAUGUGGGAGCCAACAUGGGUAUCCAGAUCUCGCUGUUGGUUAUUGACCGGAGAGUCGUCUCGGUCAUGUCUGCAUGUCUCCCGAACCCGUAGGGUCUACACACUUAAGGUUCGGUGACGCUAGGGUUGUAGAGAUAUUAGUAUGCAGUAACCCAAAAGUUGUUCGGAGUCCCGGAUGAGAUCCCGGACGUCACGAGGAGUUCCGGAAUGGUCCGGAGGUAAAGAUUUAUAUAUAUGAAGUCCAGUUUUGGCCAUCGGGAAGGUUUUGGGGGUCGCCGGUAUUGUACCGGGACCACCGGAAGGGUCCCGGGGGUCCAUCGGGUGGGGCCACCUAUCCCGGAGGGCCCCAUGGGCUGAAUUGGGAGGGGAACCAGCCCCUAGUGGGCUGGUGCGCCCCCCUUGGGCCUCCCCUGCGCCUAGUGUUGGGAAACCCUAGGAAUGGGGGCGCCCCCCACUUGGCUUGGGGGGGAAGCCACCCCUUGGCUGCCGCCCCCUUGGAGAUCCAUCUCCCUAGGGCCGGCCCCUCCAAGGCCCCUAUAUAAAGAGGGGGGAGGGAAGCCGCACCCUUUGCUCUUGGCGCCUCCCUCUCCCUCCGUAACACCUCUCCUCCCCGCUUGCGCUUGGCGAUGCCCUGCCGGGAUCCUGCUGCAUCCACCACCACACCGUCGUUCUGCUGGAUCUUCAUCAACCACUCCUUCUCCCUUGCUGGAUCGAGAAGAAGGAGACGUCUUCCAACCAUACGUGUGUUGAACGCGGAGGUGCUGUCCGUUCGGCACUUGGUCAUCGAUGAUUUGGAUCACGACGAGUACGACUCCAUCAACUCCGUUCUCUUGAACGCUUCCGCGCGCGAUCUACAAGGGUAUGUAGAUGCACUCCUCUCUCCCUCGUUGCUACAUGACUCCAUAGAUUGAUCUUGGUGAUGCAUAGAAAAUUUUAAAAUUCUGCUACGUACCCUAACAGCAACUUGAUCUGAAGUUUCAUGAUCAUCAUCAUUAACUUCCUCUCUAGUCGGUGCAGGCACCUCAGGAACAUUUUCUUGAGUUGCGCCACUUACCGGUUCAAGAGGUAAUACUUCAUCAAGUUCUACUUUCCUCCCACUUAUUUCUUUCGAGAGAAACUCUUUCUCUAGAAAGGAUCCAUUCUUGGCAACAAAGAUCUUGCCUUCGGAUCUGAGGUAGAAGGUAUACCCAAUAGUUUCUUUAGGGUAUCCUAUGAAGACGCAUUUUUCUGAUUUGGGUUCGAGCUUUUCAGGUUGAAGUUUCUUGACAUAAGCAUCGCAUCCCCAAACUUUUAGAAACGACAGCUUAGGUUUCUUCCCAAACCAUAAUUCAUACGGUGUCGUCUCAACGUAUUUCGACGGAACCCUAUUUAAAGUGAAUGUGGCAGUCUCUAAAGCAUAUCCCCAAAAUGACAGCGGUAAAUCAGUAAGAGACAUCAUAGAUCGCACAUAUCCAAUAGAGUGCGAUUACGACGUUCGGACACACCAUUAUGCUGAGGUGUUCCAGGCGGCGUGAGUUGUGAAACUAUUCCACAUUUUCUUAAGUGUGUGCCAAAUUCGUGACUCAAGUAUUCUCCCCCACGAUCUGAUCGCAAGAACUUGAUUUUCCUAUCACGUUGAUUCUCAACCUCACUCUGAAAUUCCUUGAACUUUUCAAAGGUCUCAGACUUGUGUUUCAUUAAGUAGAUAUACCCAUAUCUACUCAAGUCAUCAGUGAGGGUGAGAACAUAACGAUAGCCACCGCGAGCAUCAACACUCAUUGGACCACACACAUCAGUAUGUAUGAUUUCCAAUAAGUUGGUUGCUCGCUCCAUUGUUCAUGAGAACGGAGUCUUGGUCAUUUUACCAAUGAGGCAUGGUUCGCACGUGUCAAAUGAUUCGUAAUCAAGAGACUCCAAAAGUCCAUAUGCAUGGAGCUUCUUCAUGCGUUUGACACCUAUGUGACCAAGGCGGCAGUGCCACAAGUAUGUGGGACUAUCAUUAUCAACCUUACAUCUUUUGGUAUUCACACUAUGAAUAUGUGUAACAUUACGCUCGAGAUUCAUUAAGAAUAAACCAUUCACCAACGGAGCAUGACCAUAAAACAUAUCUCUCAUAUAAAUAGAACAACCAUUAUUCUUGGAUUUAAAUGAGUAGCCAUCUCGAAUUAAACGAGAUCCUGAUACAAUGUUCAUGCUCAAUGUUGGGGAACGUUGCAGAAAACAAAAAAUUUCCUUCGAUUUCACCAAGAUCCAUCUAGGAGUUCAUAUAGCAAUGAGUGAUUGGAUUGCAUCUACAUACCUUUGUAGAUCAUGCGCGGAAGCGUUCAAAGAACGGGGAUGAGGAAGGCGUACUCGACGUGAUCCAAAUCACCGGAGAUCCUAGCACCGAACGGACGGCACCUCUGCAUUCAACACAUGUACGGUCAGCGUAAUGUCUCCUUCUUGGUCCAGCAAGGGGAAGGAGAGGUUGAGGAAGAUGGCUCCAGCAGCAGCACGACGGCGUGGUGUUGAUGGAGCUGCAGUACUCCGGUAGGGCUUCGCCAAGCACUAUGGAGGAGGAGGAUGUGUUGGAGAGGGAGAGGGAGGCACCAAAGAUGUGUUGUCAAAGGCCGUCCUUCCCCCACUAUAUAUAGGGAGUCCAAGGGGGGGGGGGGGCGCCGGCCCUAGGAGAUCCAAUCUCCUAAGGGGGCGCCGACCAAGGGAGGAAUCCCUCCCCCCCAAGGCACCUAGGGGGUGCCUUCCCCCUUUGGGACUCUUCCCUUCUUGAACCCUAGGCGCAUGGUGAAGGAAAUAUGCCCUAGAGGCAAUAAUAAAGUUAUUAUUUAUUUCCUUAUAAUCAUGAUAAAUGUUUAUUAUUCAUGCUAGAAUUGUAUUAACCGGAAACAUAAUACAUGUGUGAAUACAUAGACAAACAAAGUGUCACUAGUAUGCCUCUACUUGACUAGCUCAUUAAUCAAAGAUGGUUAUGUUUCCUAACCAUGAACAAUGAGUUGUUAUUUGAUUAACGGGAUCACAUCAUCAAGAGAAUGAUCUUAUUGACAUGACCCAUUCCAUUAGCUUAGCACCCGAUCGUUUAGUAUGUUGCUAUUGCUUUCUUCAUGACUUAUACAUGUUCCUAUAACUAUCAGAUUAUGCAACCCCCGUUUACCGGAGGAACACUUUGGGUACUACCAAAUGUCACAACGUAACUGGGUGAUUAUAAAGGAGUACUACAGGUGUCUCCAAAGGUACAUGUUGGGUUGGCGUAUUUCGAGAUUAGGUUUUGUCACUCCGAUUGUUGGAGAGGUAUCUCUGGGCCCUCUCGGUAAUGCACAUCACUUAAGCCUUGCAAGCAUUGCAACUUAAUGAGUUAGUUGCGGGAUGAUGCAUUACAAGAACGAGUAAAGAGACUUGCUGGUAACGAGAUUGAACUAGGUAUUGGAAUACCGACGAUCGAAUCUCGGGCAAGUAACAUACCGAUGACAAAGGGAACAACGUAUGUUGUUAUGCGGUCUGACCGAUAAAGAUCUUCGUAGAAUAUGUAGGAGCCAAUAUGGGCAUCCAGGUCCCGCUAUUGGUUAUUGACCGGAGACGUGUCUCGGUCAUGUCUACAUUGUUCUCAACCCGUAGGGUCCGCACGCUUAAGGUUACGAUGACAGUUAUAUUAUGACUUUAUGCAUUUUGAUGUACCGAAGGUUGUUCGGAGUCCCGGAUGUGAUCACGGACAUGAUGAGGAGUCUCGAAAUGGUCGAGACAUAAAUAUUGAUAUAUUGGAAGCUUAUAUUUGGACAUCAGAAGUGUUUCGGGUGAAAUCGGGAUUUUACCGGAGUACCGGGAGGUUACCGGAACCCCCCGGGAACCAUAUGGGCCUUAAUGGGCUUUAGUGGAAAGGAGAAAGGGGAAGCCCAAGGUGGCCACGCGCCUCCCCCCUCCCCUAGUCCUAUUAGGACUAGGAGAGGUGGCCGGCCCCCCUCUCUCUCUUUCCCCCUCGGGGAAUCCUAGUCCAACUAGGAUUGGGGGGGGGGGGAGUCCUACUCCCGGGAGGAGUAGGACUCCUCCUGCGCCCUCCUCCUGGCCGGCGGCCCCCUCCCCCUUGGCUCCUUUAUAUACUGAGGCAGAGGCACCCCAGAGACACACAAAUUGAUCCACGUGAUCUAUUCCUUAACCGUGUGCGGUGCCCCCAGCCACCAUAUUCCUCGACAAUACUGUAGCAGAGUUUAGGCGUAGCCCUGCUGCUGUAGUACAUCAAGAUCGUCACCACGCCGUCGUGCUGACGGAACUCUUCCCUGACACUUUGCUGGAUCGGAUUCCGGGGAUCGUCAUCGAGCUGAACGUGUGCUCGAACUGGGAGGUGCCGUAGUUUCGGUGCUUGAUCGGUUGGAUCGUGAAGACGUACGACUACUUCCUCUACAUUGUGUCAAUGCUUCCGCAGUCGGUCUGCGUGGGUACGUAGACAACACUCUCCCCUCUCGUUGCUAUACAUCACAUGAUCUUGCGUGUGCGUAGGAAUUUUUUUGAAAUUACUACGAAACCCAUUAGUGGCAUCCGAGCCUAGGUUAUUUAUGUUGAUGUUAUAUGCACGAGUAGAACACAAAUGAGUUGUGGGCGAUAUAAGUCAUAUUUCCUACCAGCAUGUCAUACUUUGGUUCGGCGGUAUUGCUGGAUGAAGUGGCCCAGACCGACAUUACGCGUACGCUUACGCGAGACCGGUUCUCCCGACGUGCUUUGCACAUAGGUGGCUUGUGGGUGACAGUUUCUCCAACUUUAGUUGAACCAAGCAUGGCUACGCCCGGUCCUUGCGAAGGUUAAAACGGAGUCUAUUUGACAAACUAUCGUUGUGGUUUUGAUGCAUAGGUGAGAUUGGUUCUUGCUUAAGCCCGUAGCAGCCACGUAAAACUUGCAACGACAAAGUAGAGGACAUCUAACUUGUUUUUGCAGGGCAUGUUGUGAUGUGAUAUGGUCAAGACAUGAUGCUGAAUUUUAUUGUAUGAGAUGAUCAUGUUUUGUAACCGAGUUAUCGGCAACUGGCAGGAGCCUUAUGGUUGUCGUUUUAUUGUAUGCAAUGCAAUCGCGAUGUAAUGCUUUACUUUUAUCACUAAGAGGUAGCGAUAGUCGUAGAAGCACAAGCUUGGCGAGACGACAACGAUGCUACGAUGGAGAUCAUGGUGUCACGCCGGUGACGAUGGUGAUCACGACGGUGCUUCGGAGAUGGAGAUCACAAGCACAAGAUGAUUAUGGCCAUAUCAUAUCACUUAUAUUGAUUGCAUGUGAUGUUUAUCCUUUUAUGCAUCUUAUCUUGCUUUGAUUGACGGUAGCAUUAUAAGAUGAUCUCUCACUAAAUUAUCAAGAAGUGUUCUCCCUGAGUAUGCACCAUUGCGAAAGUUCUUCGUGCUGAGACACCACGUGAUGAUCGGGUGUGAUAGGUUCUACGUUCAAAUACAACGGGUGCAAAAUAGUUGCACACGCGGAAUACUCAGGUUAUACUUAACGAGCCAAGCAUAUACAGAUAUGGCCUCGGAACACGGAGACCGAAAGGUCGAGCGUGAAUCAUAUAGUAGAUAUGAUCAACAUAACGAUGUUCACCAUUGAAAACUACUCCAUCUCACGUGAUGAUCGGUUAUGGUUUAGUUGAUUUGGAUCACGUGAUCACUUAGAGGAUUAGAGGGAUGUCUAUCUAAGUGGGAGUUCUUUAAUUAAUUUGAUUAACCGAACUUAAUUUUAUCAUGAAACUUAGUACCUGAUUAGUAUCUUGCUUGUUUAUGUUUGAUUGUAGAUAGAUGGCUCGUGCUGUUGUUCCGUUGAAUUUUAAUGCGUUCCUUGAGAAAGCAAAGUUGAAAGAUGAUGGUAGCAAUUACACGGACUGGGUCCGUAACUUGAGGAUUAUCCUCAUUGCUGCACAGAAGAAUUACGUCCUGGAAGCACCGCUGGGUGCCAGGCCUACUGCAGGAGCAACGCCGGAUGUUAUGAACGUCUGGCAGAGCAAAGCUGAUGACUACUCGAUAGUUCAGUGUGCCAUGCUUUACGGCUUAGAAUCGGGACUUCAACGAUGUUUUGAACGUCAUGGAGCAUAUGAGAUGUUCCAGGAGUUGAAGUUAAUAUUUCAAGCAAAUGCCCGGAUUGGGAGAUAUAAAGUCUCCAAUAAGUUCUAUAGCUGCAAGAUGGAGGAGAACAAUUCUGUCAGUGAGCAUAUACUCAAAAUGUCUGGGUAUAAUAAUCACUUGAUUCAAUUGGGAGUUAAUCUUCCAGAUGAUUGCGUCAUUGACAGAAUUCUUCAAUCACUGCCACCAAGCUACAAGAGCUUCGUGAUGAACUAUAAUAUGCAAGGGAUGAACAAGACUAUUCUCGAGCUCUUCGCGAUGCUGAAAGCUGCAGAGGUAGAAAUCAAGAAGGAGCAUCAAGUGUUGAUGGUCAACAAGACCACUAGUUUCAAGAAAAAGGGAAAAGGGAAGAAGAAGGGGAACUUCAAAAAGAACGGCAAGCAAGUUGCUACUCAAGAGAAGAAACCCAAACCUGGACCUAAGCCUGAAACUGAGUGCUUCUAUUGCAAGCAGACUGGUCACUGGAAGCAGAACUGCCCCAAGUAUUUGGCAGAUAAGAAGGAUGGCAAGGUGAACAAAGGUAUAUGUGAUAUACAUGUUAUUGAUGUGUACCUUACUAAUGCUCGCAGUAGCACCUGGGUAUUUGAUACUGGUUCUGUUGCUAAUAUUUGCAACUCGAAACAGGGACUACAGAUCAAGCGAAGAUUGGUUAAGGACGAGGCGACGAUGCGCGUGGGAAACGGUUCCAAAGUCGAUGUGAUCGCAGUCGGCACACUACCUCUACAUCUACCUUCGGGAUUAGUAUUAGACUUAAAUAAUUGUUAUUUGGUGCCACCGUUAAGCAUGAACAUUAUAUCUGGAUCUUGUUUGAUGCGAGAUGGUUAUUCAUUUAAAUCGGAGAAUAAUGGUUGUUCUAUUUAUAUGAGUAAUAUCUUUUAUGGUCAUGCACCCUUGAAGAGUGGUCUAUUCUUGUUGGAUCUCGAUAGUAGUAACACACAUAUUCAUAAUGUUGAAGCCAAAAGAUGCAGAGUUGAUAAUGAUAGUGCAACUUAUUUGUGGCACUGCCGUUUAGGUCAUAUCGGUGUAAAGCGCAUGAAGAAACUCCAUUCUGAUGGACUUUUGGAACCACUUGAUUAUGAAUCACUUGGCACUUGCGAACCGUGCCUCAUGGGCAAGAUGACCAAAACACCGUUCUCCGGUACUAUGGAGAGAGCAACAGAUUUGUUGGAAAUCAUACAUACAGAUGUAUGUGGUCCAAUGAAUAUUGAGGCUCGUGGCGGAUAUCGUUAUUUUCUCACCUUCACAGAUGAUUUAAGCAGAUAUGGGUAUAUCUACUUAAUUAAACAUAAGUCUAAAACAUUUGAAAAGUUCAAAGAAUUUCAGAGUGAAGUUGAAAAUCAUCGUAACAAGAAAAUAAAGUUUCUACGAUCUGAUCGUGGAGGAGAAUAUUUGAGUUAUGAGUUUGGUGUACAUUUGAAAAAUUGUGGAAUAGUUUCGCAACUCACGCCACCCGGAACACCUCAGCGUAAUGGUGUGUCCGAACAUCGUAAUCGUACUUUACUGGAUAUGGUGCGAUCUAUGAUGUCUCUUAUUGAUUUACCGCUAUCGUUUUGGGGAUACGCUCUAGAGACGGCCGCAUUCACGUUAAAUAGGUCACCAUCAAAAUCCGUUGAGACGACGCCUUAUGAAUUGUGGUUUGGCAAGAAACCAAAGUUGUCGUUUCUGAAAGUUUGGGGCUGCGAUGCUUAUGUGAAAAAGCUUCAACCUGAUAAGCUCGAACCCAAAUCGGAGAAAUGUGUCUUCAUAAGAUAUCCAAAGGAAACUAUUGGAUACACCUUCUAUCAUAGAUCCAAAGGCAAGACUUUUGUUGCUAAAUUCGGAAACUUUCUGGCGAAGGAGUUUCUCUCGAAAGAAGUGAGUGGGAGGAAAGUAGAACUUGACGAGGUAACUGUACCUGCUCCCUUAUUGGAAAAUAGUACAUCACAGAAAACCGUUUCUGUGACACCUACACCAGUUAGUGAGGAAGUCAAUGAUAAUGAUCAUGAAACUUCAGAACAAGAUACUACUGAACCUCGUAGAUCAACCAGAAUAAGAUCCGCGCCAGAGUGGUACGGUAAUCCCGUUCUGGAAGUUAUGAUGCUAGAUCAUGAUGAAGCUACGAACUAUGAAGAAGCAAUGGUGAGCCCAGAUUCCACAAAGUGGCUUGAAGCCAUGAAAUCUGAGAUGGGAUCCAUGUAUGAGAACAAAGUAUGGACUUUGGUUGACUUGCCCGAUGAUCGGCAAGCAAUUGAGAAUAAAUGGAUCUAUUUAGGUGGGUAGCGGCAUCUUCACUAGGAAGGCCGGAAAAUGGAUCUUUCAUGACAAGAUUCAGCAAGGCAUCAUUAAUUUCACAAGAUUCAGCAUCGGUAAGAGAAGCAAUCAGAGUGCUAAUAAAAUCAUUGUUGUUGGUAUUGGUAAAGUCACACAAUUUAGUGUUAUGUUGAGGCAUCGUGACAAGCAAGCAAUCCAACACACAAGCAAACAAGAAAUGGGCAAAAAGAGGCAAAUAGAGAAAGAGAGGGAGGAUAGAGAGAGAGAGAGAGGGCGAAUAAAACGACAAGGGUGAAGUGGGGGAGAGGAAAACGAGAGACAAAUGGCAAAUAAUGUAAUGCGUGAGAUAAGGGUUGUGAUUGGUACUUGGUAUGUUGACUUUUGCGUAGACCUCCCCAGCAACGGUGCCAGAAAUCCUUCUUGCUACCUCUUGAGCACUAGCCUUGGUUUUCCCAUGAAGAGGAAAGGGUAGUGCAGCAAAGUAGCGUAAGUAUUUCCCUUAGUUUUUGAGAACCAAGGUAUCAAUCCAGUAGGAGGCCACGCACGAGUCCCUCGCACCUACACAAACAAAUAAAUCAUCGCAACCAACACGAUAAGGGGUUGCCAAUCCCUACACGGUCACUUAUGAGAGUGAGAUCUGAUAGGUAUGAUAAGAUAAUAUUUUUGGUAUUUUUAUGAUAAAGAUGCAAAGUAAAGUAAAAGGCAAUAAAAAUAACUAAGUAUUGGAAGAUUAAUAUGAUGGAAGAUAGACCCAGGGGCCAUAGGUUUCACUAGUGGCUUCUCUCGAGAGCAUAAGUAUUCACGAUGGGUAAACAAAUUACUGUUGAGCAAUUGACAGAAUUGAGCAUAGUUAUGAGAAUAUCUAGGUAUGAUCAUGUAUAUAGGCAUCACAUCCGAGACAAGCAGACUGACUCCUGCCUGCAUCUACUACUAUUACUCCACACACCGACCGCUAUCCAGCAUGCAUCUAGAGUAUUAAGUUCAAGAGAACAGAGUAACGCUUAAGCAAGAUGACAUGAUGUAGAGGGAUAAACUCAUGCAAUAUGAAAUAAACCCCAUCUUGUUAUCCUCGAUGGCAACAAUACAAUACGUGCCUUGCUGCCCCUACUGUCACUGGGAAAGGACACCACAAGAUUGAACCCAAAGCUAAGCACUUCUCCCAUUGCAAGAAAGAUCAAUCUAGUAGGCCAAACCAAACUGAUAGAGCGACCAACUGAGAGAGCGACAACAGCCGUAAACAUGCAUUAAAAUUAAUUCACACCGAAUAUAAGCAUGAGUAGGAUAUAAUCCACCAUGAACAUAAAUAUCAUGAAGGCUAUGUUGAUUUGAUUGAACUACAUGCGUGAACAUGUGCCAAGUCGAGUCACUCAAUUCAUUUAAAGGAGGAUACCAUCCUAUCAUACCACAUCAUAAUCAUCCCAAUAGCAUGUUGGCACGCAAGGUUAACCAUUAUAACUCAUAGCUAAUCAAGCAUGGCACAAGCAACUAUAAUCUCUAAAUGUCAUUGCAAAUAUGUUUACUUCAUAAUAGCUGAAUCAGGAACGAUGAAUCAUCAUAUUUACAAAAACAAGAGAGGUCGAGUUCAUACCAGCUUUUCUCAUCCCAAUGAGUCCAUCAUAUAUCAUCAUUAUUGCCUUUCACUUGCACGACCGAACGGUGUGUAUAAUAAUAAGAGUGCACGUGCAUUGGACUAAGCUGGAAUCUGCAAGCAUUCAACUCAAGAGAGAAGAAAAGUAAUAUGGGCUCUAAGUUAAAUAAACAAUCUUGCAUAUAAGAGCCACUUAGCAUUUUCAAUAUAGUCUUCUCGACCCCCAAAGAAAGGAAAAGAAAAAUAAAAACUAUUUACACGGGAAAGCUCCCAACAAGCAAAAGAAGGACGGGAAAUAUUUUUGGGUUUUCUUUUUAAUUCUACUACAAGCAUGGAAAGUAGACUAACACUAAUUUUUUUUGUUUUUCUUAAGGUUUAUUAAACACACAAGAAGAAAGCAGGAAAAAGGAAAAUAAACUAGAAUGGAUAUUACAGUGAAAGAGUAUGAGCACCGACAUCUAGCAAUGAGUGUGUGUGAACAUGAAUGUAAUGUCAGUGGGAAAUACGUACUCCCCCAAGCUUAGGCUUUUGGCCUAAGUUGGUCUAUUGCCAGGGAUAACCUGGCUGAUAUCCGUAGGUGAAGCUGGGGUCGUACUGCGAUGAAGAAUAGUUGGGAUCAUAAUGUGAUGAAGAGGACUCUGACUGCCACUGGCUGGCAACCGCCUCAGGAUCCCAAGAAUAAACAGACAUUCGUGGAGGCUCCAGUUCCGAGGCUGGUGCAGGAUUCCGAUAGGCUUGAACAGCCACCCACGGAACAAUGUAAGUACCUGCAGACAAGUUAAACAAAGAGGGAGCAGGCAAAGUAAUAGUCUCAGGGUGAUGUUUAUCAAAGUACAAUUUAUAUUUAAGCGCCCCUUCGUGAUUCUUAACAAGAAAAUCAUGCGUUACCAUACUCUUAUAAUCUAAAUAAGCAUGGGGCAGCGCUGUUUCUUCUUUCUCCUCAUGCCUAAUAGGUAUUUCAAAAUGUUCAGCUUGGCGUGAAGCAUAAAUACCUCCAAAGAUGGGGCCCUUAGUACGGUUCAUACUCAACCGUCUAGCAACAAUUCCACCCAUACUAACAGAGUUAUUGCGGUAUAAACCAUGGAGCAAAAUAAUAAUAUCAGGAAUACUAAGGUUCCCAUAGUUCCCGCGACCAAUCAAGCAACGACUAGCAAAUAAGGCAAAGUAGCGUAAAACAGGGAAAUGUAUGCUAGUAAUUCUUGCAUCAGAAACCUUCCUGGUUUCUCCCACAGUGAUAGUGUCAAUAUAAGCUUCCACUUCAUUACGGUGUGGUUCAUCUAAAGAACCCUCAAAAGGUAUUUUGCAAACCUCACAAAAUGCAGCUAAUGUCAUCUCCCUAGCAACAUCAUAUAAAUGGAACUCUACUGUUGGAGGUGAUUUCUUAGGGAAAAAGUAGAAGUUCUGCACAAAAGUAUUUGUGAGUAAGAGAUACUGAUGACGUUGGUCGCGGAGGAAGUUGGUGAGGCCGGCGUUCUCAAUCAAUAGAUAGAAAUCUUCAUAAAUCCCGGCACUUCUCAAGAAGUCAUCGGAAGGCCAUUCACACGGCCGGACCUCCGCGAUACGAGGCAGAUUAAAUUUGGGCUUCUGUUCUUCUUCCUUUUGUUUCUCCUUAGAACUUCAGCUUGACGAGCCCCUCAAAAGUCUCUUCAUUAGUUCUGAAACAAUCUGAAAUUUUUAGUAACUUCAAACAAAGUGAACCAACUUCAAUAAGAUUGAUAGCAACUACUCAUACAAGUGCCUAGAGCAUAUAUCAAGCAUUAGAACUACUUGGAACCAUAUAUAUUUGACAUGCAAGCUCAAGAACAUGGUCACCUAUGCAGCACAAAUUUGCAAUGAAUAAAGCACUAGAAAAAAAACUAAUUGGACCAAUGGAGGAGUCACAUACCAAGGAACAAUCUCCCCAAGCAGUUUUGCGAGAUGUGCUUUGAGCAAGGAGAUCAAAAAUCGCAGCAAAAGUUGCUGGAACACGAGCUUGAGUUGGUUUUUCGGGUUUCUGCGAGACAGAGGAAGAAGAUGGGUGCAGGAAUAAGUGGAGGAGGGCCACCGUGGGCCCACGAGGCAGGGGGGCGCGCCCUCCACCCUCGUGACCAGGUGGCAGCUCCCCCCCCCCCCGCGGUAAUUUUUGCACUAAAAAUCCUUAAAUAUUCUCGAAAAAAUCAUAUUAAAUUGGCAUGGCAUUCUGAGGACUUUUAUUUUCGGGAUAUUUUUAUAUUGCACAGAUAAGUCAGGAAACAGACAGAAAAAUACUAUUUUACUUUAUUUCUACUAAAGAACAGAAAAUAUAAAGAGGGUACAGAAGGUUGUGCUUCUAGUUUCAUCCAUCUCAUGCUCAUAAAAAAGAAUCCACUAACAAGGUUGAUCAAGUCUUAUUAACAAACUCAUUCCGAUAAUCAUGGAACCGGAGAAAUUUCGAAUAACACUAUGUUACCUCAAUGGGGAUAUGGACAUCCCCAACAAUAAGUAUAUCAUAUUUCUUUUUGACAGUAGGAAGAGGAAAUUCAAAACCUCCAAAUAUAAUCAAUGGAAUUUUUCCAAUAGAGUUGAUACUAUAAACAUGAGGUUGUUUCCUCGGAAAGUGCACUGUAUGCUCAUUACCAUUAACAUGAAAAGUGACAUUGCCUUUGUAGCAAUCAAUAACAGCCCCUGCAGUAUUAAGGAAAGGUCUUCCAAGAAUAAUAGACAUACUAUCAUCCUCGGGAAUAUCAAGAAUAACAAAGUCCGUUAAAAUAGUAACGUUUGCAACCACAACAGGCACAUCCUCACAAAUACUGACAGGUAUAGCAGUUGAUUUAUCAGCCAAUUGCAAAGAUAUUUCAGUAGGUGUCAACUUAUUCAAGUCAAGUCUACGAUAUAAAGAGAGAGGCAUAAUACUAACACCGGCUCCAAGAUCACAUAAAGCAGUUUUAACAUAAUUUCUUUUAAUGGAGCAUGGUAUAGUAGGUACUCCUGGAUCUCCAAGUUUCUUUGGUAUUCCACCCUUAAAAGUGUAAUUAGCAAGCAUGGUGAAAAUUUCAGCCUCCGGUAUCUUUCUUUUAUUAGUAAUGAUAUCCUUCAUAUACUUAGCAUAAGGAUUUGUUUUGAGCACAUCAGUCAAUCGCAUACGCAAAAAGAUAGGUCUAAUCAUUUCAGCAAAGCGCUCAAAAUCCUCAUCAUCCUUUUUCUUGGAUGGUUUCGGAGGAAAAGGCAUGGGUUUCUGAACCCAUGGUUCUCUUUGUUUACCAUGUUUCCUAGCAACGAAGUCUCUUUUAUCAUAACGUUAAUUCUUUGAUUGUGGGUUAUCAAGAUCAACAGCACGUUCAACUUCUACAUCAUUAUCAUUACUAGGUUGAGCAUCAUCAUGAACAUCAUCAUUAACAUUUUCACUAGGUUCAUGUUCAUUACCAUAUUGUGUUUCAGCAUCAGACAUAGAGAUAUCAUUUGGAUUAUCAGGUGGUUCAGCAAUAGGUUCACUAGAAGUUUGCACAGUUCUAUCAUUUUUCUUUUUCUUCCUUUUAGAAGAACUAGGUGCAUCAAUAUUAUUUCUUUGAGAAUCUUGCUCGAUUCUCUUAGGGUGGCCUUCAGGAUACAAAGGUUCCCGAGUCAUUCUACCAGUUCUAGUAGCCACUCUAACAGCAUAAUCAUUUUUCUUACUAUUCAUUUCAUCAAGCAUUUCUUUCUGAGCUUUAAGUACUUGUUCUACUUGAGUGGUAACCAUAGAAGCAUGUUUUCUAACAAGUUUAAGUUCACCUCUAAUAUUAUCCAUAUAAUCACUCAAGCGUUUAAUCAUAAAGGUAUUCUGCUUUAAUUGUCUACCAAAAUAAGAAUUAAAGUCAUCUUGCUUAAACAUAAAGUCAUUAAACUCAUCCAAGCACUGACUAGCAAUUUUAGUAGGUGGGACUUCAACUUUAUCAUAUCUAUAGAGAGAAUUUACCUUUACUACCUGUGUCGGGAUAUCGGGAGGUUCUUCAGUAAAUAAGUAAUUGAGAUCAUAUACUUCUUCAACAUGCGGUAAAUUAAGACCAUGUAUUUCUUAAAUAGGAGGUAAAUUCUUAACAUCUUCAGCUUUAAUACCUUUUUCUUUCAUAUAUUUCUUUGCCUCUUGCAUAUCUUCGGGACUGAGAAAUAGAACACCUCUCUUCUUCGGAGUUGGUUUAGGAAUAGGCUCAGUAAUUGGCUCAGGAGCUGGCUCAGGAGUUGGCUCGGGAGGUGGCUCAGGAGGUGCCCAAUUAUUUUCAUUUGCCAACAUAUUAUUCAAUAAAAUUUCAGCGUCAUCCGGUGUUCUUUCCCUGAAAAGAGAACCAGCACAACUAUCCAGGUAAUCUCUGGAAGCAUCAGUUAGUCCAUUAUAAAAGAUAUCAAAUAUUCCAGGUUUCUUAAGAGGAUGAUCAGGCAAAGCAUUAAGUACUUUGAGAAGCCUCCCCCAAGCUUGUGGGAGACUCUCUUCUUCAAUUUGCACAAAAUUGUAUAUUUCCCUCAAAGCAGCUUGUUUCUUAUGAGCAGGGAAAUAUUUAGCAGAGAAGUAAUAAAUCAUAUCCUGGGGACUUUGCACACAGGCAGGAUCAAGAGAAUUAAACCAUUUCUUAGCAUCACCCUUUAAUGAGAACGGAAAUAUUUUGAGUAUAUAAAAGUGGCGCGAUCUCAGAUUAUUAGUAAACAGGGUAGCUAUUUCAUCUAACUUAUGAAGAUGUGCCACAACAGUUUCAGAUUCAUAGCCAUAAAAAGGAUCAGAUUCAACCAAAGUAAUUAUAUCUGGAUCAACAGUAAUAUCAUAAUAAUCCUGAUCAGGAACACAGAUAGGUGAAGUAGCAAAAGCAGGGUCGGGUCUCAUCCUACCUCUAAAAGAUUCCUUACUCCACUUAAUUAGUAACCUCUUACGUUCCGGUUUAUCCGGACAAGCAAGAAUAGCUUCAUAAGAUUCAUUAUUAAAAAGAUAACCCUCAGGAAUAACAGGCAUAGGUUCAUCAUCACUAACAUCAUCGUGUUCAGGUUCACUAAUUUCUCUUUCUCUAGACUUAGAAAUUUGCUCAUCUAGAAAUUCACCAAGUGGCAUAGUAGUAUCAAGCAUAGAAGUAGUUUCAUCAUAAGUAUCAUGCAUAGCAGAAGUGGCAUCAUCAAUAACAUGCGACAUAUCAGAAUUCAUAGAAGUAGUAGGUUUAGGUGUCGCUAGCUUACUCAUAACAGAAGGUGAAUCAAGUGCAGAGCUAGAUGGCAGUUCCUUACCUCCCCUCGUAGUUGAGGGAUAAAUUUUUGUCUUAGCGUCUUUCAAGUUCUUCAUAGUGUCCAGCAGAUAUAAAUCCCAAGUGACUCAAAGAAUAGAGCUAUGUUCCCCGGCAACGGCACCAGAAAAAGGUCUUGAUAACCCACAAGUAUAGGGGAUCGCAAUAGUUUUCGAGGGUAGAGUAUUCAACCCAAAUUCGUUGAUUCGACACAAGGGGAGCCAAAGAAUAUUCUCAAGUAUUAACAGCUGAGUUGUCAAUUCAACCACACCUGGAAACUUAGUAUCUGCAGCAAAGUUUUUAGUAGCAAAGUAAUAUGAUAGUGGUGAUAACGGUAACAAAGUAAAGACAGCAAAAGUAAUGUUUUUGGUAUUUUUGUAGUGAUUGUAACAGUAGCAGCGGAAAAGUAAAUAAGCGUAAACCAGUACAUGGAAAACUCAUAGGCACCGGAUCAAUGAUGGAUAAUUAUGCGUGACACAGAACUAGCUCCAGUUCAUCAAUAUAAUGUAGGCAUGUAUUCCGUAAAUAGUCAUACAUGCUUAUGGAAAAGAACUUGCAUGACAUCUUUUGUCCUACCCUCCCGUGGCAGCGGGGUCCUAUUGGAAACUAAGGGAUAUUAAGGCCUCCUUUUAAUAGAGAACCGGAAAAAAGCAUUAACACAUAGUGAAUACAUGAACUCCUCAAACUAUGGUCAUCACCGGGAGUGGUCCCGAUUAUUGUCACUUCGGGGUUGCCGGAUCAUAACACAUAAUACGUGACUAUAGACUUGCAAGAUAGGAUCUAGAAUUCACAUAUAUUCAUGAAAACAUAAUAGGUUCAGAUCUGAAAUCAUGGCACUCAGGCCCUAGUGACAAGCAUUAAGCAUAGCAAAGUCAUAGCAACAUCAAUCUCAGAACAUAGCGGAUACUAGGGAUCAAACCCUAACAAAACUAACUCGAUUACAUGAUAAAUCUCAUCCAACCCAUCACCGUCCAGCAAGCCUACGAUGCAAUUACUCACGCACAGCGGUGAGCAUGAUGAAAUUGGUGAUGGAGGAUGGUUGAUGAUGAGGAUGGUGACGAAUCCCCCUCUCCGGAGCCCCGAACGGACUCCAGAUCAGCCCUCCCGAGAGAGAUUAGGGCUUGGCGGCGGCUCCGUAUCGUAAAACACGAUGAAACUUUCUCUCUGAAUUUUUUCUCCUCGAAGCCAAUAUAUGGAGUUGGAGUUGGCGUCGGAGGGCCACCAGGGGGCCCACGAGGUAGGGGGGCGCGCCCAGGGGGGAGGGGCGCGCCCCCCACCCUCGUGGAUAGGGUGUGGGCCCCCUGGUCUUCAUCUUUGGCAAGGAUUUUUUAUUAUUUAUUCUAAGAUAUUCCAUGGAGUUUCAGGUCAUUCCGAGAACUUUUGUUUUCUGCACAUAAAACAACACCAUGGCAAUUCUGCUGAAAACAGCGUCAGUCCGUGUUAGUUCCAUUCAAAUCAUACAAGUUGGAGUCCAAAACAAGGGAAAAAGUGUUUGGAAAAGUAGAUACGACGGAGACGUAUCAGAAUGCAUCUACAUACCUUUGUAGAUCGUGAGCGGAAGCGUUCAAGAGAACGGGGUUGAGGGAGUCGUACUCGUCGUGAUCCAAAUCACCGGAGAUCCUAGCGCCGAACGGACGGCACCUCCGCGUUCGUCACACGUAUGGAGCGGAUGACGUCUCCCGCGCCUUGAUCCAGCAAGGAGGAGGGACAGGUUGAGGAAGAUGGCUCCAGCAGCAGCACGACGGCGUGAUAUUGAUGGAGAGGUAGUACUCCGGCAGGGCUUCGCCAAGCUCUAUGGAGGAGGAGGAGGUGUUGGAGUGGGAGAGGGAGGCGCCAGGGGCAUGCGUGCGGCUGCCCUCCAUCCCCCCCUCUAUAUAUAGGGUCCCCAAAGGGGGCGCCUGCCCUAGGAGAUGGGAUCUCCUAGGGGGGGGCGGCGGCCAAGGGGGUGGAGUGCCCCCCAAGGCAAGUGGAGGCGCCCCCUUCCCUAGGGUUCCCAACCCUAGGCGCAACGGGGGGCCCAAGGGGUAGCAUGCUCAAGAGGUAGCACCGCUCUGGCCGCCUGUUCGCGAGCAAUGCAAAGCCGCGGCGAGGUGUUUCGGCGCCGGGCCGGCAAAAGGCAAAGCAGAGGCACUAGUAGAAAAAGGGUCUAACGUGAAGCACAUUAGUGUCGGUUCCAACGGCUAGCCGGGCCGCUUUGAUUAGUACCGGUUCGUGGCGAACCUUUAGCACCGGUUCGUGCCACGAACCGGUACUAAUGAGAGUGGUGGCAGGAUGUUGUCAGACAGGUGCCCCUCCAGCCCCUUUAGUACCGGUUCUUGGCACGAACCGGUACUAAAGGUCGUCCUGCAUAAACCCUUCGUCCACCCGUGCUCGCUCUGUUCUUCCCCUUUCCCCUCUCCUCUCUGUUCUUCCCCUCUUCCUCUCGAGCUCAUCAAACAUUUUGCCCAAAAUUUGUCAAGAUUUGAAGGCCCCCAUCCAUUCAAAUGAUCACAAAGGUUAGCAACUUUGUCCUUUCAUCUCUCAUUGCUAGAUUAGCUCUUGCAAUGCUUUAUAUAGUGAUUAAUUUGUGAGUUUAGUAAUUUGGGAGGAUAUAUAUAUGUGCUAGUAUUUGAUUUAUAUGCAAUUUGAGGUCAAAAAUAACACUUAGUUUGCAUAUGUAGGUGUGGUUUACUUAGUGCCUUGUAAAUCUCCAUCGUAGCCACCAUCGAUCGCCCGCACCGUCCCGUCGCCGGCACCACCUUGUGGUGAGCCUCUAGUUCAUCAAAUUUUAUAUAAAAAUUGAUGUUUGUGUGAUUUGGAUAUAUAGUUACUCGUAUAAUUAUCUUACCUGUACGUUGUUUGUUAUACAUAUAGUGCCAUGUUUUGAUAUCCGUCCCCGUCGGCCCUAGUCCUUGUUAUGAUUCAGAUGUGGUAUGUAUAUUCUCUUUUAGAACUAGUUGCAUUUCGUGUUUAUGACAAAUUAUGCCCAUCAAGUUGACAUAGAAAUUUUUUCUAGGAGGUAUGUGAACCGGAAAUUCCAACCGACCCUAUUGCCGAGAGGUUAAUUUAGUUGAAAGAGAAAAUGAGUACUUGAAAGAAAAAUUGAAAAGAAUUGAGGGGGAGAAGAUGGAAUUGGAGUUGCAUGUUGCCGAUGUCGUCGAUGAUCACAACAUGAAGAUGGAGAAAAUGCGCUUGAAGAUUAGAAAGAUUAGAAAAUAUGCCAUCGAUAGUGAGGUUUGGUAUCAUUAUGCUGUUGGAUCCAUUGUUACCUUAGUUGCGAUCUUGAUCGUAUUUGUUGUUGCAUUUAAAUGCUUUAGCUAGAGAGUUAUUUGUUUGUUGCAUUUAAGUGUUGUAUGAACUUUAAGUAUGAACUUGUAUUAAUUUGGUAUAUUCUGUGUUGUGUAAUGAAGAUGAGCCGGCAAUGGAUGUACGAUGACCGAUGCUCUCCCCAGUUCGUUGAGGGCGUGCAUACUUUUCUGCUUGCGGCUGAGGCAAACAAGCGGGCGGAUGGUUUUAUGCCUUGUCCAUGUGCUCGCUGUAAGAAUGGUCACAAUUACUCUGCGUCAAGAACCAUUCACGUCCACCUGUUUAAGUCCGGUUUCAUGCCCCAUUAUAAUGUUUGGACCAAGCACAGAGAAAGAGGGGUUAUGAUGGAAGACAAUGAAGAAGAAGAGGACGACGACAACUAUCCUGGCCUUGGGUUCCUUGAAUACGAUGAUACAACAAUGGGGGAAGAAGCUGAGCCGGUAAUGCGGGAAGAAGCUGAGCUGGCAAUGCGGGAAGAAGCUGAAGAAGAGGCAUCAGAUGAGCCCGUUGAUGAUCUAGGUCGGGCCAUUGCUGAUGCAAAGAGAAACUGCGCAAGUGAUUUGGAGAAGAAGAAGUUGCAGCGCAUGUUAGAGGAUCACAAAAAAUUGUUGUACCCGAAUUGCGUAGGUGACAAGAAAAAGCUGGGCACCACACUGGAAUUGCUGCAAUGGAAGGCAGAGAAUGGUGUAUCUGACAAGGGAUUUGGAAAGUUGCUGGUAAUGAUAAAGGAUAUGCUUCCAAAGGACAACAAAUUGCCCGAGAGUACGUACAAAGCAAAGAAGGUUGUCUACCCUCUAGGGUUAGAGGUGCAGAAGAUACAUGCAUGCCCUAAUGAUUGCAUCCUCUACCGCGGUGAGUACGAGGAUUUGAACGCUUGCCCGGUAGGUGGUGCAUUGCGCUAUAAGAUCAGCCGAGAUGACCCUGGUGAUGUCGAGGGUCGGUGCCCCACGAAGAAGAUUCCUGCCAAGGUGAUGUGGUAUGCUCCUAUAAUACCACGGUUGAAACGUUUGUUCCAAAACAAAGAGCACACCAAGGCGAUGCGAUGGCACAAAGAAGACCGUAAGAAAGACGGAAAGUUGAGAGUACCCGCUGACGGGUCGCAGUGGAGAAAAAUCGAAAGAAAGUACGGGAAGGAGUUUGCAGAUGAAGCAAGGAGCGUAUGGUUUGGUCUGAGCGCAGAUGGCAUUAAUCGUUUUGGGGAGCAGAGUAGCAACCAUAGCACCUGGCCUGUGACUCUAUGUUUGUAUAACCUUCCUCCUUGGUUGUGCAUGAAGCGGAAGUUCAUUAUGAUGCCAGUGCUCAUCCAAGGCCCUAAGCAACCCGGCAACGACAUUGAUGUGUACCUAAGGCCAUUAGUUGAAGAACUCUUACAACUGUGGAAUGGAACAGGUGUACGUGCGUGGGAUGAGCACAUGGGGGAAGAAUUUGACCUAAAGGCGUUGCUGUUCGUGACCAUCAAUGAUUGGCCUGCUCUCAGUAACCUUUCAGGACAGACAAACAAGGGAUACCGUGCAUGCACGCACUGUUUGGACGAUACCGACAGUAUAUAUUUGGCUAAUAAGAAUGUGUACCUGGGACAUCAUCGAUUUCUUCCGAGCAGGCAUCCCGUAAGAAAGAAAGGCAAGCAUUUCAAAGGUGAGGCGGAUCACCGGACGAAGCCUCGCCACCGUACUGGUGCUGAUGUACAUGAUAUGGUCAAGGAUUUGAAGGUGGUCUUUGGAAAGGGUCCUGGUGGACAACCUGUUCCGAAUGACGCUGACGGAUGCGCACCCAUGUGGAAGAAGAAAUCUAUAUUUUGGGACCUGCCCUAUUGGAAAGACCUCGAGGUCCGCUCCGCAAUCGACGUGAUGCACGUGACGAAGAAUCUUUGUGUGACCCUGCUUGGCUUCUUGGGCGUGUAUGGGAAGACAAAAGAUACACCUGAGGCACGGGAGGACCAGCAACGUAUGCACGGAAAAGACGGCAUACAUCAGGGUCAUGCAAGCUACGCUCUUACCAAAGAAGAGAAGGAAAUCUUUUUUGAAUGCCUGCUCAGUAUUAAGGUACCGUCUGGCUCUCGUCGAAUAUAAAGGGAAUAAUAAACAUGGCAGAGAAAAAGUUCCAGAACCUAAAGUCUCAUGACUGCCACGUGAUUAUGACGCAACUGCUUACGGUUGCAUUGAGGGGGCUUCUACCGGAAAACGAUCGAUUAGCCAUUGUGAAGCUAUGUGCAUUUCUCAAUGCAAUCUCUCAGAAGGUAAUCGAUACAAAAAUCAUACCAAGGUUACAGAAUGAUUUGGUGCAAUGUCUUGUCAGUUUCGAGUUGGUGUUCCCACCAUCCUUCUUCAACAUCAUGACGCACGUCCCAGUUCACCUAUGCGAAGAGAUUAAUGUUUUUGGUCCUGUAUUUCUACACAAUAUGUUCCCCUUUGAGAGGUUCAUGGGAGUCUUAAAGAAAUAUGUUCAUAACCGUGCUAGGCCAGAAGGAAGCAUCUCCAAGGGCCGUCAAAAUGAGGAGGUCAUUGAGUUUUGUAUUGACUUUAUUCCUGACCUUAAGCCGAUUGGUGUUCCUGAAUCGCGGCAUAAGGGCAGACUGGAUGGAAAAGGCACGCUAGGAGGGGAACAAAUAAUAUGUAUGGACGGACAUUAUCUCACUGAAGCACACUACACAGUUCUACAGAAUUCCGCCUUGGUGGCUCCGUAUAUGGAUGAACACAAGAAUUUGCUACGCUCCAAACACCCGGAGCGGUCUAAUGACUGGAUUACACGUGAACAAACCAGGAGUUUCGCCAGCUGGUUGCAAGCACGUACCAUGCAUGACACCUCUAUUGAAGAUGACCUGUACUUGCUGUCCCAGUUACCAUCUUCGAAUAUAAUGACUUUCAAAGGGUACGAGAUAAAUGGUAAUACAUUUUACACGAUCGCCCAAGAUAAGAAGAGCACCAACCAAAACAGUGGUGUCCGCUUUGAUGCAGAAACCAAGACGGGAAAGGAAACAUAUUAUGGUUAUAUACAGGACAUAUGGGAACUUGACUAUCGACGUGGUUUGAAGGUCCCUUUGUUUCGGUGCAAAUGGGUCAAUAUGACACGAGGCGGGGUAACGGAAGACCCGCAGUACGGAAUGACAACAGUGGAUCUCAACAAUCUUGCGUAUGCAGACGAACCAUUCGUCCUAGCCAAUGAUGUGGCACAGGUUUUCUAUGUGAAAGACAUGUCUACCAAGCCAAGAAAAAGAAAAGAUAAGGAAGCGAAUGCAUCGUACGGUGAGCCAAGGCGGCACAUAGUUCUUUCUGGGAAGAGAAACAUCAUGGGAGUGGAUGACAAGACAAACAAGUCAGAAGAUUAUGAAAAGUUUGAUGAAAUUGCUCCAUUCAUAGUGAAUAUUGACCCGAGCAUCCCGUUAAAUGAUGAAGAUUUUCCAUGACUACGACGCAAAAGGACACACGCGAAGAAAAAGUUUCACACCCAAAGAUCUGGGAUGUGAUCAGCUUAACUAUCAUCACUUUCUUCUGUGUUUCACACCCAGGAGGGAAUCUCUGUAAUAGUUAGGGUAGCUAGUUAUGUGUUUUGGCAUUUGAAACGCGAAGAAAUUUUAUGUGCAAGCAAAUUCUUUCAUGCAUUUACUGAUUUUUUCAGCUAAAUGACCCUGAAAUUGAAAAGCAUUUCAAAUGAACUCAGAAAAGGAUGAAAGUUGGCAUGGUAUCAUAAUUUCACCCACAUAGCAUGUGCAAAAAUGUAGAGAGGGUUACCGCAAAAACUGGAUGCACUUCGUGUACAAAAUGGACAAUCUGUUUCGAAGUAUCAGGUUUUCGGACGAAAACUCAUCCGUUACAAAGGCAUUUCAUUUUUUAAAUAACCUAAGCAUUACCAAAUUGAAUAUAAUGAUAAAACACACUAAUGUUAAACAUAAGAAAAAAGAAUCACUGAAAAAUCUAUUUUCAAAGUUAAGUUAUUCACAAAAAUAAAUAAAGCAAAAAAAUAAGAAAAAAAGCCCACCUACUGGGCCACAGCGGCCUGCAUACCACUAGAAACCCAAAUUCAAGUUGCGCCAGGAUGCAGGCCCGCUAGCCCAGUAGGCCCAACAGGGCAUCAAAGAAGAGGUAGGCCCAAAAGGUCUGCUUAAGAGAGGAGCUCGAGACAGCAGCGACGGCGGGGCUUAUAAGCAGGUGCGAGUGCCCCUCGGCUAGCGAGGUGGGACUAAACUUUUGUGCCCCUCGCCUGGCAGCGCACACCCUUUAGUACCGGGUCGUGGCACCAACCGGUACUAAAGGGGGGUGCUUCCCGCCGCUUGGCCUGGCCAAAACAGGCCUUUAGUACCGGUUGGUGGCUCCAACCGGUACUAAAGGUGCCUUCUAUAUAUACAUCACUUCGAAAAAUUUCAUUCUCCCUUUGCUUCUUCCCGAUCGAUCGACGCCGUCGCCGCCCCCAUCCUCGUCGCCGCCCUCAUCCCCGUCGCCGCCCCUGUCCCCGUCGCCGUCGCCUCCCUCGUCUCCGUCGCCGCCCCUGGCCCGUCCCCGUCGCGCCGUCCCCGCGUCGCCGCCCCGUCACGCCCCGNNNNNNNNNNNNNNNNNNNNNNNNNNNNNNNNNNNNNNNNNNNNNNNNNNNNNNNNNNNNNNNNNNNNNNNNNNNNNNNNNNNNNNNNNNNNNNNNNNNNNNNNNNNNNNNNNNNNNNNNNNNNNNNNNNNNNNNNNNNNNNNNNNNNNNNNNNNNNNNNNNNNNNNNNNNNNNNNNNNNNNNNNNNNNNNNNNNNNNNNNNNNNNNNNNNNNNNNNNNNNNNNNNNNNNNNNNNNNNNNNNNNNNNNNNNNNNNNNNNNNNNNNNNNNNNNNNNNNNNNNNNNNNNNNNNNNNNNNNNNNNNNNNNNNNNNNNNNNNNNNNNNNNNNNNNNNNNNNNNNNNNNNNNNNNNNNNNNNNNNNNNNNNNNNNNNNNNNNNNNNNNNNNNNNNNNNNNNNNNNNNNNNNNNNNNNNNNNNNNNNNNNNNNNNNNNNNNNNNNNNNNNNNNNNNNNNNNNNNNNNNNNNNNNNNNNNNNNNNNNNNNNNNNNNNNNNNNNNNNNNNNNNNNNNNNNNNNNNNNNNNNNNNNNNNNNNNNNNNNNNNNNNNNNNNNNNNNNNNNNNNNNNNNNNNNNNNNNNNNNNNNNNNNNNNNNNNNNNNNNNNNNNNNNNNNNNNNNNNNNNNNNNNNNNNNNNNNNNNNNNNNNNNNNNNNNNNNNNNNNNNNNNNNNNNNNNNNNNNNNNNNNNNNNNNNNNNNNACACACACACACACACAUUUCCUUAAGUUAAUUAGUAUAUACCUAUUUUGUAUGUUUAAUUAGUUUAGAUUUUUCAGAUUAUUAUUUUUUCACUAGUAUAUAUGUAUGAAUGCAUGUUAGAUGGAUAUAAUUAGUGUUUAAUUAGUAUGGAAUUUUUUUAUAUAAUGUUGUUUUUUCUGUUUUUAAUGGAUGUAUAGAAGUUGUUUUUUCUGUUUUUAGUGUUAGAUGCUUAAUUAGUAUGAAAUAGCAUAUAGAAUUUUGACAUAUGCAAUGAUAGCAUAAUUAGUGUUACAUUUGCAUAUAGUAUUUUUGUUGUCGACGAUGCCCGGCCCACAUCCUCGCCGUCGACCCGUUCGUGACGAUGUCCUGCUUCAGAGGACCCAUGUCCGGGACUGGGCUCCGCUGGGCUGGCACUGGGAGGUGCUACCUUCAGGGGCGCGACGCUUGGUGAGGAACCCGGCCUCGGGUCCCGUCGUCGACCCUCAUCUCCUUUGGUGGCAUUCGCGUGGGCCACUUUCGGUGCGGAGGGAGCCGGCCCUGCCGGAGGUGGUACGUCGCCAUGUCAGGGAGGAGGACGAGCACGUCCAUCGCUACAUGGCUGCUAUGGACGUCAGGUUCUCCAAUACCUGGCAGGUUCUUUGGGGAGAUCACCCGAGCUAUGAUCCAGUGAUGGUUCCUUCACUUUGGUUGUCCACCGCCUAGAUUACUCUCUAGUAUUCGAUCUUUAUUAGCUAGCUAGCUAGCUAGCUAGUGAUGUAUUCGAUAUAUAAUAUUCGAGAUGAUUUAUUCAAGAUUAUAUAUAUUAUUUGAGACGAUGUAUUCGAGAUUCUAUCUAUUAUUCGAGACGACGUAUUCGAGAUUAAAUCUAUUAUUCGAGACGAUGUAUUCGAGAUUAUAUCUAUUAUUCGAGAUUAUACUAAAUUCUUUUAUAUUUCUUUUGGCAUAGUUGAAUAAAAGCUAUGGCGGACAAUACCGAGAGAGAGAGAGAAUAGACCAUGUUCGAUAUCAUACACGAGCCAGAUGAUGAUCAGAAUGAAGAAGAUUUUGACGGCUCCGAAUUUCUAAACAACACCGGAGAGGGUGAUAUGAUAUUCGAUCGCGACGACCGAGAAGAUGAAGUCAUGAACUACGACGAAGAACAUGUUGAUCCUGAAACAACAAACACCGGCGAGGUAUAUAUAUUUAUAUAAGCAGGAAUCUGGUGAUCAUCGCAUGUUUUAAAUGAGUUGAAGAUAUAUUAACGAAUCGAUCUUUCUUCUUUCAGCCAUCUGGAUCGAGCAAAUCUUCAGGCGAAAGGACGAAACGAGGCCCGAACAAAAAGUUGAAGGAGGGCGUAAAGUACAAUAUCGAGGCAUUCAAACCUAAUGGCGAACUAUUAGCUCCUAAGAAGAAUGCGGACAAGUUCGUUCGUCAGUGCGGAGUUCUUGUGAAGGACCAACUCCCGAUCUCCCUUCAAGAAUGGAGAAAGCCAGCAAAGCCACAUCCAAAUGUUACUUUUGUCGACGAGAAUCAAAAAAACUGCUUUGGGAUACUCUCAUGGAACAUUUCACCCUACCAGAUAAUUUCACAGAAGCAAAUGUGCGGAAAGUCAAGGACGCUACUUUUAGGAAGAUGGCGGUUGCAUUCAAGAACCACAAGAGAACGACGUGGGAGAAGUACGUCAAGGGAGGAAGGAAGACUCCAGUAUUCGAGGGGAUACUAAAGAAUCAAAGUGCUCAUUGGGACGAUUUCGUGAAAUUCAAGGAUUCAGAAUUAGCUAAGGAACGGUCGAGAAUAAACAAGAAGAAUGCCAAAAAAAAGGAUAAGUUCCAUAAGCUGGGGCCAGGUGGCUACGCGGUGGCAAUGCCUAAGUGGGAUAAGUUUGAGAAAGAGAUGGAGGAUGCAAGUGUCACUCCGGUUACUAAGAGCUGGCCCCCCAGGUGCAGGACUUAGUUCUAUGCGCAUGGGAGGGGGGUAGUUGGGCCCGAAGACAGGCAAUGUUUCGACGAAGGCAUGUCUGAACGGAGCCCAUGAUGCGCUACUUGUUGCAAUAGAAGAGGCUCAAUCGAGGGUGUUCCAGCCCAACAGAGAGAACGACGAGCUUACGCGUGCCCUGGGAAAUCCUGAACACCCGGGAAGAACACGAGGCAAGGGCGCUAUUUCGUGGUAUGAGGGGUUUUCGGACAGGAACGCUGACUACAGAACCCGUGCGAGAAAAAAGAUUGCGGAGGAGAAGAAGAGGAAGAUGGAGGAGGAGCAGAGGAAGCGGGACUAUGAACGCCUUCAAGGCCUAGAAGCAAGUCAAGCGGAAUUGGCCACUAAAUUCCAGCGGCAGCAGGAGCAGAUCGACUCACUUAGCCAGCAAAGGGGGUCUCAGCAGCUGCAGCAGCUAGCGAAUGAUCCAGCAUUGGAUACCACUGCCCCAUCCAUGCCGAGAAGCAGCAUGGGUUCCGCCCCGGGCGACGCAGUAGUGCUGGAUAGAUACCCCGUGGAUGACAUCACGGAGACCACUAACUGCGAGCUACACUUCAAAAUGAAGAACAUAUCCAUGAAGGUGGCGGACGCCGUUGCUUUCUCAAAUUCCCCCGAGGCAACCUUCCAUUGCAACCCGAUUCCAGCGGGCUAUGCUCGUGUCUUGGUUGAUGAGGUGGUGGACCCAUAUUCGGAGCUACAGCUUGACAUUCCUGGAGGUGACGACGAGCACACAUUGGGAGAGGCCAUACAUCGUGUCAUCCUAUGGAGAAAGGAUUGCAUCAUCUUAUGAAGUCCGCCACCGAGUCAGUAGACUCCCGCUCCUCCAAGUCCACCAACGCGUGAGGCCACUCCUCCUCCUCCAAGUCCGGCAAAGUGUCAGGCCACUCCUCCUCCAAGUCCGACACAGCGUCAGACGUCCACUCCUCCUCCAAGUCCGGCACAACCUCAGGCCACUUCAAGUCCGGCACAGCUUCAGGCCAUUCCUCCUCGUCCAACUCAGCCCCGUCAGCCGUCUCCGCCGCCUCAGCAAUCGCAGAAGAGACACCCCGCAGCUAUGGUGCGUAGCGGUACGAGUCGAGGUCAUAGUACAGGAAGUAUAGGCGGAGGCAAGCGAUAUAAAUAUGGUCCAAACCUCACUACUCCUCUUCCUGUGAGGGCUUGCGACAGGACCGAGGAGCAAACCAAUGCCAUAGUGCAGGCAGAACUCGACGCCCAUUUUGGACCGAAACCGCCACCGCCACCAAGGGAGAAAGUGCCUGUGGAAGUAGUUGACCACUUCAUUCGUAUGGCUCAACCACCAGCUCCUAAGCCUGUUGACACAGACUAUGAGCGCCACAUCAGGAAGUUACAUCGACAACGUCUACAGAAGGAGGCGAGCUCGAGCUCGAGCAAACAACAAGCAGCAGUCAAAAAAGCGGGAAAACCGUUGCCCAGCUAGGAAAACAGGCGGCACAAUCGACCCCCCCGCUUGUUGCACCGCCAACAACACGUGACAGUAUGCACGCCCAAUAUUAUUGUGGCCAAACAGUUUACGUUCCCGAGGUGGGCGAUGUGGUAAUAACCCAGGAGCAUAUAAUGCAGGCUGAAGAACUCAAGAUCACUGUUGGACAACUCCUCGAGAUCGAGGACAUGCCUGGGAUUACAGAGGAGGAAAUAAAACGGAAAUAUGUCCGGGGCGAACCUUUGGUCGAGCCAGAAGAUGUCAACAAGCUCCCAACGAGAAUGUAUGAAUUGCAUCAAUGGUACAUGGACAUUACCAAGAGAUCCAAUCGAGAGUCCCUCAUGGUGUAUGUCAAGAAGGAUGAUUACUACCAUGAGAAAGCUGUGGCCGUUGAGUAUCCUGAACUGUUUCAGUUAUACAAUCAAGACGCACUCGACAAAUCUAUCGUCAGUUGCUAUUGUUUAUAAGUGAUUUCUUUCUGUAAUUUAAGUCUCAAGCUAGCUGUAGUGAUCCUUUUGAUCAAUCAUUACCUGUAAUUAUCCUCACUAUAUUCUUUUCUGUGGUAUUAUGGAGGAUGAAGAUGUAUGAAAUGAGAAAAGGUGGACGCUAUGGCAUUGGGUUCAUUGACCCAAACACCGUUAAUGAAUACACAUGGAAAAUAAACAAGCAUCAAGAAAAAGAGGUAGAGGACAGCAUGCUAGAGUUCUUGAAGCGCCUCAAAUACAAUGAAGAUAUACUACUUCCUUACAACUUCCAGUGAGUCACACUUUCUUGUACUACAAAUUCUCUGUUUUUGCCUACUAGCUAGCUAGCUACAUGUUUUUGCUUACAUAUGCCCGCUUAAUUAAGACAUGCAAACGUGUGUGCAUGCAGAUUUCACUGGAUCUUGUGUAUCAUUAAAGUUGACGCCGGAACAGUUGAAAUACUGGACUCGCUACUUAAAAAACAAAGUGACUAUAACAUCUUGUUUGGGAUAGUCAACAGGUAAUUUCAAUCAUUAUUAACUAUAUAUCUUGGCCUAUUUAGUAAUUCGUCAUUUCAUGAUAUGAACUAUUUAAUAACCCCUUUAUUCAUUUUCUUUGUCAGCGGGCAGGGCUUGGGCAAGGUUCAUCAGCGUCAUGGAAGGCGAAUGGAAACCAAAGCUGAAAUGGUUUCGAUCCAAGGUAAGUAAUUAAGUAGUACUAGCUAGCUAGCUAGCUGCCAUCUCUUUAAUUAUCAUGCUUGAUUAAUUAUUAUCUGAUUAAAUUAAAUUCCAUUCUCGUAAUAAAGGCCCUGAAGCAGGCGCAGGGGACUGAUCUGGGUGCAUUCUGCGUUUGCGAGAACAUUCGCAUGAUGGCGUCCGAAAGGAGCAGAUCUCAAAGACAGGAAUGGGUACGCUUGUCAGAACACUAUUCACAAUUUUUACACCAUUAUCGAUAUCUAGUCACACAACUAAUACACAUGCAUAUUGAUCUCCUUCUUAACAGUUCAAAGAGGUGCGGGACAAGCUCCUAGAAACGGAGCGCGUAGAAGCUCUUCAAGAGGAAAUAGCGGGAUUUUUGCUCGACCAGGUCAUAAAUCCGAAGGGAGAAUACUAUUACCCGCUACCACCCCCAUGAACCACUUCCAAUUGUCAUCGUGCUCCGAAGGCACCAAUUAGGCUAAUGCCACUGGCUCCGAAGGCAACAUGCAUAUGUAGGAGAAAUUGUAUAUAGCUAUACAUGUGUGUAUGUGUGAAUUAAUAUGGUUUGUGAGACAUUGAUGAUAUAUAUAUGAUUGGUUCUACUAGAAAUUCUAUUUAUAUAUAUAUAUAUAUAUAUAUAUAUGCAUAACGUGUACAAUGUGUAGUACCGUAAAAUACAAGCAAACGAAAAAGAAUUAAAACGGAAAACACAAAAUUAGAUGAAAAAGAAAUCAUAAAACCAAAAACCCCCCAAACAUUUUAGUACCGGUUGGUGUUACCAACCGGUACUAAAGGGCUCCCGGCCCCCGGAGCUGGCUCGUGCCACGUGGUUGCCCUUUAGCACCGGUUCGUGCUGAACCGGUACUAAAGGGGGGGCGGCUUUAGUGCCGAAACGUUAGUGCCGGUUCCUAAACCGUCACUAAAUGGCCUUACGAACCGGUGCUAUUUCCUGGUUCUGCACUAGUGAGGCAUCGACUGAAGGGCUAUUGCUUGCUCGACACCGACUACUUCACCGACGCUCCACUGCACGGGGAGUAAGUAUUUCGGCGCCGUUUAUCGGAUGAGCUGAAAGCUCUUCCUCGGGAUUGUGAAUUCCACCCAAGAGUUCGUCAGCUACUUCAAGUGCAAGAAGGAUUGCACUGGCACACUUGGAUUCUCCUCACUCCAGAAGUGCACGAUAGCUACGAGGAUGCUUGCAUACGGAGCUCCCCGUGAUAUACUGGAAGACUAUGGAUGCAUGGCCGAGUCCACCACCAUUGAGUGUUUGUACAAGUUCUACAGAAUAGUGGUGGCAACGUUUGGACCAUAAUACUUACGAUCACCCAAUGCUGAAGACACUGCUCGGAUCCUAGUAUAGAAUGCAACAAGAUGAUUUCCUGGGAUUCUUGGAAGCAUCGACUGUAUGCAUUGGGCAUGGAAAAACUGUCCAUUUGCUUGGCAGGGGAUGUACAGAGGUUCCAAAGGAGCUUGCAGUUUGGUACUUGAGGCGGUGGCCGAACAGGACCUCUGGAUUUGGCAAUCAUUCUUCGGUAUGUCAGGAACUCACAAUGACAUCAACGUACUGCAGUGCUCGAAUGUUUUUGCCAAGCUUGUUGAAGGUCAUGCUCCUCCGGUGAACUUCAAGGUCAAUGGGCGCCACUACAACAAGGGAUACUACCUAGCAGAUGGCAUCUAUCUGAGAUGGUCCACAUUUGUGAAGACUAUCUCAAACCCUAUGCCAGGAGGCAAGAACUCCUACUUUGCCAAGUGUCAGGAGGCUUGCAGGAAGAAUAUCGAGCGGGCGUUUGGUGUGCUCCAAUCUCGAUUUGUUGUUGUCUGGUACCCCGCUCUGACCUGGUUGAAAGAUCAAAUGUGGAAACUCAUGACUUGCCGUGUCAUCUUGCACAACAUGAUCAUUGAGAGCGAGAAGGAAGAGCCAGUGUUUGACACUGAACCAUAUUACAUGCUGGGUCCUCUUGCCAAAGUUGAUCACCAGCUACCGGCAACCUGGUCUGCCUUACUCAAUAUGCGUCAGGAGAUGCGAGACCCACAUGUGCAUCAAGAACUGGAGCACGAUUUGGUGGAGCACCUAUAGAGGCUCAAGGGCAACACCUAGCUCGACAUGUGAUGAAAUAUGAGUUUUUUUGUGUUCAAAUUAUGAGUUUGAUUUGUUGAACUAUUUGAUUUGUAUUGAUUUCGUUGAUGAACUAUGUGAUAAAAAUUAAUUUUUGUUCAAUUUGUUCCAAACCACACCGAACAUGGGCCAAAAUUGGGCCGAUUUCCGCCGAAAGUGGGCCAAAAUCGGCGGCUGAGGGGGGCGAGCUUGGGGGUCAGCUGGAAACCCGAGCCCCCUACGCCGAUUUUUCCGUCGGUUGGCCCCCAGCCGGCGCUAUUUCAAGCCCCGGGGGGNNNNNNNNNNNNNNNNNNNNNNNNNNNNNNNNNNNNNNNNNNNNNNNNNNNNNNNNNNNNNNNNNNNNNNNNNNNNNNNNNNNNNNNNNNNNNNNNNNNNNNNNNNNNNNNNNNNNNNNNNNNNNNNNNNNNNNNNNNNNNNNNNNNNNNNNNNNNNNNNNNNNNNNNNNNNNNNNNNNNNNNNNNNNNNNNNNNNNNNNNNNNNNNNNNNNNNNNNNNNNNNNNNNNNNNNNNNNNNNNNNNNNNNNNNNNNNNNNNNNNNNNNNNNNNNNNNNNNNNNNNNNNNNNNNNNNNNNNNNNNNNNNNNNNNNNNNNNNNNNNNNNNNNNNNNNNNNNNNNNNNNNNNNNNNNNNNNNNNNNNNNNNNNNNNNNNNNNNNNNNNNNNNNNNNNNNNNNNNNNNNNNNNNNNNNNNNNNNNNNNNNNNNNNNNNNNNNNNNNNNNNNNNNNNNNNNNNNNNNNNNNNNNNNNNNNNNNNNNNNNNNNNNNNNNNNNNNNNNNNNNNNNNNNNNNNNNNNNNNNNNNNNNNNNNNNNNNNNNNNNNNNNNNNNNNNNNNNNNNNNNNNNNNNNNNNNNNNNNNNNNNNNNNNNNNNNNNNNNNNNNNNNNNNNNNNNNNNNNNNNNNNNNNNNNNNNNNNNNNNNNNNNNNNNNNNNNNNNNNNNNNNNNNNNNNNNNNNNNNNNNNNNNNNNNNNNNNNNNNNNNNNNNNNNNNNNNNNNNNNNNNNNNNNNNNNNNNNNNNNNNNNNNNNNNNNNNNNNNNNNNNNNNNNNNNNNNNNNNNNNNNNNNNNNNNNNNNNNNNNNNNNNNNNNNNNNNNNNNNNNNNNNNNNNNNNNNNNNNNNNNNNNNNNNNNNNNNNNNNNNNNNNNNNNNNNNNNNNNNNNNNNNNNNNNNNNNNNNNNNNNNNNNNNNNNNNNNNNNNNNNNNNNNNNNNNNNNNNNNNNGAAGCCGACCCUGGAGUUGAAAAUGGCUUUGGUGCUGGACGUGUCGGUGACCCCCUCAAGAGACCAGUUGCCGAAGAUCUGCACGAAGGUGUUCAGGAAUAUCUUGCCCUUGUCCGUUGGAGGGGCUGCGGCUGCGGCCGCCACGGCCGCCUUGAAGGCGUUGUUGGCCUUCUCAGCUAGCUUCUGCUCCUCGGUCGUGGCCUUGGGCUGUGGCCCGGCUGGGGCGUAGCCAGCUUCGGCAGCAUACGAGACGGCUGGCCCCGCCACGAGGGCGACGGCCACCAAGAGCGCCACCGUACACUGCUGCACCGCC